rnacentral:lncRNA from 1 species
UUAUUGAAUAUUAAAAUAACAUAGUUGAUUUCUAAAACAUACAAAAAUUAUUAUCUCAUCAACGCAUAAUUAUUUUGAGAACCAUAAGGUUGAGAUUUAUCCACCCAAAAACUAUUGUGUUGUUGUUGCUGGUGUGCAAUUAAUCUUGCAGGGACAGUUGAUGAAGCAUUCUCCAAGAUCUGGCCAGCACAAGUUAUCUAUUUGACAGCAGAAUUCCCGUCCUGGGAGCUGGUGCCCAUCUUUAUAACAAGGGGGUCUAGUUACAUGGCUUACUUUGCUCAUCAUGUUUCUCCCCUUGUUGUUUAUGAUUUCACCUAAUUAACAUAAAAUAAAGAAUAUACUUAUCAUCUCAUCAUAUAAACAAUAAAAGUCCACAAUAUCAAUACCACCAAAAAAUCGAGUUGUUAAUUACCAUAUGUGCCUCCAAGACAAGUCAAACACACCACAAGAAGAAAAGAAAGUAGCACAAGUCCUUGCACAUUGUUCCUCGUGAACUUGGUCAUCGUCACUAAGGAAUAGAGGCUAUUAAUGGGUGGUACUCUUGUAAGUGGAGUUGAUGAGUGUAUGACCGUGAAAUGCUUGCUCCAUGAAUGGUUCAUAUAUAUAUAGGAAAAGCUUCUCCGUGUUGAUGUGUGAAGUUAUAGAAAAUAUUAAUGCUUGGAGUUAUGGCUUGUGUGAAUUUCCAAUUUUAGUUUCACUUCUAAAGAUUCAUGGUUCCUUCUAGAGUUUUUUUCUCAAAUUUAUGCUUUGUCAUAGCAUGUAAGUUACUUUAAUGCCCCCUCUAGAAUUGAUCGCUCAUUGUUUUCAAGGGGUAGAAUUGACCUCUUAGAAUGGGUAGUAAAAAAUGGGUGCAUGGCAAUAUUAUGUUUAAGGCAUUGAUAAUAAUUGGUAUAAUAUCAAUAAUUCCUAUAUAUAUGAUGCCUUAUCAAUAAAAUUAUUAAUUUCUGUCUUGGUAUAAGAGAACAGAGUUUAAAAUUCAACAAGACUCAUCCACUUAACAUUGGACUUGAUUUUUAAUGUAUGUAAGCAAUUGUUCUUAAGUAUAUCAACAAGUUACAGAUACAUUUUUUUUUACUUUUAUUCCAUGAACAUAGAUUAAUUAUGGGAUGGCCAUUUUAUAAAUAUAAGAUGAUGAUUUAUUUUCAUAUACAUGAACAUUUUAUAUCAAGGUACUUGAGCAUUUUUUACAUAUUUCUAUACACAAAAUUUUCUCCAAUAUUAAGUCGAUUUUUUUAAAUAGAUUAGUUUCCCCAAAACUUUCUUUAUUAAAAUGUCGCACUUGCCCAGCUAGGGAAAAUUUUGUUAGGCAGAGCUGCCCAAUUCUCGGAACUCCCUAUAAGUUCCUCCUUGCCGCUACCAACCUCCCCUUCAGACAGCGCAUGCCUGGCUGGUCCGACCUAUUGACGACACGAAUGGACACCACCGAGUGGGAGAGUAGGCGUUGAGCCAAUCCACUUUAGCAACAAUUUUUUCAUUUUUGGAAAAUAUCUUUGCAAAAUGAACAAGCAUUGAUAAAUGUGAAGUUUUUUUUGAACAUAUUCUAAAAUUUAAAAUUUCUUAAAACCCCAAUUAUGUUUGGAAUUUCAUACAUUCUUCUGAACAAAUAAACACUUUUGGAAAUACUUAACAUUAUUUGAAAACUAAGACCUUUUCUUGGAGAACCAACAAUUUUAUGAAAAACGUGUUAGUUUUAUAAUUUGUAGAAUGUUUUUCAAAGUUAUGAUCUUUAAGAACACAAACAAUUUUUGAAAUUUCAAACAAAAUAUGAGAAUCGGAACAUUUCCCGAAAACUUGAAUAUUUUCUAAAUUUCAAAUUUUUACACAUUUUUAAAAAAGGAGACUUUUUGAUAAAGAUAAUAAGAAAAAUAAAACAAUGGAAAAACAAAUAAGAAAAACUGUAACAUCCUAAUUUUCAAUUUGGAUGUUAUACAUAGAUCAGCAGAUGCAUAUCCUAUUUAUUCUUUCUUUUGGUUGAGAUCCUAGAGAUCUUAAGCAACUCAAGGACCCAAGGAGAGAGUUGGAGGUUUCACAAAAUUCAUAUUUGAAUUUAUUUCAAAUUUGAGGGAAGGAUCAAUUUGAUUUUAUUAUUUUUCUCUCUAAUUUUUUCCAAUAAUAAAAAUACAUGCGAGAAGAUAAUAUGACUUCUUCAACCUAAGAUAAAUAUUGGAGAAAGAAGUUUAAAAUCAAAUUAUGAUUUUAUUAGAAUUUUAUUAGAAUUAGAAAAAUAUUGCAUUUUUUAAAAUUGGAUCUUUGUCCAGAAAAAUGUUUAUCUUGUCCUAAAUAUAUGGUUUGGACGGUGAAAAUUAUUUCUGGAAUUUUUAGAUUUUUCUUUAUAAUUUAUUAGGAUUUUUCUUUCGGGCGAAAUUUAUUUUUUUAAAAAAGUUAUUUCCGCCCGAAUGGGCCGAAGGCCCAGCCGAGCCGGCCCAGAAGCUGCGCCGCCACCAUCCCCGCGCGGUAGUCUGCCCCGCUGCCGCCAGCGUGCCGCCGGCCAAGUCCGAGGUGGGCACACCUCCCGAGGCCAGCCCCUUCCCCAAGACGAGGUCGAGCCCCAUCCUUAAAUAGCGCGUCGUCCCACCACCUCUCCUUCACACCGCCACCGCCUCCCACCACCAGCAGCAGCAAUAGCCCCGCGCCGCCGCCGCCGCACCGCUUUCUGCCGCCUGUGACGCUCCCGAUUCAAUCGUACACUAAUCAUACAUGCAAAUAUGUACGAUCAAGAUUAGGGACUCACGGGAAGAUAUCACAACACAACUCUAAAAAUAAAAUAAGUCAUACAAGCAUCAUAAUACAAGCCAGGGGCCUCGAGUGCUCGAAUACAACUGCUCGAUCAUAGACGAGUCAGCGGAAGCAACAAUAUCUGAGUACAGACAUAAGUUAAACAAGCUUGCCUUAAGAAGGCUAGCACAAACUGGGAUACAGAUCGAAAGAGGCGCAGGCCUCCUACCUGGGAUCCUCCUAAACUACUCCUAGUCGUCGUCAGCGGCCUGCACGCAGUAGUAGGCAUCUCCAGUGUCGUAGGAGUUGUCGUCGGUGGCGUAUGGCUCCUGGGAUCCAACGUCUUCUUGCAGCAUCCGAGAAGAAGAGGAAAACGGGGGAAAAGAGGGAGCAAAGCAACCGUGAGUACUCAUCCAAAGUACUCGCAAGCAAGGAGCUACACUACAUAUGCAUGGGUAUAUGUGUAAGGAGGCAAUAUCAGUGGAAUGAACUGCAGAAUGCCAGAAUAAGAGGGGUAUAGCUAGUCCUAUCGAAGACUACGCUUCUGGCAGCCUCCGCCUUGCAGCAUGUAGAAGAGAGUAGAUUGAAGUCCUCCAAGUAGCAUCGCAUAGCAUACUCCUACCCGGCGAUCCUCCCCUCGUCGCCCUAUGGGAAAGCGAUCACCGGGAUGUCUCUGGAACUUGUAUGGAUGUGUUUUAUUAAGUAUCCAGUUCUAGUUGUCAUAAGGUCAAGGUACAACUCCAAGUCGUCUUGUUACCGAAGAUCACGGCUAUUCGAAUAGAUUAACUUCCCUGCAGGGGUGCACCACAUUUCCCAACACGCUCGAUACCCUUUGGCCGGACACACUUUCCUAGGUCACGCCCGGCCUAGGAAGAUCAACACAUCGUAGACCCACCUAGGCACAACAGAGAGGUCAGCAGACCGGUCUAACUCCUAUGGCACAGGGGUUUGGGCCCAUCGCCCAUUGCACACUUGCACGUUGCGAGGGCGGCCGGAAGUAGACUAGCCCCCUUAAUACAAGUGCAUGCUUACGGUCCAAUCCGGCGCGCGCCGAUCAGUCGCUGAUGUCAAGAAGGCUUCGGCUGAUACCACGACGUUCGAGUGCCCAUAACUGUUCCCGCGUAGUUGGUUAGUGCGUAUAGGCUAGUGGCCAGACUCAGAUAAAAUACCAAGAUCUCGUUAAGCAUGUUAUUAUGAAGUAACCCUGAACGCCGACCAGGGCCAGGCCCACCUCUCUCCUAGGUGGCGUCAAACUGCCCUGUCGCUCCACCACAAAGAUCCACACACAGGGCCGUCGGGAAAGUAUGUCCUUUCAGCCCCCAAUUCAAACAACUGCGGGUACUCAACGAGCCGACACGACUUUAGUCACCAUUUGUAUAGCAUGUAUAUAUGUAUAGUAUGAACCCGUGAUCACCUCCCGAGUGACCACGACCUGAUAGUAUAGCAAGGCAGACUGACAAGAAUGUAGGGCCACAGAUGAUAAACUCGCAUCCUAUACUAAGUAUUUAGGAUUGCAAGUAAGGUAUCAACAGAUGUAGCAACAAUGACAGGCUAUGCAUCAGAAUAGGAUUAACGGAAAGUAGAAACAUGCUACACUACUCUAAUGCAAGCAGUAUAGAGGAGAGUAUGCGAUAUCUGGUGAUCAAGGGGGGGGCUUGCCUGGUUGCUCUGGCAAGAAGGAGGGGUCGUCAACUCCGUAGUCGUACUGGGUGCUAGUGUAAGAAACAAUUAAUAUAGUGAAAACAUAAGCAUGACAAUGUAAGAUAUGAAAAUGAGCAGUGCUAGGUGUGCCCUAACGAGGUAGUAGGCGAUACCGGCGAAAGGGGGAAACAUCCGGGAAAGUAUCGUCGGUGUUUCGCAUUACUGCAUCAGCAUGACGUCAGCAUGACAUCAUCAGUCAACAAAGGUAUUGACUAGGUCAAGCUGACGUGUGGGUCCCAUCUGCCAUUGACACAUUGCCCUAACUAACAAACUAGUUAGUUUAAUUAAAUAUUUAGGUUAAUUAAGUUUAGUUAUUUUAACUAAACAUGAUAAAUUAAGUUAAUUAAUUAGUUAAUUAAUUAAUUACCAAUUUUAUUAUUAUUAUUAUUUUAUCUUAUUAUUAUUAUUAUUUAAACGUUCUGGGGUGGGGCCCCCUUGUCAUAGGCCCCUGGGGACCUAGUGGAGUGUGUUAACGGGCGCCGGGGCGCGGCGGGCGUGCGCCCGAGUCCACCAUGGAAGGGGACUCCGACCAGGGGAGGGGGCGCCGCCGUGGCGGCUAGCGCCGGCUGUGGCGGAGCGGCGUGGGACCGAUGGGGCGUAGGCGAUGCACGUGACAGCGCGCGCGAGCUGCAGUGGUGGAGGUGGUGGCGGGGUCGCACGGGUGGAGCAAAGGCGCGACAGCCGGAGCGGAGUAGUGCAGCGAGCAGCACUGCUCGUGGCGUCGCGCGGGCACAGUAAGCACGGGAGGCGGGCCGACGCGGGACCAGGCAUAGCAGCAGCGGCGCAGGGCGCGGCGAGCGCCCGUUGCGCGCGUGCUUCAGUGCGGGUAGGCGUAGCCACGGCGGCGUGAGCCACGGCGGGAAGAAGGAACACGGGAGGGGGCGCAGUAGCAGCAGGCGAGCCGGGCGUGCACGGGGCGACGAUGGGCAGCGACAGCGAGCGCGGUGGGGCGGUGCGCUUGCGUGCGUGCACGAUGGACGAGCGGCCGGAGCGAACAACGAGUGCUGGGAGAGGAGGAGAGGCCGGGGGCCUCACCGCGGUUGUAGGGUCUUAGGCAGCGAGGCGUGGGGAGGACGACGGGGACGACGUGCGGUGGGGCGACGAGGUCCGGCGGUAGGGUGGACGUAGGCGAUGGCGUCCGACGAGGUGGCGGCGCGGUGGCUCCGGCGACUGCGUCGGGGUGCCGUGGGCGCCCAGAUCUAGAACGGGGAGGAGGAGGUCGAGGACGGGGCGUCAGGGCGUCGAGCGACACCGGCAAGGGGCGACGGAGUCCGGGACGAUGGGGUUGGGGCGGUUGCCCCGAUCCAGAAACCGGGAGGGGAGUGGGGGAGCGAGCGAGUGUGGGGUGAGUGGAAUCCUGGUACCUAGGGUUUCAGGCGAUAGGAGGAUAUGGAGAGUGGGGUGGGCCGGUCGGGCCAGGGUGGGAGUUGGGUCGGGUGACCCAGUUGGCCUGGGGCUUUCCCCCUCUUUUUACUUUAUUAAUUUUUUGUUAUUCUCCUUUUUUUAUUCUUUUCCAUUUUCUAUUUUAUUUAUUUUAGAGCAUCAUAGCAUUUUCUAAAUAUGGGUUUUCUUCACUAUAAUUACCUAUGUAAUAUUUGGCACAAUCUGGACAUUUUAGUUUCAUUGUUUGAAAACCUUUUUGUUUGCCUGAUUUUUAAUUUGAAUUUGAAUCGGUUUCGAACUAACGCGAGAUUAGUAACAGUAAUCAAGGUGACGUGGCAUCAUUAGCAGAGGUUCAAUGUAGCUUAAGUAUCCAGGUGUCACAAUUCUCCAACACUACAAGAAAUCUCGUCCUGAGAUUUAAGCGGUGUAUUAAGGGGGGAGGUGCUGGUAGCGAAAAAGCUAAAGAGUCUUCUCGGUCUUGGCUGCCCUUUCGAAGAGGUUGAUCCCUUUCGUUGAUGUCUUCAUGUCUCUGCUUCAAGUCACCAUGACCAAGUCAUCAUCCUUUCAUCGGUAUCUCCAUCGUCCUACAAACGCAACCAAGGGGAAAACUCCGGAAGAACGCAUCUCCGCAAAGUUGGGCAUCUGGCGGUGAACUCAAUGGGAAAUACACAAGGUACCCCACGAGUUGUAUUUCAAUGAAUUCGUUGAGUGCAAUACACGAUGGUACCAAAGUUUCAAACGGGUAGGCAAUCAUUCAAUGACUAGACAUAAGUUGGAAUGGGGGUUUGAACAAUGAGAAUAACAUGGCAUUUGAUUCCAGGAGGAAUAAUGGUAUAGCAUUUAGCUCGUGAAUCACAUACGAAGCCAGGUGCAAAGGAUACAUUAGAAUCGGGUUGUAAAGAAGAGUCAGGUUUCGAUCCAGUGGACCUGUGGGUUAUGGGCCCACCAUGUGGGUUGACAGUAGGAAGGGUGGUGACAUCUUGCACAGCCGCAACAGGGAGGCAUGUCAGGGCAACAAUUGUCAGUAACAAGGACGGGGAACGAAGAGAGCAAUUUUCCUGCUUGUAGAACAGGUGAACCAAUUGGCAAAGUUAUCACCCAUCGGUGGUUACCGGAAUGUCAUCAACAAUAGUAACAUGGUCUUACAAACAGAGUGGUACAACAAGUUGCCUACCUAAGCAGGGAAUUAUCUCUGCUCAGUUAAGUCAGAUUUAGGAAAGGUUAAACAAAAGAAUGGAAAGGAAAACGCGAUUAUCAGAUUAAACGGAACAAUGGAAAGGAAAAUUGUGAUUACACACAAUUAUUAGGAGUAUAUCCUUCCCAUGUACAAGCAGAACAUGGAUUACAGGAUAGGAGAGCAAGUACCCAACCAUUCAGAUAACGGGCAAGGAUUAAUCAAGAUGUUACCCAUACAACAUCGUUUGGAUAACUGACCAACAAACAUUUAGCAUCGCGCCUACAAUGUUCUUGUUGAUGAGCGGGGUAUCAUAGUCAUGCUUCGAGGUAGCAAUGAUAUGGGGUUCCAAUCAAGGCCAGACUUUGGAUACACAAAUGAUCCAUCAGGAGCAACUUAUAAAAUAAGUCCUACAAUUUCCUCCAGGAAGAAUGGUUAUCCUUGCAAAAGAAAUUAUAAUGAUAGGUCCUCCAGCCAGGGGUGCUAGGCAUGACAUCAUACUACCUGGUCAUCUAAGGACCAACAUCAUAACUCCUGGAAAGUUGUCCUAACCAUAAUAUCUGACCGAGAUUCCGAUCCGAUUGGUGUCAUGAUACCUUAGACUCAGGAUGUCCGAGAAGAAAAGGUGCGACACAAAUUGAUGAAAUGACAUUGCAAGAUUCUCAGGAAAUGAACUAUGGGAGUGGGUUCCUGAAACAAUAGUUCAUCAUUAAACCAAGGAGGGGAUGAGGAGGUUGCUGAUGGGCUCAGCGACAAUUCAACGAGAAUUCCAAACGGAUGGAUUUCCACACUUAUGUGAACAAGAAGAUGACACUUGCUAAUUCAAAUGAUAUAAUGUUGUAUGCUCGAGGAAAACAUACACCAUCAAGCAUUAGUUGUAAGGUGUGCCCGAAAUAUGACCUUAGGCAGCAGGAUCAAUGUUAGAGUGAUGAUUCAAUGACCAACAGUCUAAGAAUGAACUGUUGAUCAUUAACUUCAAAGCAAUAGGGUUGCUAGAAAUACGGAACUCAAGCAGCAUCGUUGGCAUAUCGGUAUCCCGGUUAAAAACAACACGGGGACCAAGGAAGAAUGGUGAUGGUGGGAAGUAUUAUCAUACCGAGAAUUUCUAAGAGGUGGAGCAAUCCACACAACAUCCUCGACAGAAAAGACAGUAAUACUUCAAGGCAGAACACAACACUAGUUGGACAUCAAGUUGUAUUCAUAAUAUGGACAAGUUCGCGAUGAAAGGAAGUCAAGGGUUUUGUCGAUGAUAAUAAAAAUCAUCGAGGGCAAGGAGGGAAUUUCUCAUCAUGAACACAGUUGGCAUCUCAGAAGACGUCAAAGUGUUGAAGGUGAUCCGACACAUUUGCCGGGAGAUUUCUAGAGGAUGAAAUCAAACAACAAUGGCAACAAGCGAGGGAAUGACGAAGUGGCAAGUUAUAGGAUCAAUAUAUAAGAUGCAAGCUCGGGACCAAAUUGCCUUUCAAGACAAGCAACAUGAUGUUGAAAGCUCGACAUAAGUCGUGCUCACACACUGCAGAUUCGUGCACCAGAGUAGGACGAGUUAGCAUCGUCAAAGGUAGCAAGACCUGGAUGCAACCGAUAGUCUAGGAAUGACCAGAUUUAGUUCAGAAUUUCCUAGUAAAAAUACUAGGGGUAUUUGAUUUGUAGUGCGGAAUAAUUUCAGUAGUCGGUGUCCUCGGUUGACAACAACCCAGAACCCGUAGAGUGAUUACGACAAGGAAAGACAUUACUUCAACAAAGUUAGUAAGAUGUGGUGCAAUGGCAAGACAUCUCCGAGAUACCAGGGGGUAAUACUCGAAGGUAGAACAAGAUAGAAGUAGAACCGGGUCAUUGACCUAUGACAUUAGAUACUUCAACCUUGACAAAAAUAGACGAGGCACUGGAAUGAAUUCCCAUCAGAUAUAUCAGAUCAGCACAACAUGGUCAGAACCAUAACUGUAAGGAAUCAAUUUCAAGAAUACCGAAAGAAUCAUACAGCUAGAUAAUAAUUUUGCAAGAAGCUUCUCAGACGGUCUACAUCAUUUUCAUGGGCAUGAACACAAAGUUCAGGGUCGACUCCCACUUCUUUAAUGCAUAUCAUCUCAUUCACCUUUUGCUUUGAUAUAACUGUAGUGUUGAAAGUUUAUCUGGUAGAAAACCGGAAGUGUAUGACUUGUGAAAACUUUCGAGUUCUCACGAAUUAGGGGAAGGCAUAGGUUCAACCCAUCGGGCAACUUAGUAACCUAUACCACAAGUUUCAAAACUAAAUACACAAGCUCGAAAGCAGAGCAUGGUUGGCCAAGUAGAGGAUACAAUUUACCAAAGGCACUAUGUAUCAGGGAAAGAACUCACAUGGUGAUUGAAUAUGAAGGACACUGUCGGAUAAAAAUCCAACAAUGGAUAGGGCGAUCCACAACGGAUCUGAUGUGAGUAUCGGUACUCACUCGGAGGAAGAAAGAAUGCAGAGGCAUCAGAUUCAAGAAUCACCUGAUUAGUCUGAUGCUUAAAUAGAAAGAAAUUAUGGUUUCCAAAAUGAAGGAUCAGAAGCAGAUGCUCUGAUCAAGAAUGGAUAAGUUGAAAACACCUAGUUGGACAAUCAAUGAAGGUUUGAAUUGCCGAGAACCAACUCAUGUCCGGAAUGACGUCUGAGCCGGAAAGAGAAUCUUAAAAAGGAUAACAUGAUGAUUGCGUGUGUACGCACACAUUGAAUCAAUAGGCUCAAAAUGACUAAGACAAGGGAUGUUAACGAGGACUACUAUUUAUAUGGAAUUACCCAUAAUGCAAGCAGGCAAGCGUUUCAAGAGUAACAGGCUGCAGAGGAUUUUUGAAAGAUCGAAAAGUAUUCCGAAGAAUCAUGUGAGACACAUGAAAAAUUGAGAAGAAUGGAUCCUUGAUAAAUGUGAGGAAAAACCCGUAAUAGUUUUCACGCGAAAUAAAACUGCAAGACAGUAAACUCAAAGGAUUUUCGGGACAACGACGAAUAUUUCGAGGCAUCAUGUAACAACAAGAGCGGCGAGGAAUGAUCAAGAGAAAGACAAGUGCAUACAGAUAUCCAUAGGGAUAUAUCGGUGACAGUGGAUUGCAAAGGUGAUGAGCACAAGGGUCUCGAGAAAAUAUCAAGGGAUAUCUUCAGAAUCUUCUGAUGCAAUAAGCAAUCAUCUGGAGUGAGGGAUCUCCGGGAGGAAGUAGUUACGAGAACCUAGAGUCGGCGUUAGUAAAAUCACUUAACCCGAAUAGAGGAGAGAUCAGUGUCCCAGAGUAAAGGUCGAGGAGUAAAAGAUCCUAAUACCACCCAAUGGCGAUGUGGGCCCGUAAGCCACACACCCAAGUUAGUAAAAUACUUUUCGGCUUCUAGACUCAACUUCGGCCAAGGAGUUGGAAAGGGGAUUCCUACAGGCAGUCGGCUCUGAUACCAACUUGUGACGCUGCCGAUUCAAUCGUACACUAAUCAUACAUGCAAAUGUGUACGAUCAAGAUCAGGGACUCACGGGAAGAUAUCACAACACAACUCUAAAAAUAAAAUAAGUCAUACAAGCAUCAUAAUACAAGCCAGGGGCCUCGAGGGCUCGAAUACAAGUGCUCGAUCAUACAAGAGUCAGCGGAAGCAAAAAUAUCUGAGUACAGACAUAAGUUAAACAAGCUUGCCUUAAGAAGGCUAGCACAAACUGGGAUACGAAUCGGAAGUGGCGCAUGCCUCCUGCCUGGGAUCCUCCUAAACUACUCCUGGUCGUCGUCAGCGGCCUGCACGCAAUAGUAGGCACCUCCAGUGUUGUAGGAUUCAUCGUCGCCGAUGUUGCCUGGCUCCUGGGAUCGAACAUCUGGUUGCGGCAUCCGAGAAGAAGAGGAAAAUGGGGGAAAAGAGGAGCAAAGCAACCGUGAGUACUCAUCCAAAGUACUCGCAAGAAAGGAGCUACACUACAUAUGCAUGGGUAUAUGUGUAAGGAGGCAAUAUCAGUGAACUGAACUGCAGAAUGCCAGAAUAAGAUGGGGAUAGCUAGUCCUAUCAAAGACUACGCUUCUGGCAGCCUCCGUCUUGCAUCAUUUAGAAGAGAGUAGAUUGAAGUAUCAUCGCAUAGCCUAAUCCUACCCGGCGAUCCUCCCCUCGUCGCCCGGUGGGAAAGCAAUCUCCAGGAUGUCUGUGGAACUUGUCUGGCUGUGUUUUAUUGAGUAUCCGGUUCUAGUUGUCAUAAGGUCAAGGUACAACUCCCAGUCGUCCUGUUGAAAAUCACGUCUAUUCAAAUAGAUUAACUUCCCUGCAGGGGUGCACCACAUUUCCCAACACGCUCGAUCCCCUUUGGCCGGACACACUUUCCUGGGUCAUUCCCGGCCUCGGAAGAUCAACACGUCGCAGCCCCACCUAGGCACAACAAAGAGGUCAGCACGCCGGUCUAACUCCUAUGGUGCAGGGGUAUGUGCCCAUCACCCGUUGCACACCUGCAUGUUGCGAGGGUGGCCGGAAGCAGACCUAGCCCCCUUAAUACAAGUGUAGGCUUACGGUCCAAUCCGGCGCGUGCCGCUUAGUCGCGGAUGUCAAGAAGGCUUCGGCUGAUACCACGACGUCGAGUGCCCAUAACUGUUCCUGCGUAGUUGGUUAGUGUGUAUAGGCCAGUGGCCAGACUCAGAUCAAAUACCAAGAUCUCGUUAAGCAUGUUACUAUGAAGUAACCGCGAACGCCGACCAGGGCCAGGCCCACCUCUCUCCUAGGUAGCCUCAAACUGCACUCUCACUCUGCCACAAAGAUCCACACAGAGGGUCGUCAGGAAAGUAUGUCCUUUCAGCCCCAAUUCGUGAAUCAGCCGCGGGUACUCAACAAGCCGACCCGACUUUAGUCACCAUCUGUAUAGCAUGUAUAUAUGUAUAGUAUAAACCCGUGAUCACCUCCCGAGUGACCACGACCCGAUAGUAUAGCAAGGCAGACUGACAAGAAUGUAGGGCCACAGAUGAUAAACUAGCAUCCUAUAUACUAAGUAUUUAGGAUUGCAGGUAAGGUAUCAACAAAUGUAGCAACAAUGACAGGCUAUGCAUCAGAAUAGUAUUAAUGGAAAGUGGCAACAUGCUACACUACUCUAAUGCAAGCAGUAUAGAGGAGAAUAGGCGAUAUCUGGUGAUCAAGGGGGGGGGCUAGCCUGGUUGCUCUGGCAAGGAGGAGGGGUCGUCAACUCCGUAGUCGUAAUGGGUAGCAGCGGCGUCGGUCUCGUAGUCUACCGGAGAGAAGAGAGGGGAGAAACAAUGAAUACAGUGCAAACAUAAGCAUGACGAUGUAAGACAUGACAAUGAGCAGUGCUAGGUGUGCCCUAAUGAGGUAGUAGGUGAUACCGGCGAAAGGGGGAACAUCCGGGAAAGUAUCCCCGGUGUUUCGCGUUUUCGGACAAAUGAACCGGAGGUGAAAUGUUGCAAAUUUGCUAUGCUAGGGAUGCAUGGCGGACUAACGGGCUAUGUAUUCGGAUUCAUCUCGUUGUUCUGAGCAACUUUCAUGUACAGAGUUUUUCCAUCUGAGUUACGAACUAUUUAAUAUUAAUUUUUAAAGAUUUAAAUCAAUUUAAAAUUAUUAGUAUUAAUUAAAUUCAAAAAUGACAUUAUUGCAUCAGCAUGAUGUCAACAUGACGUCAUCAGUUAACAGAGGUGUUGACUAGGUCAAGCUGACGUGUGGGUCUUAUCUGCCAUUGACUCAUUGCCCUAACUAACAAACUAGUUAGUUUAAUUAAAUAUUUAGGUUAAUUAAGUUUAGUUAGUUUAACUAAACAGGAUAAAUUAAGUUAAUUAAUUAAUUAGUUAGUUAGUUAUUUAAUUAAAUAAUUUUAUUAUAAUUUUUUAUAUUAUUAUUAUUAUUUUAAACAUUCUGGGGUGGGGCCCCCUUGUCAUAAGCCCCUCGGGACCUAGUCGAGUGCGUUAACGAGCGCUGGGGCGCUGCGGGCGUGCACCCGAGUCCACCAUGGAAGGGGACUCCGGCCAGGGGAGGGGGUGCGGCCGCGGCGGCUGGCGCCGGCUGUGGCGAAGCGGCGUGGGAGCGAUGGGGAGUAAACGAUGCACGCGACGGCGCGCACGAGCUCUAGCGGUGGAGGUGGUGGCGGGGUCUCGCGGGCGGAGCAAGGGCGCGGCAGUCGGAGCGUAGUAGUGCUGCGAGCAGCACUGCUCGUGGCGUCCCGCUGGCACAGUAAGCACGGAGGCGGGCCGACGCGGGGCCAGGCAGAGCAUCGGCGGCGCGGGGCGUGACUAGCGCCCGUUAUGCGCGUGCUUCGGUGUGGGUAGGCGUAGCCACGGCGGCGUGAGCCAUGUCUGGGAGAAGGGACAGGGGAGGGGGUGCAGUAGCAGCUAUCGAGUGGGGCGAUGAUUGGCAGUAACAGUGAGCGCGGUAGGGCGGUGUGCGUGCGUGCGUGCACGAUGGACGUGUGGCCGGAGCGAACGAUGAGUGUGGGGAGAAGAGGAGAGGCCGAGGGCCUCACCGGGGUUGUAGGGUCUUAGGCAGCGGGCAUGGGGAGGACGACGGGGACGACGUCCGGCGGGGCGACGAGGUCCGGCGGCGGGGUGGACGUAGGCGAUGGCGUCCGGCGAGGUGGCGGCGCGGUGGCUCCGGCGACAACGUCGUGGCACCGUGGGCGCCCAGAUCCAGAACGGGGAGGAGGAUGUCGAGGACGGGGUGUCAGGGCAUCGAGCGACACCGGCAAGGGGCGAUGGAGUCAGGGACGAUGGGGUCGGGGCGGUUUGCCCCGAUCUAGAAACCGGGGGGAGUGGGGGAGUGAGCGAGUGGGGGGGGAGUGGAAUCGUGGUAGCUACGGUUUCGGCCUAUAGGGGGAUAUGGAGAGUGGGGUGGGUCGGUCGGGCCAGGGUGGGAGUUGGGUCGGGUGGCCUAGUUGGCAUGGGGCUUUCCCCCUCUUUUACUUUAUUAUUAUUUUUGUUUAGUCUCCUUUUUUUAUUCUUUUCCAUUUUCUUUUUUAUUUAUUUUAGAGCAUCAUAACAUUUUCUAAAUAUGGGUUUUCUUCACUAUAAUUACCUAUGUAAUAUUUGGCACAAUCCGGACAUUUUAGUUUCAUUGUUUGAAAACCUUUUGUUUGCCUGAUUUUUAAUUUGAAUUUGAAUCGGUUUCGAACUAUCGCGAGAUUAGAAACAGUAAUCAAGGUGACGUGGCAUCAUUAGCAGAGGUUCAUUGUAGCUUAAGUAUCCGGGUGUCACACCACCGCCACCGCACGCCCGGGCCGCUGCCCCCUAGUCCCGCGCCGCUGCCGCCUCGUCGCCGACGCCGUUGACCGAUCUCGCCGUCGCCGCCGAUUUUCUCGUGAACCGGUAAGACCGGCCGGAACCAGUUUUAUUUUUCGGGUUUUUUUCGCUUUGGCGAGAUAGAUCGGUUUUCUUAGGGUUUUUCUUAAGUAACGAACAUCCGUUCGUUCGUUCGUUUUAAUGAACGGUUUUCACCGUAUAAGUUUUGUUAGCAAAGGGUCGCGCCGUAGGAUUUUUCCUUUUAGUUUAUUUUCGGCCAGGGACCUAUCCGUGAACAGUUUUAUCACGAUUUAGCCCCUGAUCUUUAAAGUAGCAUAACUUUUUACUCGUUUAUCCAAAUUAGAUGAAACCAACGUCUAAAUCUUCGUUCUGUUCUAUUAUUUUCAGUUUAACCAACUUAAACAUGAUUUUGAUACUGUAAAAUUUUGAGCUUAGUCCAGACUAGUAAAUGAUCUUGUCUUGUUCGUAUUUUGAGUUUUGUUUCUCGGUUUGAGAUGAAUCUUUUUCCAAACCGUAGCUAAUCACAUGUACCUAUUGUUAAGAUCUAAUCCUCAUGAUAAUAAUGUCGUGAGGUGUGACUUUUGUUACUUUAAGCCGUUUGUUUGUUUCGUGUUUGAUUUGGAAUUUUUUUCUCGGUUUUCUCGUUGCUUCGUUUGAGUGAUUGCUUAUGUAUGUUAUUGUUUGUCUAUGCAAGAUUACCCGGAGUGCGAAGCUUGUUACUACGAAUCUUUAGAGUUUGCAGAUCGUCAGCAAGGCAAGUUACACUUUGAUUAUACUCUUUCAUACCUAGUUUUUACUACGCAUUAGUUCUGCCCCUCAAAUAUUUGCAUGAGUAGGAUUGGGAACAUGUGGUUUGGUUGUAGUACUUGAGGUAGGAACCUAAUACCUUUUGAUCACCCCAGGAAUAUACGUUAUGCUUAUUUUUGCUUAGCCAUGCUUGUAGACAGGAAUUGGAUCGUGAAUCACACAUGGAAGUUUGAGAGUUAUUUAAUCCUGGUUAACAUUAAGGUGGCUACUUUAAUAUACAUUUGGGUGGAUUGGUUGCAGGCACCUGGGGAACCCAGUGUUGCCUAUUUUGGAAAAUCCUGGAGUACCCGUGUGAUUCUUCCUACGGUUAGCCACCUAGACUCAAAGGGAUCAUAAGAUCAUUCAUGCUAAAAACUUCCAUGUAUAGCCGCAUGCCAUUAUGGGCUCUGGCAUAGUUUGAGUAAGUUGCAUGAGCUCUUGAAGAGGUGGACUAGCAGAUGUAGGGGAUAGUAGGUGUACCGAUCCGCCCGGAGUAGAGAUUUACUGCUUCAGAAAGACUAUGUCUCGGUCAUCUGUUCCUCAAACAUCAUGUAGUGCGAGAAAUUCAACGGAAGAGAUCAAGUCUUGUGGGGAAAAGUGCGCAACCUCUGCAGAGUGUAUAAACUAAUCAUGGUUAGCCAUGUCCCCGGUUAUGGACAUCUUGAGUAUCUAGUACUUGAAUCUAUUGAUGUGAUCUCAUCAUGUUACUUUAAUUAAUUUGAAUUGGGUUAAUGAUGAUACUUUUAAUUGGGAUUUGAGUUGGGGUUACCUUCUCAAAUAAUGGCCAACUUGGGAGUAGUUAAAUAAAUUUAUUCCUUUGUUGUAGGGAAAUACUAGCUUUAUGCAAACUCAUAAACUUACAGCCUCCACCAUCCAAAUAUUGCAUGUAGAUAUAGUUCUUGCAUCACUUUAAAGUGUAACUCUGCCAGCAUAUUCAAUGUGUUGACCUGCACGGCUGCAGCGUCUCAUGUUGCAGACUACUCAGACGAUGAAUAAAGUGCGAUAGGUUGUUGUUUUGAACUCAGCUAUGUCGUUGGAGUUGAUGGACUCAUUUACCUUUGAAGCUUCCACUGUUAUCUAGUUUAAAUGGCUUUCAGCCAUUAUAUUUUUGUGUAAUCAUACUCUUUAUGAGGACUCUAUGUAAUAAGUGUGUGAGGACUCUGUUAUAAUUCCUCGAGUACUGUGCGUGUCAGCAUUACCAAUCCAGGGAUGGCACUGAUGCACAGAGACUUGACAGUUUGAGGUUUGGUCGAUACAAGAUGGUAUCAGAGCACACGUUGACUGUAGGACACGACCACUAGAUUAUACCACAGGAUUUCUCUUCUCUACUAAUUUCUAAUUCUCCUCUUUUCUACUCUAUAGAUGGUGGAUCCUAGUAACAAGUUCACUCAGCCGGAUGACGAUACCCCUUUCGGAAAACAUUUGAAGGAAGUCACUAAGUAUUUGAACAUUGGACUACCAAGCUGCACGGGGACUUUCUCUACAUCCGUACCAGAAGAGGAGCGCUGGAAGAUUAAAGUCUGGGUACCUGGAAGGACAUUUGCGCCAACAACGGAGCCUAUUGAUUUCUACCUGGAUGCACCAAACUGGAGUAAAGGAAAGAGCAUGGCAGCCCAUAUAACCGUUCGACGCAUAUGCGAGGUGUAUCACAAGGAGCUGGAGAAUGUCGUUUAUCAGAUAUGUGGCCACUGAGAUGACAAAUGGGAGAUGAUUCGUACCAGGAGGGAUGGAUCAAUUGCAGCCUACAUUCAAGAGAUGGGAGAUCAUAUUCGUCGAAAAGAGAAUCAACAAAUUAUCCACAUGAAGAAGAUCAAGAAACUGGUGAAGAGAAACAACGAGCUAGAAGAGGAACUCAAGUCUACAUGCGAUGGAUACGAGGAAGAGAUCACCAUACUACUGGAGAAGCAUGAAGACCUGAAGAGGAAGAUGGGAAUAUUAGUUGUGAAUAUCAAGCGAUCAACAGAGAUCCGUUCGGAGGACUAGAUCAUCCUGGACGACACCGACAUGGAUAGGGAUACAAAUGAUGACAUCGAUGAUGACUAUGUCGAUGAAGCUGGAGCAGAUAUCAUGGAGUCUUUUUCUGAUGAAAAUUUCUUGAUGACCACCAUUGUAACUAGUAGUUUUCCCUCCAAGUUGUUAGCAACGAUCGAGUUUGUAAUCAUAGGUUAGACUGAACGUGUGACUUGUGUGCUUUUGAUUGAAGUGAGUGUUUGUCUCAUGAGCAUAUGGGUAGUGAAUCUCUCUGAGACCUCAAUUCUAUUCUAUUUUCUCACCCCUUCUAACCCAUCAGAUGCCUCCGAGACAUGACAAUGGAUUAGCCUUCCCACCGGAGCUCACUCAGUUGAUCCAGCAGCAGAAUGCCUUGAUGCAGAUACUAGUUUAGAACCAGAACCAAGGUAAUAACAACAACAACCCACCACCACCACCCCCUGUUGAUCACCUAGCACGCUUUCUAAGGUUGAAUUCACCGGUGUUCUCAAGUAGCACCGAGCCAAUUGUUGCAGAUGAUUGGCUCCGCAAGAUUGGAAGAGAGCUGACCACUGUAGGAUGCACAGAUGCGGAGAGAGUGCGCGUUGCCGCACAUCAGCUUGAUGGACCCGCAUCAACUUGGUGGGAGAAUUUCACAGCCACAUACCCCAUUGACACUGUUACAUAGGAUCAGUUUCAGCAGGCUUUCCGCACUGCCCAUGUUUCAGCAGGAGCAAUGAGCAUGAAGAAGCGCGAGUUUCACAACUUGCGCCAAGGAGGGCGUACAGUGGGCCAGUAUUUGGAUGAGUUUAGCAAGUUAGCACGCUAUGCCCCUGAUGACGUAGCUACAGAUGCUGCUAUGCAGGAGAAGUUUCUGGAAGGACUGAAUGAUGAGCUGAGCAUGCAGUUGAUGGUGGCAACAUUCAAUAACUACCAGGAGUUGGUAGAUAGGGUGCUCAUGAUUGAAGGCAAGCAGUAACAGAUUGAUAAUCGCAAAAGGAAGUAUGGAUAGGGGAGGAACACUUCAGGAGCUCAGCAGAAGCCCCGCUAUUCCCCGUACUCAGGAGGACAUAACCAUAACCAUGGAGGACAUACACACAAUGGAGCUAGUUCGCGCAACCAUAGUGGCCCCAAGAAUGGCAAUGGGAAUGGAGGAAGCAACAGCAGAACCGUUCCAACCCUUCAAUGCCAGCCAAGAGGGAUCUGAGCCACAUUACCUGUUGCAAGUGCUAGAAGACCGGACAUUAUGCUACUGAAUGUCCUGAAACCAAGAAUGGAAAUGGAAACGGAGGUUCUGCCAAGAAUCCCAACCCCUUCACCAAAGGUCAGGUGAACCACGUCAGCAUGGAGGAGAUUGAGGAUCAACCCGACGUAGUUGUCGGUAAGUUUUUGAUUAAUGCAUUUACCGCACUUGUUCUUUUCGAUACUGGUGCAUCGCAUUCAUACAUAUCAUGGGGAUUUGUGGAUAAGUAUAACCUACCAACCAUAGACCUUAAGUAACCUAUGUUAGUAAGUUCCCUAGGAGCAGAGUAUAUGGAUAGUAGGGGAUGCUAUCAGUUGCCACUAACCAUAGGUAGACAUGUUUUCCCUAUCGACCUGAUUGUUCUGGAGUCACAAGGAUUGGAUGUGAUACUAGGAAUGGAUUGGCUAUCCAAGUUUGAAGGAAAUAUCAUCUGCGCCAGUAAAUCAAUUCUUCUCACCACCCCAUAAGGAAAGAGGAUCAAGUAUGUAUCCUGGCAUGUGCCGACGUGGACUCAAGUGAAUUCCUUAUCAAGAGUUGUACAGGAGGAAGUACCAGUGGUGAAGGAUUACCCCGACGUAUUUCCGGAGGAGUUACCAGACAUGCCAUCAGAUCGAGACAUUGAGUUUUUGAUUGAGCUAUUUCCAGGCACCGGACCAAUAUCAAAGAGACCAUAUCGGAUGUCCACAAAGGAUUUGGAGGAAAUUAAGAUGCAGAUAAAGGAGUUACUGGAAAAAGGUUACAUCCGACCAAGUUCAUCACCUUGGGGAGCCCUAGUACUUCUAGUGGAGAAGAAGGAUGGAUCUUUGAGGAUGGUUGUUGAUUAUCGUGCACUGAAUGAGGUGACGAUUAAGAACAUAUACCCUCUGCCAAUGAUCAAUGAUUUUUUUGACCAGUUGCAAGGAGCUAAAGUUUUCUCCAAGAUCGAUUUUCAAUCAGGUUAUCACCAGUUGAAGAUUCGAGAGGAGGAUAUACCUAAGACAACUUUUACCAUAAGGUACGGGCUAUAUGAGUAUACCAUUAUGUCAUUUGGCUUGACUAACGCGCCUGCCUAUUUCAUGAAUAUGAUGAACAAAGUGUUUAUGGAGCUUAUGGAUAAGUUCGUCGUGGUGUUCAUAGAUGAUAUAUUGGUCUACUCAAAUAAUGAAGAGGAGCAUAAGGAGCAUUCGCGUUUGGUUCUUGAGAACCUUAGAGAACAUAAGUUGUAUGCCAAAUUCAGCAAAUGCGAGUUUUCGUUAAAGGAAGUUGGAUUAACUCGGACAUGUUAUAUCCGGAGAAGGAAUAGCAGUAGAUCCUACCAAGGUUACCUCUAUAACUAAAUGGGUGGCACCCACAUGAGUUGGAGAGAUCAGGAUUUUUUUGGGACUCGCAGGUUAUUAUCGGAGGUUUAUUGAUAAUUUCUCCAGAAUUGCAAAGCCCAUGACAGAGUUAUUGAAGAAGGACACCAAGUUUAAAUGGACUGAGGAGUGUGAAGCCAGUUUUCAGGAGUUGAAGAAACAUUUGGUUACAGCCCCAGUGCUAAUUCUCCCAGACCAACGUAAGGAUUACCAAGUGUAUUGCGACGCUUCACAUCGAGGACUUGGAGUUGUGCUUAUGCAGGUAGGAGAAGUUGUUUCAUAUGCCUCACGUCAGCUUAAACCUCAUGAGCAGAAUUAUGCUACACAUGGCUUGGAGUUAGGAGUCGUAGUGCAUGCGCUAAAGACAUGGAGAUAUUUUCUCAUCGGAAACCAUUGUGAGGUAUACACGGAUCAUAAGAGUUUGAAGUACAUCUUCACGCAGAAGGAGUUGAACCUCAUGCAAAGGAUAUGGUUGGAGCUCAUAAAGGAUUAUGAUAUGAAAUUGCACUAUCAUCCCAGAAAGGCCAAUGUAGUAGUUGAUGUGUUGAGCCGCAGGAGUUAUGUCAACACGCACAUAACUGGAGGAUUCCCUAAUGAUUUAGCUGAUGAUAUUCGAGAGCUUUGCCUGGAUAUAGUUCCGAGGGGUUAUGUUGCAACAUUGGAAAUUAAGUCCACUCUUUUGGGCAAGAUCAGGGAAGCCCAGAAUACUGACAAGGAGAUUGCCGAAAUAAAGGAAAGGAUGUAAAGGAAAGGAUUUCGUGAGGAUGAGCACGACACCUUAUGGUUUGAGGAUCGCAUAUAUGUGCCUAAUGACCCCGAGAUCAGGAAGUUGAUUCUGAAGGAGGCCCAUGAUUCACCAUACUCGAUUCACCCAGGAAAUACCAAGAUGUAUUUGGAUUUGAAGGAAAGUUUCUGGUGGAUAGGAAAGAAGAAGGAUAUAGCCGAGUAUGUAGCAGUAUGUGAUGUAUGUCAGAGAGUCAAGGCAGAGCAUCAGAAGCCACAUGGAUUGCUACAGCCAUUGCCGAUACCCGAAUGGAAGUGGGAUAAGCUUGGCAUGGAUUUUAUCACUAGAUUACCCAGGACUCGUUCAGGCUAUGACUCUAUCUGGGUUGUAGUCGACCGUUUUGGAGUGUGCCCACUUCGAGGAGUGAAACGUUUUGGAGUUAAGGGAAAGCUAGUACCACAUUUUGUGAUGAAUUUUUUGAUAUAUUAUACGGUUUUUUUCGACAUCGUAUGCAAAAGAUAUGACAGUUUUACUUUUUCAUAACACUUUUUUGCAAAACAUGUCCAAAUUUAAGUUUUUAAAUUUUCCUAACUAGUAGAUGUAGUAACAUAACUACAUCUCGAAGGAUUUUAAUUUUUGAAGUUUUUAUCAUUUUCUUUUGUUUUUUACAAAACUGAAAUGCGGAUACACGGGGGGAGGGGGGUGGUAGAGUUUGAAAAUUUUCCUUUAGUCCCGGUUUGUGUCUCCAACCGGGACUAAAGGUUAGACCCAUUUUGUCCCGGUUUGUGAGACAAACUGGCACUAUAGCUUAGACCUUUAGUCCCGGUUUGUGUCACAAACCGGGACUAAAGGGGCUCGUGGGGCCCCGGCCUGAUGCCAGCCUGCCACCACCCCUUUAGUACCGGUUCAUGCCCCGAACCGGCACUAAAGGUUCAACACGAACCGGGACUAAUGCAUAGCCGUUCGAACCGGCACUAAUGGUCACAUUAGUGCCGGUUAAUUUACAAACCGGGACUAAAGGGCUGAACAUUAGACCCUUUUUCUACUAGUGUGUUAAGCAUCACAACUCCUCGCCAAACUGAAUCUACUAAGUUCCAUACAAAUUUAGCUCGAUUUAUGUACAUAUAUACAAUGUGAAGACUAUAGUGAAGUUGCUUGUUCACUAAAUUCAACACACAAUGGACAGGAUACUGUAUGCCGCCUGGUUUAUAGAUAGCUAUUAAAGUUUUAUCAUUUGAGCAUCCUCAUUCAAAUUAAUAUGUGCUAACGAUACUAUUGAGGCUUCUAAGAUUUAAGUGCCCAAACUCGACUUUUGUAGAUAAACAUAGCAGUACAAUUUUUUGCAUAGGUACACAAAAUCUUUCAACAUAUGAUUUGAUUCCAUUGUGUAAUUUGGCUGAAAAAUUUGAAUAGCAAGUGGCAUAAGAGCUAAUGCAAGGAAGAAAAUCAUGUCCCGGGCAUUUGCAUAGGCCGGCUCAAACUUGCCAAAUGUAGCAAGUUUUUUAUGCAAAUUCCAAAUGAUAUUUAAUUUAUCAAAAAUAAUGAAAUCUAGUUCAACGUUUCAGGCCUGAAGCAAACCUGAAACAUGUAUAAUUCUUAUCCUCCUAAUCUUUGCAGAACCAGCAAACAUGGGCAAUAAGAACCGAAAAAAUGAAGCCCUCUAUUUAGUCUGCAACACAUAAAUCCUUUAUGCCCAAUGUACAAAAAACAAAAUUGCAUCGAGUAAAUGUAACAGAAGAGAAAAAUAAGAGAUAUGUGCAGAAACAGAAAUCGAACAUAUCCUGGCAAACACAACAUCUCGCCGCUUAGACAAAUUCUAGACGUACUUCUGAGGUGAAGAGAGAACGUGGAUUUAGAAGGAGGAGAGCAAAGACCCAGGGAUGGGGGCAAGAAACAGAGUUCUAAUGCCUAUGGAUCUACAUCCCCUCUAGAUAUGUGUCUUGGUGUCUGAUCUCGUGGCUGUGGGGCUCGUGGUGGCCAGAGAUGCCCUGCAGCCUGCUAUGGUGCUAUAACUAAAUCAAAUGCCAUUGACAGCAUGGAGCUAUGUCAGGAGUGUGGCGGCCCUCUUGGACAUCAGCGCGCGCCGUAGGAUGCUGGUGCAUAGCGGUGGGCGCCGCUGUCGAGAUGAAGGUUGGGGGAGGUGGGAUGGGUGCCCCUGGGCAUGCUAAAUAAAGGAGGCUGGGAGCUGGCCGGGCGCCUCCAUUGGUGUUAGGCUGCUGCCAAUGCAUGGGUGCUUAGAUGAGGUGCUAUGCACAUUAAAUAGCUUAGCAACUAUACUCCCCAAUGCACAGGUGCUUAGCUUAUGGUUGCUAAGCUUGCUUCAUUUAAUGAUUUAGCAACUAAAGCUCUUCAUGUAUUGGUGGGCUUCCUUCCUUUAAAUGUUUUGCCUAGGUUCACACGCUUAGCAUUGUUUCUUCCUGGGUCACCACACUCAUCUCUCCUCUUAAAUAACUUGCCACAUCAGAUUUUUUGCCUAUGUGGAAGGCUUAGCACCUGUACAAGGUGGAGCAUUAGGAGGGGCCUUAAUGGAUUUUUAGCAAUGAAAACAUUACUCCUCGCUUGAAUACCGGUGAACGAACUCCAAUCACCCACUAUGCCGCAUCGCUGCCCAUUAAUGUGUCGCUAUCUCUUCACAUCUCCUGCACACCGCCCUUCCCAAAGCAGACGCUCUUUCUUGCGAUUUCGUUGUGCUGAGCAGGCCGAUGUUAAAUCACAGAUGAUGGCAAGCAAAUAUGUUAUGGUGAUCUUAAAUGGACUUCUUGCGGGAGAAGGGUACGAUUAAGCAUAAACCACCGAUUUUGUUACAGAGUAACAGCCCAUGAGGCAUCUUGUCCACUUAGUGCUAUUUAAAAGUAUCUUACGGCCAAAACGACCACCACGAAAUGAUCCAAUGGUUAGGAACGGUGGUGGCCUGAGAGGGCAGGAAAUUUGCUCAGGUAUAAUGUAUCUCUAUGUCCUUCCCACGGUAUUGAGCACGGACAUUUGUUGUGCUUGGACUAGCGCCCUUAACGUGCACACUAUUCGGAUAGACUUUGCUGGUUGCCACCCCCAUAUCUCUGGGACAUAGAGUAGUUGUGACUUUCACGGUGCUCGGUGAUGUACCAGCUAUUUUCAUACCCAUGUAGCAACCGCACCAAAACAGGGCACUCACACCUACAUGAACUGUUGUUUACUGACUCUGGCUUCCCCUGCACACCAGAUAGCACAUGCCAUGGUCAGUGCAACUAAAUUAGUGAUGGGAGCCCCACAAAUAAAAGGACAAAACAGAAGAGAGUGGCGUUUUGGCACAUGGGAGCACGCGUUCCUGAUUUUUAAAAUUUAUUUUAAACAUACUUUCACUACAAGAAAUAUGUCAACUUAUGACCACCACUAUUGGUCACUGAAAGGUCACAAAUUUCCAUUUAUGACCUUUUUGUGACCAAAAACAGAAGGUCAAAAGCUGGCCGUCGUAAACUGACUAUAGCGACCUUUCUUCUGGAAUGGUCAAAGACGUUUACGACCAAAAUAUUCCUACUGUGGCGUUUUGGUCACUAGCAACCUCCCCAGGCCACGUAGGCAUCCAGCGUGGCAAGCUGAUGUGGCACAAGAUUCAGCUCGGUCCGAUUUGGUGUUCUACAUGGGCCGAGCCCAUUAAUUCGGCCUUUUUAAUAUUUAUUUUUUCUGUUAAUUUUUGCUAGCUACAUGGGCCUGGCCCAACAAUUCGAUUCUCUAGACUGAUGUCUUUUGUUGUACAUUUCUUUUUUGGGCCUUGACCAUAUUUUCUAGGCCCUGGCCUUUCAACGGUCCAUUUCUUUUCAAAUUUCAGCCUUUGUUCCAACCAAUAUAUUUUAGGCCUUUUUUCAAAGCCCGAAUAGAUUUGGUGCAAUAGGCAUUUCGGCCAAUUUUCUUUUGGGCUAUAUAUUUCUUUUUCUAGCCACUUUUAGUCAAGAAAUGAAUUUCAAGUGAAUAAAAAGUAAUAUUCUGAGUUCAGCGAGCAAGUAUACAUCAAGUUCAGCGAGCAAAUAUACAUCAAAUUCCCAGCAUGUUUAGCAGUACAUCAAAUUUCUCAAGAAUAUUAGCAUUACAAAUUCAGUAAUAUAUAAAGCAAGUUGUUGACUGGGCUUCGGGCUUCUUCAAAUGUCUUCAGCCCAGAACUCCUGUAAAUGAGAGGAAUAGUCACAUGUUUAUAGUCUUAAUAUAAGCAAUAUUUGCUAACAACAAAACAGAACAAUUAAUCUAAGAACCAUGCAAGAACCUAGGUGUCCAAAUCAGAUUAUGCAACAUCGAUUGACACUAAAGACAUAAAUAGUCACCAGAUGGGCAUCAAAUCAUCACAAUAGUUUCUCGACAGAUGAUAAAAAAAGAACAGAAUGUAGAUGGCAGUGAGUUAAGGAAGCACCACAAUAACAGAAACAUGUUGUCAGUGGAAUGGAUGGUAACACAAACAUCUACUCUGCCCUGCUGUAACAAACAUGUACUUGACUCCUUACAUACACCAGUGCAAGUGUUUUUCACAUGUUACUACUUGAUUCGACUUUAUACAUAUAAAUAUACAUGACAAUAAACUUGCAUAAAGAGGCAUCUAGUCUAGCAUUAGACUAACUUACUGGUAUAAAGAGACAUGGAUAUUCAUGGUAGUUGUACUAGAAAAAACUAACUGAACCAAUGUCUCCAUAGAUAUCAUAGAAUCAGAACAGAUGAAGCUGACAACAUAAUAUAACCAGAAGUCAAUUGUAGCUACUCAUAUUUUGUGUGUCCAAGUAGGUACCGAUGAAAGUCACAAUAUCCUGUAAUUGUUGAAUGACUCGUGGUACAGCUUGCAUUGUUAAAAUGCAAUGAACCAUGAUUUUAGUUACACAUAUGGUUAAAGAAACAAACUUAAGGAUUUAGUUAGAAUCUCAUAUCACCCAUGAUCCACUGAUUUCAACUGGUAUUGUAUCUUACAAAUCGAACUGAAGAAGUUCAUUUCUAGCCCAACUAUAAUCUCAGGCCAACUAUUGUAAGAUGCAGGGAGCAGAGAGCUCACCAUGGCUGUCAUGUAGCCGACGUGGAAGAGGCAGCAUGUCCGUCCAAGCAGGAUCAGCAGCACCAGCGGACGGGUCUGGGGUUGUCGCCGCUCCUCCUUGUGGAUGCCGAGGUCGGAGACGCCGGAUCCGUACGGGCAUCCACCUCCCAUCCUUGCAAUUAAAACUUUAUAUGUGAGAAUUCAAUUUUAUCAAUCUCUGAACUCUAGUCUAGUCUGAUUCCUGAUUGGGGAUAUGAAUCAGCAGAAGAAAAUCAAGGGGCCCUGCCCUCCCACUUUCCUAGAACAAAAUGAGUACAUGAGCAACAACUAUAUAGAACUGAUGAUGCAUGUACUACCUAGGAAAGAGCCACCAGCAGUAUGAUCACUUGAAGACCGAUCUUGAUGCAUUUCGCAACCUACAUAGCACAUUCAUACUGUUAUGUUAUUGUUAUCCCCACUGGUGUCAACUACAGCCAGACAAAAUUCAGAAGUGCAGAGAUUUUUCAUUUGUGUAUGCACAAGUAGAAGGCUUACACUUGGGAAUCCAAGAUCGUAGAGCCCGAAUCCGAGGGCGAGGAGGUUCAGGGUGUGUUGGUGCUAAUGCCGGAGCUUCCGCUGGGAACUCCAGCGGCACCACCAUUGGUGGCUGGUCUCCGGCGCUUCCUUUCUUCCCGGGCAAGAAGACAGACGAGACGAGGAGGAGCAGCGGUAGUUCGAUGUGUGUUGGGUGGCCUGGCUGUAGCAUGGCGGCGGACCUGGACAUGGACCAAUUAAGAAUGAACACUGGUAAUGAGAUACAGCAAAUACAAAUGGUUCAGAAUAACACCAAGACAUUCAGUACUGCAAGAAAUUUCUGAAACUUCAGUUGCAGUAGUUGUCAAACAAAAUAUCAGUCCAGUAACCUCCAAAUUAAAUUAAAUUAUGAUGGUUUACUGCAAGUAAGACUAGCAUAUAGUAGUUUGUCUUGUACAUAAUGCUUCUAAUCAAAGUAAGCAUUGUCAUGCAUGCAAAUAUUUUAUGGAGUAUGUGACCAUUAGAAUGCAUACGUGUGUAGGGGAGCUCCCUCGGCAUCGUAGCUAUCAUGUUUUACCAAUGAAACAAAAGGUUACAGGGAGCUUUUAAGUAAAAUCUGUUUGUGCACACAGCAAAUCUGAGAAUGUGAGAUCGGUAUGCUCUCUACUAGUCUCCAGUGAGCUGAUCCUGCUAAUCUAUCUACGCAACGGUGGUGAGAGAUGGAGAUGCCAGUAGAAGGAACUAGCAACCAUACCACAUGCAAGGCCAAGACGGAUAGCACUGACAACAGGUAUGCAUCAAUGGGCAUGCAGCACAAGAUGGAUAUCUGCAAGUCUUUCUUCAGAAGAGGCAUUGUAACUAGACUACUGCUUACUACUUAACCCAAAACUGAAUCAUGAAACAAAUCUUACCAUCAAUGCACUGUAGGCAGGAUCUUUCUCAGGCAGGUACGGUGGUCAUCUCUCUUUCAGCUGGAUUUUCUUAGCCCACAGUCUGGUCGCUGAACAACCACUUCUUUAGCGUUUUCUUGUCACUGCAGGUGUGGAGGAAGUUCAUCAACAGAAGAGUACCUAAGAAGAAGAAUCAUGCAUCGGGAAUCAAUCAAAUCAACACCAAAUCGAAUCAGGAAGAAGAAUCGAGUGCUCACAUAGGUAGUUGCAGUGCUCCUGCACCUCCUCAAUGUCGUACUGCGUCAGCAUCGCCCAGGUUCAUCUUGUUGGCGUGGAACUGGUCUGCUCACGCCCAGGUGAUGCUUGUACGCGGUUUGCACAGGAGGCAGGCCUAGAUGCCCUCGUUCCACCGUGGUGAGGACGUCGCCUUCCACCAUGGUGCCCAGGCCGUCGGUGCAGAUCUGGCACACGCCCCCGGCCCCAUGCCUCGGAGACGGCGGGGACCUUUACGAAGAACUCGGAGACGGCGGGGACCUUGACGACGAACCCCGCGGCAGGAUCCCAGACCUGGUGGGAGAGGACGGCCUUGGCGCUGGUGCCGGGCGGGAGCGGCGGGUGGAGCUGCGCCGGAGUUGGUGCGGGCGCGGGGUAGCAGGUCGCGGGUGCGGCCCCGCGGAGCGAGACCCUCCUGGCCGCGGCGGCGCGGCCCUCGACGCCGCGAAAGCGGACGCCAAGAAGGGCAACCCGCCGCUGGAUCCGGGCGGGUGAGGCAGAGGCCUUGAGCGCGAACAUCGACGGCGGAGGAAGGGGACGGUGGAUGGGGGGGCUUGGAUAGGAUCUGGAGAGAAUNNNNNNNNNNNNNNNNNNNNNNNNNNNNNNNNNNNNNNNNNNNNNNNNNNNNNNNNNNNNNNNNNNNNNNNNNNNNNNNNNNNNNNNNNNNNNNNNNNNNNNNNNNNNNNNNNNNNNNNNNNNNNNNNNNNNNNNNNNNNNNNNNNNNNNNNNNNNNNNNNNNNNNNNNNNNNNNNNNNNNNNNNNNNNNNNNNNNNNNNNNNNNNNNNNNNNNNNNNNNNNNNNNNNNNNNNNNNNNNNNNNNNNNNNNNNNNNNNNNNNNNNNNNNNNNNNNNNNNNNNNNNNNNNGACCACGGGACAGAGCUAGGGUUUCGGGGACACAUCCAUGUUUGGUGCGGGCCGUUGGAUCCAGGGGAUCCGACGGUGAUUUACCCAUGAUCCGCGUGAGAGGCCCUUGGACCAAUCAGAAUGCAGUAUACAGGUAUGAUAUUUUGACCAUUUAAAUUGGUCAUAAUCGACUAAAAUUAUGUGCUAAAUCGUGUUAGCUAUUUUAUUAUGACCUGAAAAUUAAAAAAAACGUUUUAUUGCAUCAGCAAAUUUGACUAUUGUUUUCAGGAAUAAUCAUAAAUUGAAAUAAGAUAAUUAAUUUUUUAAAGAGUUAUGAGAAAUGAGUUCUUUUAAAUUAUUUUUUCAUUUUUUGAGUGUUUGAAAUGAGCUUUUUUGUGAAGGACCUACCAAAUAUUUAUUGCAAAAUUGUACCAACUCAAUUUUCUAAAAUACUAGGACAUAUUUAAUGCACAAUUGACCAAAUGGUUGGGUGUGAGAAGCUUUGAUCCACCUCUGGUGAAAAAGACAAAUUUCCAUCGAUUCAGCAGGAAGCGGGUCAAAUUUGAACUGUAGCUGCCUUCUAGUUGGCUCUUUUUUUUCCAAAAAUCAUUUCUAGAUACAUAAGUACCUAUUUAAUCAGAGAAACACUAAUAAAAUUCCAAGAUUCAACCACUAGCUAGAAACGGUCAUUCCCGCCGUUUUGACCGCAUUUUGAAAACAGGCAUAAAAAAUUCAAAAAAAAUCAAAAAAUUGGGAAACCUUCGCAUUGUGUCAUUAUAUGUGGCCAAGUUCCGAGUAAAAAUAACAAACUUGUAAUACGGCGAAUAUUUAAAAAAAGUGUUCUCAGAAACGAGCUAUCAAGUGUGAAGAUGAAUGGCUUUCAACCCAAAUGCUCAAUCUUAUGGCCACAUACAUGGCAUAGUUUGUUCAAAUGAUCUCAUAUUGUGCACAAGGGUGCAUAUUGGAAUGACAAACAAUGUUUCUUAAGGAAGUUUUCAUUUUCUUUGGACGAAAAAUUCAUUUUCCAUUUUUCGAGUGCCCGAAAAGAGAUUUUUUUGUGAACGGCCUACCAUAUAUUAGUUGCAAAAUGGUACCAAGUCAAUUUUGUAAAAUACUAGGACAUAUUUAAUGCACAAUUGACCAAAUGGUUGGGUGUCAGAAGUUUUGAUCCACCUCUUGUGAAAAAGACAAAUUUCCGACGAUUCAGCUGGAUGCGGGUCAAAUUUGAACUGCAGCUGCCUCAUAGUUUGCUAUUUAUUUUUUCCAAAAAUCAUUUCUAGGUACAUAAGUAUCUAUUUAAUCAGAGAAACACCAACAAAAUUCCAAGAUUCAACCACUAGCUAGGAACGGUCAUUCCCGCCGUUUUGACCGCACUUUGAAACGGGCAUAAAAAAUUCAAAAAAAUCAAAAAUUUGGGAAACCUUCGCAUUGUUUCAUCAUAUGUGGCCAAGUUCCUAGGAAAAAUAACAAACUUGUAAUAUGGAAAUUAUUUUAAAAAAGUGUUCUCAGAAACAAGCUAUCAUGUGUGGAGAUCAAUGGCUUUCAAGCCAAAUGAUCAAUCUUAUGGCCACAUUCAUGGCAUACUUUGUUCAAAUGAUCUCAUAUUGUGCACAAGGGUGCAUAUUGGAAUGGCAAACAAUGUUGCCUAAGGAAGUUUUCAUUUUCGUUGGACGAAAAAACCAUUUUCCAUUUUUCGAGUGCCCGAAAGGAGGUUUUUUUUUGUGAAGGAACUACCAAAUAAUUGUUGCAAAAUUGGACCAAAUCAUUUUUAUAAAAUACUAGGCCAUAUUUAAUGCACAAUUGACAAAAUGGUUGGGUGUAAAAAAAAUUGAUCCACCUCUCGUGAAAAAGACAAAUUUCCGCCGAUUCAGCUGGAAGCGGGUCAAAUUUGAACUGCAGCUGCCUCAUAGUUUGCUAUUUAUUUUUUCCAAAAAUCAUUUCUAGUUACAUAAGUAUCUAUUUAAUUAGAGAAACACCAAAAGUUUUCCAAGAUUCAACCACUAGCUAGGAACGGUCAAGCCCGCCGUUUUGACCGCAUUUUGAAACGGGCAUAAAAAAUUCAAAAAAAAUCAAAAAAUUGGAAAACCUUCUCAUUGUGUCAUUAUAUGUGACCAAGUUUCCAUUAAAAAUAAUAAACUUGUAAUACGGUAAUUAUUUUAAAAAAGUAUUCUCAGAAAUGAGCUAUCAAGUGUGAAGAUUCAUGGCUUUCAAGCCAAAUGGUCAAUCUUAUGGCCAGAUUCAUGGCAUAGUUUAUUCAAAUGAUCUCAUAUUGUGCACAAGGGUGCAUAUUGGAAUAGCAAACAAUGUUGCCUAAGGAAGUUUUCAUUUUCGUUGGACGAAAAAACCAUUUUCCAUUUUUCGACUGCCCGAAAGGAGGUUUUUUUGUGAAGGAACUACCAAAUAAUUGUUGCAAAAUUGGACCAAAUCAUUUUUAUAAAAUACUAGGCCAUAUUUAAUGCACAAUUAACAAAAUGGUCUGGUGUAAAAAAUUUUGAUCCACCUCUCGUGAAAAAGACAAAUUUCUGCCGAUUCAGCUGGAAGCGGGUCAAAUUUGAACUGCAGCUGCCUCAUAGUUUGCUAUUUAUUUUUUCCAAAAAUCAUUUCUAGUUACAUAAGGACCUAUUUAAUCAUAAAUACAUGGUUUGGUGGCGAUAUGUCGAGGUUUGGGCGGUGGCCGAGGGCCCCAACUCUAGAGCGUGUAAACUUGCAUGCCCGCCGCGUGGUCACCGCGUGACCGUGGCGUUGCCAUGUGUUCUGGGCGGCCUAGGCAUGUCUAGUGGGUUGGGCACUCCCCAGGUUGGUGCUAGGAAGAAAAUUACAACAUAAGAUUCUCACGAGGAGACCAAUCGAUGCUCAAACAUGAAUUAGCAGCCAAGUGUUUGAUUAGCGGUACGGGAAAUGUACAUGGCUAAUGGGCGUGAGUUUUGGCUGAGGAUGAUCAGUUACUAAGAAGACCGUUUUCACAAAUUUUUAGCUCAAAAGGAGGAGCCUAGGUGGUACUUGCUUUGCAAACCACCACACUGGACAUAAAAUACGAAUGUUGAAGCUCGGCUCAAAAUAAUGAAUGGAUUGAGCUGGCAUUUGGUGGAGGAUGGUUAUUUGGGCAUAGGAAAGCACUGUAGAAAAUGGAUACUAUUUGGACAUGCCAAAGUGGUAAUUCCUUCACAAACUGUUGUUCUGAACAGAAUAGGAAAAUGAAUAUUUUUGAAUUAGUUUUGAACUAGGCAAGGAAGAUUUUUACAUAUUUGAUGAAGAUAUGACCCAAGGAAUUUAUGAGAUUUUUCUGGGAAUUUUGGGAAUGACAGAAAUAUAGGUUGCUUCACAACCUAGGGCAAAAACUGCCACAUGGACAUGACACAUAGGCAAAACUGAUGAGGUGGCGCCUAGUCAUAGCAACCCACCACAAUUUACAAGGCUAUGACCAUCUAUAUUGGUCGUUAACAACUAGAAAUAAGGCAGCGGACUAGCGUUGUUUGCUUUAUGACCAUUUCGUGUAAGGAAAUUACGACCUUUCUGACCAAAAUGGUCGCAAUGGUUUAGGGUUUGGAGCCCCCCAAACAGCUUUUGACCAAUUGGUCUAAAAUGGUCAUAAAUUUAUGACCAAUUCUUCGAGGGUCACUGACAGAAGGUCAUAAGUUGACAUAUUUCUUGUAGUGUUUGAAAUGUCAAACAAAAUCAAACAAAAACUUGGCGCGUACAUCUCGAUAUUAUACAUGCUCACAAAGUUGUUUCGCGAAAAACCGAUAGCUCACGUGUCGCGUGUGAAAAAGACAAAAACCGGUGUUAAAAAAUGCUUUUCACAAGACAUCCUUUUGUCUUUUUUUACGCAAGCCACAAAAAAUGUCGGUUUUCUCCGAAACUUGACAUGCACACAUAUAAUGUCGAGAUGUAUGCGCCAAAUUUUUGUUUGGAAUUUUUUCACACGUUGAAAUACUUGUUCGUGUGCAGGAGCGCGCGCUCCCGGGAGCACCAACGGAUAUCUGCAGAAUAGAUAAGCAGAAGGCACUACACGCCAAGAAGCCACAAAUGAUUUCCUGCAUCGAUUUGGUCAUCUUAGCGUUCAAUCUAGUCUUACAAUACCUAAUCCCAAACCCAAUCUCCCACGAAUACAAGUUGUAGAUGUCGUGCGCCUCACCUAGCGAGUAGCGAGUCGAACCCAGUCCCAGUUCUGGCUUGAUUACACUCUCCCUAGACUCCUCUGCACAUUUCCAAAUCGACUGCUCGAAUACCCUGAUCCUACAUGGACAAGGCCUUCUGUCCCAUGGUGAAUUCCUGAGGCGUAACCUGCUUUUUUGGCAACAUAGUCGAUUGGAUAGAUGCAGGCUUACCUCUUUUGUCCAUCCUGGUCCUCCGGAUUGACCCUAUCAGUGGACGCGGACCGCGUCGAAGACGCCUUUUGUCACCGGCUUCCUUCGCCACCUUGCUGCCCGCACCCAGACCCAACAUUGGAGUUCCCCGGCUCAGUCGGGUGGUGAAAGUGCAACUAUCCCUAGGUGGUUUUGGUAAUUGAUAACAACAUAUAGCUCAUUGAGCUCAUGCUAUUCCAAGACUAUUAUUUCAGGAAAGCUCAAUGAAUGGCAUGGCAUGGAUGAUGAAAGUGGAUCCCUCAAAAUACUAAGGACAAAGGUUUGGCUCAAGCUCAAAAGCUCAAGACUCUUCAUUUUAUAUUUUAGUGAUCCAAGAUCACAUUGAGUCUAUAGGAAAAGCCAAUACUAUCAAGGAGGGAUGAGGUGUUGCUUAAUGAGCCUCUUGCUUCAUGUGCUUUGUGAUAUGCUCCAAAACCCUCAGCUACUUUCCCACAUCCACAAAUGACCUAAACCCAAAGCCAAAAUCGGUCACACCGAUUAUUCCAAUCCGACGCCACCGAUUCCAAAAAUCAUAGCCACUGCCACAAACCCUAAGCAAAUUGGUCUUACCGAUAGGGAUCUCGGUCUCACCGAGAUGGGAUUGUAAUCUCUCUGUUUCCCUUCGUAACAUUUCGGUCUAACCGAAGUGAGCGAUCGGUCCCACCGAGAUUGCUAUGUAAACUCUCUGUUUCCCUUUUGUAACAUUUUGGUCUCACCGAAAAGAGCAAAUCGGUUCCACCGAGUUUACCUGACCAACUCUCUGGUUAGCUUAUUACAAAAAUCGGUUUCAUCGAGUUUGUGUAAUCGUUCUUAUCAAGAUUACUUUAUGCCCUAACCCUAACCGAAUCGGUCUCACCGAUAUGCAUGUCAGUCCCACCGAAAAUCACUAACGGUCACUAGGUUUACUAAAUCGGUCCGACCGAUUGUGUUGAAUCGGUCCCACCGAGUUUGGUAAAUUGUGUGUAACGGUUAGAUUUUGUGUGGAGGCUAUAUAUACCCCUCCACCUCCUCUUCAUUCGUGGAGAGAGCCAUCAGACUAAACCUACACUUCCAACUUACCAUUUCUGAGAGAGAACCACCUACUCAUGUGUUGAGGCCAAGAUAUUCCUUUCCUACCAUAUGAAUCUCGAUCUCUAGCCUUCCCCAAGUUGCUUUCCACUCAAACCCUCUUUCCACUAGAUCCAAAUCCUAUGAGAGAGAGUUGAGUGUUGGGGAGACUAUCAUUUGAAGCACAAGAGCAAGGAGUUCAUCAUCAACGCACCAUUUGUUACUUCUUGGAGAGUGGUGUCUCCUAGAUUGGCUAGGUGUCACUUGGGAGCCUCCAACAAGAUUGUGGAGUUGAACCAAGGAGUUUGUAAGGGCAAGGAGAUCGCCUACUUCGUGAAGAUCUACCGCUAGUGAGGCAAGUCCUUCGUGCGCGACGACCAUGGUGGGAUAGACAAGGUUGCUUCUUUGUGGACCCUUCGUGGGUGGAUCCCUCCGUGGACUCGCGCAGCCGUUACCCUUUGUGGGUUGAAGUCUCCAUUAACGUGGAUGUACGAUAGCACCACCUAUCGGAACCACACCAAAAACAUUCGUGUCUCCAAUUGCGUUUGAAUCCUCCAGACCCUUCCCUUUACUUUCUUGCAAGUUGCAUGCUUUAAUUUCUGCUGCCUAUAUACUCUUUGCAUACUUGCUUGAUUUGUGUGAUGAUUGCUUGACUUGUCCUAAGAUAGCUAAAAUCUGCCAAACUCUAAAAUUGGGAAAAAGUUAAGUUUUAAUUGGUCAAAUAGUCUAAUCACCCCCCCUCUAGACAUACUUCAAGGUCCUACAAGUGGUAUUAGAUCUUUGGUCUCCAUUUGCUUUGAUUUCCAUAGCUUUUGGUGGUCAUAGCCUUGGUUUCACAACCUAGGAGAGUAUGGCGUCUAGCGAGGGAAAUUAUCACCGUAGAGGUCCUUACUUUGAUGGUACUAAUUUUGCUAGUUGGAAGCAUAAGAUGAAAAUGCAUAUUCUCGGACAUAACCCCGCCGUUUGGGCAAUUAUUUGUAUUAGCUUGCAAGGUGAAUUCUUUGAUGGGAGAGAACCGAACUGUGAAGCGAAUGCAGAAGAAUUGAAGAUGCUGCAAUACAACGCUCAAGCUUGUGAUAUCAUCUUCAACGGAUUGUGCCCCGAAGAAUUCAACAAAAUCAGCCGUCUUGAGAAUGCAAAGGAAAUUUGGGAUACUUUGAUUGAUAUGCACGAAGGUACCGAAUCCGUCAUGGAAUCCAAGUUGGAUGUGCUCCAAAGUCAGCUUGACAAGUUCAAAAUGAAGGAUGGCGAAGGUGUCGCUGAAAUGUACUCUAGGCUUGCACUUAUCACAAAUGAGAUUGCCGGCUUAGGGAGUGAAGAGAUGACCGAUAAAUUCAUCAUCAAAAAGAUCCUAAGAGCAUUGGAUGGAAAGUAUGAUACCAUGUGCACUUUGAUUCAAAUGAUGCCAAACUACAAAGAUCUCAAGCCAACUGAAGUCAUUGGAAGAAUUGUUGCUCAUGAGAUGUCACUCAAGGAUAAGGAGGAACUUCACAACAAGUCAAGUGGUGCUUACAAAGCCUCAAGUGAAGCCCCCACAUAAUCAAGUGAGAAACAAACCUUCAAUGAAGAAUUGAGCUUAAUGGUGAAGAACUUCAACAAAUUCUACAAGAGUAGAAACAAAGAAAGAAGCUCCAAGUCAAGGUCUUAUCAUGAGAAAAGAUCUUCUAGUCAAGAGCGCAAUUGCUACAAUUGUGGGAGGCCUGGACACUACUCCAAUGAGUGUACGUCACCCUACAAUAGAAGAGAAGAUUCUCCAAAAAGAAGAAGCAAAAGAGAAGAAUCACCACCAAGGGAGAGGAGGAGUAGAGAUGAUCGUUAUGAACGAAGACCCUCACGGAGAAGCAAGGAUUCGUAAAGGAAGGACAAGUCAUCAAGGAGCUACACAAAACGAAGACAUCAAGCUCAUGUUGGUGAAUGGGUAUCCGACUCCGACUCCGACAAUCACUCCGAGAGAAGCUAUCACUCUGACUCCAAACAUACUCAAGAUGAAGGUGUUGCCGGUCUAGCACUUGUGUCAACCAACUCCUACGACAUAUUUGAUUCACCAAAUGAAGGAAUUGGAAGAUGCUUCAUGGCCAAAGGUCCAAAGGUAACACAUCCUGAGUAUGUUGAUUUCAAUAGUGAUGAAGAUGACUUGCUUGUGGAUGAUGAUUUACUUGUUGACAACUCUAGUGAUGAAUACUAUGAUGAAACGUCAAUUAAUCGCUAAUCAAGAUAAAACAAAUGACAAUGAUAAGGAGAAGAUUGAGCUUCUAACUAAAGAACUAAACACUCUUAAGUUGGCUCAUGAAACUAUCUUCGAAGAUCAUCGAGAACUUUUAAGGGCUCAUGAGAAGUUACGCUUUGAAAAUCUCAAUCUUGAGAAAGAGCAUGAGUUCUUAAAAGCAAUCAAUGAUGAUCUCCGUAAGAAAAGUUCUUCUUACAUUGCCAAGCGUUUACUCUUAUCUACUUACAUGCCUCAAGUCAAGUCUAGUAACAAGUACAAGAAAGAUACUUCCUCUAGUAGUAACAAUAAUAAUGUUAAAUCCAAUAUUUUUGUUUCUAGUAGUUCUCUUGAUUCCACUAAUGAUUCUCUUAGCCAAGUUACACUUGAGCAAGAAAAUAGUUUAUUGAAGGGAAUUAUAGAGAAAGGUGUUUACAAGAGCCUUGCCGGGAGCAAGCAAUUCAAGGAAAUUGUACGCAAGCAAGGAAGACACCGGAAGAAUCAAGGUGUUGGUUUUGAACAAAAGUUCAAUGCCAAUGGAGUUGAGUGGGAAGAAGAUCAAUACCCCAAGACGAAGUUUGUUCCUCAACAAGAGAAGUAUGAUCCUACUUCCUUCAAGGGAACACAAGCUCAAGAUGAUCUUCCACCACAAGACCACAAGAACAAAGGCAAGGACAAGCUUCAAGAAGAGAUUGAUGCAUUUGAAGAAGCACCUAAAGCCUCGGUCAAGUGGAUUCCCAAGACUACGUCAAGUUCUACUUCAUCAAGCACAACUACAACUCCAAGGAUUCCCAUCAAGAUGAUGUGGAUCCCGAAGAAGAAGAACUAGAGAGUUCUUGAGGGUGACUCCGCCAACAUUCUUCACUCAUAUCUUUAUGGCAAGGACAGGUGCAAUCAACUUCCACAUCUUGCACUAGUUCAAGGAGUCACAAACCCUCAUGUUGGUAAGGCAAGGGACAAGGUAACCUAAUGUUUUCAUGGACAUCAUCUUGUGUGUGCAUCACUCUAUGUCUAUGGAUAUUCUUGUUUGUUCCUUGUGGGACUAACCCAUGUAGGUAAGUUGAAAGUGCAACUCACUCCAAAGGAUUGCUCCAAAUGAUCUACAUCAACAUUGAGCAUCCACAUCUUCAACACGUACAUGAAGUCAUGAUCGGCAAAACCCAAGGUUAGUUCAUCCCUCUAAGGGGGGAUAUCACAUCUAGGGGGAGCUUAACUCUAAGAAUUGAGUCAAAGCAACUCUAAUGGUGUGAACACAUCAAUGCAUUAUGUAAAAGUGGUAACCCCACUUGAGCUUAAACGACGAGUAUGACCUAUGAUCAAAUGUUCUCAUUUGACUCCUAAGUCAAUAUACUCAUAUAUAGAUGACCUAGUCAUCGCCAAUUGUUUGGUAGAUGCUAGAAUUGUUUGUGCAUGCUUUGCCACAUAUUUCAUUUGCCAUUUUAUUGUGUGAGCAUGUUGGUGCAUAUUUUACUCAUUCAAGGACAUCCACUUGUUGUUUUGAUUGUUUGGUUCUUUCUUCUUUUGGCCAAGUGGAUGGACAAGAAUGCAUAAGAACCUUCUCUAGCUAUCUAUGCUUUUCUUGUCUCAAACUCUAUUCAUGCUACAUCACAAAAAUUGAUCAAGUCAGAUUCGAACCACUCUAUGUGAGGAGCACUCGGAGUCCCCGAUUCGUCAUAGACUUAAACUUCCAAAACCUCUUUGUGACUCUCGGUCUGACCGAUUCCUCCAUUUCGGUCCUACCGAGAUCAUUUAGUUGAUCUGAGUUUUCAAUCUCGGUGCAACCGAUUUGAACUUUUCGGUCACACCGAGUUGCUAUAACUGAACACAGUUAUGCAUCUCGGUGCCACCGAGUUGUUCUACUCGGUCACACUGACAGGGUCGGGCUAUAUAUAGUCACGGGCAAAAUUUUGGAAAUUUCUCCGAAUCCCUUCGCUCGUGCAAUAGCUCGCUCUGCCAUCGAAGGUCUCCUUGUUGCCAGCCGCCUCCUGUCGCUGGUCUCCGCCGCCGUCAACGGAAUUCAACCCCACCGUCGCCGCCGUAGCGAGUUCAUCGCCGCACUAGGGUAUGGACUCGAUCUUUGUGAUAUCCACAUCUGAUUCCUAGCAUAGUGUACUCUUAUUGAAUCUUGCCACGAUUGAAACAAUCCUAUCCAGCCAAAGUAGUCCGUAGAGUAGAUUAGAUUCAAAUUUUUAGGGUUAGGUUUCCGCCAAAACCAUCUCGUACCCACCGAGUUGAAAAACUCAGUCUCACCGAUUUGGCUUAUGCCAUUGCACUAGUGACUCUCGGUCUGAUCGAGAAUUACUAAUCGUGCGACCGAUUUUAGGAUUCUGUGAAACCCUAGCAGUCUCGGUGCCGCCGAACUGUGACUCGGUCCAACCGAGUUCAUCAGUUUAGGUUCCAAAAACUACUUCGGUAUCACUGAGUUUGAAAAUCGGUUGAUCCGAGAUGCUUUCUGUGGAAAACUAAAACUGAAUUUUUGAAUCAUUCUUUUGCAAAAAUCUAUGCAUUUGGUGAUACUCAUCCACUCUAUCUCAUCUAUAACUCUUCACAGGGUCAACAGUCAGUUUUUGCAACAUGUCAGACCAGAGUGACAGCCAGAACAGGUCAGCAGAGCAGAUUCAGAUGAGUGAGGGCACUAGUCCCUCCAGCACUUUAGAUGAAGGGAGCAGAAGCACUCCUAGCAACCUGCCUAAGGCUGCUACCAGGCAAAGGAGAAAGAGAACCUCAGACUCAGAAGAUGAGGACUACAAAGCUGAAGAAGAUGAGGCUACUUCCAAGAAAGUGGUGCUCAAGAAGGAAUAUGGCUCAACAAAGGAUACAAAGCCAGGCAUGAAGAUCAAAAGGCCUGCAGGAAGACAACCAAUGUCCAAGGCCAGAGCAUCAACUCAACUUCCUGAAAAGCCUGAUCCCAAAGAACCAGCUGCUGAAGGAAAGAAGAGGAAGGAAAAGGUCAAGAAGACCAUGGCCAGAGUUGUUGGUCAACCUUCCAUGAUGGAAGAGGAAGAGCUUGCUGCACCAGCACCAAAGGCACCAAAGCUUAUGGGUGAUGCUAUUAGAUGAGGGGCUGCAACAACUAAGCCCAAGGAAGCACCCAAAGUUGCCCCCAAGGCCAAGUCUGCACCAAAGAGGAAUACCAGGAGUAUUCCAGCUACUGAGAAGAACAAGGCCCUAGUGCCCGAGGUUGCUGAGGAGGAAGAUGAAGGACAGGUCCUAAGGAAGCUCAAGCCUAAGAUACCAGACCACAAUGAGGCCCAUCCUGUGGCUAAGGACAACAUCAGAAAAGACUCACGAUUGAGGCUAUGGAGGAUGGUAGAUCCAUAUGCCACAAGGAGAAGAACUGCUGUUGAUUACAGGUUCCAUUCAAAGGAACAGCAGGACUUCUAUGAGACAAUCUUAUUGGACAAGAAGCCCAUUGUGUGUGAUAUGAGGUGGGUCGACUGGACCUACAUGAAGGAGAAUGAAGAGCACUAUCCUGGAGUGCAAGACAACUUUGUUGCUUAUGGAGUUGCAGAUUUUGUUGGGCAAAAGCUCACAAACUAGAAUGAUGAACUUAUCAUGCAAUUCUACUCCACAGCACAUUUUUACCUAGAUGGAAGAAUUGUUUGGAUGUCUGAAGGUACAAGGUACCAAUCCACUGUUGAAGAAUGGGAAAAACUAAUAAAUGCCCCAAAGGAAAAUGAUGAUGAUCUGGAUAUAUAUGCCAUGAAGAAAAUGGGAAACAAUACCAUGGCACACAUGUACAAGGAGAUCCCAGACAAAGCCCUAGAGACUUUCUCUUUUGGAUCAGUCCAUUUUCUGUUGUCGGGGCUGCCUACUAUCAAUUGGAUUCUGAGGCACACUCUGUUGCCCAAGUCUGGUGACCACAACAUGAUCAGAGGGCAUGCAAUCAAUAUGUUGCAUUUAUUUGUGCCAUAGAAAUUCAAAGUCAUGAGCCUUAUAGUUGAAACCAUUAAGAGGACUGCAGCAGAUCAGAAGAGGAGCUGUGCAUAUGCGCCUCAGAUUCAGGAAUUGAUCAACUCAAAGAUGGGAACUGGCAAAUAUCUAUUGGAUAGGGAACAUUUUCCACUCUAUCCAGACUUUGAAGACAAUGAGGUUGUCAUGAAUGAGGAUGAUCCAUCAUCAGUUCAAGCUCAAGAGAAAAAGGAGAAGGAAAGGAAGGAGAAGGCUGCCAAGAUGCCAACUCAAGAGGAGGCAUCUGAGUAUUUCUUGAAGAACAAGCAGGAGCAGCUUGGUUACUUGAUAGCAUCAUCUCUGAGGAUUGAGAAGGGAUUGGCCACCCUCACUCAGAAUCAGGAGAGCUUGGAGAGAAUCAUGGAACUCAAAUUUCAUGAUCUUGAUGUCAAGGUAACUGAGAUUCAAACAGUUGUGGAGAAACUGCAGGAUGACAUGCAGGAGAGGAAUGGCAAGACUACCACUAAUGUCUUUGCCAGAGUGCCUAGAGCUCAGAGGCCAGCUGUUGUGCCAGUGCCAGAUACUAGAGCAACAUCUUCAGCACCAGCUACUGCCCCUUUAUCUCCAGUGCAACCAGCUUCAGCAUCAACUCCAGCACCCUCUACAUUAACUGAAGCCUUCGUCCAAGGAGCCAUCUCUACACCACCAACUGAAGAUCAAGCCUGAGAGUCGAUCUAGCACUAUGCAUUUUCUAUGAACUUUUUGGUAACUUGUUGCCAAAGGGGGAGAAAAAUGUAUAGAUCAUAGGCUUCGAGAGAGAGAGUGUGUUGCUUUUAUUCUCUCUUGCUUUGUUGGUUUAAACUUGUUUGUUUUUGAUUGUUUGAGAUACUAUGCUUGUGAGACAUUGAUGAUCAUGUGUUUGAUCAUAAGCUACACUUAUGCAUGUUGGAUGAUAUUAUCCUAUCUAUCUUAUGUGAUCAUUCACUUUGCUUGGUGAUGAGUGCAUGUAUUCAUUACUUAUCAUUUUGAGCGCUCCACCAAGAUGUAUGUGACAUGGAAGAGUAACCCAUGAGCCUAAUUCCUUGUGCAUUUGCAGUCCAAAGCAAAUUUUAAAUUAUGCACAAAUUUAGGGGGAGCUAUUUCUUAUCACAUACUUCUCAAAGCGACGAAGUUAUUCAAUCUUAUUAUCAUUUGUCGAAGCUUUGAUCUACAUGUUGUCAUCAAUUACCAAAAAUGGGGAGAUUGAAAGUGCAACUAUCCCUAGGUGGUUUUGGUAAUUCAUAACAACAUAUAGCUCAUUGAGCUAAUACUAUUCCAAGACUAUUAUUUCAGGAAAGCUCAAUGAAUGCCAUGGCAUGGAUGAUGAAAGUGGAUCCCUCAAAAUACUAAGGACAAAGGAUUGGCUCAAGCUCAAAAGCUCAAGACUCUCCAUUUUAUAUUUUAGUGAUCCAAGAUCACAUUGAAUCUAUAGGAAAAGCCAAUACUAUCAAGGAGGGAUGAGGUGUUGCUUAAUGAGCCUCUUGCGUCAUGUGCUUUGUGAUAUGCUCCAAAACCCUCAGCUACUUUCCCACAUCCACAAAUGACCUAAACCCAAAGCCGAAAUCGGUCACACCGAUUCUUCCAAUCCAGCGCCACCGAUUCCAAAAAUCAUAGCCACUGCCACAAACCCUAAGCAAAUCGGUCUUACCGAUAGGGAUCUCGGUCUCACCGAGAUGGGAUUGUAAUCUCUCUGUUUCCCUUUGUAACGUUUCGGUCUAACCGAAGUGAGUGAUCGGUCCCACCGAGAUUGCAAUGUAAACUCUCUGUUUCCCUUUUGUAACAUUUCGGUCUCACCGAAAAGAGCAAAUCGGUCCCACCAAGUUUACCUGACCGACUGUCUGGUUAGCUUAUUACCAAAAUCGGUUUGACCGAGUUUGUGUAAUCGGUCUUACCGAGAUUACGUUAUGCCCUAACCCUAACUGAAUUGGUCUCACCGAGAUGCAUGUCAGUCCCACCGAAAAUCACUAAUGGUCACUAGGUUUACUAAAUCGGUCCGGCCGAGUCUGUUGAAUCGGUCCCACCGAGUUUGGUAAAUUGUGUGUAACAGUUAGAUUUUGUGUGGAGGCUAUAUAUACCCCUCCACCUUCUCUUCAUUCGUGGAGAGAGCCAUCAGACUAAACCUACACUUCCAACUUACCAUUUCUGAGAGAGAACCACCUACUCAUGUGUUGAGGCCAAGAUAUUCCAUUCCUACCAUAUGAAUCUUGAUCUCUAGCCUUCCCCAAGUUUCUUUCCACUCAAACCCUCUUUCCACUAGAUCCAAAUCCUAUGAGAGAGAGUUGAGUUUGGGGAGACUAUCAUUUGAAGCACAAGAGCAAGGAGUUCAUCAUCAACGCACCAUUUGUUACUUCUUGGAGACUGGUGUCUCCUAGAUUGGCUAGGUGUCACUUGGGAGCCUCUGACAAGAUUGUGGAGUUGAACCAAGGAGUUUGUAAGGGCAAGGAGAUCGCCUACUUCGUGAAGAUCUACCGCUAGUGAGGCAAGUCCUUCGUGGGCGACGGCCAUGGUGGUAGACACGGUUGCUUCUUCGUGGACCCUUCGUGGGUGGAGCCCUCCGUGGACUCGCGCAGCCGUUCCCUUCGUGGGUUGAAGUCUCCAUCAACGUGGAUGUACGAUAGCACCACCUAUCGGAACCACGCCAAAAACAUCUGUGUCUCCAAUUGCGUUUGAAUCCUCCAGACCCUUCCCUUUACUUUCUUGCAAGUUGCAUGCUUUAAUUUCCGCUGCCUAUAUACUCUUUGCAUGCUUGCUUGAUUUGUGUGAUGAUUGCUUGACUUGUCCUAAGAUAGCUAAAAUCUGCCAAACUCUAAAACUGGGAAAAGGUUAAGUUUUAAUUGGUCAAGUAGUCUAAUCACCCCCCUCUAGACAUACUUCAAGGUCCUACAGGUGGGAAUCACUGCAUAACUGGAUCGGGAUGCUCAAACCUGUUCGUAAACUUCUCCGGCAGAGGAAACCUGCAAGACACACCAUGGCUACUGGUGGUGGAAGUGGGAUGAGGGGACAAGGGUUGUACGAAGCACCAAAUCUCAAAAAUUGACAUGGAUGAGGGGGCGGGUUGAUCUGACCGGCUAACAGCAUCCAACAGGAACUCAAGCCCCGCAUCCUCCAUCGCCGACACCGUCGGAACCAGCAGAAGCCGCCGCAAUUAUGGAUGGAGUGGGCUGAUGGGAGGGCGGGUUUGGCGGACCUCCUAUGGGCGGUCUCAAUCCUCGAUUGAUCUACCAAGAAAAGUCCACAAAUUCGUCCGUGUGACGGCUCAGGUUUUUCACGUAACCCUGGGCCACGGCUCAAACAGAAAUUCUCUGUCCUGGCCCACGGAGCAUGAAAUCCUGCGCGAGUCGAGGCUCCCAUCCCUACUUAAUUGGCCCCACACACGGUCGCAUUGUUUCAUGCCGUAUACAAGACGUAUCUUCAUUAUUUGCCGGUGCAUAUUUUCUUGGGAAAAACAUCCAAUAUAUUCAACUUCAAUCAUGGCGGUAAACACUAGAUAUAAUUAAAAUUAUAUACAGAUCCGUAGACCACCUAGCGACGACUACAAGAACUAAAGCGAGCCGAAGGCGCGCCGCUGUCAUUGCCCCUCCCUUGCCGGAGCUAGGCAAAACUUGUUGUAGUAGACAGCCAGGAAGUCAUCGUGCUAAGGUCCUAUAGGACUAGCACAUCAGAACAGCAACCGCCGCCGAUGAAGAGUAGCGUAAAUCGGAAGGAUCCAACCUGAAAACACACGAACAUAGACGAACGACGAACAUAUCCAAGCAUAUCCACCAAGGACAAAUCUACCGGAGACACACAUCCACACGCCCAUCGACAAUGCUAAAUGCACCAUCAGAACUGGGGCUAGGCGAGGAGAGCCUUAUUCCAUCUUAGGGAGCAGCCACUGUAUCGUCUUCCUGAGUUGGACACAAACCCUAACAAAUCACGAAGACACAUCAAAAAACCGAGCCCUCCUCCACCGCGCUCCCAUGACCCUAAGGAAAACCGCAGAUGAGGUGGACUGGCGACAACACCGGUGGGAGGCACGGGAAUCCUAGUUGGGGAGGAGGAGGCGGCCUGAGGAGUCAUGUAAUGUCCUUUCUAGGUUCACCGGUUGGCCCCUUCUAUUCUGUCGAUGCAUACCUGACACGUCAGAACGAAUUGUUGCAAUCCCCAGGCAACAGCGAAUGCUAGAGAUUUCCGGAGCAGCUAAGCUCGAGCACUGAAUCGCUGCGUCCGGGGAGCUAGUAGCCAGACGAGAAACCGAGCGUGUGUAAAGCGCUAAACUACACUGUCCCAACAGAGCGUGCGUGUGAGUGUUGAUGUGCCAACCAACGCCAUAAGCAUGGUAGAGGAGCGCUCCUGCAACUUGUUGCCUCAAAUAGGUGGGAAAACACAUAAGGACACGCACUGGUCGGCCCAUUCAUUUCAUACUGUACCAACUCGAUGGCGAAGAUUUUUUCGGUGUUGUACACUUUCAAGCGCUUUUUUCAAUUAGGGGUUUUCUUUGUCAUAUUUUCAAAAACAUUAGAAAAACGUAUUUAUUGAAAAACUAAGUAUUGAGUUUUUAUAAUAAUUAUACAAAAUGUGAACAUUUUUAAAACAUGAAUGUUUUUCAUAAUGCUAACCAUUUUUUCAUGUUUUGAACAUUUUUUCAAAAACACCAAUAUUUUUUGAAAACACUAAAAAAUUGUGAAAACAUUCAAAUGAAAUUAUACAUUUUGAAAAAAAUAUUCAUAUAUUUAAUAAACAAGAACAUUUUUGAACAUUUUGUGAAAAACCCGAAAAAGAACAAAAGAAAACAAAAAUAAAACCAGCAAAAGAAGAAAACCUAAAAAACCGGAUUCCUUAAUGCAUCAUAAUAAUGCACGACUAUUUUUUAUGAAUAUGUCUUCGAAUCAAAAAUGUCUUUCAUACAUGUGUUUGCCUAUACCUCACUUUUAGUCAGGCAAAAGAACACAAGGCCUCAGGCCCCUGUAUUGUAACCUAGGGAUCCUUCAUUAUGCAGGAAGCCGACUUGUCCAGGGCCUCGUAGGUCGGCUUGUCCAGGGCCUCGUAGGCCUCGUAGGUCGGCUUAUCCAGGGCCAUCAAUCCGGCUCAUGGACCCAAUUAGAGAAAGGCCCGGGGGACUUGGAGUGGGUGACAGGGCGACUAGCGUCCAGGAGAACUCCUCCAACGACCAACUACGAUCGUGUAAUCCUACACCCCGACACCCAUAUAUGUGGCGGCUGGAUUAGUCAAUAGACAGAGAACCUUAGAGCUAUUUCUCAAUCCAUCGAUUAUUGUAAGCCCUAUACACGAGCAAUAUACAGAGCAGGGGUUAGGAUUUUACCUCAUACAUGAGGGUCUGAACCUGGAUAAACCCCUUCUUAUUUCCCAUUUGGUUUAAUCGCAUGGCCAGAGUACCUUAUCAAGUGAUCUGCCGGAAAUAACUCCACCACGUCAUAAAUGGGCUAGGGCCAGAUUUUUUUUCUCCUUUUCUCUUAUUUUGUUUCUACUUUUGGUUCAAUUUUAAAAAUACUGUAAAUAUAUAUAUUUGGAAAUAUUCUUCAUUAAUUAUUAAUAACAUUCACCAUGCCUGAAAUAUUGGUCAUGAAAUGUAAUUAUUUGUUUGCACAAUUUCAGAAAUUGUUCAUAUCCUUCAAAAGAAUAUUCCUAUCAUUUUUAAAAUGUUUGCAUGUUUAAAAAAUGAGUGGUUUUUUAACAAUGUUUAUUAAAAUAUAUAAAAAUUGACACUGUAAUUUGUAAAAAAGUUCAUACCAUUCAAAAAAUGUUUAACAAUUUAAAAAUGUUCAAACAUUUUAAUUUUAAGUAUUUUUUAGUAAACAAUAUUGAAAUAGAAAAAAAAAUUGACGAAAACUUAAAAGUUUAUAACAUAUAAAAAUGUUUGUAAAAUUUUCAAAUAUGUUCAUAAACACUUACGAAAUGUUUGGCACUUUUACGGAUAUGUUGAUGUCUUAAUUUUUUUGAAAACUAUCAAUGAAAUUUACAAAAAUGUUCCUAACAGCCAGAUCUGGACUCAACAAGCCCCCGCGUCCCCUCCUCUGGCGACUCGGGGGCCACCCUACCCGCGCUGCCAGCAGACCUCCCCCACCCCAUCCCCUGCUUUGCCGCCGCCGGAGGGGACGCGGGCUAAGCCGCACAUACUCCAAGGAUGGUGGCGGCGGGGCUCUCAUGGCUGGCGUUCUCGCGAAUCCGGGGCCUCUGCUCAAGAGGACGAUGGGCGUCGGUGGCCGCGUCACGCGACGGAUGCCGCUCGGUGGUCGGCGCUAAGCGCGGAUCUGGGUCGCUCUGCGCGAAGUGAGGGCGGCCGGAGCUCUGGUCGGCGUCGGGGGCACGGUGCCGGCCUCCGUGCUCCGGUGGCCCGCCCUAGAUCAAGAUGCGGCAUCCUGCCCAUGGCCUCGCCUCCUGAUGGUUCUGGGCCAGCCGCGGUUCGCGUCGGGGUGGAUCUGGAGGCUUGUUGGUGAUGCGUUUCGCUGGACUGGCUGAAUCCAAUUAGAUCGGCCCAUGGUCGUCUGGCGUGGGGCAGAGGAGGGUGGUGGUGAGUGGUGCUGGUGGAGGUGGUGGGGGGUGGUGGCAGUGCUGCUGCUGCCGAUCUUGACCUCACUGCCUUCUGUUGGCAUGCGAGCGCAUCGGUUCUGGUCUCCAACGGUUGCGCAGUGGCACACAUGGGGUGUGCCGGUGCUCCUGAUGUAUGCCUGCAGCCCGGACUAUGGUGGUUCCUAGCCUCGGGCAGUGCUCCUCUGCUCCUUGCCAGCAUGGUGCUUGGCAGGGCACGGUGGCACACACUACGUCCGGUGGCCUGCGCUCGGUUGGCUGUUGAUGGAUCUUGUGCCUAGUGCUCAUGUUUGGUCGUUGGUGGUCUCCACAGGGUGUUGUUGGCUCCGGCAGCUUCUCGUGCUUCUUUGUCUUUCGAAGGGUUCGAUGGUGGUGGUGGUCGGUUGUCGUCAUGUUGUAGGGAUGUGCUCAAACUCCGGGUGAGAACCUUACAUCGACUAUGUUGAUGUCGGCAGCAACAACGUCUAUGGCCGUCGUUUUCCUUGCAGGAGGUGCCGUUGUGGAGCUCCAGCACCUACAAUACUUUGUUUUGUGGUCUCCGGGUGAAAACCUAAGAUUGGGCUUGCCAGAUCGGAUGACGGUGUUGUGCCCUCAACAACACUACCUCCUUGGAGGCAUCAUCUUGGAGACCCAAACGACGGCUUCAGUUUGCGGCAUGUGGUUGAGGGUGGUCCGUUUGGUGGUGGUGGUGUGGCCUACUCAGGACCGAUGGUGGUGUGCUCUUCUUCAUGUGUUUCCCUCACUACAAAAAAAAGACACAUCCGUGACAUUUUGAGCCGAAUGAAUUUUUUUUCUGUCAUAUUUAUGACACUUCUAUGACGAUAAUUGUGACAAAACCCGGUAUCAUCAUAGAUGUGGUGGGCUCCUACUUCUAUGACAAAAAAUCAUGACAGAAAAUGGGCUUUUUGUCUUGGGCGGGCCGGAGACGCAGCUGCAUGACAUUCUUUGGGCCAUCCAUGACGGAAAAAACCAUGGUAGAAGUGAGGACGAGGAAAAAUUCGUCGAGUUCCCGGUUACGGUGGGAGGUCGGGGGCCGAGCGAUGCACGUUUAUCUCAUACACGUACGCGCGUGUGUGCGAGGCGUUGGCUCUAACUGAACCCGAGUGAGGCGUUGGGCUCUAACUGAAACCGAGUGAUUGCACUACAGGCUACACAUUACUGAACCCGAGCGAUCGAGCGAUGGCUUUAACUGAAGCCGAUUGAGCGAUUCCUUCGCUACUGCUGCUAACUGAAGCCAAUCGAUGCUGCCUCUGGAUGAACAGNNNNNNNNNNNNNNNNNNNNNNNNNNNNNNNNNNNNNNNNNNNNNNNNNNNNNNNNNNNNNNNNNNNNNNNNNNNNNNNNNNNNNNNNNNNNNNNNNNNNNNNNNNNNNNNNNNNNNNNNNNNNNNNNNNNNNNNNNNNNNNNNNNNNNNNNNNNNNNNNNNNNNNNNNNNNNNNNNNNNNNNNNNNNNNNNNNNNNNNNNNNNNNNNNNNNNNNNNNNNNNNNNNNNNNNNNNNNNNNNNNNNNNNNNNNNNNNNNNNNNNNNNNNNNNNNNNNNNNNNNNNNNNNNNNNNNNNNNNNNNNNNNNNNCCUCGUGGAGGCUGGAUGAACAGGACGACCCCGUGGAGGGCUGGAUGAACAGUAGAAGGUGGAGGGGUGGAUGAACAGGAGCUCGUGGAGAGGGGUGGUUGAACAAUAGCCUUUGGAGUAGCGCGCGGUGGAGGCUGGAUGAACAGGAGCUCGUGGAGGCUGGAGGAGGUCGAUGGUGGAUGAACAGUAGCCCCGUGAGGCUGGAGGAGGUCGACGGUGGAGAUGAACAGUAUCCCGUGGAGUCGUUUUGUGGUAUGCCACACCCCUCCCAAUGAACAAGACCCCCGUUUCGACCGUAGCGCUCCAACACAAGUUCGUUUCAUCCGUUUUGCGGUACGCCACACCCCUCCUGAUCAACAGGACCCCCGUUUCGACCGUAGGAGGUCCGUUUCCUCCGUUUUGCAGUACGCGAGACCCCUCCCUAUGAACAGGAUCCUGUUUCGAACGUGGCUGGUAGAACACAAGGCCGUUUCCUCCGUUCUGCGGUACACCAGGCCUCAUUUCCAUCGCCUGUUCCAUCCAAGCCGGUUGGCUCCCACACGUUCCGUUGCCUCCCGAUGAACACGACGAAUUCCGUUUCCUCCCCAUGAACACGACGCAUCCCGUUGCGUCCCCAUGAACACGACGACGACGCAGUUUCUCUGUUCCGACCCGCCAUGUGCACGAGCCCUGGCCGUACAUAUGCGUGAGUAGGCGUUCAAGACCCCACCCAUAUGUACAUAAGUGGCCAUAUUUACUUUCUUGCACCCUGGCCGUUGUACGUACGUGUACAUGCUACGUGUGCGCCUCUACUAAAACACGUGCGCGCCUCUACAUCGACCAAUAUGUACGUACACGUUCGCGACCAGAAUGACAAUGCUACGUACACUUCGACCAGGUGGGUCCCGACUGUCAGGCAAUUCCUUGCGUGCGAAGAUGUAGCUGGUGGGUCCCAGCAGUCAGGGGGUGAAUCGUUUUUUUGCCCGGACGCACUUCCUUGCGUGCGAAGAUGUAGCUAGUGGGUCCCAGAAGUCAGUGGGCGAAUCAUUUUUUUGCCUGUAAUAUGGAUGCACUUCCUUGCAUGCGAAGAUGUAGCUGGUAGGUCCCAGCAGUCCAGGGGGAAAUUUUUUUUUCACGAAAUACGGUGGCCCAUCCGGUGGGUCCCCGCUGUCAGGUGGAGGAAUAAUUAUUUUUCGCAUAAUAAAGAGGCACUUCCUUGCGGCUGCCGUGGACCCAGCUGUCAGCCUCACCACGUACAGUACUCUUCCAAUGGAAUUCGGUAGUUGACCACAUUGACCACGCCGCGCCGAGAGCACCACGGCGGUGGAUGACGGCGAGACCUAGGAAGGGAACGAAGCGGAGAUGCUACCUCUUGAGCACUGCGUUGGAUUUCCCCGAAGAGGAGAGGAUGAUGCAGCAAAGUAGCGUAAGUAUUUCCCUCAGUUUUUGAGAACCAAGGUAUCAAUCCAGUAGGAGACUACGCACAAGUCCCUCGUACCUACACAAAACGAUAGCUCCUCACAACCAAUGCGAUUAGGGGUUGUCAAUCCCUUCACGGUCACUUACGAGAGUGAGAUCUGAUAGAGAUGAUAAAUAAUAUUUUUGGUAUUUUUGGUAUAUAGAUGCAAAGUGAAAAGUAAAAGGAAAAGUAAGAACCAAGCAAGUAAUAAAGUAAUGGAGAUUGAUAUGAUGAGAAUAGACCCCAGGGCCAUAGGUUUCACUAGUGGCUUCUCUCAAGAGCAUAGAUAUUCUACGGUGGGUGAACAAAUUACUGUUGAGAAAUUGACAGAAUUGAGCAUAAUUAUGAGUAUAUCUAGGUAUGAUCAUGUAUAUAGGCAUCACGUCCAAGACAAGUAGAUCGAAACGAUUCUGCCUCUACUACUAUUACUCCACUCAUCGACCGCUAUCCAGCAUGCAUCUAGAGUAUUAAGUUAAAAACAGAGUAAUGCCUUAAGCAAGAUGACAUGAUGUAGAGGGUUAAAUUCAUGCAAUAUGAUAAAAACCCCAUCUUGUUAUCCUCGAUGGCAACAAUACAAUACGUGCCUUGCUGCCCCUUCUGUCACUGGGAAAGGACACCGCAAGAUUAAACCCAAAGCUAAGAACUUCUCCUAUUACAAGAACUACCAAUCUAGUUGGCCAAACCAAACGGAUAAUUCGAAGAGACUUGCAGAGCUAACUCAAUCAUACAUAAAAGAAUUCAGAGAAGAUUCAAAUAUUAUUCAUAGAUAAGAUGGAUCAUAAACCCACAAUUCAUCGGUCUCAACAAACACACCGCAAAAAGAAGAUUACAUCGAAUAGAUCUCCACGAGAGAGGGGGAGAACAUUGUAUUGAGAUCCAAUAAGAGAGAAGAAGCCAUCUAGCUACUAGCUAUGGACCCGAAGGUCUGAAGUAAACUACUCACACUUCAUCGGAGGGGCUAUGGUGUUGAUGUAGAAGCCCUCCGUGGUGCAUGCCCCCUCCGGCGGAGCUCCGGAACAGGCCCCAAGAUGGGAUCUUGUGGAUACAGAAGGUUGCAGCGGUGGAAUUAGGUUUUUGGCUCCUCCCCUGAUCGUUUGGGGUACGUAGGUAUAUAUAGGAGGAAGGAGUAUGUCGGUGGAGCAACAGGGGGGCCACGAGGCAGGGGGCGCGCCCUAGGGGGGGGGCACCCCCGACCCUCGUGACCGACUCUUUUGUUCCUUGGAGUAGGGUCCAAGUCUCCUGGAUCAUGUUCGGUGAGAAAAUCACGUUCCCGAAGGUUUCAUUCCGUUUGGACUCUGUUUGAUAUUCCGUUUCUUCGAAACACUGAAAUAGGCAAAAAACGGCAAUUCUGGGCUGGGCCUCCGGUUAAUAGGUUAGUCCAAAAAUAAUAUAAAAGUGGAAAAUAAAACCCAAUAUAGUCCAAAACAGUAGAUAAAGUAGCAUGGAGCAAUCAAAAAUUAUAGAUACGUUGGAGACGUAUCGGGCAUCCCCAAGCUUAAUUCCUGCUCGUCCUCGAGUAGGUAAAUGAUCAAAAGAGAAUUAUUGAUGUGGAAUGCUACCUAGCAUAAUUCUCAAUGUAAUUUUCUUUAUUGUGGCAUAAAUGUUCAGAUCCAAAUGAUUCAAAAUAAAAGUUCAUAUUGAUAAAAGAAAUAUUAACACUUCAAGCAUACUAAUCAAAGUAAUCAUGUCUUCUCAAAAUAACAUGGCAAAAGAAAGUUCAUCCCUACAAAAUCAUAUAGUUAGGCUAUGCUUCAUUUUCGUCACACAAAGAUGUUCCCAACUUCUAUACCCCCGAUGACAAGCCAAGCAAUUGUUUCAUACUCAAAUAAUCUCAAACUUCUUCAACCUUCACGCAAUACAUGAGCUUGAGCCAUGGAUAUAGCACUAUGGGUGAAAUAGAAUAUGAUGAUGGGGAUUGUGUGGAGAAGACAAACAAGGAGAAAGUCUCACAUUCACGAGGAUAAUCAACAGGCUAUGGAGAUGCCCAUCAAUUGAUGUCAACAUGAGGAGUAGGGAUUGCCAUGCAACGGAUGCACUAGAGCUAUGAAUGCUCAACAAAAGUAAAACUAGUGGGUGUGCAUCCAACUCGCUUGCUCAUGAAGACCUAGGGCAUUUGAGGAAGCCCAUGGUAGGAAUAUACAAGCCAAGUUCUAUAAUGAAAAAUUCCCACUAGUAUAAAAAGACAACUUAUGAGACUCACUACAUGAAGAACAAGGUGCUACUUUGAAGCACAAUAUAUGAGACUCACUACAUGAAGAACAAGGUGCUACUUUGAAGCACAAGUGUGGAAAAGAGAUAGUAGCAUUGCCCUUUUUAUUUACUUUCUUUUUUUAUUUUUUUUAUUUUUUGGGCCUUUCUUCCUUUUUUUUCUUUUUUUUCUUUUUUGGCAAUGCUCUAAUAAUGAUGAUCAUCACACUUCUAUUGAUUACAACAUAAGGAUUACAACUCGAAACUUAGAACAAGAUAUGACUCUAUAUGAAUGCCUCCGGCGGUGUACAGGGAUGGUGCAAUGAAUCAAGAGUUACAUGUAUGAAAAAUAAUGCAUGGUGGCUUUGCCACAAAUACGAUGUCAACUACAUGAUCAUGCAAUGGCAAUAUGACAAAAGUAAUGUAUGUCAUGAUGAUGAUGAUGGAAGUUGCAUGGAAAUAUAUCUCGAAAUGGCUAUGGAAAUGCCAUGAUAGGUAGGUAUGGUGGCUUUUUUGAGGAAGAUAUAAGGAGGUUUAUGUGUGAUAGAUCGUAUCGUAUCACAGGGUUUGGAUGCACCGACGAAGUUUGCACCAACUCUCAAGGUGAGAAAGGGCAAUGCACGGUACCGAUGAGGCUAGCAAAGGCGGAAAGGUAAAAGUGCGUAUAAUCCAUGGACUCAACAUUAGUCAAAAGAACUCAUAUACUUAUUGCAAAAAUUUAGAAGUCAUCAAAAAUCAAGUACUACGCGCAUGCUCCUAGGGGGAUAGAUUGGUAGGAAAAGACCAUCGCUCGUCCCCGACCGCCACUCAUAAGGAUGCACAAGCCAGGUACACUUCAUGUUUCAAAUUUUUUACACAACUUUAACCAUACGUGCAUGCUACGGGACUUGCAAACUUCAACACAAGCAUCUCAAAUUCACAAUUACUCAACUAGCACGACUUUUAUAUUAUCACCUCCAUAUCUCAAAACAAUUAUCAAGCAUCAAACUUAUCUUAGUAUUCAACGCACUCAAAAGAAAGUUUCACAUAUCUUGAAUACCAAGUAUAUUAAUAUUAAGCAAAUUACCAUGCUAUUAACGACUCUCAAGAUAAUCUAAGUGAAGCAUGAGAGAUCAAUAGUUUCUUUAAAACAAAUCCACCACCAUGCUCUAAAAGAUCUAAGUGAAGCACUAGAGCAAAAAUUAUCACGCUCAAAAGAUAUAAGUGAAGCACUAUGAGCAAAACUAUCAAGCUCAAAAGAUAUAAGUGAAGCACAUAGAGUAUUCUAGCAAAUUCCAAUUCAUGUAUGGCUCUCUCAAAAGGUGUGUACAGCAAGGAUGAUUGUAGUAAACUAACAAGUAAAGACAAAAAUAAUACAAGACGCUCCAAGCAAAACACAUAUCAUGUGGUGAAUAAAAAUAUAGCUCCAAGUAAAUUACCGAUGGAAGUAGACGAAAGAGGGGAUGCCUUCCGGGGCAUCCCCAAGCUUUGAAUUUUUGGUUUCCUUGGAUUAUCUUUGGGGUGCCAUGGGCAUCCCCAAGCUUAGGAUCUUGCCACUCCUUGUUCCAUAAUCCAUCAAAAGAAUUCACCCAAAACUUGAAAACUUCACAACACAAAACUCAAUAGAAAUCUCGUGAGCUCCGUUAGAGAAAGAAAACAAAAAACUACUUAAAGGUACUGUAAUGAACUCAUUCUUUAUUUAUAUUGGUGUUAAACCUAAUGUAUUCCAACUUCUCUAUGGAUUAUAAACUAUUUUACUAGCCAUAGAUUCAUCAAAAUAAGCAAACAACACACGCAAAACAGAAUCUGUCAAAAACAGAACAGUCUGUAGCAAUCUAUAACUAACGCAAACUUCUGGAACUCUAAAACUCCUACCAAAAUAGGAAGUCCUGUACAAUUUUUUUAUUGAACAGAAUAAAAAAGAAUCAACGCAAAAUCACGUUUCUGUGAUUUAAAAAAAUUAUAUUCGUGCGUGCAAAGUUUCUGUUUUUCAGCAGAAUCAAAUCAACUAUCAUCGUAGGUUAUCCUAUAGGUUCUACUUGGCACAAACACUAAUUAAAAUAUAAAACCACAUCCAAACAGAGGCUAGAUGGAUUAUUUAUUCCUAAACAGAAGCAAAAACAAAAAAACAAAAAUAAAAUUGGGUUGCCUCCCAACAAGCUCUAUUGUUUAACGCCCCUAGCUAGGCAUAAAAGCAAGGAUAGAUCUAGGUAUUGCCAUCUUUGGUAGGCAAUCCAUAAGUGGAUCUCAUGAUAAAUUCAUAUGGUCAUUUUAUUUUCUUUCUAGGGAAGUUUUCCAUGCCCUUCUUUAAGGGAAAUUGUAAUCUAAUAUUCCCUUCCUUCAUAUCAAUAAUUGCACCAAUCGUUCUAAGGAAAGGUCUACCAAGAAUAAUAGGACAUGAAGGAUUGCAAUCUAUAUCAAGAAUGAUAAAAUGUACGGGCACAUAAUUCCUAUUUGCAACAAUAAGAACAUCAUUAGUUCUUCCCAUAGCCUUUUUAAUAGUGGAAUCCGCAAGUGCAAGUUUAGAGAGCAAUCAUCAAAGUCGCGGAAAUCUAGCAAAUCACACAAAGUUUUGGGAAUAGUAGAGACACUAGCACCCAAAUCACACAAAGCAUGAAACUCAUAAUCUUUAAUUUUAAUUUUAGUAGUAGGUUCCCACUCAUCAUAGAGUUUUCUAGGGAUGGAAGCUUUCAACUCAAGUUUUUCUUCAUAAGAUUACAUCAAGGCAUCAACAAUGUGUUCGGUAAAGGCCUUAUUUUGACUAUAAGCAUGAGGAGAAUCUAGCACGGAUUGCAACAAGGAAAUACAAUCAAUUAAAGAGCAAUUUUCAUAAUUAAAUUCCUUGAGAUCCAAAAUAGUGGGUUUAGCAACAUCUAGGUUUUUAUUUCUUUCAAUCGCACUUUUAUCAAUUUCGUCAUCAAGAUCUAGAAACUCCGAAUUCUUAGAACGCUGUCUAGGUAAAGGAAGAUCAUAUUCAGUUUCAUGAAGAUUCAUAUUGCAAAACAAGGAUUUAAUGGGGGACACAUCAAUAACUUUUAGAUCUUCAUCUUGAUUUUCAUAGGAAUUGGAAGAACAGGCUUUAAUAAAGGCAUCUUUGGAAGCACGCAUCCUAGCGGUUCUUUCUUUGCAGUCAUCAAUGGAAAUUCUCAUGGCUUUGAGAGACUCAUUGAUAUCAUGCUUAAGAGGAAUAGACCUAAGCUUUAAAGAAUCAAUUUCAAGAGAAAUUCUAUCAACAUUCCUAGACAAAUCAUCAACUUUAAUCAAUUUCUCUUCAAGCAAAGCAUUAAAAUUCUUUUGUGAAUUCAUAAACUCUUUAACACUACUCUCAAAUUCAGAGGGCAUCUUAUUAAAAUUUCCAUAAGAGUUGUUGUAGGAAUUUCCAUAAUUAUUAGAAGGAUUACUAGGAUAAGGCCUAGGAUUAAAAUUCCCUCUAUACGUGUUGUUUCCAAAACUAUUCCUACCAACAAAAUUCACAUCCAUAGAUUCAUUACUAUUCUCAAUGAAAGUAGACAAGGGCAUAUCAUUGGGAUCAAGAGAAGUAGUUUUAGUAGCAAACAUCUUCAUAAGUUCAUCCAUCUUUUCACUCAAAACAUUGAUUUCUUCUAUAGCAUGCACUUUUUUACUAGAAGAUCUUUCGGUGUGCCAUUGAGAAUAAUUAGCCAUAAUAUUAUCAAGCAAUUUUGUAGCAUCUCCUAACGUAAUUUCCACAAAUGUGCCUCCCGCGGCUGAAUCUAAAAGAUUUCUAGAAGCAAAAUUCAAUGCAGCAUCAAAUUUUUGUAUGAUCAUCCAUAAAUUCAAACCAUGAGUAGGGCAAUUGUGAAGCAUAAAUUUCAUUCUUUCCCAUGAUUGGGCAACAUGCUCAUGAUCAAGUUGUUUAAAAUUCAUAAUAUCGUUCCUAAGAGUGAUGAUCUUAGCAGGAGGAAAAUACUUAGAGAUAAAAGCAUCUUUGCACUUGUUCCAAGAAUCAAUACUAUUUUUAGGCAAAGAAGAAAACCAAACUUUAGCAUGAUCUCUAAGUGAAAACGGAAAUAACUUCAAUUUGACAAUAUUGUUAUCCGUAUCUUUCUUCUUUUGCAUAUCACACAAAUCAGCAAAAUUGUUUAGAUGAGUAGCGGCACCUUCACUAGGAAGGCCGGUGAAUUGAUCUUUCAUAACAAGAUUUAGCAAAGCGGCAUUGAUUUCACAAGACUCAUCAUUAUUAAGAGGCAAUAGAAGUACUAAGCAAAUCAUUAUUAUUGGUAUUUGAGAAGUCACACAAUUUGGUAUUAUCUUGCGUCAUGGCAACAAGUAAUCCAACACACAAGCAAACAGAAAGGCAAAGGGAAAAGGCAAACGGGAAAAAGAGGAGGAGAUUGGGAAAGAGAGGGCGAAUAAAACGGCAAGGGUGAAGUGGGGGAGAGGAAAACGAGAGGCAAAUGGCAAAUAAUGUAAUGCGAGAGAUAGGGAUUGUGAUGGGUACUUGGUAUGGUUGACUUGCUCUUGGUGAGCCUCCCCGGCAACGGCGCCAGAAAUUCUUCUUGCUACCUCUUGAGCACUGCGUUUGAUUUCUCCGAAGAGUCGAGGAUGAUGCAGCAAAGUAGCGUAAGUUUUUCCCUCGGUUUUUGAGAACCAGGGUAUCAAUCCAGUAGGAGACCACGCACAAGUCCCUCGUACCGUGUCAAUCCCUUCACAGUCACUUACGAGAGUGAGAUCUGAUAGAGAUGAUAAAUAAUAUUUUGGUAUUUUUGGUAUAUAGAUGCAAAGUGAAAAGUAAAAGGCAAAGUAAGAACAAAGCAAGUAAUAAAGUAAUGGAGAUUGAUAUGAUGAGAAUAGACCUGAGGGCCAUAGGUUUCACUAGUGGCUUCUCUCAAGAGCAUAGAUAUUCUAUGGUGGGAGAACAAAUUACUGUUGAGCAAUUGACAGAAUUGAGCAUAAUUAUGAGUAUAUCUAGGUAUGAUCAUGUAUAUAGGCAUCACGUCCAAGACAAGUAGAUCGAAACGAUUCUGCAUCUACUACUAUUACUCCACUCAUCGACCGCAAUCCAGCAUGCAUCUAGAGUAUUAAGUUAAAAAUAGAGUAAUGCCUUAAGAAAGAUGACAUGAUGUAGAGGGAUAAAUUCAUGCAAUAUGAUAAAAACCCCAUCUUGUUAUCCUCGAUGGAAACAAUACAAUACGUGCCUUGCUGCCCCUUCUGUCACUAGGAAAGGACACCGCCAGAUUGAACCCAAAGCUAAGCACUUCUCCCAUUGCAAGAACUACCAAUCUAGUUGGCCAAACCAAACGGAUAAUUCGAAGAGACUUGCAAAGAUAACUCAAUCAUACAUAAAAGAAUUCAGAGAAUAUUCAAAUAUUAUUCAUAGAUAAGAUGGAUCAUAAACCCACAAUUCAUUGGUCUCAACAAACACACCACAAAAAGAAUAUUACAUCGAAUAGAUCUCCACGAGAGAGGGGGAGAACAUUGUAUUGAGAUCCAAAAAGAGAGAAGAAGCCAUCUAGCUACUAGCUAUGGACCCAAAGGUCUGAAGUAAACUACUCACACUUCAUCGGAGGGGCUAUGGUGUUAAUGUAGAAGCCCUCCAUGGUGGAUGCCCCCUCCGGCGGAGCUCCAGAACAGGCCCCAAGAUGGGAUCUCGUGGAUACAUUAGGUUGUGGCGGUGGAAUUAGGUUUUUGGCUCCUCCCCUGAUCAUUUGGGGGUACGUAGGUAUAUAUAGGAGGAAGGAGUACAUUGGUGGAGCAACAGGGGGGCCACGAGGCAGGGGGGCGUGCCCUAGGGGGGGAGGCGCCCCCCACCCUCGUGACCGACUCUUUUGUUCCUUGGAGCAGGGUCCAAGUCUCCUAGAUCACGUUCGGUGAGAAAAUCACGUUCCCGAAUGUUUCAUUCCGUUUGGACUCCGCUUGAUAUUUCAUUUCUUCGAAACACUGAAAUAGGCAAAAAAUAGCAAUUCUGGGCUGGGCCUCCGGUUAAUAGGUUAGUCCCAAAAAUAAUAUAAAAGUGGAAAAUAAAGCCCAAUAUAGUCCAAAACAGUAGAUAAAGUAGCAUGGAGCAAUCAAAAAUUAUAGAUACGUUGGAGACGUAUCAGGAGCCGGGGAAGACGCGGCAGUGGAUGCUCACGCAGAGAGGAGUACGAGGGUUCACUGGUUCGGCUGCACUGCCGUCACCGCAGAAUAAUAGGGGGUGUGGGUGAGUGCAGUGGAGGGAUGACCUGGCUAGCGGUGGGAGUAGUAUGGGGUCGACGAGGCCUCCGCAGCAGCACAGCCAACCACGGUAGGCAGGAGCAGGCGGCACGACCGGCGAUGCUUUAGGCGGCUGGAGCAAGAAGACCAGAGGUUGAAGAAGCACUACGGCCGUUGGAUGGACAUCGUACGGUCAAUCGAGCUAGAAUCGUGCAUAUUGACUAAGUUGACAAAGCCCUCCGUCCCUGUCAACUUAGUAUGCCCACUAUACUGGGUUCCAGCAAGCAGGGGGAGUAUUCAUUUUUUUAUGUGCGUAAUAAGGAGGCACUUCCUUGCGUGCGAAGAUAUAGCUGGUGGGUCCGAGCUGUUAGCGGCGGUAAUGUUUUUUUCAUGAAAUACAUAGGCCCUUUCGGUGGGUCCCAGAUGUCAGAUGGAGGAAUCAUUAUUUUGCGCGUAAUAAGGAGGCAUUUCCUUGCAUGCAGCAAUGGACCCAGCUGUCAGCCUCUCCACGUACAGUCCACUUCGGAUGCAUGUCGGUCGUUAACCAUGUUGACCACGCCACGCCGAGAGCACUAGGGCGGUGGACGGCGGUGAGGCCUAGGAAGUGAACGACACGGAGCCAGGGAAGACUCGGCAGUUGUUUCCCACGCGGACGGGAGUACGAUUGUACGAGGGUUUACUGGUUCGUCUGCCGUCGCCAGAGAAUAACAACGGGUGUGGGUGAGUAGAGGGAUGGCUAGGCCAGUGAUGGGAGUACGAUGGGGCGGUGAGGCCUACGCGGCAGCACAGCUAGCCGCGGGGAGGAGGGAGCAGGCAGUCCCGCCGGUGCUUGUUUGAGCGGCUGGAGUAGCAAGAGUAGAGAUUGAAGAAGCACGACGGCUGUUGGAUGGAUAUCCAACAGUCACUGCUUGUGCGUCAACCCUUUUUUAGGAAUGCCUCAAAUCUGUGGAAAACUGAUUACAGGCCAUCUGCCAUUAUAUCUAAUAAUUUACAACCCAUUUGCUAAUUCUUACAGUUGUUUUUGGAGCCCAUAUUCUUUUUGAUAGCAUUACAGCCCAUAUUGUGGCCACGGUUAAAAAAUUAUAUGAAAUUUUGCAUAUGUCGGUGUGGUCUGAACUGUUUUUAAUCCCGAAAUUUCGAGUCACAUUCAGACUGAUUUUAAAAAUAAAUGUAUAUCAAUAUAAAAUCCAAUAAAUUGUCCAUGCAUAAAAAUCAAUGCAAUUUAAAAUCUCGAAAUGAAAAAAAGAUAUUUGAAACUAAUUGCUGGUUUGAUGUGUUUUAAAAAUGUACAACCCAUUUCUCAUUACUGAUAGGCCAUUUUCUCGUCCAGCCGAAUGAAGCUCUCCUUGUCUUGAAAGAUUUGCAGCCCAACAGGCCUGAUAAAGCGACUUACUUGACAAAUCACAAAAAAACUAGGCUAGCCAUUUUUAGAAAGAAAAAAAAACUACUGGGCUGGUCUGUGGUAAACAGAAAAGAAAAGGCUGUCUAGGCAGGCCAGAGUGUCCCGCACAGCCCAGUUGACACCCUGCUUCCGUCUCAAAAACAAAUUAGAUAAAUGCCACUCCAAUUAUGGCAAUUCAUAAAAAUGCCACUGCAAUUUCCAAACUUUGAAAAAUGCCACUGCAAUUUUUGCAAACUUUGAAAAACGCCACUGCAGUUUGCAAACUUUGAAAAACGCCACUCCAGACUUCGAAAAAUGCCACUAGAAAUGACAUGAAAUGGCAUUUUUCAUAGUUUGGGAAUUGCAGUGGCAUUUCUCGGAAACACCAGAUUUGGAGUGGCAUUUAUAAAAUUAAACCAAAACAAAAAUAAUUGGGCGAUAUGCUGGGUCCCUGGUGUCAGCCGCUCGUUGUGCAAUUCUCUCGUUUAUUGACUACGUUGACAAUGGCAUCGGACCCACAUGUCAGAAAUCCACUGGGAGGAGCCAUUUUUUUAUUGGCUUGAAAUAAGGAGGCACUUGCUUGCGUACUGCCAUGACCUUGGCGGGUCCCUGCUGUCAUCCUUUCCAUGCACAAUCAUCUCCUGAUUGUGUACGCGUCAAGUUGGUAGGCCCACAAGUCAGCCUCUAAACCCGUGGAGGACAAAUACAACCCAUUUAAAAAAAUAACAUCCCAUUCCAUAUGUUCGAAUGGAAAGUUCAACAUUCAAAGCAAAGUAACAGGUCUGAUCCACAUAUAGAGUACUGAACUUCCACAUUGACAACCAUCAUAGCCAAGUUAACUAUCUACUCCCACUAAUACUCUAGUAGCAUACAAGUACUAACUUACUCUUAGCUAACUAGACGAUGCCGACCGCCAUCUGUGGUAGACGCUAAACGCCAGCACCGGCGUCCUGCGCCUCGCCUCGGACUUGCAAGAGGUGCGAUAGGGCGCGUUGCUCGCGCGCGUUGGCCCUUUCCAUGCCGGCGUGGUCCACCGAAGCUUCGGCUUCCAAGCGGGAAAUCCACUUGACGAGCUGGUAGUAAAAAUUGGCGUCGCAAACGCGUGCGUGCCCGACAGCCUCCGGGGCUAUUUGCCGGGCGCCGGCCUCCACGUAGUCGGCCCAGUUGCGGGCACUCUGCUCGUGACUCAGAGCGUCGGUGCGCUGCUGCUCUAUGUCCCGCUGGCAGCGCAAAUUGGCAAUACGCUGCUCCUCCGCCAUGCGGUCGCGCUCCAACAAGUCUUGCUCCUCCGCCAGGCGGUCGCGCUCCAACCAAUCCUCGAUCUCCGCAUUGCCAUCUAAAGACAGAUAGAAUGCCUCCUCCCUCCGUCUGCCUUCCGGUGAAAAACCGAACACUAGUUCCGGCGGUGACCGCCUCCGGCGUCGCCUACGGCGGACGGGCGGGGCAUGGCGGACGUGGCGAGCAACGUCGGGCCGGUGGGGGCUUAUGAGGACAUGGCGAGUUGGGUCACGGUGCCACCGGAGAAGGCCGGGAAAUAGUACUUAUAGGCGGAAGGUAGCGCAACGGUCAUCGGAAUUCAAUGCAUAAGCAGGCAUGGCUUAGCGCGCCAGCUUGCCAUGGAAAACUAGAGAAACUGAAAUUAUGACUGUGUCGUCCCGUCCCGUCUGGGUCACACACCGGCAUGGCGGUCAAACGAGUGCACUCGAAUCAUCUCCCUCCUUGUCAAUAAUGAUUCCACGGAUUUAAAAAGCCCGCAACAAUUAAAGCGCAUCUUCUUUUGCAUCAGUUAGCUUACUUAAUUAUGGCCGGCUGCAUGAAGGCACUUAGAAUUGCUCGCAGCUAGUACGUGGAGCAGCAUGCAACAUGUCGCAGCCGAGAGCACACAUGCAGCCACUUAAAUCGCUGGAAUUAAUUAGGCUUAAACUUCUGCAUGCCAUUAAUUAUUGCCAUGCCUUGGUCUUGCUGCUUUGCUCACGGGACUAAUAAACCUGGAGGAGGGAGUACCCUGGUUGGUGAGAGGUUUGAAUUAAGCCCUGCAAACCGGAAAGGAGGUACUAGUACGUGCAUGAUCCGCUAUUUAUUUGUGUAGGAUCGAGUAGGUCGUUUCUUGAAUUGAGCCCUGCAAAUCGGAAAGGAGGCAGUACGUGCGUGAUCUGCUAUUUAUCCAUGUAGGAUCGAGUAGGUAGGAUAGUGUAGCUUGUCAGUUUCUUCAGAGGUAGGCAUUUUUAUUCAAAAAGCUGCCACUUCGGAUCUUGCCUCGCAAAUAAAACUGCCAGGAGCGCAUUAGUAGGCUAGCUAGUGAUCGAUCAGUAACUUGUAAACACUGAGCGAACAGAAAUAAGUAACUGUUAAUGCAUCUCAAUGAUUCACAGAUCAUAUACAAAUAUGUAGCUCCAAAAGCAAAGAUCAGCCACUUCGGAUCUUGCGUCGCAACUAAAACUAACUAGUACGAUUCCCAUACAUAAGAUCAACAUGUUAAUGCAUCUCAAUGAUUCAUAGAUCAUAUACAAAUAUGUAGCUCCAAAAGCAAAGAUCUGGAAAAAACAUUUGUUCUUCCUACUAACAUGGAUGCCUCUCUUUGCCAACAUUCAGUACAGACUGAAAGACAAAUUUGUUUGUGAAGUCUACAAUUCCUCUUGCAAACGUAAGUGGUUUCACUAACAGCUGGAACCAGGAUAAUGAACCACACAUGAUGGAGGAACAUCCACUGCAAUAUGAUUUGGUCUUCUCUUGAUCACACUGCGAGAUUAUUUUCGGAAUACAAACUUUAACUUAGGCAAAAUGAUGCCCAUUGUAUAAUCAGACCAAAGCAAUGAAGCACCUAGUGUUGGCCAAUAAAUAGUACAGUACUACUUUUCUGCAGUCCAUGAAGUGACUAUCCAAUCUUUCUGUGUCUAUUUUCAAAUGGCACUGCAUGCGGUAACUAUACUAUUCUCUUGCGCAGUUCAACCAAAAUUACGGACACUUUGCUUGUUUGCCAAAUAGCAAUGGGCAGACAUCUCUGUCUACACAAAUAUCAAGCAGCUAGUAAACAUAUACCACACCUUGUAUUUUCGGUUUAAACAUGUCUCUUCCGCUUAGCAUCUAUCAUGUUCUGCACUGGACAAUCUGAUACAGUUAUGUUUUGCCCUGGACAAUUUCAUACUGAAUUGAUUUGCUGGUUCAGAGCAGAAAUAUAGUGCCUAUUCUUCAUCAGACCAAGGAUAUCCAUAUUCCCAGUGACGGAAGAGGUGAAAUUGAUACAACCGAAAUUGAGCAUCCAAUCAUUGAAUCCUGUCCUGCACCUCCAAUGUAGGUCCACCUUGCCAAUAAAUUCACUUGCAAACCACUAGUAUUACUAUCUAAUGACAGUACAAAAAGAGCAGCAAAAUAGUAGCAAACCAUGUACCUUCGUAAUGAACAGCUCAUAGUGCCACCAAUUGGAUAUAAAGGUUUGGAAGAAAACAUGCUCCUAAUGUUGAACCAGUUGGACUUUUUGUGCAGUUCCACUAAAAUCGAGCAUCCCUGUUUGCAUAGAUAUUGAAAGUGUGAUUACUAUAAAAAUGGCACUAGUUGAAGCAUAUUCUCACAAAUAUAAGCAUUCCUUCUUAAUGGAAAAGGUAGCAAGACUAUUUCUAACCACCUGUUUGAAGGAAUAAAUAAGGCAACAAUGGCUGAUGUCAGAAAGGCAUAUAUAGUUCUUUUUGAAAGAAUGAUCGACUCCUGACCUUUUCUCUUCUUUUAUGCAUAUUUUGUGCAGUUCAACUAAAAUAAAAUGCCAUCGCCACCUUGAAAAUUCAGUGACACUGUACAAAAGGAAAUGACUUAACAUUACAUCAUGAUGUCAGGUAUGUAGUCCACAGGCAUUAGAGACAAACAUACAGACCUUCUCCGAUAACAUAAUGAACAUUAAUUUUAACAAAGGUGUGACUAGCUUUACCGGGAUAAUUUGAGUGAACUCUACACCCUCUGUUCCUUAAUAUAAGACAUUUUCACGGUUCAAUUUAAAGUACCCAAACGUCUAGUAUUUAGAAAAACAGGUAGUAGUUUUCUUGAGCACAUAUCUGGGAAAGUUUGCCACACUUUAUUUAUGUCCAUACGCUAAUGCAACACCAUUCGAAUACUACAAAUAUACACUAAUCCAGUGGCUAGUGCAACAGUAGAGUAGUUAGUUUAUUACAGAGUACAGUACAAUGGUUUUACUGAACAGAUUUCAAUAAACUCUAGCACUGGAAGAUUUCUAUAAGAAUUAACAAUACAAAAUGUACAGGUAACAAGUUUCAACAUUGGUAUACUAGCUAUGCAUGAGCAUUAAACCAAAUACAAAAGUCUGAAGGUAACUAGCAUUAUUAACUAAUGACAGUAUAAAAAAUUGCAAACCAUGUACCUCCACGGUAAAUAUCAUUUCGAACUCGGGGGGACCUUAAAACUUGCUAUCCCAAUCUUGAUAAUCGAUCAAACAUAAAAACUUGAUCGAACGAAUCAAGAGAACAACCAGAGGAGGAGGUGCCUACUCUUGACCUUUCCUCUUGUCUUCAUAAUUUUUUGUGCAGUUUAACCAAAAUAAAAUGACAUCAGUGCCUUGGCAUUUUGGUGACACUGUACAAAAAAAUUAACUUAUCUCAUGAAAGUGAGGUAUGUAAUCUAUAAGCAUUAACAGUGCAAAAAUCUGAAGGUAGUAACAAGUUUCAUCGUUGGUAUACUAGUUGUGCAACAACAUUAGAAUGCCUUAGCUGAAAAAUCUUUAAUAGAUCCACAAUCAACAACUAACCCUGAAAUAAUCCAGUGACAUUAAAUGGCAUUGCUUAAAUUUAUCGGUGGCAUUAGACUGAGAGCGACAUUAGUUAAAUGUGGCAUCACUUUGGUAGUAGCAUUCCUUGACUUGACUGCUAGCAUCAUACUAACAACAAAAAAGUGGCAAUAAGAUCAUGGGAGGCCCAUUCGGACAGUGGGUGCACCAGUACGAUGUUCCUCCACGGACGCAGAGUGGUGAGGGAGGUAUGGUUGCCCAGAGCAACAAAUAUGUAGACAUCAUAUGUGAAUUACGUCCCUUUUUUGUUCUAUUUAGCCACCUCUUUCCUAUGUGAGGAAAACAAACCGAUCGACCUGGUCAUUCUCUAUUGCGUUGUCAUGCCUUUCUACCCUUCUUCAACCAAGAGACAUGAGACUCGUUCCUUAGCUACUGAUUUUCCCCUUUUCAACCUAGAUGCGGGUUCGAUGCCUACUCUCUUGGACAGUACAGUCUCCCUUCCUUUCCUUAUUCAACCCAGACAUGGAUUAGUCUGCAUGAAGUAGGGUUUCCUUUAAUAGUGCAAAUUAUGGUUUUUGUCGGUGUGGCCAGCAGAGCAGAGGAUAGCAAAUUGGGAAGAUGGUGGAGUGGAAAAAGAUCCACAUGCAACGACAUGGCAGAUGGGGCAAUAGAACAAGGGUAUGGUUCGAAAGGAGGUAGCAUACCUGAGGGUCAGCGGGAAGUGGCUUCGCUCGUGGUCGUCGUCCUCCGCACACACUAAGGCAGUGAGCUUGGGGACGGAGGCCAUCCCACGCGGGCGCUAGGUUUGAGAGGACGGCCUUGUCGUCAGUGCGUGACCUCGCUCGUCGACGAUGAGUGCGUCAACGCAGCACGUCCUUUUCUUCCCCGGCGGAUCUGUGACCACCGGUGAGGAGGGAGAGAGAGGUCGUCUUUUUUACAUCUAGAGAGAGGGUGAUAGUGUGAGAAGCAAGUAGGCAGCCCUUAUCAGGAAAGCGCUGAAGCUCCAGCCUAUAUAUCUUUUUAUACUACUAGUACUGGAGGUGGAGUAGUGGUAGAGUACUUUAUAUUUUCUCUGCAUACAGUACCAGUUAGUCAUGCUUCAAAACUGAAUGGCAUGCCAUUAAAAGAAUAAAGGUCGAUAACUAAUGCGGCACCUUGGGCCAACACGGCCAGAUUGCAUUUUGCACGAGAAAUUACACACCAUGUUUCGUUGACAUGUGGCCCCGUUCCAACAUAUUACUGAGACGACGGCGAGUCCUUUUCUACUAGUAUUUCCAAACGGACGUGUAGGACGGGGCGCCUCUUCGUGAACCGUGGAAAACUAGCAACCGUCCACCGACUCUUCGCCUUCCCCUCUCGAUUUGGAACUGCUGUCGCACACUCUUCCUCUCCCUCCUCUAUUUUCCUUCAAUCCUCCACCCUUCCUUCUGCCAUUGUUCGAUCGUCUUCUCCAUGGAGGGAACAGGCCGGAAAUGACCCCGUUAUUCUUGCCCUGAUCUGAAAGAUGACAUGGUGGAGGAACUCAUUGAUGGGUGCGACGUCAUCACCUCGGCUAGCAUGGCAUGUUCGUUCAAGACCAUUCUCUACUCAACUAAUAACAUCAUUACAAGGAACCCAAGAGUCAAGGAGCGGUUUGAUAUCCCCAAUCUUCUUCGCUAUGACCCUGAUGACUGGUGCGGGGACGACGGAGGCCUCGCCUUGUGCAAGUUGAUGCCGCUUGAUAAUGAUACGUAUGAUGUUAAGAUGCCAUUGCUUGAGGGUAAGGCUUGGGCAGGCGCAAAUGGAGAUUGGGUUGUUUACAUUGGGUCCAACUGCGAGUGGGAACUUGUGAACGUGUACACUCGUGACCGGGUUCCACUUCCAAAAAUCUCAGCAGACUGCCCAGAGGUUGAGCACAUCGGUAUUGUACGCACGUUCAAAUACGAUCAUGGUGACUGUCUUAUACGGAAGAUAGCAAAUUGUCAAGUUCCCAACCGCUCUUGGAAUUACAAGAACUAUGUUGUUGUUGCUAUCUUCGACAAGCUUGUUGCCGUCCUUCAUGGUUCGACUGGAUGGAUAUUGCUCAAAAAUCAGUUUCUGUACACAGAUGAGUACUGUGAUGCAAUUCAAUACGAGGGCCUUGUGUUUGCUUCCACCACUCAUGGCACUGUUUUUGCAUGGGAUCCUCGUAGUUUUGGUACGUUUGUCUUCCACCGUAAUUAUAAUUGUUUCUUCCACAUGCAUGUGGGUUAGCAAGUUUCCCUUUACUAAUUAACCUUCUUCUUGUGUUUCCAAGGUCCUGUGAACAUUCCACCACCUAUACUUGAAAAUUUUUAUACCAAGGGGGAGAUGACGAUGGUGAUGAUCACGAGCAUGAGGACGAGAAGAACAUAUAUACUCAGUGGCGCCUGGCAUCUAAUUCCGAUGGAUCACCUCCUCUUGUUUGUAUACAGUGCACUGAGUUUGUUACUACUGAGGGAGCAUGUGUUGUCUCCCAUGGUCGCACUCUCCGGACCUAUUCCAACACCCGUUAUAUGGUAUUCAGGAUGGAUACUAUUGUGCUAGCGCCAACACCUUAUCCCUGGUAUAGAAUUGAUAGUCUUGGAGAAAACUCGCUCUUCCUUGGACAAAACUAUCCGAUGAUGGUGAAAGGUGAUCCAACUGUUGUUGACACAAUGUUACUAGUACCAUUUAUGAGAAGCAACUGUGUCUAUACCUUGGACAUUUGGGUGGUUCCCUACCCUGGUAUUGAUAUAGUAGGCCGCUUCAGCCUGGAUGAUCAGUCCUGCGUUGGUUUUGAGAUCGACAAUAGAUGGCCCGUCCCAGAGAAUCACUUGUGGUUCAAAGCAAGCGUUUCCAACGCCGAGGAUUGGUUGAGUUGAAGUUCAUUUCAUUGCUUGUUAUUUGUUGUGUGAUGAAAACUUUAGUAUUUAUAAUGUAUCCUCAUUGUCGAUGUGGGUUGAUGACCUAUUGUAUGUAAUAAAAUGAUAUGCCUGUGAUAAACUUACUAAAUUUAUGAAUGGCUUUCGAGUUGCUUCUCUGAGUGAGUGGUGCGACGAGGAAAAAAAAUAUUUUCCGAAUACAUAAUUGUACGUGCAUUGCAACAGGUUAUCGGAUGAGGCCAAUCAACAAUAGUAGUACACUAUUUGUACUAGCUUCACAUGCUUCGCGCGUCGGGCGGGUGUUUUUACUCUAGCCAUAUGUUAAUGUGUUCACUGUACAUAACCACCAUAUCGAAUCCUCGAUACUCGUACUAUAUAAGUAGUUGGAGUAGUAGGGUGGCAUGGGCCAGAACAAGCAUUCACGUCCAGGAGUACGGCACACGCAACCACCACGACAUCCAUCUGACACCAUAUUUCUUGGAGUCCAUGUAGAGCAAUCUCUUCAACCUCGUCGUUUCUCUAACUUCAACCAUCGCACGACAAUCGAGGUGGGGGUUUGCCGAUAGUCGCUUUCCUCAGCUGCGGUCCCACUUGUAAGGCCAACUCCAACGCAUGACCCCAAACGGACCUCCGUUUUGCACGAACUCCAACGAUAAUUUAGACUAGAAAAGCAAGACCAAAGAAAACAAGAACCACAAGAAUACAUUUUACUAGAAGAUAUCCAACUUCCAUAACUGCUCCUAUAAGUUGCAUUAGUGCCUUCUCGAUGCAUUCAUUGUUGAUCUGCGGAGGCUCGAUCUUGCGUGCUUCUUUCUUCUUCGAGUGUAAGGAAGUAGACGUUGCUUCCUCGCAUCUAGUCUCAUGGCUAGCCUCUAUUCUAGUAGGAGUAUCAACAAGUGCACUAGUCUCAUCUCUAGCCUCUAUGCUAGCUAAAAGUGCUAGAACAUCUACUAAAUUGCACUCUAUCAAUAUAUCCGAUGUCCUCUUCCUCCCAAUACCAAAACUUGCAUCCAUUCUACUCCCUCCAUUCCACAAUGCAUGCCUUCUAUUUGUCAAAAUAUAGAUGUAUCUAGACAUGUUUUCGUAUAUAGGUACAUCCAUUUUUGGACAAAUGGAAGUCAAGUAUUUUGGAACGGAGGGAGUACACAAUAAAAUUUUAAACUAGUCUAAUCCGAGAGCACAACCGAAGAUUUGGUCGGGUUCUUCCUCCUUUUGCCGACACAUGGAACAUUGAUAACCCACAAGUGUAGGGGAUCGCAACAGCUUUCGAGGGUAAAGUAUUCAACCCAAAUUUAUCGACACAAGGGGAGCCAAAGAAUAUUCUUGAGUAUUAGCAGUUGAGUUGUCAAUUCAACCAUACCUAGAUAACUUAGUAUCUGCAGCAAAGUAUUUAGUAGCAAAGUAGUAUGAUAAUAAAGGUAACGGUAGCAAAAGUAAUAUUUUUGGGUUUUGUAGUGAUUGUAACAAUAGCAGCGGAAAAGUAAAUAAGCGAAACACAAGAUGUGAAAAGCUCGUAGGCAAUGGAUCAGUGAUGGAUAAUUAUGUACGAUGCGAUUCCUCAUGUAAUAGCUAUAACAUAGGGUGACACAGAACUAGCUCCAGUUCAUCAAUGUAAUGUAGGCAUGUAUUCCGUAAACAGUCAUACGUGCUUAUGGAAAAGAACUUGCAUGGCAUCUUUUGUCCUACCCUCCCGUGGCAGCGGGGUCUUAGUGGAAACUAAGGGAUAUUAAGGGCUCCUUUUAAUAGAGAACCGGAACAAAGCAUUAGAACAUAGUGAAUACAUGAACUCCUCAAACUACGGUCAUCACCGAGAAGUAUCCCGAUUAUUGUCACUUCAGGGUUGUCGGAUCAUAACACAUAAUAGGUGACUAUAGACUUGCAAGAUAGGAUCAAGAACACACAUAUAUUCAUGAAAACAUAAUAGGUUCAGAUAUGAAAUCAUGGCACUCGGGCCCUAGUGACAAGCAUUAAGCAUAGCAAAGUCAUAGCAACAUCAAUCUCAGAACAUAGUGGAUACUAGGGCUCAAACCCUAACAAAACUAACUUGAUUACAUGAUAAAUCUCAUCCAACCCAUCACCGUGCAGCAAGCCUACGAUGGAAUUACUCAUGCACAACAGUGAGCAUCAUGAAAUUGGUGAUGGAGGAUGGUUGAUGAUGACGACAGUGACGAAUCCCCCUCUCCGGAGCCCCGAACGGACUCCAGAUCAGCCCUCCCGAGAGAGAUUAGGGCUUGGCGGCGGCUCCGUAUCGUAAAACGCGAUGAAACUUUCUCCUUGAUUUUUUUCUCUGCGAGACGGAAUAUAUGGAGUUGGAGUUAAGGUCCGCGGAGCCUCAGGGGGCCCACGAGACAGGGGGGCGCGCCCAGGGGGAGGGUGCGCCCCCACCCUCGUGGACAGGGUGUGGGCCCCCUGGUCUUGAUUCUUUUGCCAGUAUUUUUUAUAUUUUCCAAAAAGUGCCUCCGUAGAUUUUCAGGACAUUUCGAGAACUUUUGUUUUCUACACAUAAAACAACAUCAUGACAGUUCUGCUGAAAACAGCGUCAGUCUGGGUUAGUUUCAUUCAAAUCAUGCAAGUUAGAGUCCAAAACAAGGGCAAAAGUGUUUGGAAAAGUAGAUACAUUGGAGACGUAUCAGACAUCCAGCAUCUAGGUCGUGUCAUGUAAGAAAAUAGAGUGGUAGUUGAAGCCACGUGAUGUGCAUCUUGGGUUAAACUGUAAAUAGAAUCUUACUACUCUUGAGUAACUCCAAAAGCGGCCACCAAAGAUCUUUAUUGGAUUUGUUUUCAUCACCAGCACGUCGAGGUGAAAGAUGUGCAUGUUCAGUGGGUCCUCUUGCGUUUUCAUUGACAUGUGGGACCGCAUGUGAGCAAACAGACGAUGGGCUCCGUGCAUCGACUGGCUAGCUGAGAAGAGAGAUAGAGGAGGGCUGAGCACGGACUCCAGGAAAUUUGUUCUACAUACCUUGAUAUAGGCUCGAUAUACUGGGGUGGCAUGGGCCAUAACUAGUAUUCACGUCUAGCAGUACGGCACACGCCACCCACACGAGUCCCAUCCGACACCAAUUUUCUUGGAGUCCGUGCUACAGCCAUCUCUUCUCCCUCCUAUUUUCUCAGCCAUCGCGCGGUGGGCGGGGUGGGGGUUUGCCGAUAGUUAGUUUGAUCAACUGCGGUCCCACUUGUAACUGAAAAUGCAACACCGCACACAUUCCCCCUUGAGCAGCGUGCCGGACCAACCGUGUGGGGGUGCUAUGCGAACACGGGAGGCUUUUCCUUUCGAACUCAUAACUGGUAAAAUUUGGUUCUGCUCCAUGGCGCGACCGAUAGAUAGAAAAUAACGAUUUUACCUAGAGUAAUGAGAAGUUUCACUACUAGGGAAAAUCCUAUACACAGAAUCUUACUAGUAGCGAGGGUUAAAAACCCUCGCUACUGCUACUUACUAGUAGCGCAGGUUUUUAAACCUCGCUACUACUAAGUUGAUAGCAGUAGCGCGGGCUUUUAACCCUCGCUACUACUAAGCGGUCUCUACCAUGCCCCCCGGGACAUGCCAUAGUAGUAGCGCGGAUUUUUACCCCUCGCUACUACUAAGUUGAUAGUAGUAGCGCGGGUUUUUAACCCUCGUUACUACUAAGCGGUCUCUACCGUGCCUCCCUCAGACAUGCCAUAGUAGUAGCGAGGGGUAAAGAUACCCACGCUACUACUGAGCGUAUCCCUCCCUUGCCGCACCACUGCCACCCCGAUCCUAAAGAAAAAAAAAUUCCACUCCCACCCCACCAAACUCUCUCUCUCCAACCUCACCCCCACCCCUCAGUUGACUCAUCUACCCCACGACCACCUCGCCGCUGCCAGCACCCACGCCGGCCGGUUCCGGCGAGCUCCGGCCACGCGAAAUACGCCCCCAAGCACCCCAAGCUCCGCCCCUCCCUCCCCUCCUCCCAGAUCCGUGCCUCAAGGCCUGCACCCUUGCCUUGAGGCGGCGAGGGGGAAGGCGGCGGCGGAGAGGCAAACAGCGAGGAGGAGGAGCAGGCGACUCUUCCACCCAACGACCGCGGAGUUGUCGGUGUGGGCCGUCAGCCUCACCGAGAAGAGGAGCAGCAUGGCGACAAGGACGACGAGGGAGAGGAGGUCGUGGCUGAGGACGAGGCGCACGUACAGGUCCCUCCCGCAGGCGCUGUCGGGGCGGAAGGCAUUUCUGAUGACGAAGAAAGUGGUGAGAUUAAUCCUGAGCUGCUCCCUAGUAGCGGUGAGAAUCCUGAGCUGUUUAAGAAAUUUAGAUCUCCAAUCAUCUCACUAUCCCUCAGUUUAAUAUAUUCUAUUUCAAUCGAGGAUAUGCAAUUUUUCUUGAGUUGUUGAACACAUUGGGCCAUUGGGGUAUGCCUCCGGUUAAUUAACCUGAGCAUAAGGGAAAAUGUUUAGCCUGCGAACUUAACAUACAUGCAGUAUGCAUGUGCCCUCCAUGGCAGAAACUUCCAUUUUUUGUUAAACAAGAGUCCAUGUUGGCUGAGUUGUGGAUCAUUUAGAACCGUCUAAUUCAGUCCCUGCCUGUUUAUGAGCUUCACAUAGCCUCCCAUGAUAGUUUCUGAAGGCAGGACAGACCAUGUGGAAAUGAGAACAGAUGUACGGGCAUGGUUCUGUACAGGUGUUAGGUAAGUGUUUUUGCUGAUUGUGUGAAAUUUUGCAGGUAGUGGUAGCAUGCUAUAUUAAUGCUUUGGACGAAAUUACAUUAUUCUUCACCCCUGCUCAGCUCAGAGAGGCACCUCACCCCGUCGUCCCCUGAUCUCUGAAUCUCAAUGCUUGGACGAAAUUACAUUAUGAAACUUAUAUGCAGUAAGGCCUAGAUUGGCAGUGUAAUUUUUAAAAUACCGCAGUAUUCGAAAAAUUCGGCAUCAUGUUUAACUAGUGUGGAGCAUGCUAUGCAGAGGCCUAGUUUGCCAUGUUGAUAAUUGUGAGUUACAAACCAAGCUUUCAGUUUGAGAAAAAAGAGGUCUGGACCUCUUUUUCUAGAAGUUAGAAAAAACAUGGUAUCAGGAAUACAAGUGAAUAUGAAACUAUUGUUGUUGGUUUAGCCAAACACCUCACAGUUUUCAAAACUACAGUUUUAUAGAAAUCAUAGUAUUCUGAUUGAGCUAAGCUAGCAAUGUAUCUUCACCUGUGGGAAUCAAGGUGCAUAUGCUCCUUGUCUUUUUUCACAUUCUAGACUAGAUUGAAUAAUAGGAAUUGCCAAUCAACUGUAAAAAAAUAAAUUUAAUUACCAAUCUGCACGCACCAGACAUAUAUCUUUCUCAUCAUUUUAAACAGUAAACAUUGAUACUCCACGUAUACAUUUUCUAAGAAUUACUUCAUAUAUGUAGGCUGGCAGCGGUGUUCACAAAUCACCACGAAGAAAGUAAAGAUCUCGAGAGGAUUCCGUUUGUUUGCUCUAUGUAUUGUCUUUCGAAGCGCGCGCAGGAAAAAACACACACAAAAAUGCUAGUUCAUUUUACUGCCUUUUGUAGCAAAAGAAAAUGAAAAACACAAAAAAUGUUUGUUCCUCUGCCUUUUGUAGUAAUGGAGAAUGAAAGUCACAAAUUUUUUUUGGAGGAGUGGUCUCUAUGAUUUGGGGGUAGUGGCCCGGGUUUGGUCGGGCUCGAAUUCUCUGCUAUGGGUUUGGAGGAGUAAUGUUUCUGGUUCUGCAGAUAUUCAAGCUCUGGCGGACGGAGUGUCUGUGCGUGAGCAGCGAGACGGCGGCUAAGGCUAGCGUGGAAGAGGUUAGUUUUAGCAUCUAGUUCUGCAUCAUGGCUGUAAACUGAACUUGGUUCAUUUAAAAACUGCACUGUCCAAUUUGGACAGCAAGCUUAGAUCUGAAAAAUGAGUUAGCUAGGCUUAGAAUUUUGAGUGGCCCCUUUACAUAAGUUUUAGAUAAAGUUCCAAGGUUUCUUUAGAGUAUUUAUUUGUGUCGUUUGGAUGUAUGGUUUGAGAGCAGCCAUCAAUUUAGUUUGUUGUCCCGAAAUAUAUGUUCCUGGGUACAGUAUUUUGAUAUGGGAGAUUAGGCCCUGUUAGAGGUGGUAUUAAAAUAAAGUUACAACAUGAAAAUUUUAGAGGCUGUUCUGUAGAUACUUAAACACAUAUCACUUGUCAGGUUUCGUUCGUUAUAUUAAAUACUAUGAAGUUAUCAAAGUGGGCUUUACUAUGUUGGACAUAAUUUUAUGUUUGGACUUGGGUGAAUGUAACCAGACUUAUACUCUCAGAUUUUGUCAUAGUUGAUGGUGUGAGGACUUAUAAUGUGAUAAAGUAUAUACGUUGUUGCAACACCAAAAUCGGUGAAAUAUAUUUCCUUUUUUUUCUGCCGAUGACAUCUCCAUAAAGUAAGGAUUUAGAUAACAUCAUAUGUUCAGAGUUCAGUUCUUUUCUUAUCUAAAACUAACAUACAAUGGGCAUGAUGGAUGUUGCAGGUUCAUUGAUGACAACCAAGGGUUCAUGCUCGGAAACGACUACAUCUUGCUCCAUGUUGUCGGCUCAGCUAGAGUCCUUAAUCAUGCGGAGAUGGGACACGUCGAUUGUUAGAGUACACUUGACAGGUGCAUUUUGUGAAAUUCUAGCCACAAGAUUGAUAGCAUGCUUGCCUGCUUGUUCUUUUCAGUUCAAAUAAAUGUUCCUUUUCUUGUUGAAUCCAAAGUAGCUAGCGGAGAUAAGUGGAAAGGUUGUUGAUUAUCCCAAAGUUCUUGGACCAUUUAGUUUGAAUAGCCAGUGAGGAAAUAAGCAUAUAUUUUUGGCAUGAGCCCCUUUAAAUUGCUAGAUGAGAAAGAAUCUUAACUUAAUUAAUGGGUCUUGUGAAUUGGAAUAUACCAUUUAGUUGAACUGAUGCAAUUUGCGUACUAACAAGUUUUCACUUUCUCGACAUGGGCGCAGGGGUGAUCGACGCUGACUAGCGCAGCCGGUGGGCGCUGUGCUCUUGAACCACUCAGAGGCGGACUUCUCCGUGAAGCUGGUGGCCAUUUCGCUUAGAUGAUUGUCGAGGUGAUUUCGACGCCGGAGAUCGCCGAGGUGGAGGACCUCGACGCCACCGUCCGGGGGAGGGAGGAUUCGGGUACACCGGCGUCUAAGCUCCGAGCCUUGGUAGAUACAUCUACGGAAGUUGUCUGUUUAGGUUGGUGAUGGAACACCAGGGAAGGUACCCACCUUUCGAUGAUCAUUAUGUGUGUGUCUGAAGUUAAAUGGAAUCUUGAGAAUGUUAUGUGACGUUGGUUUGAUUUGCACUGGACGUAUUGCCAUCCAUGAAUACUACAUCUAACUUUUAUUUUUUUAAUUCCUAAAUUAUUAGUAGUAGCGUGGGAAACAAAUGAGCGCUACUAGCUAGUAAUUAGGUUAGUAGUAGCGUGGGAAAUAAGAAAUGAGCGCUACUAGUAGUUAGGUUAGUAGUAGCGUGGGAUAUAAGUGAGCGCUACUGGUAGUUAGGUUAGUAGUAGGCUAGUAGCGCGGGUGCACCCGCGCUGCUACUAACUUUUAGCUGUAGCGCGAUACUAGUAGCGCGAGUACCCGCGCUACUAGUAGCAUUUUACCCGCGCUGCUAGUAGCCUUUUUCCUAGUAGUGUGGUUCUGGCGCCGUUCAUGCAUGGAGUACGUACAAAAAUUAUGAAGUUGAUGCGAACGGUAAGAUAAUUACUAGUAGUACCAUAUACUACUACAUGGAUUUGACAAAAAGAUAAAAAUACAUACGGAUCCAUCAACGACAUCCUCAUGCCCUAGUGCGCCAGGUCACCAACCGACGUGUGAGGAGUAGCGGCGUUGGCAGCGAGCUCAACGUGCUUCUGAACAAUGCCGUCCAUGGUUGCCCUGCGGUCCAAGAAGGCCAGCAUCCUAUCGUCCUCCUCUUGCAUGUAGUAGUCCUUGUGGACGAUUUGCGCGUAGAAAUGGGUGAUUAUGUCGAUGGUGUCUUGCUGCGCCAGGCGAUGCGCGGCGAGCGCGACCUUGAGGUGGACAUUCUCCGGCGUGACGGCGGGCAGUCGCAGGGCCACCAGUGCGUCGAAUAGGUUUUCACCAUAGUGGCCGUUGAGGGUGGCGGGCAUCGCAGAGCCUGGACGCAUUGGCUGGAGGCGUACGUCAAAGUCGUCCGCGAGCUUCUUGACGACGGUGAACUUGUCGAGGAAACCGACGAGGACCUCAUCGAACAAGGAUACGAAGCUGUCGUCCAAGCGGCCCCUCGCCCUAGCGGCCUCAAGCAAUACCUGGAGACAUUCCUCGGUGUCGGGCCAUAGGCCGGCGUCAUGGACCAUCUGGCACAGCCGGCUGAUGCUCGCGCUCAUCACCUCCAUGGGUCUAGCUUAGCUUCUAGUCAACUGACCUUGCGAUUCGAGUGAUCACUCUUGCCACUGGUUAGCGUGCGUAGGUGCGUAGGAUUUCGUACAACUCCUCGGCCCUCUACUGCACCUGCCUUUGGCUAUAUGAUAGGUGGGCCAGCCACCCCUUGGGCCCACGUGUCAUUCACCCGAAUGCAGUUGCAGUAAGUCAAUGAAGCUACGUCCCCCUCCGUGCCGGUGCAGUAUAGUCAUCUCACCGGACCUCUAGUUGGGGCCAACCGAGAGAAGUUUGAUGUUUACUGGUUUAUUGGUCCCCUUUGCAUUUUGCGCCAAGUUUUGACCUUUGAUUUAACUAAUAAAAUGUUAAUGCAUGUAAACAAAAAUGUUGUGUAAGUCACCUUACGAAAACCAAAUAAUCCCAAAACACUUAGGCACGGUGCACUAACUCCCUCCUUGUUUCUUAUUUCAUGACAUAUCAACAAAUGAGAGAUGUGGGCCAUGCAUGCUUUCAAUGACUUGAGACUACCAAACAUGACAUGCAUUGUUUAGUUCAUUGCAUGUAAUCUAUUAGUUAGCAAAAAGACAUUAAGUUCUCUCGCCGAUAGGAAUAAAACAAUACACCAUGUAUUUAUUUACAGAGGGAGUAGUACAUUUUUUGUGACAUGCAUUACUAGAUAUUGCUAGUCAAAUACUAAAAUCUAGAUGGACGUGGUAGUACUCCUAAAUCCAGACGGUGGUGCUACUAGUACUAGUAGUAGUACUACCAAUGUAGUAGGAGUACUAGCACUGUACUACCCGUUGGUCAAAUUAUUACGUGCCACUCCUCACAGUGAAGUGACAAGACCCUGCGCCGGAGAUGACACCUGAGUGUAGGCGUCGUGUUGGUCAUACCAUAGUCAGCCUCACCGUCUGUAGUCACUAUCAUCAUGGCUAUAGAGCUAGCCUGCUUACAACUAGCCCUGUUCGACAUAAUUUCCCAUGCAUUGCACGAAACACCAAUAUUGGGGGUGGACAGCGCCGGCAGCGGCCAUCGCGCCACAUUUUUCCACGGCCUUCUAGAUGUGGUGGGGAGGAGAUAAGGCUGAUUGUGAGAGACAAGGAGUUGUUUGUAAAUAGGGAACAAGUGCGGGCAUCUUUUUGCAAAAAUGGAGAUGUUUGGUUUGUAUGCGUCAGAUCUAGAUCCGACGGCUAUUGGUGAAAGAUGGGAUGCACAACAUCAUCACCAACUCAGGACCUGUUUGAUUCACAGGAUUUUGAAAAUGCAUGAAUAGGACAUGACAAUAUUACAAGUUUCAAACCGAUAUUACAAAUGUUAGGAGUAAUGCUGCACCUACGAAGAGGGAAUUACUAGGAAGUUUACGUAAGAACUUUCGUUACUUUAGGUGGAUGCAGCAUUAUCAUACAAACUAAAAUCCACCACCCUGACAAGUCACUAAUGGGCAAAUAAGUUUUUGAAUCUCUGGCCACUUGAUGUUUCAAAAACAAAUUCAGCUUCUGUGAAGACUUUGUCAUUUAGGCUUAGACGCCUGCGGUGAUCAGCACGCCAUUCAUUGUUCCGCCAGAGAACGCCAAACCUCAUUACCUUGAGCACACUUUCCUCCAGAACAAAGAACCUGGCCAAUUUAAUCUCAGAUGUGCUACCUCGGUAGUCGAUCAAAUAAAUAUCUGUAAGAUGGAGAUCAAGGCAUAUUUGGAUACAAAGGAAUGGGAAGAUCUUCAGGAAUGAAACACCUUCUUUCAGGGCAUGGAGGAGGAAUUUUUUGCAGGACAUCUCUCUUUUAGCUCAUAGAAUCAAAUGUAAAUAUAGGAAUAGUUUAACCUCUUGGAUAGCUUCCUUACCCUAAUCACUUAUUUUGUAAGUAUUACUCUCUCCUCCUCUCUCUUAACUUUGUAACUUUGUACUACUUUGCUUUGAGUUUUAAUAAAAGACUGUGAGGCUGUUGCCUUGCAGUACAUAGUCAAAAAAAAGAUGGAGAUCAAGGCAUUUGAUGAGAUUUUUAUAGUGCAACACAUUUUUCACUUUUGGGUCUUUUUUUAUCUGCAAAAGAAGAGAACAUAUUAGAGCAGCUGGCUGUAUAAGAUUGUCGUGUCAUCAAGAGGUACCAAUAUCAUUCGCUCAUACGAUAGGGUUGGCUGGCUAGUGAUAUUUUUUCACUCUCUCUCUUUAUAUUUCCUCUCAUUUAACUAGGAGCACGUGAAGAGCUUGGGCAUUUGUUGCCUUCCACUAUGUGGCUGAUGCCAUAUUUCGCAAAAGUAUGCCACAUAAUACGCAUCAAUGUCAAAUCAAAAGAUUUUGGCACCGCUCUCGCGAUGUGAGAGAGUUGGCACCGCUGUGCACACAGACCUACAUGUAUAAACAAAUCAAUCAAACAACCUACACCAGCCUCUCACUCUCCCAAACAAGUGUUUUUUAUUGCCUCAGUCCUCUCUCUCACCCACGCAGUGUUUUUUCAUUGCGUGAGUUAAUUUGGCACCGGAGCAAAGUAGGUGAUCCAGAUUGGGGCACUAGGUGAGCAAUGGAGGGGCAUCGAUGCCAAAUGCAUCACAAGUAAAUUUGGCACGUGUUUUGGCCUACAUAGCCCACUUUUGUACUCCCUCCGUCCCAAAAUUCAUGUCUGAAAUUUGUCUAAAUAUGGAUGUAUCUAGUUACAUUUUAGUGUUAGAUACAUCCGUAUCUAAACAAAUGUAAGACAAGAAUUUUGGGACGGAGGGAAUACUACCUCGUAUUUAGUAUAAAAUUUUGACCAUAGAUUUACCUAAGAAAAUGCCAAUGCAUGUCACUAAAAAUUACACCAUUUGAAAUUAUGUUCAAAUAUGAAUCCAACGAUAUAGUUCUUAGUGACAUGCAUUAACAUUUUGUUAGUUAAAUCUAUGCUCUUAGUACAGCAUAAAAAUGAUGCAGGUGAUCACGUGAGAAAAAAUACUAAAAAUAUUUCUUUCGAUGCAGUGCGUAGAUGCAGUUUUGAACACUUCACUUGUCAUCAUAAUUUGGGAAAAUUACGAAAAAAUUGAGCUACGUUGUGAUUACUGUUUACUAAUAGGAAAGAAGUUUCACCUCGAUGAGUAGCUUCUCCGUGCAAGGAAAGCAUGCAAGGAAUCCAACAACUUGAUCCAGAUUGGGGCCGAUAGAUUUUAGUGCCAAGAUCUUUACUAUGCGCAUGGACUGGGUCAAGCUUGUGGGAAUCAUUUUCUGGAAGACGGUCGUAAAUACAUCAAGAAGAAAUUUAAAAAGUGAAUUUCAAGAAGACGGAGAAGAAGAUGAGUGUUGUACCUAAACGAUUACGGAUCCAAUAAAGAGUUCGGAGAAUUUGGCAAAUGAGUACACCAACACUGUCAAUUUCGGCGCGUCAAUGACCCUGAUUUUUGUUGGACCUUCUAGAUCCGAUACAAGCAAUCUCUCAAGGAAAGGCGCAUUCUCAAUAACCAUAACGUGGAACAGCUAGAGUGAUCUCUUCCCAAAUGAUGUCUUGUUGCGGGGCCAGCAAGACACAUAAAUCCAUCGGAGAUUCGUCGAGGCGAUGUGGAGGCUAAUGAACCCGUGGAUCUGCUCAAGACGAAGGUACUCGAGCGCAGUACAGCUACGGAGCAGGUGCUCCAUAACCUUCUUCGAGAUGACAACAUUGAAGAGGUCGAGCUGCUUGAGUUGAGGGAGAAGAAGGGCGGGCGCGACAUUAAUCUGGGGAAGAUAGCAGGAGCUGAAGCUGGUGCGACGCAACAUUGUCGUGAGGCGGAGCGCAGACGGCCGCAGAGAGCGACAUCGUCCAGCUUCAAAGCUGAGCUCCUUGAGCUGAUCUAGGGUGGGGGAUAAGAACCACUCGUCAAACUUGAGUUGGACCUUGUAGUUGGUACUGAACAUGCGGAUGUCAAGGCAUCUGGCUGGCCCAGGGUGCGAUGAAAGGAUCUUGGAGACUGCGGCCAUGCGUUUGCAAUCCCCGUCGCAGAGGCAGCUGUCAACGGCGAGGUUGAGGGGGACGCGGUGCCAAAGGGCGCGCGACCGACGGGAGAGCAGGGUGGUUCGCACAGCAAAUUUGGUGGGGAGGAGGCCGAUGAUGACGAGGAACAUGUUUUCAGGGAGGCUGCUGAUGAAGUCCAGGCUCACCUGAUGCGGUUUUGGCUCGAGUCACCUCUGCUUGUUGGCUGCCUCGCCGUCCAUCUCAAUUGGUGGCGACGCCGGUGUACACCGGUGCUGGUGUGUGUUGUGUGCUAGGUGUGCGUGAGUGCGUCCUUCUGUUCAUGACGCUGUGCAGUGGCGAAUUGUGCGCGAGUGCGUCCUUCACGCGCAAGAAGUGUGUCCUCAAUGUGCCCUCAAUUUACUAGCAUGCGGGGUGCUACCUCGAGUGGUUUCAACUUUGUUUACUUCACCGCAUGUCAGAUGGGCCUCUAGUUUACUUAUUUUCACCCACUGCCACAUGGGCCAGCACACGAAGAUACAGAACACGAGCUGACAAGGCAGCAUGUGGACUGGUUGACCGGUCAACUAAACAAUAUACGGAGCUAUAUGCUAACACAAUGAGCAUAUAAUCCGUCGGUAUAGAGAGUUUGAGUGUGAGGGGAGGCCCGUGAGAGAUAGCAGAGAGAGAGAGAGAAAGAGCUACUCCCACCGUUCGAUAAUGUAGUUCCAACAUUUUUUUUAAAGCCAAACUUUUCAAACUUUGACCAAGUUUAUAAAGAAAUUACUUAUAUCUACAAUACCAAAGAUAAAUGAUAGUAUGAAGUAAAUACAUGUUGUGAUGAAUCUAAUGAUCGUUCCAGAUGUAAAUGAUUUUCUCCACAUAUACCUGGUCAAACUUUUCUGAGGUUUGACUUUUCAAAACAUCCAUAUGCUUAUGGACAUGACACAGUCCCUAACUAGAGAGAGAGAGAGAGAGAGCAAGAGAGAGAGACAGAGAGAGAGAGAGAGAGAGAGAGAGAAAUAGAAAGAGUGAGUGAAAAAAGUGUGUGUGCGUGUGUGAAAGAGACAUGGACAACACAUGACAAAAGUAGAGAAAAAGCAUGCGUGUCUUAUGCAAACAUAUCACACAUGCAUCUUUGACAACGGAGGCAAGGUGAGGACAUAGUGUGUGGUUGUUUGGAACCGAGAGAGCAAGACCCCUAGCACGUGGCCAAGAGGGGUCUGACAAACAAGGGAGAGAGGUCGAGAGAGACGUACAGAGAAAAUGCAGACAUGGGGAGGAGAGAGUAUAUGUUUGUCAUACAGAGAUCCCAUGGAGAUCGCGAUGGGACUACAUGGGUGGGAGAUCGAGUGACAAGGUGUGUGCGCGAUAGAAGAUGCCCCGAGAGAUAUCGAGAUAGACGUGUGGAUGGAAGGAGACAAUACGUGUGUUCCUGAUGGCUAGUAAGAGAUAAUCAUACUUAGGAGGAGGGGGGAGUGCUUGCGCCUAUGAUGGAGUGAGGGAUUAUGGUACUUAUGGGGGUGCGUGUCACAUGGAGAGAGAACAAGGGCGGAGAGUGUUGGAUGAGUCUAUAUGUAUAGCACGAGCGAGACAUGUGUAUGUGUGAACCUGGGAGAUAUAAGGUCAGUUUGGCUUGUGUCCUGAGCAUCUUUUGCCUGGCCUGGGGUUGUGGCUUGAUUUCAUGCGCGCUUGUUUGGUUGCUACCCUGUGAAAAAGAAAGCCCGCCUGGCCUGGAUUCCCUUGCACUUUAAUUAGCCUGGCUAGACUCCAGACACUACAAGUAGCUUGGCCCAGGCGACCGAUUUCGAAUGCCUAGCCAUGCCUGGUCGUGCAGCCACGAGGAUAAAAGCAACCUAGAUGGAUAUUAGCAUUAAAUAAUUGCUGCAUGGAUUGAUUGAUGCGACGUUGAUGCUUUGCCUGGCCCAGGCACGAACCAAACGCUUCUGCACCACACAAGCCUGGCCAGGCAGAAAUAUUUUACAUCUCACGUCCACGCCAGGCAGUACUGGCCAUCAAGGCAUGAGGGUGAGGUCAGGAACCAAACUGACCAAUAAAGUUUGAAAGAGAUUGAGGAGCCCCGAUAAGGCUGAGUGGUGCGUUAGAUAGCUGAGAGGGGGAAAGAGAUAUUCCAUCCGCUCGAUAAUGUAGUGCAUGUAAAUUUUUUAGAAGUCAAACUUUGGAAACUUUGAUCAGGUUUACGCAAAUGUUAUUUAUAUCUACAAUACCAAAGAUACAUCAUACACAACUACAUAUCAUGGUGAAUCUAAUGGUAUAUGUUUGCCGUUCUAGAUGUAAUUUUUUUCUCCACGUACAUGGUCAAACUUUGUGAUGUUUGACUUUUCAAUAAAUCUAUAUGCUAUGGACCAAGGAGAGUGCCUAAGUCGAAACAGAUCAAGUGUGUGUGAAGGAGAAUGAGUAAGUGUGCAAAAAGAGUAUGUGUGUGAAAGAGAAAGUACAACAAAUGAUAAACUAGAGAGUGUGUGUGUUUUUUCGUUUCUUAUGCGAACAUAUCACGCAUGCAUCUCCGAGAUAGAAAAGCGAGGCGAGGAGAUACACAAAGAUAGCUAGUGUGUGAUUGUUUGCAACAGAGAGAGACACCCCUGUAGCACAUGUCCAAUAGAGGUCUGGCCAACAAGGAACAAAUGUCGUGAGGGACACAUGGAGGACAUGGACACAUGGGGAGGGAGAGAGGGUGUGUUUGUGAUAGAGAGAUCCCAUCGAGAUCGUGAGGGGACUAUAUGGGUGGGAGAUCGAGGGAGGUGCGUGCGUGAUAGAAAGAUGCCCCGAGAGAAAUCGAGAUAGACCAUGCACAUGUUUGUGAUGGAGACUAAGAUUAGCUAGUCAUAUACAUAUAGGGGGACUACGCGUGCCUACAAUUGAGUGAGAGACCAUCAUACUUGGCUAGCUAGGCAUGAGAUUGUGUGUGUGUGUGCGUGUGAGAUGGAGAGAGAAUGAGGUAGAGAGAUAUAGUUUUAGAUGGGCCUAUCGAGUGCGAGUGAGAUAUGCAUGUGUAUGUGUGACCCAGGUGGAUCGAGAGUUUGAGAGGGGGGAGAGCUCCGAGACGACAGAGUGGUGCGUGAGAGAGUUACGGGCAACGAGCAAAGGAAUUUGUGUGCGUACCAUGAGUGCGCCCAAGAUAUCUAGCUUGGAUUAGCUAGAGUAUCAUACAUAGUGUGCGAGAGAGACCUAUAUAUGGUGUAUAUAUAUGCAUGCGAACUAGAAUGAUCCCCCCACACACACACAAAGAGAGAGAGAGAGAGNNNNNNNNNNNNNNNNNNNNNNNNNNNNNNNNNNNNNNNNNNNNNNNNNNNNNNNNNNNNNNNNNNNNNNNNNNNNNNNNNNNNNNNNNNNNNNNNNNNNNNNNNNNNNNNNNNNNNNNNNNNNNNNNNNNNNNNNNNNNNNNNNNNNNNNNNNNNNNNNNNNNNNNNNNNNNNNNNNNNNNNNNNNNNNNNNNNNNNNNNNNNNNNNNNNNNNNNNNNNNNNNNNNNNNNNNNNNNNNNNNNNNNNNNNNNNNNNNNNNNNNNNNNNNNNNNNNNNNNNNNNNNNNNNNNNNNNNNNNNNNNNNNNGUGUCGGAUGCGUGCGACAGGAUUGAAGAUUGUCGGAGAGAGAGAGAGAGCGAGAGAGAGAGAGAGAGAGAGAAAGAGAGAGAGAGAGAGAGAGAGAGAGAGAGAGAGAGAGAACAUGAGUCUGGGAGAGGGGGAGGUCGCGUUUUAUGCAUCAAAGACUGAUAUAAACCAUGUCUCGAUAUAAACUUGCAUUCAAAUAUUUAAAUUGGAAAACAUGUUGUUUGCAAUCCACACAUGAACGGAUAUAUGCGUAUAUCAAACAAGUUCAUCAAUUUGACUUUCAACAUGUUCAUGGAGUACUAUAAUACUAUACAACACGCUACUUGAUUGAGGUGUUCAAUUUUGGAUUUAGUUCACUAUUUUGACCUAGUGAACGAGCUAUUUCAUUGAAUCGAGAUAUUUCAUUUUGGGUUUAAUUCGUGUUUUUGAGUGCGUCAACUAUUUGUCAUAUAGUAAAUCGCUAGCAAUGAGCAUGUAAAAACACAUUACUCCCAAGCAUCAUCUCUCCAUCUAAAAAAGAAGUGGCAAGCUAAUAUUUCAAAAUUUGAUUCGAAUCGACUUGGUAAGGUAGACGUGGAUGCUCGAUCUCCUAAAAUUUGAAUGAACCGUUAAACAUCAUCUACUCGGUGGAAUUCGCCCGAGCAAAUAAAUGGGAGAUGCGAAAUUACCGUCCUAUGUGGGACACACAUCUAUUGGCCCGUUGUACAUCGCGGGUAGGUUCAUAACUUCAUCCAAGCGCGCCUUCUCUUCGGCCAAAAUGACAUGUGCCGAAUAAUUCAUAAACCAUGGUCGGCAAAACACGCUCUCCUCGCCUAAAAUAGCUCGCGCCCACUAUUUCAAAACAUGCUCUCCUCGCACGAAAUUGUUCGCGCCCACUAUAGUUCAAAACACGCCCUCCUCGCCCGAAAUCGCUCCCGUCCACUAUUUGGGGAGAAGCAAAGUUACUCUACUAUCCCCGACCCUCAGUACACAGACCCAAGCCGAGAAGCCUAAAGGCAGGGGUAGAACUGUAACUCCCCCUCACAUUUCAGACAAAUGCGUCUGUAAGACAUGGUUCCACUCCCCUCACAAUUCCCCUCCCCCCCUCGCCCCCCAUUCAUACCUCGUGGGCGCAAAAUCACCUUCUCCCCAGGAAGCUCCCUUCUCCCGAGCCGCGAAACCUCAGCCCCUCCUCCAUGGCGCCCGCACCGCACCAAUUUCACAGCUGCCCUCCUCCCUAAUGCCGGAGAUGUUGUCCAUUUGCCGUCGUGCACUAGGCCGUGUGCCUCUUACUCCGUGCUGCUAGAGCUGCCUCGACGACGGCCGCGUGAACCGUACCGGAGCCGAUUCACCCCCGCCAUUGUUCAUGACGCUGGAGCGGCUCCAACUUCGGAUCCGUCCAGAGUCCAAGUGCUGCUUCCCCAUAGCCGUCGACCGUCGCGACAUUGUUGUUUCCCUGUCGCAGGUCGCCACCGCAACUGCGCCGGCAUCACUGACUCGGCAGCUGGACCUCCCUACUUCACCAUGCCACCAGAUAGGUCGCACCCUCAUCUCAAAUCACUUUAUUUAGGCGUCAGUUGUCUGAAUUUUUAUUCUGGGCCAAUCGAUUCCUAAUGGGAAGCAGCAUCCCUCGAGGCGGCGGAGCUCCCGGUUAGCUGGUGUCUAACGUAAGGGUGCGGGGCCGCAAGUUCGCCGCGGAAGCAGCACUUAGAUGGCUAAGUUUUAGAGUUGUGUGGGUUGAAGGUACUAGCGCCAUCGGAUCUGGAUGACGGGGCGUCUUUGUGGAUUGGCCCGGGGGCGGCGCAACCACGGCAGUGCGGUGGGGUGGGGAGCGGGGUUUUGGCCAGGGCCACGGACAUCGGAGGUAGGCUGCUCUGCCGUUGGUCGCUAGCUCUUCGGGGAAGAUUCCGAAUAGUGUCAGCCGGGAGGCACAAGACGACCAUCAAGCCAUCCAGCGUAGAUCGGACAAUACCAAAAUAAAAUAAAAUCAUGUGACCCCAAUUUAGUCUUCAGUCAACAGAUGUGUGACCACUCUCGUACCUUGCUGUUGAUCUCUUAGUGUAUUUCUUCAGAUCAAAGAGAUAUGUCAUUCUUAACAUUAUGCAUUAUCUGCAUCUUCAGACACACCGUCUUCCGACUCACCACAGCUGCUCCAACAAGGGAAGCAUACACCAGAAGGGAGCUAUAGUCCCCACUCAACAGUUCCCUGCAUUGAAUGCGCUUGCCCGACAUGGACAGCCACAACAACUGCAGGGCCAUCGACAAGUCAACACAUGAUGCUCACUCCUAUGGAUGGCAGCCAGAUAGGUUGUACCCUCAUCUUACUUGUGUGCAACAUUUAUGGCUUUGUUAUUCAUCUAAGCAUGGAAAAUAGAUCAUCACAUCUCACUUUAUAUUCAUGCUGAUCUCUUACGGGUCUUGUUCAGGAGUUAACGUUGUUCCAUAGUUCAGCUAAGAUACUUGUUCUUUAGGUAACGUUGUUCCAUAGUUAUCAUCUAUCAGCCAAUUCUAUCCCACAGGCUGGUGAUUAUAGUAUUAUAGCACUUCUAGUAUUACCUAUGUUGUUCUUUAAUACUUUUGUGUGCCAUCUAGUUAAUCUCGAGUACAAAUGAUACAUAUUCCAUAGCUUUCAUCUAUGUUCUCCCUUUAGUUUAUGAGACUUGUUGCUGCUAGUUAACCCUAGUCCUACUAUUUAUGUCGUCUCCUACAGGCACUCAUUACAUAAAUCUAACUACUAGUUGUCUUCCAUGCAUGUCACAUAUAAUUGCACACACUGAUAUAUCCACAAUAACCUCACGGAGCAAUGUAAAGGCCAAUAAACUUGAUGUCAAUGAUACCCAAUAUGAUGGAACUUGUAAAGGCAGUUCUUCAGAAGACUUGCAGAAAGAUAAUGAAUCCUCUUCACCCCACAAGGUCCUUACUCUAACAUGGCCUGUGAUAUGGGUACGGCAUGCAUAUAAUGUCCUGGAGUGUAUCUACUCUGUUGCAAUGCCAUGUCCUUAGCAUGCUGAUCAUGCAUGUAAAUAUGUCAUGCCUUCCUGUUUUUCAGUACCUAUUCCAUUCAUGGUAACAUGUUUUCAAAUUCAAGUACUGUCAUUCUACUCUAUCGCAAUGCCAUCGGCUUAAUUUGGACAUCAUGCUUCUGAAUAUCUUAUACAUUGUUAUUCAUCAGUAUGUACUUCAUCUGUCUACCAUACCAUGUUUUUUACAUUGAAGUGUUGUUCUAGUGCUCUGUUGCAAUGCCACCUUAGUUUCCCAAUCAUACACGUGUAUGUUGCCUUAGUUAUUUUUGUACGUAUUCCGCUAGCAUACAGUUUUACAUUCAACUAGUGUUUUUUCUUGCUAUGUUGUCCUGUCGUAUCCCUAGCUCUUACACCAUACUCCCACCGUCCGGAUUACAUGUUGACGAAAUGGAUAAAAAAGGAUGUAUCUAGAACUGAAAUACGCCUAGACCCAUCCAUUUUGUUCCGGAUGGAGGGAAUACAUGUCAAUAUGUCAUGCCUUUCUAUUCUUCAGUACCUAUUCCAUCUCUCUGCUGUAGCAUGUUUUAUAAUUAAAGCACCAUUCUUGUAGGCAUGCAAGGGGAAGACGACUAUGUUAGAAUCAGAAGGGUUACAAACAAGGCCUUUGCAAAAGAUCCAAACGCCAGGAGAUAAUAAACCAACUCCAGUUUUUAUAGAUACUGCUCCAGCACAGAGAAACCCAACUCCUACUGAUAAUAAGCAUAUUCCAGUGGCCAAAGAACUAGUCCGCUCCAGUCCAAAAAAAUAUGUCAACUACAUUCUAAGAAGCGUGUGCAUAUCCUUGCAUCAUGAAAUUUUAUAGGAUGCUGAUCAUAUUAUCUACAUGUUUCUUACCCAUCUCUCUUUUAGAAAAUAAGCUUAACAGAUAGUAGAAUUUCUGCACUGGUAUCGUAUGUGAGGAAAGAUUCUUGCAGGAAUUCUCUUUGCUCCAAUGCAGAUGUAAGUACCUGUUGUAUAUCACUAUAUUUUUACAUCAGCAUGUAUUUUGUUAAUCGGCGUGAAUCCAACCUGUAUCUGAUCUAAAUUUAGUUGUAGCAAAAUGUAUGAUUAAAGGCCACAAUGUUGAUUUUUGUAAGGAAAACUGCCUGGUAGUUUUGCAUCCUGAGCUGCAUGAGUUUACUAUCUCAUAUCAGUGGGUUCGAAUACUUUGGUUCUGCAGUGGGUUUUCAGUGUUUUGUUGUCCCAUCGUAUCCCUAUCUCUUACAUCAUACUCCCUCCGUCUGGAUUACAUGUCGCAGAAAUGGAUAAAACUGGAUGUAUCUAGAACUGAAAUACACCUAGACCCAUCCAUUUAUUUUCGGAUGGAGGGAAUACAUGUCAAUAUGUCAUGCCUUUCUAUUCUUCAGUACCUAUUCCAUCUCUGUUGUAGCAUGUUUUAUAACUGAAUCACCAUUCUUCUAUAUAAAGCAUGCAAGGGGAAGACGGCUAUGUUAGAAUCUGAAGGGUUACAAACCAGGUCUUUGCAAAAGAUCCAAACGCCAGGGAUAAUAAACCAACUCCAUUGUUCAUAUAUACUUCUCCAGCACAGAGAAACCCAACUCCCACUGAUAAUAAGCAAAUUCCAGUGGCCAAAGAACUAGUCUGCUCCAGUCCAGCAAAAGAAUGUCAACUCCAUUCUAAGAAGCGUGUGCGUAUCCUCGCAUCAUGAAAUUUUAUAGCAUUCUGAUCAUAUUUUCUACAUGUUUCUUACCCAUCUCUCUUUUAGAAAAUAAGGUUAAAUGAUAGAAGACUUCCUCCAUUUGGAUCGUAUUUGAGGAAAAUAUCUUGCGGGAAUUCUCUGUGUUCCAAUGCUGAUGUAAGUACCUGUUGUAUAUCACUAUAUUUUUACAUCAGCAUGUAUUUUGUUAAUCGGUGUGAAUCUAACCUUUAUCUGAUCUAAAAUUAGUUGUUGCAAAAUGUUAAAGGUGCCAAUGUUGAUUUUUGUAAGGAAAACUGCCUGGUAGCUUUGCAUAUUGAGCUGCAUGAGUGUACUAUCUCAUAUCACGCACAUUACUAAAUUGUAGUGCUUCUCUGGUUGCCCAUUCAUUCAUUGUGUCAAUGUUGCUUUCGUAUUACGUUACCUGGCUGAUGAUAGUUGUGCAAUAUUGUGUUAAUUUGGUGUAGGCUAGUUUCCCAAACGUUCGUUGUGUCAAUUUUUCUUUCCAAUUAUCUGACUUGGCCAAUGAUAUCAGUGCUAGUGUGUUAAUUUUGUGUAGGCUGCUGAAGAUAAGAAGACAAACUCUGAAAACAGCAAGGCAACCCCAUUGUUUCUUUCCAAUAAAUCUAGGCCAGGUAAUAUGGCAAUAACUCAUGAUUAAUCUGUUUGGUUCCCUUCCUAAUUUAUGUUAUGAUGCAGUGGUCGAGACACUCUCCACUAUCAAUAAUACAAGCCUGCCAAAAUCGCCAUCUGAAUCUGUUCAGUGUCCUCCAUCUCGAAUGCAACGGAAUAAAUGUAUGUUUGUGAACCAAUUAAUGGCUGAAGCAAUGAUGGAAAUGGUGGAUGAAUCAGAGGUGCAGAGUUGUGCGACACAACAACUGAUCAAUGUUUUCAAAGACAGUGUAGCAAAGCAGCAAGAACUUGCCCACAUGCUUAUGGGCGUCAUCUGUGCUGAGAUUGCAGAUUGUGACGUUGUAGAUGGUUAGGUUCUGCUCAUUUAUUUGCACUGGCAUCAAUCUUUGAUUGCCUAGUGGAUGUAAUUUCCUAUAAUAUAUGCUGGAUGUGCAACGUUAUUCCCCGUAUGCCGUACCUUUGCUUGAUCGGUUUUGGUCCUGUGCAUAAUUGCUCGUCAUAAUGGGCCCAAAUUAUCUAAUUUGGCCUAAAGAUAUGUACGAACUUUAGUGGGCCCAUUAAGUUAAUGGGCCGUUACUAGGCCGAAAGUUAAUUCUCGGCCCUCUUACCUCCCGGGUCGUUAACAGGCCGACAUCGAAGUGGGCAAAUGGUGGGCCCAAUUUAUUUCACGGGCAGUUAACAGGCCGUUACUAAGUUUGGGCUACAUAUGGCCCAACUAUACUGUACGCCAUUAGCAGGCCGAAAGAGACAGCGGGCUUGUACUGGACCAUGAAGAGCAUGGGCCGCUAAGAGGCCGAAUGUCAGGUCGUAUUGUAAAUGGCCCAACUAUGUUGUGGGCCUUUAGCAGGCCGAAAGAGAAAUCGGGAUGGUAUUGGACCAUGAAGGGCAUGGGCCGUUAAAAGGCCAAAAGUAAGGUCCGACUACAAAUGGCCCAACUCAUUUAUGGCCCGUUAACAGGCCUGUCGGUGUCAAAACCAGCAGAUCUCGAGUAGGGGGUCCCGAACUGUGCGUCUAGGCGGAUGGUAAUAGGAGACAAGGGACACGAUGUUUUUACCCAGGUUCGGGCCCUCUCGGUGGAGGUAAAACCCUACUCCUGCUUGAUUAAUAUUGAUGGUAUGGGUAUUACAAGAGUUGAUCUACCACGAGAUCAGAGAGGCUAAACCCUAGAAGCUAGCCUAUGGUAUGAUUGUUUUCUGUCCUACGGACUAAAACUCUCCGGUUUAUAUAGACACCGGAGAGGGCUAGGGUUACACAGAGUCGGUUACAAUGGGAGGAGAUCUUCAUAUCGUAUCGCCAAGCUUGCCUUCCAGGCCAAGGAAAGUCCCUAUCCGAACACGGGACGGAGUCUUCAAUCUUGUAUCUUCAUAGUCCGGGAGUCCUGCCAAAGGUGAUAGUCCGGUCAUACGGACACCCCGUAAUCUAGGACUCUCUCAGUAGCUCCCGAACCAGGCUUCAAUGAUGACGAGUCUGGCGCGCAAAUUGUCUUCGGCAUUGCAAGGUGGGUUCUUCUCCAACUUCAUAUACUUGUAGAAUAGUGUCCAGCUUCUGAUAAAUGUUGCGCUCCUUGGCUUCCACGCCCAAUAAAGGCCAUUUUUCACGUGUCGAACGAAUGCGAAAAGCUAAGGUAUUUUUGCAUUUUCCCCCCUAGCGACUCAAAUAAGCUGUCUAUAAAAAGAGACGGGGAUCUAGAUCCGAACCACGCCAUCUCCCCUUCACAAGCUUUCAUCGGAGCACGUCUGACCAAAAAAUCCAUCAUGGACAGCCGACGCGGCUCCUCCUCUCGCGCUCCCAGCCCCAAGCCUGGGGAUUGGGAGAGAUGCUCCAUCCCGGAUAGUGAACUCAUAGUCCUUCAAUCCAAGGGGCUCCUUUCCCCAGCAUAUAUGGUCCCAGUUCGAGCUGGGAUCGCCACUUAUAGCGGCGGAGAGCAAGCAGAGAGCAUCCCCCAUCCCUCUCGAGGAGAGCGGGUAUGCCUAGUCCCUUAUUUAAUAAGAGGACUCGGAUUUCCAAUUCAUCCGUUUCUUCGAGGGUUGCUGGAGUUCUACGGCCUCCAACUUCACGACCUCACGCCUGCCUCCAUUCUGCACAUUGCGGGCUUCGUGGCCCUCUGCGAACUAUUUUUGGGUGUUGAGGCCCAUUUCGCGCUGUGGAAGAGGUUGUUCUACCUCGUGCCCCGUUCUCAGGAGGGGUCUAUUUAUCAAGUGGGCGGAGCCGAACUAUGGCGCAUCACUGGGACCGGAUAUCUAUCCGGUACCCCUAAGAGGACGUCGGAGGACUGGCCCUCGAAGUGGUUCUAUAUAGAUGAUGUCCCUCUGCCGGACCCUGUACGGAUCGACCUCCCUGAGUUCAAUAAAGCUUCGUUGAAGAAGCGCCUGAGCUGGCGCCCGCGGAACCCUCAGAGGGAAACUGACAGGGACGUCCUUUACCGGAUGAGCCGGAUAAGGUUGUUGGCUCAUUCCGGACUGACCAUGAUCAAGGUCAUGGCCAUAUGCAUUAUGCGAGGGGUGCAGCCGCUUCAAUACAGAGCACACCCCAUGUGGGAUUUCAACGGGGAGGACGAUGCCACCCGGUGCGGUCGUAAGGGGCCAGAUUCGGCCGCCACCUUAACGAGAAUUUUAUCCGCUUUGUAUAAGGGAGAAGAAGAGGAAUUCCUCCGUGCCAACCCGGAGGGCGGAUUCUCCAUGUACAAUCCUCCAAGUUGGGUAAGUGAACAAUUUCACUUAUCUACCCGCCUUUCGAAAUUCCCAUGGUUGAGUAUUCAGUCUGGUGAUAUUAACGCAGGAGUUACGCCAGACGGUGAAGGAGACCAACAACUCUCCCCCACAGCCCGAGGACCCGGAACGGUCCCUCGACCCGGAUUCCCAAGAGGAUCCGGACUUAUGUGUGGAGUUAAUUGAUGGGGUGUUUCAUCAAUUGAGUAAGGAUAACACAUUAGUGGCCAUUACGGCCGACUAUCCUGGAUUACUUCCAGCCUCAAAGGUAGCCGAGACCGAAGUCCUGGUACUUUGAAGGAGAUCCAUCCAUGUCUUAUUUUGAAUGCUGUAGACCAAUAGUGUUUCGUUUUGCAGGGGAAAUCCUUGAGGUGGAGUGCCGGGCCCGCGAUGGGCAGCCAACAAGGGCCGCUAAAGCCAAGCGGGCAAAAAAGAAGUGCAGACCAGAUCGAGACUCUGGUGCAACGGUACGGCGUGCGAAUUUCACGCCUAGGGUCUAUGCCCUCAAGUCAUUCUAAUGCCCAUGUUCUCCUUAGGAAGAAGAGAGCCCGUCGGACUAUAUCCACCGGCCAGACUUCAAGGACGGAUCCGGAAGCAGAGGCGGACACGGGACGUGCGUCAGGUGUUCCCCCGACAGAGGAUGCAGACAGGCUAUUUGCCACCAAUUCAGAGGUGGAGAGUGCCAUGAACCACAGGCAUCGCCGGACUAUUCUUCAGGACGCAUGUUUUUCCCCGGAGGCACUAAACGCCUUUAAUAUAGGAGAUGCGUACCUCCGUGCCACUCAAAAUGGUCUAGCCAGGGCCACGGAGCAGUAUGUAAAAGACAUAUAGUGAGUAAAUCUGAUAGUUAUAUAUGUUAGUAGCCCCCGAGACUUGAAAAGUUAAGAUAACUGUUUUAAGGAUCAUAUGUUAUGCAGGGUCUUACAGAGAAGAACACACAACUGUCUUAGGAGUUGGCGGAGUGCAAGGCCCAACUCGAGGCCGCACUGCCGCUUUAGCUAUUGGCAAGGAGACCCCCUCAGGUAAUGUAUUCUCCCAAAAAAUAAUUAAAUUGCGAAGUGUGCAAUGCUAACGAUAACAAUGCAGAUGAAGCCGGAGUAAAUCCGGACAAGCAACAACUCCUACGCCAACUAAAGGCUGGCGAGAGCGUGCUGACAAGGGUGAGGCAAGAGAAGAACAAGCUUCAAGACGCCAAUACCCAGCUGGGCGAGGAACUAAAGGAUGUUCGUAUCCAGCUGUCUGUUUCCGUAAAGGAGAAUCAGCGACUCCGACGCGGCAUUUUUAGUAAGUGCUUGAGCGAAAUCUUGAAAAAAAAAAUCGGCGAAGAAGUCGAUUGACAGAGCUAUGUCUGUAGGUCUACUGUCGGGUCGUCCUGCAGAGGAAAUGCCCGGUUCAACGGGGGACCUUCUUCCCGAGUUGUUGCAACUGCACGAACAAGUUCGGCAGGCAAUGCGGGGCGUUAUCCAAGCUAUGUGGCCAUCCCUUUCCGCACCCGAAGGCUUUGGGGAGCUUGCAAAGAAGCUGGAGGGAGUGCGGCAGCGCUUCCGGUUGUGGAAGAUAUCGGCCUACCGCCAAGGUGCCAAUGAGGCCUGGGCCAUGGUGAAGACCCGGUACUCGAAGGCUGACCCAAACCACAUGGCCGAGGUCAGCCCUAUGGGUCCUGACGGAAGGGAGAUCCCUGUCAGCUUAGUAUAUGGCCAGGUAGAGCUGGCUGCAAAGUAUUCCCAACAGGACUGUAAAUUAGAUCGCCUGUUGGAUGGUAUUGAAGAAGAGUAUACCAAGUCGGAUUGACUCUGUAAUUAAAAAUGACAUAAAAAUGCCUUCUAGCCGGAUUGUAGAUCGUUUGUCAUUGCGGACAUUUUCGCUUCGACCUCCGGACCCUAUAGUCCCGAGUGUGUCCGAAUACCCUCUCGAUUAUGUAAGAAUCGGGGCAUGCAUGGAUACAAGGCGUAGGGGUCAUAAUUGCUUUAGCAGACAAGUGCCCAACUAGUUAUGUUAUAUUACAUGGUUAGUAAGAAACGUCUUCCAGGGAGAAUAGUUCCGUUAGGGGUUCCUUUCCCUGGGAGGCAUGCCCUAAAGUGCAUGUCCGGACUGCUAGAAAGAGCAGAAAAGCAUCUGGGGGAAGAUAAAUAAACAAGAAAAAUCAUCUUUUAAUUCACCAACCAAAUAUUCCCUUAAGAAUGCUAGCUUUCGGCUUCACCCAGUCUGAGGUACACAUCCGACUGACCCGGCAGUAACAAUCGCAGAGGUGCUCCCUUUACGACCUAGUCGAACGAACGGGAAUGUAGGGGUAAGCACAGGAGCCAGGCAACCCAGCUUGGCCAAAACUUAAGUCAUAUCGAUGCAUAUAAUGGUGUAUAAAAAGGUUCAUGCCGAAGUGUCACACAUGUUUUGGGCAUGAGGCCCACUUAGAUAAACUUCUGAUAAAGAAGCCCCCAGGUAGGAUGAGCGCGGGUGGCGCGUCAAGUAUGUGCGAGCAAUGCGCAAGCAAGCCCCUAAGGGCUUGGGAGAAAAAAAACAAAAAAGGGGGGAGAAGGAGAGAAAUGCCAGACAGCUAUAUGUGAAAACAUAAAAAAUGGGACAGAGGAGGGAGACGAACACGGAGUCCGGCGCUUAGGCGUAGAAUCUUCGUAGGCGUGCUGCAUUCCAUGGGUUCGGCUCGAGUCGGUUGUCCGAUGCGUUUCGCAGACGGUACGCUCUGCCAAUCAGUACUUGGUCGAUUAUGAAGGGACCCUCCCAUUUGGGCUUUAGUUUGUCUUUUUUCUUGUCCGGCAGGCCUAGAACUAGUUCGCCAACAUUGUAAGUUUUGGCCCGUACUUCUCUGCUUUGAUAUCUUCGGGCCUGUUGUUGAUAGAAUGCGGAACGGGCUUUUGCCACGUCGCGCUCCUCCUCCAACGCGUCCAAGCUGUCCUGCCGAUCGAGCUCGGCUUCUCUUUCUUCGUACAUGCGCACUCGAGGUGAGUCAUGUAUUAUGUCGCAGGGCAGAACUGCCUCUGCGCCGUAUACUAUAAAAAAUGGUGUGAAUCCGGUAGUGCAAUUCGGCGUGGUCCGCAGCCCCCAGAGUACGGAGUCAAGCUCCUCUACCCAUUGCGUGUUUGAUUCUUUGAGGGAUCGCACUAGUCUGGGUUUGAUGCCGCUCAUAAUAAGACCGUUGGCUCGUUCGACUUGACCGUUAGUUUGUGGGUGAUAGACUGAAGCAUAGUCGAGCUUGAUGCCCAUGUUUUUGCACCAGAGUUUAACUUCGUCGGCCGUAAAGUUUGUGCCGUUGUCAGUUAUGAUGCUGUGGGGGACGCCGUAACGGUGUACAACCCCGGAUAUGAAGUCUAUCACCGGUCUGGAUUCGGUCGUCUUUAUAGGCUUGGCCUCUAUCCAUUUGGUGAAUUUGUCCACCAUAACCAGUAGAUAUUUUUUCUUGUUGGUUCCUCCUUUAAGGGGUCCAACCAUGUCAAGCCCCCAGACCGCAAAAGGCCAGGCAAUGGGGAUGGUUUGUAGGGCGGUAGGCGGCAUGUGGCUUUGAUUAGCGAAUAAUUGGCAACCGACGCAUCGCUUCACUAAAUCCUGAGCGUCUGCCCGGGCCGUUGGCCAAUAAAAUCAGGUACAGAAGGCAUUGCUUAUGAGGGCCCGGGCUGCGGCGUGGUGACCGCCGAGUCCGGCAUGGAUUUCAGCCAGAAGGUUUUUCCCUUCCUCUUCGGAGAUACAUCUUUGAAGGACUCCGGUUGUGCUUUUCUUAUAAAGCUCCCCCUCGUGGACUUUGUAGGCUUUAGAUCACCGCACUAUGCGACGGGCUUCGUUUUGGUCUUCAAGAAGUUCCUGCCUAGUUAGGUAGGCUAGGAAUGGUUCUGUCCACGAGGUAAUGACUGCCAUUAUUGUGUGGGCUGACGGUGUUGUUUCGGUGGCGGAGCCACCAACUGUGUCAAAGUGUUCGGUGAGAGGCAGUGUGGUUGUGUCCGGGCUAUUGUUUCCAGACUCUCCCUCCCAUGAAACUGACGGCUUGAACAGCCUCUCAAGGAAGAUGUUGGGGGGGACGGCAUCGCGCUUCGCGCUGAUGCGUGCCAACACGUCUGCUGCCUGGUUGUUCUCCCGGGCUAUGUGAUGAAAUUCGAGCCCCUCAAACCGAGAUGACAUUUUUAAGACAGCAUUGUGAUAAGCUGCCAUUUUCGGAUCCUUGGCGUCAAAGUCUCCAUUUAUUUGGGAUACCGCGAGGUUUGAAUCCCCGCGGACCUCUAGGCGCUGAAUGCCCAUGGAGACUGCCAUCCAGAGACCAUGUAGAAGGGCCUCGUAUUCGGCUACGUUGUUGGAAUCCGUGUACAUUAUCUGAAGUAUGUAUUGUACUGUAUCUCUAGUUGGGGACGUCAGAAUGACGCCAGCCCCAGUCCAGCCAACAUUUUGGAGCCGUCGAAGUGCAUGAUCCAAUUGGAGUAUGUGUCGUACUCUUUAAGGAGCUCGGCUUCAGUCCAUUCGGCGAUGAAGUCGGCCAAAACCUGCGACUUAAUGGCUCGCCUUGGCUUCUAAGUUAUGUCUAACGGGAGGAGCUCGAUGGCCCAUUUGGCAAUCUGGCCCAUUGCGUCAUGGUUGUUUAUAAUAUCAUUAAGGGGUACUUCGGAUGCCACUGUUAUUGAACACUCUUGAAAAUAGUGUUGCAGCUUCCGGGAUGCCAUGAACACCGCGUAUGCUAUCUUUUGAUAAUGCGGGUACCGUGACUUGCAUGGAGUUAGGACAGUGGACACGUAGUAAACUAGUUUUUGGAGAGGGAACUUGUGUCCGUCCGUUUCUCGUUCGACGACGAGCACCGCGCUUACAACUUGGUGGGUUGCCGCGAUGUAUAAUAGCAUUGGUUCGCCUGUGUUGGGCGCGACCAGGACCGGAUUUGUUGCCAGUAUGGCUUUGAUUUCUUCGAGUCUGGCCGUGGCGGUAUCCGUCCACUCGAAAUGUUCGGUGCGCCGUAGGAGGCGAUAAAGGGGUAAUGCCUUUUCUCCUAAGUGGGAGAUAAAGCGUCUUAGAGCCGCCACACAUCCGGUCAAUUUUUGUAUUUGCUUGAGGUCUUUUGGGGUAUCCAAUUGUGACAGAGCUCAGAUCUUGGCUGGGUUUGCUUCAAUUCCUCUACCGGAUACGAUGAAGCCCAAGAGUUUUCCAGCUGGUACGCCGAAAACGCAUUUUUCCGGGUUGAGCUUGAUGUCAUAUGUUCGGAGAUCGUCGAACGUGAGCCUUAAGUCGUCUACUAGAGUAUCGACAUGUUUGGUUUUGACGACCACGUCAUCUACGUAUGCUUCAACUGUUUUGCCGAUCUGGUUGGGCAGACAUGUCUGAAUCAUGCGCUGAUAUGUUGCGCCGGCGUUUUUGAGCCCGAAGGGCAUCGUGUUGAAGCAGAAUGGGCCGUAUGGGCUGAUGAAUGCCGUUGCGGCUUGGUCUGACUCUGCCAUCUUGAUUUGGUGGUAGCCAUAGUAUGCAUCAAGGAAACACAAUGAGUCGUGCCCUGCGGUUGCGUCGAUGAUUUGAUCAAUUCGGGGGAGCAGGAAAGGAUCCUUUGGGCAGGCCUUAUUCAGGUCUUUGAAGUCGACACAUAGGCGCCAGGAUUUGUCCUUCUUUGGUACCAUCACCAGGUUUGCUAGCCAGUCCGGAUGUUUUAUAUCUCUGAUGAAUCCGGCUUCCAGUAGUUUUGCUAGCUCUUCUCCCAUGGCUUGUCUCCUAGGUUCGGAGAAACGCCGUAGAGUCUGCUUAAUGGGUUUAAACCCCUUUAGGAUGUUCAGGCUGUGCUCGGCCAGCCUGCGUGGGAUUCCUGGCAUGUCUGAAGGGUGCCAGGCAAAAAUGUCCCAAUUUUCUCGCCGGAAUUCUCUGAGUGCGGCAUCUACAUCGGGUUUUAGUUGUGCCCCGAUGGAUGCCGUUUUUGUGGGGUCCGUUGGAUGGACUUGGAAUUUGACUAUUUCGUCCACUGGUUUGAAAGAGGUGGACCUGGAUCUCUUAUCUAGUAUCACAUCGUCCCUGUCCACCAUGGAGCGCAGCGUAGUUAGUUCCUCAGCCGCUAGGGCUUCGGAUAAUGCCUCCAGGGCCAGUGCGGCUGUCUUGUGGCGCGGAGCGCUGUGUCCGGAUCACUUGCAAGAGUGAUGAUUCCGUUGGGUCUGGGCAUUUUGAGCUUCAUGUACCCAUAAUGAGGUAUGGCUUGAAAAAUUGUAAAUGCUUCUCGCCCUAGCAGAGCGUGGUAUCCGCUGCUGAACGGGGCCACUUGAAAUGUGACCUCCUCGGAUCUGUAAUUAUCCGGCGUGCCGAACACCACAUCCAGUGUGAUUUUUCCUGAACAGCACGCUUCCCGGCUUGGUAUUAUUCCUCUGAAGGUUGUGUUGCUUCGCUCAAUGCGACUCCAGUCUAUUUCCAUUUUUCGCAGGGUUUCCUCGUAGAUGAGGUUAAGUCUGCUACCAUCGUCCAUGAGUACCUUUGUAAGUCGUAAGCCGUCCACUAUCGGACUGAGGACCAAUGCGGCUGGUGCUCGGGCUGUCCGGAAUUUAGGUUCGUCACUGGCAUUAAAAGUAAUAGCCAUGUGUCGGUGUACUAGAGUAGGGGUACCCUAGUAUCCCGAACUUGUGCACGGGCAGUUGCAGCACCCCGCAGCAAGGCUUGCCGGGUGACCGCCAAGGUCCUCCGUGGUUCCUUUGGAGCCAUUCAAGAACAAAGUAUUCAAGACAAGGAGACAAGGCCCCGGCAAGAGGAGCUUGCCAGGAAGGCCAGCCAAGGCAUCUCAAGGAACUUGCCGCGACGCGCCACGCGUCCCGGCAAGGCCCGGUGAGCGACAAGCUUCCGGACGCGACAAGACAACGAUCGCGGCAAGGCGCUUGCCGCGGCAAACUACCACUCUGUACCCGCGCUCCAGCACAUCCACCAACGUGUCGCCCUGGGACCUUUCCAGGCGCGCGUGGCAAGAGGCUGUGCGGCCAGCGGUGCACGGUGGCAAGCGACGCUAACAAGAUUGCCAUCGUGGCAAGCAGUGGCGUCCCCGACGGUCCCUUUUUGCACUAUUUGGGCGACGUAGAUGGGCAUUUAAUGCCUUUGUCCCCUGCCGUCAGGGUUAGGUAUGAUACACUGUACAGGUAGUUGUACCAACCGCAAUUCCUUUUCCAUUUUUACCCUUGUCUACGUUGCCACCUGUCGGUGACCCCUUAAGCAUAUAAAAGGAGGCCCAUGCGCAACGUAGAGGGGGGAUCAAAAGCAGAAAAACACUCACGCUCGGUCUCGUUAGCAGCUAGUGUAUACUGUAGGACUCAGCGCUCCCGAGCAAGAACUCAAUACACUCAGACAUGCAGCAGUAGGAGUGUUAUCUCUCCGGAGAGCUCCGAAGCUGGGUAAACUGCUCGUGUGCUUCGCCUUGAUCCGCUCUUCAUGCGAUCUCCGCCCCCGCCGAACCGAAAGGGGCUCGGUCCGCCGGUCCCAUAGGUGUUCGUGGAUCAGUUUCCCCGACACCGUGUCACUCCAUGGGUUUAUUGUUGCUACUUGGUAGACUUCGGCGAGGUUGCGGAGGGUUCGUUUCCUUGCAUUGUUUGAUGCGAAGGUCUCGAAGACUGUCGACACCGUACUGGCGUUUCUGGGGUGGUGUUCUUUGGAUUCUGGAGUUAGAAGCUCCUCGCCACUUCUGGCCACCUGCCGGAGUAUCCAACAUGCUCUAAGGCUGUGAGUUGGUGUGACUUCCCCUGAACUAUGAAUUUUACAGGGUCCAUUGAGCCACCCCUCCAGUACGGUCCCAUACCCUAUAGAGGGUUUUUGUUUUUUGAUGUUUGGCUCAGGUGCCUGGCGAUAAUGCGCCCUUUUGUUUCGGACUCGUGUUGGGUUCAGGGCCGGAUUGUCCCAGAAUUUAUUUUCGGUUUUCCGAACGCUUUCUGUCGCACAGUACUUUCGUACUAUGGAUGUCAAGUAGGCGAAGGGUGUAAUUUCGCGGCGACUUAUGGCAUUGAGGAUUCCGAUGUCCGUGCAGUUGUUACAGAAGAAUGAAAUUGCUUCUUCCUCACGGCAGUCCCUUAUCCUGUUCAUAACCAGGAGGAAUCUGGCCCAAUAAUGGUGUACUGUUUCCCCGGGCGCUUGCUGUAUUUGGGAUAAAUCCCUUAUAGUUGGGUGGGCGGGUGGAUUUAAAUCCAGAACCCUGCCCGUUAGAAGAUUCAGGGGCCAAGAAGUUUCCGAAUUAGGGAGCUUGUUUUCUUGGAGAUUAUUCAAUGAAUCAGGCCUGCUACCUGACUUUAGGUUCAGGACUUGGGCAACAUCCUCCCCUCCGCGGGUAUCCGGCUUGGAGGGGUCGGGAAUCCGGACACAUCUGGUCCUUAGAGCAGGCGAAGAUGCGCUGCAUUGUUCUUCCACCACUUCAACGUGGUGGGUGACCUAGGGAGAGUUGAUCCCUCUCUAGUCGGGUUUAAGUCCGAUCUGGCCGUAAUCUGUAGCGACUCCCAGGGCGGCAAUGCGAUCGAGGAGCUCAUUCAAGGAAGAGAGCUCCGUCGGAUCUAACUGCUCGGCGAGUUCCGAGCUGAUGUGAAGAUUGCUUUCGAUGGCCUAAGAGGUCAUCGUCGACGCGCGGCUGAACAGGCGGUCAUCAAGAACCUUCCUAGCCAGAGAGUUUGACCGACAGCCAAAGCUCCUUUAGUGACAGCGCCGUCUUUAAAGACGGGGUGCGGCAUCCUUCCUGACGGUGACAGCAUAGAGGAACUCCCAAUGAAAGCACCAAUGUCGGAGUCAAAACCGGCGGAUCUCGGGUAGGGGGUCCCGUGUAGGGGAACGCAGCAGAAAACAAAAAAUUUCCAACCUACGCACCAGCCCAGGACCACUAUGGAGACUGCAUACAUGGUUUGAUCCUUUUUGUUUCCACUCGUAGCACAGCGGGAAGUAGAGUCGAUGACGAACGGCGGUGCAGAUCCCCGCAGCUAGGAUUUACAACCUCCCAACCGCAAGGAUGUAUACCCUCAUCUUCUCCUUAGACAGCCCUCCGGGAGGCGGUCGAACAGCCCCUCGGACGGUGUCGCGGACAGCCCUUCGGGAGGACCUUCGAAACUCGAACGGUCACUCGGACAGCCCUUCGGGAGGACCUUCAAAACUUGGACGGUCACACGGACAGCCCUUCGGGAGGCACUCACGAACUAAGACCGAAACUACGAUCUCUCUACAGAGUUGCACACAUACGGUGUCAUCUAUUCGGCAGGGCUUCGCCGUCCAGAACUAGUUCCUGCCGGAACCCAGACAGCCUUGCGGCUCUACGAAACUCUUUUCAUGGGAGGGAGAGAAGAAGCCAGAUCAUGCAUGGCACUUGUAUGUGAGAAGGGAUGAUCCUUUAGGCAGCCCCCUCCACCCCUAUUUAUAGGACAAGCCCAAGGGAGGCUUCUCCAAGAAGCCAAGGGGAUAAUACCAAAAGGCCCUCAAGGUGGCUUCUCCAAGAAGCCAAGCAAAAAGCACUUUCACUAUUCAUGACGACAUUUUUAGCGUCCGUUCGAACUGUAAAUAUUUAUGUGGGAUCAGAACAUUUCCAUUACCCACUAAAAAUAAUUUUCAACACGUUCCAAAACAAUUUCGGUUUAGUGAUUUUCAUCUGCGCAAAGCAAACAAGAAUGCGUUUUUACUAUUCAUGAAGACAAUUUUUCGCGUCCAUUAAAUCCGAAAAUAUUUCUGUGGGUCUUAGAAUAAUUCCAGUACCCAGUAAAAUGAUUUUGGAUUUGUUCUGAAACAAUUUCAGAUUAGUGAAUUUCAUUUGCGAAAAACAUCUGAAGUGGUUCCGGCAGCCCCGGAGCAUAUCCGGUUAUUAUCCCGGAAAAUUCCAGAAAGCUUCCAGAAUGAUUCUGUCACCCUCCAAGAAUUAUUAGGCAUGUGCCAAAACCAAUUUGACUUAACGGUAUCCCCUGAAACAACUUUUCAGUUUCACCGAAACUCAUCCGAUGACCUCUCUCUGCGGUACGAUUCCGCUGUCCGAAACCAUUCCGGUGUCCGAAACUUUUUUCGGUGAUUUUCUCUCAGACUCCCUGUCUAGUAUUCAGAAGAUAGAUGACCCUUAAGCAUGUGACCCUAUAGGUUCGGUGAAGUAUAGACAUGACCCGGAACCCCUUCCGAUCAAUGAUCAACAUCGGAGCCGUGGACACCCAUAUUGACCCCUAUACCCACACGAAUGAAUAUUCGAGUGAACCUCCAGUUGCUGUGUGCUAUUCCUGUUGCUUCGUGAUAUGUUACAAAUACCCGAGGUGAGACAUGUUGGCAUUCCCAUGGAUCAACAACUUGUCCACUAUGCCAGUUACCUCGUUAUCAGUAUUGUUCUCUUUACUCGUUACCGUGUUCCGGCAUCCCCGUGAUCAAAUCACAAAGUGUCUAGCCAGACGAUGAUAGAUACCGUAACACCGAGAGGGCCCAGAGAUAUCUCUCCAUCAUUGGAGGAGCAAAUCCCAAUCUUGAGCUAUUAAGUUACUUGACAGACUUUUCCAUGAACCCGUAAGCCGCUGUAAUAGCCACCCAUUUACGGAUGACGUUUAACAAACCCCAAAGUUCAUGAAGCAAGCAUGAAGAAACUCGAUACUCUCAUGGUCUAAGGAAUCAUGCAAACGUUAACCAUAUCUGUGUUAUUUACCAUUAACUUCUGACGAAUGUAUCUCAUAGCAUAACAUCAAUUCGGGUCGAUUCAACACAAAUGUUCUCUUAACAUUGUGCCCUCAAAGUUGCUGGCAUAGACAUGCCCAUGAUCAGGAAAACGGAACCAUCAUGCAACCCUUGAGCUAGUCUUCGAGGCCAAACUAGGAAAACUUCUUACCGUUUAUUAUUCCACACGUGCAUAUGAGUCUUCCUCCGAGCCUCGUGGAUAUUGUAGACUCGAGAAUCAUUGCAGUUAUAGCAUGGAACAUAAACAUAAUUAUGAACUCGGAGAUAAAUAAUAUCAUUUAUUAUUGCCUCUAGGGCAUAUCUCCUACAGACUCCCACUUGCACUAGAGUCAAUAAUCUAGUUUAAUGCUAAUGCACUUCACACCUAUGGCACAUCGGUGUAAAUAUGCUUCGCUUGUGGUAUAGCCUGAUGUCCAUCAGAUCUGACAACUUCAGCUCCGUGUCUAUCUCUGCAUAUCCUCGCGUUUUCACACUUUCACAAAAUUCAUAUUUUGUGCGGACUUGGCUUUGUAUAAAUGUGAAUCACAGGUUGAACCUGGAUUCCUCAGACUGAGUUAUGGAGAAACUACCUGCAGUAGUGUCCCAUUGACAAAGGCCAUCUUAGAACCAUACUAAGUUCAUGAAUGAACUAUAUGAUUCAACAUCUUGUUUGUCGCUUCUAAAGUGUCAACAUACUUAGUCAUUUGUUAUAGAAUUCUCCACAGUAUCCUGUUGGGAACAAUUUCCAACUACCGUGCCACCAUAUUGUGUAUUACACAAAACCCUUAACUUAAAUCAAAAAUUGCAUGGAGAAAAGAUGAAGAUUGUAUCGAUGUAACAUUUUACAACGAACUCUUCAUGAUCUCCGCUUGCGAGAAAACAUAUCAUCAGUACUUACUCUAGUACUCAAUGACAUCUUUCAUUGUUGUCCCAUGAUUAGUACUUUGAUCACUUUAGUAUCCAUACUAGCAACACCUUGGGAGUAUCGGACAUAUCUGGUUGUUUUACAUACCAUGGAAUACAUGAUUAAUCCAAACACAAAAGUGUGUGGAAUCUGCAUCAUUUAUUUUGCUCAUCAGUGUUUUGGGACACCGAGUCUUGCAAAAAACACUUCCAUGUGACUCCGGCAAGAAUCACUCCUUGGCAGUUUUAAAUGGUAAAAGGUUUUAGCACCUUGUCAAUAUGUAUUCAUUGCCUAGCCCUAUUAGGUAAAUCUAUCUCCAUAGAUCAUUAUGCCUAAUAUUGAGGCUAUUUAGCCUAAGCACUUCAUCAAAAAACUAUUUUCAAAUGAAGUCCUAAUUUGUGUCAAGAAAUUUAUUUCCAAUUAACAAUGUGUCAAGCACACAAGGUUUUUAGAAAUAUUAUUAAGCUCCCACUUAAUUUCUUGAAUUACAAGCAUCUUCAUUACCCAUUGAUGAAGUCAAACCCCUUUGACCAUUUCAUCAAAGCACGAAGAUUCCAACUCCAUUUUGUUGUCUUCUGUCCAUCGCUGGAACUCUGAAGUUUGCACCCUUACUAGCAUCCUCUGGAUAGACAAAAUGCCUUGGACUGUAACACAUGCAUGUCCUUGGUUUCGUUUCCAUCAGAUAGAAAUCCUAUUGUCAUCCAUGUUUCAUAUCUCAUGAUUGAAAUAUGUAUUAAUUGCUAGUUCAACCCGAACUGACUUUAAGCAUCGCUACAAUGAAAACAACCUCAUCGUAGUCAACUCUUGAACUUGUUAUUUCAACAAGUCGAGCUUUAUGGAUAAAACAUUUUUAUCCGUAUCAGUUUUAAGUUCCAUAAAUAUUUGAUAGACUCUAAGUCUUCCGAAAGGUGUAUCAAGGUUUUAAUCUUGAAUUACUUAUAUGGAAACUAACUCAGGUUGUAUUGGCAUUUAGCCAAUUCCGGAGUCAGGGCCCAUCAACGCUUCCUUGUGUAUCGUAGGUAUAAUGUUGUCUAACAACAAUAUCUCGUUUGCGCACCUGAGAGGUUUGCACGAGCCUUGCCUAUGUGGUUCAGCUGCAAGUUCGACCGAAGUUCAUACAUUUUAUUGUAGAGACUUCCGUAUCAGUCGUAGUAGGAAACUAUGGAAUUACUUCCAAGGUCUCUUUCCUUUGAUCUGAUGAUGAAGAUACUGUUUAUCUCAUCAAGUUGCACUAUUCUCCCACUCACCUUUUUGAAAGAACCAUUCUCUUUAAAAGCACACUGUUUCACGCCAAAACUAUUUGCCUCGGUAUGGUGAGGGAGGAAUACCCAACAUUUUGGUAUAACCUACAAAGUAGCACUUGUCUGAUUUGGGAUAGGUUUGUAACUUUUUACACAAGCCCCAUAUUCCAAAUGUUAAGAAAAGAUAUAACAUGGUUGGGCGUACCAUACCAUGGCUUCAUUUCAACAGACCCGAUGUAGCUCUUUUCAGUGUAAAAGCUGCAGUCUCUAAAGCAUCACUUUAAAAAGGGACAAUGGCAAAUUUAUUUAUGUCAUCUUUGAUCUUACCAUGUCAUAAAUGGUUAGAUUACAUCUUCACAGACAUUCCACUCAUAGUGGUGUUCCGGGAGGUGUAAGUUAUGAAACUCUUUUCACAACUCAUCGGACAUUCGCUAAACUUGUAACUCAAAUAUUCCUUUCUGCAAUCAAAUUGUAGAAACGUAAUUUCCUUGUUACAAUAACUUCUACUUCAUUUUUGAAAACCUUUCGAAUGAUUUCAAAAGACCCAGACUUACGUCUCAUCAAGUAAAUAUCCAUAUAUCUACUUGAGUCAUUUCUGAAGAUAAAUAAAUCCACCACUAACAACACUUAUCGGACUACACACAUCAAAUGUAUGAUCACUAAUAAGUUUGUUGUUCGUUCCUUAUGGCCUGUGAACGGUAUUUUAGUCACUUCACUUCUCGGAGGAAAGUUGCAAGUGUCAGAUGAUUCAAAAUCAAAAAGACUUCAAAAUCCAUCAUAAUGGAAUUUUCCAUGCGGGUUUCUCCAAUAUGACCAAAUGUAGUGCCACACUUGUGUGGUAUUCUUUUAGUCUUGCGACAUUUACCGUCAGUGUUAUGGAUGUAUCAUAUUACCAUCAAUAUUCAUAACAUACAUCCCAUCUUGGAUGGAAGCAUGGCCCUUCAUGUUAUUCAUAAUACUUAACAACAAUUGUUGUUUUUAUGAACAACUCUUUUGCAUCAAACAUUGUGCAAUGGGCUAGUGUGUAUGAAACUCUAAAAUGAAUUAUGAAAGUAAACCCAGAGGUAUUGUAUUAUUAUCAAUACUCAUAACAUACAUCUCAUUCAUAAUGAAAGUAUGGCCCUUGUGUUAUUCAUAACAUCGAACAUAAAAAGUUCUCUUAUGAACAACCUUCUUGCAAGAUACCUUAUGCAAUGGGCUAGAAUUUGUAAAACUCUAAAUGAAUUAUGAAAAUAAAUACAGACGGCCAUACACUAAUGGAAGGUAUAGUAACAUUUACUAUGUUCCCUGUGUAUACCUUAACCUCAUUUCUGGCUAGCCUUUUUGGCCAUAGUAGCUCUUAGAUUGAUUCGUAACAGAAUGCAAUCGAGCGGGUAUCUUUGAGAUUAACUCACAAUACCCAAGAAUUAGUGAUUAACAUGUUUAACCAUAAUUCCCAAGAACUAUAUCUUUGACCAGCCUACUAUACAUCAAAAACUUGUAUGACAUUCAUACAUGAGCUGGAUAUUCCAGUCAUCUUUCUUUCUGCCUUUAUACUUCUAAUAGUUUAACUUUUAGUAUUUCUCCUACUCGCAAAAGAAGCACCCAACAUAAGAGUGGCGUUAGCCCCGGACUUCCUAGGCGUGUAAGUCAUACUAACACCCUUUGGACACUUCCUUUCUCUUUAAGUUGUUGUUUUAUUCACCUUUCAUUAUAUGACAGGCGUUCUUCUGGAUCCCUUUCCCAACAGUCAAAUGCAUAGUAAACACUUUUACUAAUACUUGCAAACAAACAUUACUUUGUUUGUAUCUGAAAAUAAUUUUCAGUUCCAUGAAUAUCAUAUAACUAUCCCAACUUUCGAAGUUUGCGUUUCAUGGAAGCAAACAUAUUCCACUUGACCGUAAUAGAAUUCUAGCUUUUGGAUCGAAGGACGGGAGUCUCAUCAUAGAUAGCAAUUAGCGGGAGUAUACGGAAAGCAUGCAAUAGGACAAAGUCCUUCUCGGCACUUUUGAGGACAAUCCUCAUAUUACGUUACCAAUCGUAAAGUUUUAACCAGAUAUUUAACAGCUAUUCAAUUUUAACAGGGAAAGAGGAAACGCGAGCCAUUAUUCUACAACUAUGUUGCAAGAAACACUUAGACAGUGUUCAUAAUUAAUUGCACUAAGAAAUAAACAAGUUAAUUCUACAGUGCGCUCCCACUCAAAUCAAUAUCUCUCAUAAUUGAUUGUGAGUGAUACAAGAUCCACAUUUCAAUUCAACGCCAUUGGUGUGGACAUCACUGAUGACGAGAAUUUCAAUUGGUGGGCAAACAUGCCGAUCACAUCUCUAUGUGACUCCUGUUCAUCUUUCGAUGGGUGUGUUCCGAGCUCAGGACGAUCAAGCCAGAACGUCAAGACAACCAAGUGAUCUUGCUGCGAGGUCUGACCUCACCCGCCUCACACUUCUCUAAUCGUUCGUACCCAUGUGGACAUGGCGCACCCCGAAAAGUUAGGUGCCGUGACGGUGCUACACUUGGGAGAACACUAACUACUUCAUAUUUUUGUGAGAGAUCACCCUAAUAAAAAGCGACUACCGCGCAAUCAAGAAGGGUGAAUCAAAGGGAUAAACAUUUCAUGCAAUUCAUAAUAACAUGAUAUGGUAUAGCCCUUUCUGACGGAGAAGUCUUGUAUUUCUUCGUCUUCGGCAUUCGCAUCGGUGUUCACCUUAGCAAAGAUUGCCACCACCUUGUCGGUGCAGCAGAUAAUAUCGCUAUCUCCAUAGCGGAUAAAAUAAAUGCAUUACUUAAGGUUGACACGCAGGUCAUUAAAGUGCAAUCAUAUGGCUCCAGCCAUCAUGCCGAAUCAUGACACGCAGGUCAUGUUAAUUACAUUAUAUAGUCAUCUCAUACAUAAUCAAAUUAUUAUGAGCACUGCUAUACCACAUCACAUGCAAACCAUCCUGCAAAACCAAGUUAGACGCCUCUAAUCGGUUCAUACAAAAAAAGUUUUACGUGGCUUCUAAGGUUUCGACUUAAACUGCAGCUACCAACGUUUUAUCAUCAAGUAUGAUUAUUCAAGUUCCUAGAUUAACAUCUCGGGAUGUAUGAUGCACGAGAACAUAAAAUCUCGAACCCCAUACUAAACUUCGUCAUACGCAUGACCCCCGUGCAGAUCAUAUCUGCAAUGCCCUUUCAUCUGCGAAUUUCAUCUUUCUUUUGACUAUGGCAGAACCCAAAGAACUGAUAGCACUUCCGUGAUCAAUCAGGAUCACGGAUUGCCAGAACUUUGUCAAAUUCCACCAUGCUGUCUCGAGAUUGAGCAAACGCAAAUUCUAGGGAAGCAACAAGAACGUCGGGUAACAUAUUUCAUCUGUUACCCGCAUAAAUAAGUUUCAGCAAUAGAUCUCAUCUACUCCAAAAUUAUAUUAUGCAAUACCCAUACAUCUCCAUGUAUUCUAGAUCACAACCUGCAUCUAAGCAUAGCACGGCUCAUGAUGCCACUGUAUGGGAACACAGCAGAAAACAAAAAAUUUCCAACCUACGCACCAGCCCAGGACCACUAUGGAGACUGCAUACAUGGUUUGAUCCUUUUCGUUUCCGACUCGUAGCGCAGCGAGAAGUAGAGUCGAUGACGAACGGCGGUGCAGAUCCCCGCAGCUAGGAUUUACAACCUCCCAACCGCGAGGAUGUAUACCCUCAGCUGCUCUUCAGACAGCCCUCCGGGAGGCGGUCGAACAGCCCCCCGGACGGUGUCGCGGACAGCCCUUCGAGAGGACCUUUGAAACUCGAACGGUCACUCGGACAGCCCUUCGCACGGACAACCCUUUGGGAGGCACUCACGAACUAAGACCGAAACUACGGUAUCUCUACAGAGUUGCAUACAUACGGUGUCAUCUAUCCGGCAGGGCUUCGCCGUCCAGAACUAGUUCCUGCCGGAACCCAGACAGCAUUGCGGCUCUACGAAACUCUUUUCGUGGGAGGGAGAGAAGAAGCCAGAUCAUGCAUGUCACUUGUAUGUGAGAAGGGAUGAUCCUUUAGGCAGCCCCCUCCACCCCUAUUUAUAGGCCAAGCCCAAGGGUGGCUUCUCUAAGAAGCCAAGGGGAUAAUACCAAAAGGCCCUCAAGGUGGCUUCUCCAAGAAGCCAACAAAAAGCACUUUCACUAUUCAUGACGACAUUUUUCAGCGUCCGUUCGAACUGAAAAUAUUUAUGUGGGCUCAGAACAUUUCUAUUACCCACUAAAUAUAAUUUUCAACACAUUCCGAAACAAUUUCGGUUUAGUGAUUUUCAUCUGCGCAAAGCAAACAAGAAUGCGUUUUUACUAUUCAUGAAGACAAUUUUUCGCGUCCAUUAAAUCCGAAAAUAUUUCUGUGGGUCUUAGAAUAAUUCUAGUACCCAGUAAAAUGAUUUUGGAUUUGUUCUGAAACAAUUUCAUAUUAGUGAAUUUCAUCUGCGAAAAACAUCUGAAGUGGUUCCGGCAGCCCCGGAGCAUAUCCGGUUAUUAUCCCGGAAAAUUCCAGAAAGCUUCCAGAAUGAUUCUGGCACCCUCCAAGAAUUAUCAGGCAUGUGCCGAAACCAAUUUGACUUAACGGUAUCCCCUGAAAGAACUUUUUAGUUUCACCGAAACUCAUCCGAUGACCUCUCUCUGCGGUACGAUUCCGCUGUCCGAAACCAUUCCGGUGUCCGAAACUUUUUACGGUGAUUUUCUCUCAGACUCCCUGUCUAGUAUUCAGCAGAUAGAUGACCCUUAAGCGUGUGACCCUAUAGGUUCGGUGAAGUAUAGACAUGACCCGGAACCCCUUCCGAUCAAUGAUCAACAUCGAAGCCGUGGACACCCAUAUUGACCCCUAUACCCACACGAAUGAAUAUUCGAGUGAACCUCCAGUUGCUGUGUGCUAUUCCUGUUGCUUCGCGAUAUGUUACAAAUACCCGAGGUGAGACAUGUUGGCAUUCCCAUGGAUCAACAACUUGUCCACUAUGCCAGUUACCUCGUUACCAAUAUUCUUCUCUUUACUCGUUACCGUGUUCCGGCAUCCCCGUGAUCAAAUCACAAAGUGUCUGGCCAGGCGAUGAUAGAUACCGUAACACCGAGAGGGCCCAGAGAUAUCUCUCCAUCGUUGGAGGAGCAAAUCCCAAUCUUGAGCUAUUAAGUUGCUUGACAUACUUUUCCAUGAACCCGUAAGCCGCCGUAAUAGCCACCCAUUUACGGAUGACGUUUAACAAACCCCAAAGUUCAUGAAGCAAGCAUGAAGAAACUCGAUACUCUCAUGGUCUAAGGAAUCAUGCAAACGUUAACCAUCUUUGUGUUAUUUACCAUUAACUUCUGACGAAUGUAUCUCAUAGCAUAACAUCAAUUCGGGUGGAUUCAACACAAAUGUUCUCUUAACAUUGUGCCCUCAAAGUUGCUGGCAUAGACAUGCCCAUGAUCAGGAAAACGGAACCCUCAUGCAACACUUGAGCUAGUCUUCAAGGCCAAACUACGAAUACUUCUUACCGUUUAUUAUUCCACACGUGCAUAUGAGUCUUCCUCCGAGCCUUGUGGAUAUUGUAGACUCGAGAAUCAUUGCAGUUAUAGCAUGGAACAUAAACAUAAUUAUGAACUCGGAGAUAAAUAAUAUCAUUUAUUGUUGCCUCUAGGGUAUCGCCAAGCUUGCCUUCCACGCCAAGGAAAGUCCAUAUCUGGACACGGGACGGAGUCUUCAAUCUUGUAUCAUCAUAGUCCGGGAGUCCGGCCAAAGGUCAUAGUCCGGUCAUCCGGAAACCCCCUAAUCUAGGACUCCCUCAAGGCCGAAAGGCACAAAGGGGCGCAAAUUGGCCCAACACUUAAAUGGGUCGCUAAAAGGCCAAAACUCAGGUCCGACUACAAAUGGCGCAACUGAUUUAUGGGCCGUCAAUAGGCUGAAAGUGACACCGGGCCGGAAAUUGGCCCAACACUUAAAUGGGCCGCUAAAAUGCCGAAACUCAGGUCCGACUACAAAUGGCCCAUCAGAUUUAUGGGUCGUCAAUAGGCUGAAAGACACACCGGGCCGGAAAUUAGCCUAACAUUUAAAUGGGUCGCUAAAAGGCCAAAAGAUGUACAUCCUGAAAAUUGGCCCAUCCAUUGAAUGGCCCGUUAACAGGCCGAAAUCUCAUCGGGCCGAUAUUGAGCCCAAAUAUAUAGCGGGCUGUUAACGGGCUCGAACUGACGAUGGGCUGCAAUGGUGUCAAAUCUUUAACGGGCUGUUGACGGGCCGAAUUUGCACAUCUCGUAUGGGCCGUGGGCUUAAAUGGGCCGGCCUGCUAAUUUUUACUAGGCCGGCCAUUUUCACUGGAAUGGGCCACUGUUGGGCCGUGCCACGUGUUGACCUAUCAUAGGCACCUCCAGUCCAAUGAGUGGAUGACAUCUGUCCCAACGGUGAGGCAACACGUGUUUCCUGCGGCCAGUGAUUAUUUUACACGUGGAAAAUCCCCAUUAGUUCGGGCUGUUAACGGGUUAUCGGAUCCAAAACCGGAGCCGAUAGCUGUUGGGGAACGUAGUAAUUUCAAAAUUUUCCUACGCACACGCAAGGAUCAUGGUUAGAACAACGCGGUUGAUGUAGUCGUAUGUCUUCACGAUCCGACCGAUCCAGGUACCGAACAUACGGCACCUCCGAGUUCAGCACACGUUCAGCUCGAUGACGAUCCCCGGACUCCGAUCCAGCAGGGUGUCGGGGAUGAGUUCCGUCAGCACGACGACGUGGUGACGAUGAUGAUGUUCUACCAACGCAGGGCUUCGCCUAAGCACCGCAACAAUAUGACCGAGGUGGAAUAUGGUGGAGGGGGGCACCGCACACGGCUAACGAACGAUCACGAAGAUCAACUUGUGUGUCUAGAGGUGCCCCCUGCCCCCGUAUAUAAAGUAGCCAAGGGGGAGGGGCAACCGGCCAAGGAGGGCGCGCCAAGGGGGAGUCCUACUCCCACCGGGAGUAGGACUCCCUUCUUUCCUAGUUGGAGAAGGAGAAGGGGGGAAGGAGGAGGAAGAGGGGAAGGAAAGGGGGGGGAGGGCGCCGCCCCCUCUCCUUGUCCUAUUCAGACUAGGGAGGGGAGGGGGCGCAGCCCACCUCUUGCCUCCUCUCUUCCUCUCCACUAGGGCCCAUGUAGGCCCAUUAAGCCCCCGGGGGGUUCCGGUAACCUCCCGGUACUCCGCUAAAAUCCCGAUUUCACCCGGAACACUUCCGAUAUCCAAAUAUAGGCUUUGAAUAUAUCAAUCUUUAUUUCUCGACCAUUUCGAGACUCCUCGUCAUGUCCAUAAUCUCAUUCGGGACUCCGAACAAACUUCGGUACAGCAAAACAUAUAAAAUCAUAAUAUAACUGUCAUUGUAACGUUAAGCGUGCGGACCCUACGGGUUCGAGAACUAUGUAGACAUGACCUAGAACUGUUUCCGGUCAAUAACCAAUAGCGGAACCUGGAUGCUCAUAUUGGCUCCUACAUAUUCUACGAAGAUCUUUAUCGGUCAAACCGCAUAACAACAUACGUUGUUCCCUUUGUCAUCGGUAUGUUACUUGCCCGAGAUUCGAUCGUCGGUAUCUCAAUACCUAGUUCAAUCUCAUUACCAGCAAGUCUCUUUACUCGUUACGUAAUGCAUCAUUUCGUAACCAACUCAUUGGCCACAUUGCUUGCAAGGCUUAUAGUGAUGUGCAUUACCGAGAGGGCCCAGAGAUACCUCUCCGACAAUCGGAGUGAGAAAACCUAAUCUCGAAAUACGCCAACUCAAGAUGUACCUUUGGAGACACCUGUAGAGCUCCUUUAUAAUCAGCCAGUUAUGUUGUGACGUUUGGUAGCACACAAAGUGUUCCUCCGAUAAACGGGAGUUGCAUAAUCUCAUAGUUAUAGGAACUUUGUAUAAGUCAUGAAGAAAGCAAUAGCAACAUACUAAACGAUCAAGUGCUAAGCUAACGGAAUUGGUCAAGUCAAUCACAUCAUUCUCCUAAUGAUGUGAUCCUGUUAAUCAAAUGACAACACAUGUCUAUGGCUAGGAAACAUAACCAUCUUUGAUUAAUGAGCUAGUCAAGUAGAGGCAUACUAGUGACAUUAAGUUUGUCUAUGUAUUCACACAUGUAUCAUGUUUCCGGUUAAUACAAUUCUAGCAUGAAUAAUAAACAUUUAUCAUGAUAUGAGGAAAUAAAUAAUAACUUUAUUAUUGCCUCUAGGGCAUAUUUCCUUCAGUCUCCACUUGCACUAGAGUCAAUAAUCUAGAUUACACAGUAAUGAUUCUAACACCCAUGGAGUCUUGGUGCUGAUCAUGUUUUGCUCGUGGAAGAGGCUUAGUCAACGGGUCUGUAACAUUCAGAUCCGUAUGUAUCUUGCAAAUCUCUAUGUCUCCCACCUGGACUUGGUCCCAGAUGGAAUUGAAGCAUCUCUUGAUGUGCUUGGUCCUCUUGUGAAAUCUGGAUUCCUUUGCCAAGGCAAUUGCACCAGUAUUGUCACAGAAGAUCUUCAUUGGUCCCGAUGCACUAGGUAUCACACCUAGAUCGGAAAUGAACUCCUUCAUCCAGACUCCUUCAUUUGCUGCUUCUGAAGUAGCUAUGUACUCCGCUUCGCAUGUAGAUCCCGCCACGACGCUUUGUUUAGAACUGCACCAACUUACAGCUCCACCGUUUAAUAAAAACACGUAUCCGGUUUGCGAUUUAGAAUCGUCCGGAUCAGUGUCAAAGCUUGCAUCGACGUAACCAUUUAUGACUAGCUCUUUGUCACCUCCAUAAAUGAGAAACAUAUCCUUAGUCCUUUUCAGGUAUUUCAGGAUGUUCUUGAUUGCUGUCCAGUGAUCCACUCCUGGAUUACUUUGGUACCUACCUGCCAAGCUUAUUACUAAGCAUAAGUCAGGUCUGGUACACAGCAUUGCAUACAUGAUAGAGCCUAUGGCUGAAGCAUAGGGAACAUCUUUCAUUUUCUCUUUAUCUUCUGCUAUGGUCAGGCAUUGGGUCUGACUCAACUUCACACCUUGUAAUACAGGCAAGAACCCUUUCUUUGCCUGAUCCAUUUUGAACUUUUUCAAAAACUUUAUCAAGGUAUGUGCUUUAUGAAAGUCCAAUUAAGUGUCUUGAUCUAUCUCUAUAGAUCUUGAUGCCCAAUAUGUAAGCAGCUUCACCGAGGUCUUUCAUUGAAAAACUUUUAUUCAAGUAUCCCUUUAUGCUAUCCAGAAAUUCUAUAUCAUUUCCAAUUAACAAUAUGUCAUCUACAUAUAAUAUCAAAAAUGCUACAGAGCUCCCACUCACUUUCUUGUAAAUACAAGCUUCUCCAAAAGUCUGUAUAAAACCAUAUGCUUUGAUCACACUAUCAAAGCGUUUAUUCCAACUCCGAGAUGCUUGCACUAGUCCAUAAAUGGAUUGCUGAAGCUUGCACACUUUGUUAGCACCUUUUGGAUCGACAAACCCUUCUGGUUGCAUCAUAUACAACUCUUCUUCCAGAAAUCCAUUCAGGAAUGCAGUUUUGACAUCCAUUUGCCAAAUUUCAUAAUCAUAAAAUGCGGCAAUUGCUAACAUGAUUCAGACAGACUUAAGCAUCGCUACGGGUGAGAAAGUCUCAUCGUAGUCAACCCCUUGAACUUGUCGAAAACCUUUCACAACAAGUCGAGCAUUGUAGACAGUUACAUUACCAUCAGCGUCAGUCUUCUUCUUGACGAUCCAUUUAUUCUCGAUGGCUUGCCGAUCAUCGGGCAAGUCAACCAAAGUCCAUACUUUGUUCUCAUACAUGGAUCCCAUCUCAGAUUUCAUGGCUUCAAGGCAUUUUGCGGAAUCUGGGAUCAUCAUCGCUUCCUCAUAGUUCGUAGGUUCGCCAUGGUCAAGUAACAUGACUUCCAGAAUAGGAUUACCGUACCACUCUGGUGCGGAUCUUACUCUGGUAGACCUACGAGGUUCAGUAGUAACUUGAUCUGAAAUUUCAUGAUCAAUAUCAUUAGCUUCCUCACUGAUUGGUGCAGUUGUCACAGGAACCGGUUCUUGUGAUGAACUACUUUCCAAGAAGGGAGCAGGUACAGUUACCUCAUCAAGUUCUACUUUCCUCCCACUCACUUCUUUCGAGAGAAACUCCUGCUCUAGAAAGGAUCCGAAUUUAGCAACGGAAAUCUUGCCUUCAGAUCUGUGAUAGAAGGUGUACCCAAUAGUCUCUUUUGGGUAUCCUAUGAAGACACAUUUCUCCGAUUUGGGUUCGAGCUUAUCUGGUUAAAGUUUCUUCACAUAAGCAUCGCAGCCCCAAACUUUAAGAAACGAAAACUUUGGUUUCUUGCCAAACCACAGUUUAUAAGGCGUCGUCUCAACGGAUUUGAUGGUGCCCUAUUUAACGUGAAUGCGGCCGUCUCUAAAGCAUAACCCCAAAACAAUAGCGGUAAAUCAGUAAGAGACAUCAUAGAUCGCACCAUAUCUAGUAAAGUACGAUUACGACGUUCGGACACACCAUUUCAUUGUGGUGUUCUGGGUGGCGUGAGUUGCGAAACUAUUCCGCAUUAUUUCAAAUGUAGACCAAACUCGUAACUCCAAUAUUCUCCUCUUCGAUCAGAUCAUAGAAAUUUUAUUUUCUUGUUACGAUGAUUUUCCUCUUCACUCUGAAAUUCUUUGAACUUUUCAAAUGUUUCAGACUUGUGUUUCAUCAAGUAGAUAUACCCAUAUCUGCUCAACUCAUCUGUGAUGGUGAGAAAAUAACGAUACCCGCCGCGAGCUUCAACAUUCAUUGGACCACAUACAUCAGUAUGUAUGAUUUCCAAUAAAUCAGUUGCUCGCUCCAUAGUUCCGGAGAACGGUGUUUUAGUCAUCUAGCCCAUGAGGCGCGGUUCGCAAGUACCAAGUGAUUAAUAAUCAAGUGAUUCCAGAAGUCCAUCAGUAUGGAGUUUCUUCAUGCGCUUUACACCGAUAUGACCUAAACGGUAGUGCCACAAAUAAGUUGCACUAUCAUUAUCAACUCUGCAUCUUUUGGUUUCAACAUUAUGAAUAUGUAUAUCACUACUAUCGAGAUUCAAUAAAAAUAGACCACUCUUCAAGGGUGCAUGACCAUAAAAGAUAUUACUCAUAUAAAUAGAACAACCAUUAUUCUCUGAUUUAAAUGAAUAACCGUCUCGCAUCAAACAAGAUCCAGAUAUAAUGUUCAUGCUCAACGCUGGCACCAAAUAACAAUUAAUUAGGUCUAAAACUAAUCCCGAUGGUAGAUGUAGAGGUAGCGUGCCGACCGCGAUCACAUCGACUUUGGAACCAUUUCCCACGCGCAUCGUCACCUCGUCCUUAGCCAAUAUUUGCUUAAUCCAUAGUCCCUGUUUCGAGUUGCAAAUAUUAGCAACAGAACCAGUAUCAAAUACCCAGGUACUACUGCGAGCAUUAGUAAGGUACACAUCAAUAACAUGUAUAUCACAUAUACCUUUGUUCACUUUGCCAUCCUUCUUAUCCGCCAAAUACUUGGGGCAGUUCCGCUUCCAGUGUCCAGGCUGCCUACGGUAGAAGCACUUAGUCUCAGUCUUAGGUCCAGACUUGGGUUUCUUCUCUUGAGCAGCAACUUGUUUGCUAUUCUUCUUGAAGUUCCCCUUCUUCUUCCCUUUGCCCUUUUUCUAGAAACUGGUGGUCUUAUUGACCAUCAACACUUGAUGCUCCUUCUUAAUUUCUAGCUCCGCAGCCUUUAGCAUUGCGAAGAGCUUGGGAAUAGUCUUGUCCAUCCCUUGCAUAUUAUAGUUCAUCACGAAGCUCUUGUAGCUUGGUGGCAGUGAUUGAAGAAUUCUGUCAAUGACACUAUCAUCAGGAAGAUUAACUCCCAGUUGAAUCAAGUGAUUAUUAUACCCAGACAUUUUGAGUAUGUGUUCACUGACAGAACUAUUCUCCUCCAUAUUACAGUUAUAGAACUUAUUGGAGACUUCAUAUCUCUCAAUCCGGGCAUUGCUUGAAAUAUUAACUUCAACUUGAGGAACAUCUCAUAUGCUCCAUGACGUUCAAAACAUCAUUGAAGACCCGGUUCCAAGCCGUAAAGCAUGGCACACUGAACUAUCGAGUAGUCAUCAGCUUUGCUCUGUCAGACGUUGUCAGUUGCAUCUGCAGCAGGCCUGGCACCCAACGGUGCUUCCAGGACGUAAUUCUUCUGUGCAGCAAUGAUGAUAAUCCCCAGGUUACGGGCCCAGUCCGUGUAAUUGCUACCAUCAUCUUUCAACUUAGCUUUCCCAAGGAACACAUUAAAAUUCAACGGAACAACAGCACGAGCCAUCUAUCUACAACAAACAUAGACAAGCAGAAUACUAUCAGGUACUAAUUUCAUGAUAAACUUAAGUUCAAUUAAUCAUAUUACUUAAGAAAUCCCACUUAGACAGACAUCUCUCUAGUCAUCUAAGUGAUCACGUGAUCCAAAUCAACUAAACCAUGUCCAAUCAUCACGUGAGAUGGAGUACUUUCAAUGGUGAACAUCACUAUGUUGAUCAUAUCUACUAUAUGAUUCACGUUCGACCUUUCGGUCUCCGUGUUUCGAGGCCAUAUCUGUAUAUGCUAGGCUCGUCAAGUUUAACCUGAGUAUUCCGUGUGUGCAACUAUUUUGCACCCGUUGUAUUUGAACGUAGAGCCUAUCACACCCGAUCAUCACGUGGUGUCUCAGCACGAAGAACUUUCGCAACGGUGCAUAGUCAGGGAGAACACUUCUUGAUAAUUUAGUUAGAGAUCAUCUUAAAAUUCUACCAUCAAUCAAAGCAAGAUAAGAUGCAUAAAGGAUAAACAUCACAUGCAAUCAAUAUAAGUGAUAUGAUAUGGCCAUCAUCAUCUUGUGCUUGUGAUCUCCAUCUCUGAAGCACCAUCGAAUUCACCAUCGUCACGGGCGCGACACCUUGAUCUCAAUCGUAGCAUCGUUAUCGUUUAUGCCAUCAAUUGCUUCUACGACUAUCGCUAUCGCUUAGUGUUAAAGUAAAGCAAUUACAUGGCGUUUGCAUUUCAUACAAUAAAGCGACAACCAUAUGGCUCCUGCCAGUUGCCGAUAACUUCGGUUACAAAACAUGAUCAUCUAAUACAAUAAAACAUAGCAUCACGUCUUGACCAUAUCACAUCACAAUAUGCCCUGCAAAAAGAAGUUAGACGUCCUCUACUUUGUUGUUGCAAAUUUUACGUGGCUGCUACGGGCUGAGCAAGAACCGUUCUUACCUACGCAUCAAAACCACAAUGAUAGUUCGUCAAGUUAGUGCUGAUUUAACCUUCGCAAGGACCGGGCGUAGCCACACUCGGUUCAACUAAAGUGAGAGAGACAGACACCCGCCAGUCACCUUUAAGCACGAGUGCUCGUAACGGUGAAACCAGUCUCGUGUAAGCGUACGCGUAAUGUCGGUCCCGGCCGCUUCAUCUCACAAUACCGCUGAACCAAAGUAUGACAUGCUAGUAAGCAGUAUGACUUGUAUCGCCCACAACUCACUUGUGUUCUACUCGUGCAUAUGACAUCUACGCAUAAAACCUGGCUCGGAUGCCACUGUUGGGGAAUGUAGUAAUUUCAAAAUUUUCCUACGCACACGCAAGGAUCAUGGUGAUGCAUAGCAAUGAGAGGGGAGAGUGUUGUCCACGUACCCUCGUAGACCGAAAGCGGAAGCGUUAGAACAAUGCGGUUGAUGUAGUCGUACGUCUUCACGAUCCGACCGAUCCAAGUAGCGAACGUACGACACCUCCGAGUACAGCACACGUUCAGCUCGAUGACGAUCCCCGGACUCCGAUCCAGCAAGGUGUCAGGGAUGAGUUCCAUCAGCACGACGGUGCGGUGAUGAUGAUGAUGUUCUACCUACGCAGGGCUUCGCCUAAGCACCACAACGAUAUGACCGAGGUGGAAUAUGGUGGAGGGGGGCACCGCACACGGCUAAGGAACGAUCACGAAGAUCAACUUGUGUGUCUAGAGGUGCCCCCUGGCCCCGUAUAUAAAGGAGCCAAGGGGGAGGGGGCGGCCGACCAAGGAGGGCGCGCCAAGGGGGGGAGGAGGAGGAAGAGGGGAAGGAAAGGGGGGGUGCCGCCCUCCUCUCCUUCUCCUAUUCGGACUAGGGAGGGGAGGGGGCACAACCCACCUCUUGCCUCCUCUCUUCCUCCCCAGUAGGGCCCAUGUAGGCCCAUUAAGCCCCCGGGGGUUCCGGUAACCUCCCGGUACUCCGGUAAAAUCCCGAUUUCACCCGGAACACUUCCGAUAUCCAAAUAUAGGCUUCCAGUAUAUCAAUCUUUAUGUCUCGACCAUUUUGAGACUCCUCGUCAUGUUCGUAAUAUCAUUCGGGACUCCGAACAAACUUCGGUACAUCAAAAUAUAUAAACUCAUAAUAUAACUGUCAUCGUAACGUUAAGUGUGCGGACCCUACGGGUUUGAGAACUAUGUAGACAUGACCUAGAACUGUUUCUGGUCAAUAACCAAUAGUGGAACCUGGAUGCUCAUAUUGGCUCCUACAUAUUCUACGAAGAGAUUUAUCGGUCAAACCGCAUAACAAAUACGUUGUUCCCUUUGUCAUCGGUAUGUUACUUGCCCGAGAUUCGAUCGUCGAUAUCUCAAUACCUAGUUCAAUCUCGUUACCGGCAAGUCUCUUUACUCGUUACGUAAUGCAUCAUUUCGUAACCAACUCAUUGGCCACAUUGCUUGCAAGGCUUAUAGUGAUGUGCAUUACCGAGAGGGCCCAGAGAUACCUCUCCGACAAUCGGAGUGACAAAACCUAAUCUCGAAAUACGCCAACUCAACAUGUACCUUUGGAGACACCUGUAGAGCUCCUUUAUAAUCAGCCAGUUAUGUUGUGACGUUUGGUAGCACACAAAGUGUUCCUCCGGUAAACGGGAGUUGCAUAAUCUCAUAGUUAUAGGAACUUUGUAUAAGUCAUGAGGAAAGCAAUAGCAACAUACUAAACGAUCAAGUGCUAAGCUAAUGGAAUGGGUCAAGUCAAUCACAUCAUUCUCCUAAUGAUGUGAUCCCGUUAAUCAAAUGACAACACAUGUCUAUGGCUAGGAAACAUAACCAUCUUUGAUUAAUGAGCUAGUCAAGUAGGGGCAUACUAGUGACAUUAAGUUUGUCUAUGUAUUCACACAUGUAUCAUGUUUAUGGUUAAUACAAUUCUAGCAUGAAUAAUAAACAUUUAUCAUGAUAUGAGGAAAUAAAUAAUAACUUUAUUAUUGCCUCUAGGGCAUAUUUCCUUCAGAUUUUACACGUGGAAAAUCCCCAUUAGUCUGGGCUGUUAACGGGUUAUCGGAUCCAAAACCGGACCCGGUAGCUUAACGACGUUCCGUUACGGUGGAUGCCACGUGUCGGUCACCCUUGACGAAAGCACUUAUGUGACGCGCGAUUUAUCGUCAUGGAAGUGGACACUUCCAUGAUGAUAAUUUUGGUUAUGUCAAGGAACACUUCUAUGACAGCACAGGCAUGACUAUCUUGAUUCUGUCAUAAAAUCGUCAUGGAUGUACAUGCAUGACAAAAAACGCGACCUACUGUGACAAAAACGUAUCAUCACGGAAGUGUAUCUUUUUUGUAGUGUCUUCAGUUGUCUUUCAUGUGGUCUCUGUCCUGCUGCUAUGAAUGCUCAAGUCCCUCCCUUGUUGGAUGUUGUGAUGAGGCGACCUUCGGGCUCUUGGUGUCGUCUCAGCUCAUCUUUGCUCAAUGAUGACACAAUGACGCCUCCCCAACUUGCUAAUCAUCUUGAACUUUCAUGGUGGAGCUCUCAGUCAAGGUUCGUGUUAACUUUCGGCACUCGUUGAUUGUGGAUGCCCCUCUGUUGUGCUGUGGAGUAUGAAACGCACGCUAGUGCGGUGCCUUAGGCUGCUUGUAGAGUCUCGGUAUUGUGAUACCUCGACGUACCCCUCAUCUACUUGGUCCUGUUAGUCUGCUAGUUAGGUCAUGACUUUUGUUCGGCAUCCCUGUUCUUCUCUUCUUCUUGCCACACUUGUUGCUUCUAUGGUUUUCGGCCCAGUUUUCCUUAUAAAUGGGGUCUAUUUGAUAAGGUUUUCGAUCCGGUUUUCCUUAUAAACUGGAUCAGACUCCUGGCAUUAUGGCCACUUUGAGUAAUAUAUUCAGGUGGAGGAACUCCUCCCCCGAUGAUUCUCAAAAAAAAAAUGUUCCUAACAGAAAUGCUAUUACAAAAAUUUAUGAACAGAAAAUGUGUGUAAAAUUUACAAAAAUGUUCACAAUUUUUUGAAACUUUAAAGCUGGCUUCUGAUUUAUUUUUUCAAAAUUUUGAGCUCCAUGGAGCUCGGUAUCCAAACAUCCACUCUCUACCAACUAUGUGCAUAUAUCUUGUAGCAAGCCAUAAGCUGAGGGUUGCUACAUGAUCAAUUGCUGAGUGGGCAGUGUGUUUUCUUCAUUUUGGGCAGAUCACAAGUGUUUGACAUCUCUCUCUACAUUGGGUAUCCUUUUCUACUUGAAUUUUAAGAUGCGUAGAAUGUGCUUUCCUUGUUGUUGCCUCGUCAUUCCAGCAUGGAAUCAAAGCCAAACUGAUAUUACUGCCCUUAAAAAUUGUCUCGCUAUCUAUGUCCAUAACAUGCCCAUUGGACUGCAUGGCGGAAAUGAAGGUGUUCGUCUAGCUGGCCGAGCAGACGCACUUGUCUGUGACCUCUGAUCUAAGAAUGACAUGUACUUUGUUGUGAGCCCAUGGUGCAUGUGGGUUGAAACGCUGCUUAGCAAAUCUAGACUUAUCUUGCAGGCAAGCCAAGAUGAGAUCUGUAGGCCCAUGUGAAUUCCAUCAAAAUCACGGUCAGUUCAACUCUGGUUCGAAUCCUAAUAAAAAAUAGAUCAGUGGUCCUGGAUGGAUAUGUCCAUCGCUAAAAAGUGCAGUUGUUGAAAGAGUCGAUAUGACUUGUAGCUAGAGGACGCCGACACCCCUCACUUCUUCUACACACACUAAACACACCCUAUCUUAUCCAACUCAAUUUGCUUUAAGGUUUGUGAGUGAAAGAAGUAGUGUUAAAACCAAACACCACACUCUUCAACCUAAGAAAUCAAUAGUAAAUUUACCUAUGGAUAUUAAAUCUAUAUACAUCAUACUUGAUUUAUCAAAUUGAUAAUACUUACUAUACAUAUUUUAAAUUACAAUAUUUGGUGCUUCACAGCCUGUUAUGAAAUUAUUGUUCACCCAUCCAAUGUAAUAAAAAGUAUGUGAAUGAUGUUAACGCACGCGUGUGAGAGAGAGAGAGAGAGAGUGGAGUACAUUUUGUCCUGAUGUCCAUCAUAGUUCCACGAUCAGUACACCUAGGAGGAGAUAAUCAAAAUAGGGACAGAAAAUAAAUAUUUAAUAUAUAAAUGGUUGGUAACAAAUCCAACCACAAAAUUGUGCAAGCAACCCACAAGCUAGUUUUAUUGAAUAUUAAAAUAACAUAGUUGAUUUCUAAAACAUACAAAAUUUAUUAUCUCAUCAACACAUAAUUAUUUUGAUAACCAUAAGGUUGAGAUUUAUCCACCCAAAAUAGGGGAGAUAACAAAACUAUUGUGUUGUUGUUGCUGGUGUGCAAUUAAUCUUGCAGGGACAGUUGAUGAAGCAUUCUCCAAGGUCUGGCCAGCACAAGUUAUCUAUUUGACAACAGAAUUCCCGUCCUGGGAGCUGGUGCCCAUCUUUAUAACAAGGGGGUCUGGUUACAUGGCUUACUUUGCUCAUCAUGUUUCUCCCCUUGUUGUUUAUGAUUUCACCUAAUUAACAUAAAAUAAAGAAUAUACUUAUCAUUUCAUCAUAUAAACAAUAAAAGUCCACAAUAUCAAUCCCCCCAAAAAAUUGAGUUGUUAAUUACCAUAUGUGCCUCCAAGACAAGUUAAACACACCACAAGAAGAAAAGAAAGUAGCACAAGUCCUUGCACAUUGUUCCUCGUGAACUUUGUCAUCGUCACUAAGGAAAAGAGGCUAUUAAUAGGUGGUACUCUUGUAAGUGGAGUUGAUAAGUGUAUGACCGUGAAAUGCUUGCUCCAUGAAUGGUUCAUAUAUAUAUAGGAAAAGCUUCUCCGCGUUGAUGUGUGAAGUUAUAGAAAAUAUUAAUGCUACGAGUUAUGGCUUGUCUGAAUUUCCAAUUUUAGUUUAACUUCUAAAGAUUCAUGGUUCCUUCUAAAGUUUUUUUCCUCAAAUUGAUGCUUUGUCAUAGCAUGUAAGUUACUUUAAUGCCCCCUCUAGAAUUGACCGCUUAUUGUUUCCAAAGGGUAGAAUUGACCUCUUAGAAUGGGUAGCAAAAAACGGGUGCAUGGCAAUAUUGUGUUUAAGGCAUUGAUAAUAAUUGGUAUAAUAUUAAUAAUUCCUAUAUAUAUGAUGCCUUAUCAGUAAAUUAUUAAUUUCUCUCUUGGUAUAAGAGAACAAAAUUUAAAAUUCAACAAGACUCGUCCACUUAACAUUGGACUUGUUUUUUAAUGUAUAUAAGCAAUUGUUCUUAAGUAUAUCAGCAAGUUACGGAUACAUUUUUUUACUUUUAUUCCAUGAACAUAGAUUAAUUAUGGGAUGGCCAUUUUAUAAAUAUAAGAUGAUGAUUUAUUUUCAUAUACAUGAACAUUUUAUAUCAAGGUAGUUGAGCAUUUUUUACAUUUUUCUAUACACAAAAUUUUCUCCAAUAUUAAGUUGAUUUUGAUUUCUUUAAAUAGAUUAGUUUCCCCAAAACGUUCUUUAUUAGAAUAGUGAAAAUGUUGCACUUGCCCGACUAUGGCAAAUUUCGUUAAUUCUCGGGACUCCCUAUAUGUUCCUCCUUGCGGCUAACAACCUCCCCUUCGGAUAGUGCGCGCCUGGCUGGGCCGGCCCAUUGACGACACGAAUGGACACCACUGAGUGGGAGAGUAGGCGCUGAGCCAAUCCACUUCAGCGACAAUUUUUUAAAUUUUGGAAAAUUUCUUUGCAAAAUGAACAAGCAUUGAUAAAUGCGAAGUUUUUUUGAACAUAUUCUAAAAUUUGAAAUUUCUUAAAACCCCAAUUAUAUUUGGAAUUUCGUUCAUUUUUCUGAAAAUAUGAACGAUUUAGGAAAUACUGAAGAUUAUUUGAAAACUACGUCCUUUCCUUGGAAAACCAAAAAUUUAUUUAUAACAAAAUAUGAGAAUCGGAACAUUUCCUGAAAACUUGAAUAUUUUUUAAAUUUCAAAUUUACGCACAUUUUAAAAAAGGAGACUUUUUGAUAGAGAAAAUAAGAAAAAUAAAACAUGGAAAAACCAAAUAUGUAAAACUAAAAAAUAACCCAAAGAAAACGGUAACAGAAACAGAAGGAAAAAAAGAACAAAUGAAAAUACUAGUAAAAAUCAUAUCAGAACCUUUUAGAACGCUCCCAAAAUUGGUAAAAGCCCAGAAGGAAUAUUCCGGAAGUUCAUAAAACUAGAGAGGCGCGGCUAACAUGGGUCGGCCGUCCCAAGCUCUAGCAUCGAUUCUGUGUGCAAUCCCCGGCAAUUUGAUGUUUACUGCUCAAAUAGGGUUUUCGCCAAUUCUCUUGUUUCUUGUUGCCUCAUAUGAGUUUGUUGUUGUUUGGGACAUACCUUGGCGCCAUUUGUACGGGUUCGAUGACCGCCAUCAAGGGUCUCUUAGUGGAAUCACAAUAUCUUGCAUCGUGUGAGGGCGUGAGGAGAUUAUAGUGGCCCUAGUGGCAUUUUGGGGAGCAUUGUGCCUCCACAGUGCUCCAGACGGAGAUUAGCAUCUGCAAUGUCGUCUCCGCGUGCCUCAGUUAUUUCUUACCCGAGCCCUUUACUUUGUGAUAGCCAUAGUGUUUCAUGUUAUAUAUCUUGCUAUCACAUAGUUGUUUGUCGUGCUUAGCAUAAGUUGUUGGUGCACAUAGGUGAGCCUAGUGGUUUUAGCUUUUAUGCUUGACAAAUUAGACACUAGUUUUAUUCUACAUUUGUUCAAGCCUAAAUAGUAAUUAUUUUAAAGCAUCUAUUCACCCUCCCUCUAGGCAACAUCCACGAUUUUUCAAGUGGUAUCAGAGUGUCGCCUCUCUUUAUUAGGCUUAACCACUUAGAGAGUAAAGAUGUCGACUAGGGGAUUAGGAUUCUUUGACACUCUUUGUUUCAAUGGCACAAUUUUUGAUGUUGUUGUAAUUCGUAUGGUUAAUCUCUUUAGGGUCAUGGACCCAAAUUUAGAGCGAAUUUUAGAUAUUAGUUUUCAUCCUUCAAAGGAUCCUCAAAGAUUAUCUCUAGAGGAUGAGAAAAAACUCUUAUCUCACUGCUCAAGCUUCUAAUGUGCUUUUUGAUGCUUUGAACAAUGUAGUUAUAUUUGAACUUAUGCUAUUCUGGGAUGCUCAUGAUUUGUGGACAAAGCUUCAAGAUAAAUAUGGUGUGUCCAGGAUUUCUAGGAAUGAUUAUUCUCCCUCCAUCUCCAGUCUUAUGGUGUUCUCAACUUCUUCCACUUCACCUACAUGUGGAUUGCCACAAGGUAGUGAUAUGGUGAGUAGUGUUGGUCAUUGCAAUGAUUAUAGUGGGCUUAUUGUUGAUGAUCCUUCAUCGCUAUCUUAUUGAAUGCUCCGUCUUUGCACUUCAACACUUCGAGAUCUCUAGAUGGUUCACACGCUCGUGUUGAUAGUCCUUGCAUAUCACGUAGAAUUUGCUCAACUAAAUCUCAUGAUGAUAUGCUUGCUAUGUCUUGCUGCCAUGAUAAAAGUGCCUCUAUUUCCUCGAGUUGUUGUGCAAACAGUGUAAAGGAAACCCUACACUCCAUGGAACAAGAUGUGGUCCUGAAUGGUGCUUCAAGGGAUCCAACAUCAUCAUCUAUUGUUUCUCACUUUUGCCUUAUGGCUACGGUUUCAAAGGUAUCUCCCAGUUUGAAUCCCAAUAUAUAUUGUGAUGAUGAUGUUCAUGAUAAUCAGGGGAGGGGCCCCACCCAGUUGAAAUAAGGGGAGGGACCCUACCCAGUUGAAAUCAGGGGGUGGAGUGAUCAGUUAGGAAAGUUAAGUAAGAUUACGUAGGAUUUCUACGUAAUGCUACACCUACGUAGCUAUCAUACAAGAAUUUCUCCUCCCUCUCGUCCCAUUGCCCCUUCCAUGGCACUCUGCUCGAUAAGAAUAUUCUCCACUCCAGCAACACAUGUAUCUUCAGUAGUCCUAGUGCAAUUUUGCCUUCCCCAACUUUUCUACAUCAAAAUCCACAUCUGCACGAGAUGUACCAACAAUCAGUCGGGUUACGAAAGCUAUAUUUUCCACACAAGGGAAGGGCUAGAAAUCAAUACUGCAAAUUUGUCAUCUUAGGACUGGCAUUUACAUUUAUAAUUUAACAAGAACAGAUCACAUCAUAGUUCAAAUAAGAUAAGUAUGAAUGGACAUAAGUUUCCCAGUUAUAGGAUCAAACUAUAGGGGUGCUGCAAAAGCAACAACUUUGAACCAAGCUUCAUUGCCUCAGUAUACGAGUAGAAACCUGGGAGCCCUCCCUUGUUACCCUUCAUGGUGACAAACUAACAAUCUCGCAUGCAAGUUUCUUCCGGAGGUGCUCCAGCUGAGCCUGGGCGAGAAAAAAAAUACAGCUUUCAGUCCACCUCACAGUUUGUUCACUGUGGACACGCCCUGAACUACCAUGCUUUUACCUCACUAUGUUCAAACCCGAGGAUGUUGUGCAUGAUGUACACAUCGCUAUCCUCCUUAAGAUCACGGGAUCAGUAUUCGUCUUUGUUAGUGUGAAGUAUAACAAAAAAAAUUAUCCUUGUUCAAAGUCAGAUGUACUAACCUCGUGCACAGUUUGUUCCGCGCCACUAAAGGGUACACAAAAGUCCAUCCAGUCGUGUCAACCAACCCGGCACCAAAAAUGUCAUUGAACACUCACCCCUUCGACCAUUCGAACCUCUGCGAGCCAAUGCUGGCCUCGAGCUGCCGAGGUUUCUGCUGUUGCAGUACAUCUCAUUGGUAGGAUCCCAGCAGAUUUUGUGGCUGAAGCACACCCAUGGGUAGGACAAGCAUUAGUCAAGAGCAAACUUUAAAUCUUUUAGAACACCAACUACAAAUGUGAAACUAUUUGCUUGCCGUGCACCCACAUUCUAGUUCUAACUUUGCCAGUUCCGCAACAGCAAACAUUUCGUCCAAUCUUAUCUGUUCUUCUUUGUCAACCUCGCCAACAACAUCUUGGUUUGUUUGACUCCUGGCAUUCGCACUAUUCGCCCCAACUCCACUUCCGGCAACAUCUCUCAUUCUCAGCUUCAGCUGAAGCCUGCUCAAGCUCCACAGCCAUGGCCCCCUGCAUGCACAAUUGACUCCAAAUAAACAUUCUUGGACUACCAACCUGACCCAAGGCCACCUCGCAAUUCCGAUGAAAUACGUAGGUUGCUCUACCCAGCUGGUGCUCCAAUGGGUUACCUUACAUUGCAAAACAAUAUUGGUAUUUAUAUUUUUGUGGUCCAGCAUUGCUGCAUUUGUCGACAAAUAGUGCACUCGUCGAACAGCAAUCAAGCUUUUUUUAGAAGGAGGAUGUACCCCCGGCCUCUCCAUUCGGAUGAUGCAUUCAACCAUAUUAUUAAUUAUCCACAAAGAUCAUACAAGGUGAUACAUCAAUAAGCCUGAAGCCAUCAUCUUGGCAAUGUUGUUGCUACUUCUAUCCCCUUGAUGAAGGUGUGUCGGAUGUCCGAGCCUAAUACCAUGCAGACAUCGCACCAAAACCUAACAUAUAAAGCCGGGUGUCCCAUCCAAGCCACUACCUGGAAUGGGUCCCACAUCGGUCUGGCAGACUCCCAGUGAGCACCGCACGCUGCAAGGGUCGUCGCCUCCAUCUUCCAUCAGUCCAUCCUCAAAGCAGAACUGAUGCACUGACCGUGACAGGCCUCUCUGCCAUCAAUGCCACCAUGACGCUGGACAGCUUCCUCCUCCUGCGCGAGUCCAUCUCUGUGCAUCAGACGCCAAGUGUCCAUUGCGCCAUGCCGCCGAGACCCACCGUCAAUGAUACGGUUGAUGCCACACCGCUCCACCUACAUGCCAUCUCGCAUCGACUCCGAACUACCAGCAGCUCCACCACCUUGAGCAGUCCCUGUCCGACGCCUUCAGAAAGGAACACGACACCAAAGUACCAUUGUCGCCCAAACAGAGGAACAGAGACUUUUGCAUGCGCUCAUGGCAGAGGUGGGGGGCGUAUGAUCCACACCAAAGCCUCCAGGAAGGGAAUCGGCGCCGACGGCGUAGACUUUGGUGCGGCCGCCACGCCGGCCUGAAGUUUCCCCUCGAUUCAUGCCCACCCGCCAGACCCUAUCCAGGCAGUAUAAGUGUCGACCGUAUUCGCUACCGUUGCCAGCACGAACUGGAGAGUAGAUCUACUGUAGGUAGGGUAUAAUGUUUGGUACACGUGCAAUGUUCAGAUUCAUUUUUCAUUCGUCAACUCCCAUUCCCAGCCUGAAUUACUAGGGCCCCUUCAGGGAGAGAUACGGGGGAGUUACCCCCGUCAAUUCAUAUUACCUUCCCUCCACAACUCCUAUGUCCCCGAACCAUACAGGGGAUUUUUAGUGUCAUAGCCUCUUAAUUCCCAUUCCCCAGCUUUUCUUCCCCCCAACCAAACAGGCUGUAAGAGUGAUUCUUGCAUCGCGCUCCAGCAUCACAACUCCUUGCCGAACUGAAUCUACUAAGUUCCAUACAAAUUUAGCUUGAUUUAUGUACAUAUGUACAAUGUGACGACAGUAGUGGAGUUGCUUUUUCGCUAAAUUCAACACACAAUGGACAGGAUACUGUAUGCCACCUAGUUUAGAGAUAGCUAUUAAAGUUUUAUCAUUUGAGCAUCCUUAUUCAAAUUAAUAUGUGCUAACGAUACUAUUGAGGCUUCUAAGAUUUAAGUACCCAAACUCGACUUCUGUAGAUAAACAUAGAAGUACAAUCUUUGCAUAGGUAUACACUAUCUUCCAAUAUAUGAUUUCAUUCCAUUGUGUAAUUUGGUCGAAAAAUUACGGCGUGCUUUUGGUGACUAGACUAGAGUAGAAUUGGCAUAAGAGCUAAUGCAAGGAAGAAAAUCAUGCCCCAGACAUUUGCAUAGCCCGACUCAAACUUGCCAAAUGUAGCAAGUUUUUUUAUGCAAAUUCCAAAUGAUAUUUAAUUUAUCAAAAAUAAUGAAAUUUAGUUCAACGUUUCAGGCCUGAAGCAAACCUGAAUCAUCUAUACUUCUUAUCCUCCUAAUCUUUGCAGAACCAGCAAAAGUGGGCAAUAAGAACCGAACAAAUGAAGGCCUCUAUUUUGUCUGCAGCACAUAAACCCUUUAUCACUACUAGGACAAGGCCUACUAAUGGCGCACCAGUUUUGCCUACUAAUGGCGCACUACUGGUGCGUCAUUAGUAUCACGCCACUAAUAUUUUUUACUGAUGGCGCAUCAAUAGUGCGCCAUUAGUAUCUGGUAUACUAAUGGUGCACCACUGGUGCGCCAUUAGUAUAGGCCACGGUGCGCCAUUAAUAUUUUUGAAUUUUGAAGGUGGGAAAAUAGAAGUGGCGCACCGUCUAACCCCCAUGGUGCGCCAUUGCUAAUUUUGAAUUUUGAAUUUGGAUCUGGAUCGCGAUUUCUUUGCCCAUUUUUUGCUCUUUUUUUUUGCACGAUAUUAUUUCAAAUUUUGUUCCUGUUUUUGGAUCUUGUACGUUCUUUUGCCGUGUUCUUUUGCCGGAGAGGAGUUCGCCGGAGAGGAGUUUGCCGGAGAGGAGGAGGAGGUCACCGGAGAGGAGUUCACUGGAGCAUCGGAGAGGAGGAAGGAGAAACCAUGAUGGGAUGGGAGGAGAGGAGGGAGAAGGAGCUCACCGGAGAGGAGGGAGGAGGAGCUCACCGGAGAGGAGGGGGGAGGAGCUCACCGGAGAUGAGGGAGGAGGAGCUCACCGGAGAGGAGGGAGNNNNNNNNNNNNNNNNNNNNNNNNNNNNNNNNNNNNNNNNNNNNNNNNNNNNNNNNNNNNNNNNNNNNNNNNNNNNNNNNNNNNNNNNNNNNNNNNNNNNNNNNNNNNNNNNNNNNNNNNNNNNNNNNNNNNNNNNNNNNNNNNNNNNNNNNNNNNNNNNNNNNNNNNNNNNNNNNNNNNNNNNNNNNNNNNNNNNNNNNNNNNNNNNNNNNNNNNNNNNNNNNNNNNNNNNNNNNNNNNNNNNNNNNNNNNNNNNNNNNNNNNNNNNNNNNNNNNNNNNNNNNNNNNNNNNNNNNNNNNNNNNNNNNNNNNNNNNNNNNNNNNNNNNNNNNNNGUGAGGGGAGGGGAAGGGAGGAGAGGAGAGGAGAGGAGGGAGGAGGAGGUCGCCGGAGAGGAGGAGGAGGUCGCCGGAGAGGAGGAGGAGGAGGUCACUGGAGAGGAGGAGGGUAGUAUGGUGGAGGAGAAAAGGGAAGAUGGAGUGGAGGAGUGGAGGAGAGGUGGAGUGGAGGAGAAGAAUGAAGAGGUAAGGAGGAGAGGACAUGCCCAGCCAUAUAUACGGCAUAGUAAUGACGCAUCGUGGGCAGGUGCGCCAUUACUUUUUUUAAUUUUUUUAAUUUUAAAGGCGGGAAGAUAGUAAUGGCGCACCAUGGGCAGAUGCGCCAUUAGUAACUUUUUUUUAUUUUAAAUUUUGAAGGCGGGAAGAUAGUAAUGGCGCACCAUGGGCAGGUGCGCCAUUAGUAACUUUUUUUUAUUUUUUGAUUUAUUUUGAAUUUUGAAGGCGGGAAGAUAGUAAUGGCGCACCAUGGGCAAGUGCGCCAUUAGUAAGUUUGAUUUUUUUUGAAAUUUUUUGCCUCUCCAGAUCUUAAAAGCCCCGUAUCUUUUUUUCUGUUAGGUUUUUGAGGAUUUUAAAAAUGUUUAACGGGGUUCCCCUGUUAAAUUCGGAUGUAACUUUUCGAGUAGAUGAUUUUUCAUAUAAAAAAAAUUCAUCCGAGUUCGUAUGCAAAAGUUAUGCCCAUUUUUACAAAUUCUUGAAAGAUUUUGCAAAAAAGUCGAAAAUUCAUGUUUGUAAAUUUUGCUAACAACUAGAUCACAUAUCACAUGGGAAUCUUAUUUUCUUUUAUUUUUUUGACAUUUCUAUCAUUUUCUUUUUUUUUUAAACUGAAAAGGCGGUCCAGGGGGGUUGCAUUCGGGGGAAUGUUUGGGACAAAUUACUAAUGGCGCACCGUGGGAAGGUGCGCCAUUACUAGUUUCAACUAGUAAUGCCGCACCACUCUCACAGUGCGCCAUUAGUAGUUUCGGAAAAAUUAAAAAAAAAUUACUAAUGGCGCACCGUGGGAUGUGGUGCGCCAUUAGUAUUUGCACACUAAUGGCGCACCAACACAUGGUGCGCCAUUAGUAUUUAGUAAUGGCGUACCACAUGUACAGUGCGCCAUUAGUGUCCAUCCCAUCUAUAGCUCUUUUCCUAGUUGUGUAUGUUCAAUGUACAAAAAACAAAAUUGCAUCAAGUAAAUGUAACAGAAGAGGAAAAUAAGAGAUAUAUGUAGAAACAGAAAUCGAACAUAUCCGGGCAAACACAACAUCUCGCCGCGCAGAUAAAUUCUAGACGUACUUCCGAGGUGAAGAAAGAAGGUGGAUUUAGAAGCAGGAGAGCAAAGACCCGGGGAUGGGGGCGAGAAACAGAGUUCUAAUGCCUUUGGGUCUACAUCCCCUCUGGAUAUGUGUCUUGGAGUGUCUGAUCUCAUGGCCGUGGGGCUCAUGGUGGCCAGAGACGCCCUGCAGCCUACUAUGGUGCAAUAACUAACUCAAAUGCCAUUGACAGCAUGGAGCUAUGCCAGGAGUGUGGCGGCCCUCUUGGACAUCAGCGCACGCGUAGGAUGCUGGUACAUAGCGGUGGGCGCCGCCAUCGAGAUCAAGGUCGGGGGAGACGGGAGGGGUGCCCCUAGGCGUGCUAAAUAAAGGAGCCUGGGAGCUUGCCGGGCGCCUCCAUUGGUGUUAGGCUGCUGUUAAUGCAUGGGUGCUUAGAUGAGGUGCUAAGCACAUUAAAUAGUUUAACAACUAUACUCCCCAAUGCAUAGGUGCUUAGCUUAUGGUUGCUAAGCUUGCUUCAUUUAAUGAUUUAGCAACUAAAGCUCUUCAUGUAUUGGUGGGCUUUUUUUCUUUAAAUGUUUUGCCUAGGUUCACGAGCUUAGCAUUGUCUCUUCCUGGGUCACCACACUCAUCUCCCUCCUCUUAAAUAACUUGCCACAUCAGAUUUUUUGCCUAUGUGAAAAGCUUAGCACCUGUACAAGGUGGAGCAUUGGGAGGGGCCUUAAUGCACUUUUAGCAAUGGUAACAUUACUCCUCGCUUGAAUACCGGUGGACGAUCUCCAAUCACCCAUUGUUGGGGAACGUAGCAGAAAUUCAAAAUUUUCCUACGUGUCACCAAGAUCUAUCUAUGGAGAAACUAGCAACGAGGGGAAGGAGAGUGCAUCUACAUACCCUUGUAGAUCGCUAAGCGGAAGCGUUCAAGAGAACGGGGUUGAAGGAGUCGUACUCGUCGUGAUCCAAAUCAUCGGAGAUCCUAGUGCCGAACGGAUGGCACCUCCGCGUUCAACACACGUACAGCCCGGUGACGUCUCCCAUGCCUUGAUCCAGCAAGGAGAGAGGGAAAGGUUGAGGAAGACUCCAUCCAGCAGCAGCACAACGGCGUGGUGGUGAUGGAGGAGCGUGGCAAUCCUGCACGGCUUCGCCAAGCACCACGGGAGAGGAGGAGUACUUGGGAGAGGGGGAGGGCUGCGCCAGAACUUGGGUGUGGCUGCCCUCCCACCCCCACAUAUAUAUAGGGGCAAGGGAGAGGGGGGCCGGCCCCCUCAGAUCCAAUCUUAGGAGGGGGCGGCGGCUAGGGGGGUUGCCUUGCCCCCCAAGGCAAGGGGGGCGCCCCCUUUUAGGGUUUCCCCCAAGCCCUAGGCGCCUUGGGCCUUGGUGGACGGCGCACCAGCCCACCUGGGGCUGGUCCCCUCCCACACUUGGCCCAUGCAGCCCUCUGGGGCCGGUGGCCCCACUUGGUGGACCCCCGGGACCCUCCCGGUGGUCCCGGUACAUUAUCGAUAGCACCCGGAACUUUUCCGGUGACCAAAACAGGACUUCCCAUAUAUAAAUCUUUACCUCCGGACCAUUACGGAACUCCUCGUGACGUCCGGGAUCUCAUCCGGGACUCCGAACUACAUUCGGUAACCACAUACAAACUUCCUUUAUAACCCUAGCGUCAUCGAACCUUAAGUGUGUAGACCCUACGGGUUCGGGAACCAUGCAGACAUGACCGAGACCUUCUCCGGUCAAUAACCAGCAGCGGGAUCUGGAUACCCAUGUUGGCUCCCACAUGUUCCACGAUGAUCUCAUCGGAUGAACCACGAUGUCAAGGACUCAAUCGAUCCCGUAUACAAUCCCUUUGUCUAGCGGUAUAGUACUUGCCCGAGAUUCGAUCGUCGGUAUACCGAUACCUUGUUCAAUCUCGUUACCGGCAAGUCUCUUUACUCGUUCCAUAACACAUCAUCCCGCGAUCAAAUCUUUGAUCACGUUGUGCACAUUAUGAUGAUGUCUUACCGAGUGGGCCCAGAGAUACCUCUCCGUCACACGGAGUGACAAAUCCCAGUCUCGAUUCGUGCCAACCCAACAGACACUUUCGGAGAUACCUGUAGUGCACCUUUAUAGUCACCCAGUUACGUUGUGACGUUUGUUACACCCAAAGAAUUCCUACGGUAUCCGGGAGUUGCACAAUCCCAUGAUCUAAGGAAAAGAUACUUGACAUUAGAAAAGCUUUAGCAUACGAACUACACGAUCUCUGUGCUAGGCUUAGGAUUGGGUCUUGUCCAUCACAUCAUUCUCCUUAUGAUGUGAUCCCGUCAUCAAUGAUAUCCAAUGUCAAUGGUCAGGAAACCGUAACCAUUUAUUGAUCAACGAGCUAGUCAACUAGAGGCUUACUAGGGACAUGGUGUUGUCUAUGUAUCCACACAUGUAUCUGAGUUUCUUAUCAAUACAAUUAUAGCAUGGAUAAUAAACGAUUAUCAUGAACAAGAAAAUAUAAUAAUAACUAAUUUAUUAUUGCCUCUAGGGCAUAUUUCCAACACCCACUAUGCCGCAUCGCUGCCCAUUAAUGUGUCGCUAUCUCAUCACAUUUCCCGCACGCUGCCCUUCCGAAAGCAUACACUCUUUCUUGCGAUAUUCGUUGUGCUAACUGAGCCGAUAUUAAACAACAGAUGAUGGCAAGCGAAUAUGUUACGACGAGCUUAAAUGGGCUUCUUGUGGGAGAAGGGUAUGAUUAACCAUAAACCACCGAUUUUGUUACAGGAGUAGCAGCCAAUGAGGCAUACAGUCCACUUAGUGCUAUUUAAAAGUAUCUUACGGCCAAAAAACGACCAUCACAAAAUGAUCCAAUGGUUAGGAAUGGUGGUGGCCUGAGAGGGCAGGAAAGAUGCUCAGGUAUAAUGUGUCUACAUGUGCUUCCCACGGUAUUGAGCACGAACAUUUGUUGUGCUUGGACCAGCGUCCCUUAAGGUGCACACUAUCCGAAUAGACUUUGUUGGUUGCCACCCCCAUAUCUCUGGGACAUAGAGUGGAUGUGACUCUCACGGUGAUUGGUAAUGCACCAACUAUUGUCAUACCCAUGAAGCAACCGUACCAAAACAGGGCACUCACACCUACAUGAACUGCUGUUUGCUGACUCUGGCUUCCCCUGCACACCGGAUAGCACAUGUCAUGGUCAGCGCAACUAAAUUAGUGAUGGGAGCCCCACACAUAAAAGGACAGAAGAGAAGAGAGUGACGUUUUGGCACAUGGGAGCAUGCGUUCCUGAUUUUUAAAAUUUAUUUUAAACAUCCUUUGAAAUGUCAAAAAAUUUCAAACAAAAACUUGGCGCGUACAUUUCGAUAUUAUACAUGCUCACAAAAUUGUUUCUCAAAAAACCGACAACUCACGUGUUGCGUGUGAAAAAGAAAAAAUCCGGUGUUAAAAAAUGCUUUUCACUAAACAUCCUUUUGUCUUUUUUACACAAGCCAGAAAAAAUGAUUGGUUUUCUCCGAAACUUGACAUGCACACAUAUAAUGUCGAGAUGUAUGCGCCAAAUUUUUCUUUGGAAUUUUUUCACACUUUGAAAUAUUUUUUCGUGUGCAGGAGCGCGUGCUCCCGGGAGCACCAACAGAUAUCCAUAGAAUAGAUAAGCAGAAGGCACUACACGCCAAGUAGCCACAAAUGAUUUCCUGCAUCUAUUUGGUCCUCUCAGCGUUCAAUCUAGUCUUACAAUACCUGAUCCCAAACCCAAUCUCCCACGAAUACAAGUUGUAGAUGUCCUGCGCCUCACCUAGCGAGUAGCGAGUUGAAUUCAGUCCCAGUUCUGGCUUGAUUACACUCUCCCUAGCCUCCUCUGCACAUUUCCGAAUCGACUGCUCCAAUGCCAUCAUCCUACAUGGACAAGGCCUUUUGUCCGAUGGAGAACUCCUGAGGUGUAACCUGAUUUUUUUAGGAACACAGUCGAUCGGAUAGAUGCAGGCUUACCUCUUUUAUCCAUCCUGGUCCUCCGGAUUGACCCUAUCAACGAACACCAGAAAUAAUAAAAAUUAUAUCUAUAUCCGUAGACCACAUAGCAAAGAUUACAAGCACUAAAGCGAGCCGAAUGCGCGCCGCUAUCAUUACCCCUCCCUCAACGGAGCUGGGCAAAACUUGUUGUAGUAGACAAUCGGGAAGUCGUCGUGCUAAGGUCUGAUAUGUCUCCGUCGUAUCUACUUUUCCAAAAACUUUUUUCCCUGUUUUGGACUCUAACUUGCAUGAUUUGAAUGGAACUAACCCGGAGUGACGUUGUUUUCAGCAGAACUGCCAUGGUGUUAUUUCUGUGCAGAAAUAAAAGUUCUCGGAAUGACCUCAAAAUCCACGGAGCAAAUUUUCAGAAUUAAUAAAAAAUACUAGUGAAAGAAUCAGCGUUAGGGGGCCCACACCCUAUCCACGAGGGUGGGGGCGCCCCCCUCCCCUAGGGUGCGCCCCCUACCUCAUGGGCCCCCUGGACGUCCACCGACCUCAACUCCAACUCCAUAUAUUUGCUUUCAUGGAGAAAAAAAUCAGAGAGAAAGUUUCAUCGCGUUUUACGAUACGGAGCCGCCGCCAAGCCCUAAUCUCUCUCGGGAGGGCUGAUCUGGAGUCCGUUCGGGGCUCCGGAGAGGGGGAUUCGUCGUUGUCAUCAUCAUCAACCAUCCUCCAUCACCAAUUUCAUGAUGCUCACCGCCAUGCGUGAGUAAUUCCAUCGUAGGCUUGCUGAACGGUGAUGGGUUGGAUGAGAUUUACCAUGUAAUCAAGUUAGUUUUGUUAGGGUUUGAUCCCUAGUGAAGGAAAUAUGCCCUAGAGGCAAUAAUAAAGUUAUUAUUUAUUUCCUCAUAUCAUGCUAAAUGUUUAUUAUUCAUGCUAGAAUUGUAUUCACCGGAAACAUGAUACAUGUGUGAAUACAUAGACAAACAUAGUGUCACUAGUAUGCCUCUACUUGACUAGCUCAUUAAUCAAAGAUGGUUAUGUUUCCUAACCAUAGACAUGUGUUGUCAUUUGAUUAAUGGGAUCACAUCAUUAGGAGAAUGUUGUGAUUGACUUGACCCAUUCCGUUAGCUUAGCACUUGAUCGUCUAGUAUGUUGCUAUUGCUUUCUUCAUGACUUAUACAAAGUUCCUACAACUAUGAGAUUGUGCAACUCCCGUUUACUGGAGGAACACUUUGUGUGCUACCAAACGUCACAGUAUAACUGGGUGAUUAUAAAGGUGCUCUACAGGUGUUUCCAAAGGUACAUGUUGAGUUGGCAUAAUUCGAGAUUAGGUUUUGUCACUCCGAUUGUCGGAGAGGUAUCUCUGGGCCCUCUCGAUAAUACUCAUCACUUAAGCCUUGCAAGCAUUGUAACUAAUGAGUUAGUUAUGAAAUGAUGUAUUACGGAACGAGUAAAGAGACUUGCCGGUAACGACAUUGAACUAGGUAUUGGAUACCGACGAUCGAAUCUCGGGCAAGUUACAUACCGAUGACAAAGGGAACAACGUAUGUUGUUAUGCAGUUUGACCGAUAAUGAUCUUCGUAGAAUAUGUAGGAACCAAUAUGAACAUGCAGGUUCCACUAUUGGUUAUUGACCGAGAAUAGUUCUAGGUCAUGUCUACAUAGUUCUCGAACCCGUAGGGUCCGCACGCUUAACGUUACGAUGACAGUUUUAUUAUGAGUUUAUAAGUUUUGAUGUACCGAAGUUUGUUUGGAGUCCCGGAUGUGAUCACGGACAUGACGAGGAGUCUCGAAAUGGUCGAGACAUAAAGAUUGAUAUAUUGGACGACUAUAUUCAGACACCGGAAGUGUUCCGGGUGAUUUCGGAGAAAACCGGAGUGNNNNNNNNNNNNNNNNNNNNNNNNNNNNNNNNNNNNNNNNNNNNNNNNNNNNNNNNNNNNNNNNNNNNNNNNNNNNNNNNNNNNNNNNNNNNNNNNNNNNNNNNNNNNNNNNNNNNNNNNNNNNNNNNNNNNNNNNNNNNNNNNNNNNNNNNNNNNNNNNNNNNNNNNNNNNNNNNNNNNNNNNNNNNNNNNNNNNNNNNNNNNNNNNNNNNNNNNNNNNNNNNNNNNNNNNNNNNNNNNNNNNNNNNNNNNNNNNNCCUUGGUGGGAAGAGAGUGGGGCGGCCAGGGUGGGCCGCGCGCCUCCUCUCCCUCUCGUCCGAAUUGGACUAGGAGGGGGGGCGGCGCCCCCCUUUCCUUUCCCCCUCUCCCCCUUCCUUCCCACUCCUAGUAGGAGUAGGAAAGGAGGAAUCCUACUCCUUCUAGGAAGAGGAUUCCUCCUCCUUGGCACGUCCCAAGGGGCCGGCCGGCCUCCCCUCUUGCUCCUUUAUAUACGGGGGCAGGGGGGCACCCUGGGACACACAAGUUGAUCUACGAAUCGUUCCUUAGCCGUGUGCAGUGCCCCCCUCCACCAUAUUCCACCUCGGUCAUAUCGUCGCAGAGUUUAGGCGAAGCCCUGCGCCGGUAGAACAUCAUCAUGGUCACCACGCCGUCGUGCUGACGGUACUCAUCCCUGACGCUUUGCUGGAUUGGAGCCCGGGGAAUGUCAUCUAGCUGAACGUGUGCUGAACACGGAGGUGCCGUACGUUCGGUGCUUGGAUCGGUCGAGUCGUGAAGACGUACGACUACAUCAACCGCGUUGUGAUAACGCUUCCGCUUACGGUCUACGAGGGUACGUGGACAACACUCUCCCCUCUCGUUGCUAUGCCAUCACCAUGAUCUUGCGUGUGCGUAGGAAAAUUUUGAAAUUACUACGUUCCCCAACAGUGGCAUCCGAGCCUAGGUUUUAUGCGUUUAUGUUAUAUGCAUGAGUAGAACACAAGUGAGUUGUGGGCGACACAAGUCAUACUGCUUACCAGCAUGUCAUACUUUGGUUCAACGGUAUUGUUGGAUGAAGCGGCCCGGACCGACAUUACGCGUAUGCUUACGCGAGACUGGUUCUACCGACGGGCUUUGCACACAGGUGGCUGGCGGGUGUCAGUUUCUCCAACUUUAGUUGAACCGAGUGUGGCUACGCCCGGUCCUUGCGAAGGUUAAAACAGCACUAACUUGACGAACUAUCAUUGUGGUUUUGAUGCGUAGGUAAGAACGGUUCUUGCUAAGCCCGUAGCAGCCACGUAAAACUUGCAACGACAAAGUAGAGGACGUCUAACUUGUUUUUGCAGGGCAUGUUGUGAUGUGAUAUGGUCAAGACGUGAUGCUCUAUUUAUUGUAUGAGAUGAUCAUGUUUUGUAACCGAAGUUAUCGGCAACUGGCAGGAGCCAUAUGGUUGUCGCUUUAUUGUAUGAAAUGCAAACGCCCUGUAAUUGCUUUACUUUAUCACUAAGCGGUAGCGAUAGUCGUAGAAGCAAUAGAUGGCGUAAACGACAACGAUGCUACGAUGGAGAUCAAGGUGUCGCGCCGGUGACGAUGGUGAUCACGACGGUGCUUCGGAGAUGGAGAUCACAAGCACAAGAUGAUGAUGGCCAUAUCAUAUCACUUAUAUUGAUUGCAUGUGAUGUUUAUCCUUUAUGCAUCUUAUCUUGCUUUGGUUGACGGUAGCAUUUUAAGAGGUGUUCUCUCUGAAUAUGCACCGUUGCCAAAGUUCCUCGUGCCCAGACACCACGUGAUGAUCGGGUAUGAUAAGCUCUACGUCCAUCUACAACGGGUGCAAGCCAGUUUUGCACACGCAGAAUAUUCAGGUUAUACUUGACGAGCCUAGCAUAUGCAGAUAUGGCCUCGGAACACAAAGACCGAAAGGUCGAGCGUGAAUCAUAUAGUAGAUAUGAUCAACAUAGUGAUGUUCACCAUUGAAAACUACUCCAUCUCACGUGAUGAUCGGUUAUGGUUUAGUUGAUUUGGAUCACGUAAUCACUUAGAUGACUAGAGAGAUAUCUAUCUAAGUGGGAGUUCUUAAGUAAUAUGAUUAAUUGAACUUAAAUUUAUCAUGAACUUAGUACCUGAUAGUAUUUUUAUUGUCUAUGUUUGUUGUAGAUAGAUGGCUCGUGCUGUUGUUCCAUUGAAUUUUAAUGCGUUCCUUGAGAAAGCAAAGUUGAAAGAUGAUGGUAGCAAUUACACGGACUGGGUCCAUAACUUGAGGAUUAUCCUCAUUGCUGCACAGAAGAAUUACGUCCUGGAAGCACCGCUGGGUGCCAGGCCUGCUGCAGGAGCAACACCAGAUGUUGUGAACGUCUGGCAGAGCAAAGCUGAUGACUACUCUAUAGUUCAGUGUGCCAUGCUUUACGGCUUAGAACCGGGUCUUCAACGACGUUUUGACUGUCAUGGAGCAUAUGAGAUGUUCCAGGUGUUGAAGUUAAUAUUUCAAGUAAAUGCCCGGAUUGAGAGAUAUGAAGUCUCCAAUAAGUUCUACAGCUGCAAGAUGGAGGAGAAUAGUUCUGUUAGUGAGCAUAUAGUCAAAAUGUCUGGGUAUAAUAAUCACUCGAUUCAACUGGGAGUUAAUCUUCCGGAUGAUAGCAUCAUUGACAGAAUUCUCCAAUCACUGCCACCAAGCUACAAGAGCUUCGUGAUGAACUAUAAUAUGCAAGGGAUGAACAAGACAAUUCCCGAGCUCUUCGCAAUGCUAAAGGCUGCGGAGGUAGAAAUCAAGAAGGAGCAUCAAGUGUUGAUGGUCAACAAGACCACUAGUUUCAAGAAAAAGGGCAAAGGGAAGAAGAAGGGGAACUUCAAGAAGAACAGCAAGCAAGUUGCUGCUCAAGAGAAGAAACCCAAGUCUGGACCUAAGCCUAAAACUGAGUGCUUCUACUGCAAGCAAACUGGUCACUGGAAGCGGAACUGCCCCAAGUAUUUGGCGGAUAAGAAGGAUGGCAAAGUGAACAAAGGUAUAUGUGAUAUACAUGUUAUUGAUGUGUACCUAACUAGAGCUCGUAGUAGCACCUGGGUAUUUUAUACUGGUUCUAUUGCUAAUAUUUGCAACUCGAAACAGGGACUACGGAAUAAGCGAGCACUGGCCAAGGACGAGGUGACGAUGCGCAUGGGAAACGGUUCCAAAGUCGAUGUGAUCGCGGUCGGCACGCUACCUCUACAUCUACCUUCGGGAUUGUCUUAGACCUGAAUAAUUGUUAUUUGGUGCCAAUGUUGAGCAUGAACAUUAUACCUGGAUCUUGUUUGAUGUGAGACGAUUAUUCAUUUAAAUCAGAGAAUAAUGGUUGUUCUAUUUAUAUGAGUAAUAUCUUUUAUGGUCAUGCACCCUUGAAGAGUGGUCUAUUUUUAUUGAAUCUCGAUAGUAGUGAUACACAUAUUCAUAAUGUCCAAGCCAAAAGAUGCAGAGUUGAUAAUGAUAGUGCAACUUAUUUGUGGCACUGCCGUUUAGGUCAUAUCGGUGUAAAGCGCAUGAAGAAACUCCAUACUGAUGGACUUUUGGAAUCACUUGGUACUUGCGAAUCGUGCCUCAUGGGCAAGAUGACUAAAACACCGUUCUCCGGUACUAUGGAGAGAGCAACAGAUUUGUUUGAAAUCAUACAUACAGAUGUAUGUGGACCGAUGAAUAUUGAAGCUCGUGGCGGAUAUCGUUAUUUUCUCAGCUUCACAGAUGAUUUGAGCAGAUAUGGGUAUAUCUACUUAAUGAAACACAAGUCUGAAACAUUUGAAAAGUUCAAAGAAUUUCAGAGUGAAGUGGAAAAUCAUCGUAACAAGAAAAUUAAGUUUCUACGAUCUGAUAGUGGAGGAGAAUAUUUGAGUUACGAGUUUGGUUUACAUUUGAAACAAUGCGGAAUAGUUUCGCAACUCACGCCACCCGGAACACCACAACGUAAUGGUGUGUCCGAACGUCGUAGUCGUACUUUACUAGAUAUGGUGCGAUCUAUGAUGUCUCUUACUGAUUUACCGCUAUCGUUUUGGGGUUAUGCUUUAGAGCUGGCUGCAUUCACAUUGAAUAGGGCACCAUCAAAAUCCGUUGAGACGACGCCUUAUGAACUAUGGUUUGGCAAGAAACCAAAGUUGUUGUUUCUUAAAGUUUGGGGCUGCGAUGCUUAUGUGAAGAAACUUCAACCAGAUAAGCUCGAACCCAAAUCGGAGAAAUGUGUCUUCAUAGGAUACCCAAAAGAGAGACUGUUGGGUACACCUUCUAUCACAGAUCCGAAGGCAAGACAUUCGUUGCUAAGAAUGGAUCCUUUCUAGAAAAAGAGUUUCUCUCGAAAAAAGUGAGUGGGAGGAAAGUAGAACUUGAUGAGAUAACCAUGUCUGCUCCCUCAUUGGAAAGUAGUUCAUCACAGAAAUCAGUUCUUGUGACAUCUACACCAAUUAGUGAGGAAGAUAAUGAUAUUGAUCAUGAAACUUCAGAUCAAGUUUCUACUGAACCUCGUAGGUCUACCAGAAUAAAAUCUGCACCAGGGUGAUACGGUAAUCCUAUUCUGGAAGUCAUGUUACUUGACCAUGAUGAACCUACGAACUAUGAGGAAGCGAUGAUGAGCCCAGAUUCCGCAAAAUGGCUAGAAGCCAUGAAAUCUGAGAUGGGAUCCAUGUAUGAAAACAAAGUAUGGACUUUGGUUGACUUGCCCGAUGAUCGGCAAGCAAUUGAGAAUAAAUGGAUCUUUAAGAAGAAGACUGACGCUGACGGUAAUGUAACUGUCUAUAAAGCUUGACUUGUUGCGAAAGGUUUUCGACAAGUUCAAGGGGUUGACUACGAUGAGACUUUCUCACCCAUAGUGAUGCUUAAGUCUGUCUGAAUCAUGUUAGCGAUUGCCGCAUUUUAUGAUUAUGAAAUUUGGCAGAUGGAUGUCAAAACUGCAUUUCUGAAUGGAUUUCUGGAAGAAGAGUUGUAUAUGAUGCAACCGGAACAUUUUGUCGAUCCUAAGGGAGCUAACAAAGUGUGCAAGCUCCAGCGAUCAAUCUAUGGUCUGGUGCAAGCCUCUCGGAGUUGGAAUAAAUGCUUUGAUAGUGUGAUCAAAGCAUAUGGUUUUAUACAGACUUUUGGAGAAGCCUGUAUUUACAAGAAAGUGAGUGGGAGCUCUGUAGCAUUUCUAAUAUUAUAUGUGGAUGACAUAUUGUUGAUUGGAAAUGAUAUAGAAUUUCUGAAUGGCAUAAAAGGAUACUUGAAUAAAAGUUUUUCAAUGAAAGACCUCGGUGAAGCUGCUUACAUAUUGGGCAUUAAGAUCUAUAGAGAUAGAUCAAGACGCUUGAUUGGACUUUCACAAUGCACGUACCUUGAUAAAGUGUUGAAAAAGUUCAAUAUGGAUCAGGCGAAGAAAGGGUUCUUGCCUGUAUUACAAGGUAUAAAGUUGAGUCAGACUCAAUGCCCGACCACUGCAGAAGAUAGAGAGAAAAUGAAAGGAGUUCCCUAUGCUUCAGCCAUAGGAUCUACCAUGUAUGCAAUGCUGUGUACCAGACCUGAUGUGUGCCUUGCUAUUAGUUUGGCAGGGAGGUACCAAAGUAAUCUAGGAGUGGGUCACUGGACAGCGGUCAAGAACAUCCUGAAAUACCUGAAAAGGACUAAGGAUAUGCUUCUCGUAUAUGGAGGUGACAAAGAGCUAGUCGUAAAUGGUUACGUCGAUGCAAGCUUUGACACUGAUCCGGACGAUUCUAAAUCGCAAACCGGAUACGUAUUUUUGUUAAACGGUGGAGAUGUAAGUUGGUGCAGUUCUAAACAAAGCGUCGUGGCGGGAUCUACAUGUGAAGCAGAGUACAUAACUGCUUCGGAAGCAGCAAAUGAAGGAGUCUGGAUGAAGGAGUUCAUUUCUGAUCUAGGUGUUAUACCUAGUGCAUCGGGACCAAUGAAGAUCUUCUGUGACAAUACUGGUGCAAUUGCCUUGGCAAAGGAAUCCAGAUUUCACAAGAGGACGAAGCACAUCAAGAGAAGCUUCAAUUCCAUUCGGGACCAAGUCCAAGUGGGAGACAUAGAGAUUUGCAAAAUACAUACGGAUCUGAAUGUUCCAGACCCAUUGAGUAAGCCUCUCUCACGAGCAAAACAUGAUCAGCACCAAGACUCCAUGGGUGUUAGAAUCAUUACUAUGUAAUCUAGAUUAUUGACUCUAGUGCAAGUGGGAGACUGAGGGAAAUAUGCCCUAGAGGCAAUAAUAAAGUUAUUAUUUAUUUCCUCAUAUCAUGAUAAAUGUUUAUUAUUCAUGCUAGAAUUGUAUUAACCGGAAACAUGAUACAUGUGUGAAUACAUAGACAAACAUAGUGUCACUAGUAUGCCUCUACUUGACUAGCUCAUUAAUCAAAGAUGGUUAUGUUUCCUAACCAUAGACAUGUGUUGUCAUUUGAUUAAUGGGAUCACAUCAUUAGGAGAAUGUUGUGAUUGACUUGACCCAUUCCGUUAGCUUAGCACUUGAUCGUUUAGUAUGUUGCUAUUGCUUUCUUCAUGACUUAUACAAAGUUCCUACAACUAUGAGAUUGUGCAACUCCCGUUUACCGGAGGAACACUUUGUGUGCUACCAAACGUCACAACGUAACUGGGUGAUUAUAAAGGUGCUCUACAGGUGUCUCCAAAGGUACAUGUUGAGUUGGCAUAAUUUGAGAUUAGGUUUUGUCACUCCGAAUGUCGGAGAGGUAUCUCUGGGCCCUCUCGGUAAUACUCAUCACUUAAGCCUUGCAAGCAUUGUAACUUAUUAGUUAUUUAUGAAAUGAUGUAUUACGGAACGAGUAAAGAGACUUGCCGGUAACGAGACUGAACUAGGUAUUGGAUACCGAUGAUCGAAUCUCGGGCAAGUAACAUAGCGAUGACAAAGGGAACAACGUAUGUUGUUAUGCGGUUUGACCGAUAAAGAUCUUCGUAGAAUAUGUAGGAACCAAUAUGAACAUCCAGGUUCCACUAUUGGUUAUUGACCGAGAAUAGUUCUAGGUCACGUCUAUAUAGUUCUCGAACACGUAGGGUCCGCACGCUUAACGUUAUGAUGAUAGUUUUAUUAUGAGUUUAUAAGUUUUGAUGUACCGAAGUUUGUUCGGAGUCCCGGAUGUGAUCACGGACAUGACGAGGAGUCUCAAAAUGGUCAAGACAUAAAGAUUGAUAUAUUGGACGACUAUAUUCGAACACCGGAAGUGUUCCGGGUGAUUUCGGAGAAAACCAGAGUGUCGGAGGGUUACCGGAACCCUCCCGGGAGAGUUAAUGGGCCACAUGGGCCUUGGUGGGAAGAGAGAGGGCGGACAGGGUGGGCCAUGCGCCCCCUCUCCCUCUAGUCCGAAUUGGACUAGGAGGGGGGGCGGCGCCCCCCUUUCCUUUCCCCCUCUCCCCCUUCCUUCCCCCUCCUAGUAGGAGUAGAAAAGGAGGAAUCCUACUCCUACUAGGAGGAGGAUUCCUCCUCCUUGGAGCGCCCCAAGGGGCCGGCCGGCCUCCCCCCCUUGCUCCUUAGGACACACAAGUUGAUCUACGGAUCGUUCCUUAGCCAUGUGCGGUGCCCCCCUCCACCAUAUUCCACCUCGGACAUAUCGUCGCGGAGUUUAGGCGAAGCCCUGCGCCGGUAGAACAUCAUCAUCGUCACCACAUCGUCGUGCUGACGAAACUCAUCCCCGGCGCUUUGCUGGAUUGGAGCCUGGGGAACGUCAUCGAGCUGAACGUGUGCUGAACACGGAGGUGCCGUACGUUCGGUGCUUGGAUCGGUCGAGUCGUGAAGACGUACGACUACAUCAACCGCGUUGUGAUAACGCUUCCGCUUACGGUCUACGAGGGUACGUGGACAAUACUCUCCCCUCUCGUUGCUAUGCCAUCACCAUGAUCUUGUGUGUGCGUAGGAAAAUUUUGAAAUUACUACGUUCCCCAACACCUAGUAUCCACUAUGUUCUGAGUUUGAUGUUGCUAUGACUUUGCUAUGCUCAAUGCUUGUCACUAGGACCCAAGUGCCAUGAUUUUAUAUAUGAACCUAUUAUGUUUUCAUGAAUAUAUGUGAGUUCUUGAUCCUAUCAUGCAAGUCUAUAGUCACCUAUUAUGUGUUAUGAUUCCACAACCCCGAAGUGACAAUAAUUGGGAUACUUCUCGGUGAUGACCGUAGUUUGAGGAGUUCAUGUAUUCACUAUGUGUUAAUGCUUUGGUCCGGUACUCUAUUAAAAGGAGGCCUUAAUAUCCCUUAGUUUCCAUUAGGACCCCGCUGCCGCGGGAGGGUAGGACAAAAGAUGGCAUGCAAGUUCUUUUCCAUAAGCACAUAUGACUAUAUUCAGAAUACAUGCCUACAUUACAAUGAUGAACUGGAGCUAGUUCUGUGUCACCCUAUGUUAUAACUAUUACAUGAGGAAUCGCAUCCGACAUAAUUAUCCAUCACUGAUCCAAUGCCUAUGAGCUUUUCACAUAUUGUGCUUUGCUUAUUUACAUUACCGUUGCCACUGUUACAAUUACUACAAAACUGCUACCGUUACUUUUGCUACCGUUACCGUUACUUCCAUACUACUUUGCUACUAAAUACUUUGCUGCAGAUACUAAGUUAUCCAGGUGUGGUUGAAUUGACAACUCAACUGCUUAAUACUUAAGAAUAUUCUUUGGCUCCCCUUGUGUCGAAUCAAUAAAUUUGGGUUGAAUACUCUACCCUCGAAAACUGUUGCGAUCCCCUAUACUUGUGGGUUAUUAAGACUAUUUUCUGGCACCGUUGCCUAGGAGCAUAGAUCUAUUCUUUGAAUCACUUGAGAUUUCUAUCUGCUGGUCACUAUGAGGAACUUCAAAGACGAAAGAACUAAGAUUUAUCCCUCAACUACGAGGGGAGAUAAGGAACUACCAUCUAGAUCUGCACUAGAUUCUCCUUCUGUUAUGAGUAAGCUUGCGACACCUAAACCUGCUUCUGCUAUUAAUUCUGAUAUUUCGCAUGUUAUUGAUGAUGCCACUUCUACUAUGCAUGAUACUUAUGAUGAAACUACUUUUGUGCUUGAUACUACUGUGCCAUUAGGUGAAUAUCUUGAUGCACAACUUGCUAGGGUUAGAGAGAAAGAAAUUCUUGAAACUGAUAUUAUUGAAGAUAGUGAUGAUGAAGGUUCUCCCCCUAAAUAUGAAUUGCCUGUUGUUCCUGAGGGUUAUGUUAUGGAUGAAGAAACUGUUAGAGAUUUUCUUGCUUGCAAUGAUAGAUCUGAUCUUAAGAAGUUAUUAGCUAAACUGAAACAGAAAACUCUGAAUGCUAGAAUGAAAUAUGACCGUGCUUUUUCUACUUCACCUAUCUUUAUUACUGAUAAGGAUUAAGAUUUCUCUGUUGAUCCUGAGAUAAUUACUUUGGUUGAAUCUGAUCCUUUCUAUGGCUAUGAAUUUGAAACUGUUGGGGCACAUCUUACUAAGUUAAAAGAUAUAGCCACCCUGUUCACUAAUGAUGAGAAAUCUCGCUACUACUAUAUUCUUAAGAUAUUUGCGUUCUCAUUAAAGGGUGAUGCUAAAACUUGGUUUAAUUAUUUUGAUCCUGGUUGUGUGGGUAGUCCCCGGGAUAUGAUUUAUUACUUCUCUGCUAAAUAUUUCCUUGCUCAUAAGAAACAAGCUGCCUUGAGGGAAAUAUAUAAUUUUGUGCAAAUUGAAGAAGAGAGUCUCCCACAAGCUUGGGGGAGGCUUCUCCGGUUGCUUAAUGCUUUGCCUGAUCAUCCUCUUAAGAAAAACGAAAUACUUGAUAUCUUUUACUAACUGAUGCUUCCAAGGACAACUUGGAUAGUUGUGCUGGUUGUGUUUUCAGGGAAAGAACAGUCGAUCAAGCUAAAUUGCUAUUGAAUAAUAUGUUGACUAAUGAAAAUAAUUGGACUCUUCCUGAGCCAAUUCUUGAGCCAACUCCUAAACCUACUCCGAAGAAGAGGGGUGUUCUAUUUCUUAGUCCCGAAGAUAUGCAAGAGGGAAAGAAAUCUAUGAAAGAAAAAGGUAUUAAAGCUAAAGGUGUUAAGAAUUUACCUCCUGUUGAAGAAAUACAUGGUCUUAAUUUACCACCUAUUGAAGAAACACAUGGUCUUGAUAACCCGACACAGGUAGUAAAGGUAAAUUCUCUCUAUAGAUAUGAUAAGGUUGAAAUCCCGUCUACUAAGUUUGCUAGCCAAUGCUUGGAUGAAUUUGAUGACUUUAUGGCUAGACAAGAAAAUUUCAAUGCUUAUGUUGGUAGAGAAUUAAAGAGUAAUUCUUAUAUGAUUGGACGCUUGAGUGAUUAUAUGGCUAGAGUUAAAGGUGAACUUAAACUCAUUAGUAAAUAUGCUUCUAUGGUUACCACUCAAGCAGAAUAAGUACUUAAAGCUCAAAGUCAUUUGCUCGAUGAAUUAAAUAAUAAACAUGAUUUUGUAUUUAUAGUGGCUACUAGAACGGGUAGAAUGACUCAGGAACCUUUGUAUCCUGAAGGCCACCCUAAGAGAAUUGAGCAAGAUUCUCAGAGAAAUAAUGUAGAUGCACCUAGUCCUUCUAAAAAGAAGAAAAAGAAAAAUGAUAGGACUUUGCAUGCUUCUAGUGAACCCGUUGUAGACACACCUGAGAAUCCCAAUGAUACUUCUAUUUCUGAUGUUGAAACACAAUCUGGUGAUGAACAUGAACCUAGUGAUAAUGUUAAUGAUAAUGUUCAUGUUGAUGCUCAACCUAGAAAUAAUAAUGAUGUAGAGAUUGAACCUGCUGUUGAUCUUGAUAACCCACAAUCAAAGAAUCAACGUUAUGAUAAGAGUGAUUUUGUUGCUAGGAAGCACGGUAAAGAAAGAGAACCAUGGGUUCAGAAACCCAUGCCUUUUCCUCCUAAGCCAUCUAAGAAAAAGGAUGAUGAGGAUUUUGAGCACUUUGCUGAAAUGAUUAGACCUAACUUCUUACGUAUGCGCUUAACUGAUAUGCUUAAAGUGAAUCCUUAUGCUAAAUACAUGAAGGAUAUUAUUACAAAUAAAAGAAAGAUACCGGAAGCUGAAAUUUCCACCAUGCUUUCUAAUUAUACUUUUAAAGAUGGAAUACCUAAGGAACUAGGAGAUCCAGGAGUACCAACUAUACCAUGCUCCAUUAAAAGAAACUAUGUUAAAACUGCUUUAUGUGAUCUUGGAGCCGGUGUUAGUGUUAUGCCUCCCUCUUUAUAUCGUAGACUUGAAUUGAAUAAGUUGAGACCUACUGAAAUAUCUUCGCAAAUGGCCGAUAAAUCAACUGCUAUACCUGUCGGUAUUUGUGAGGAUGUGCCUGUUGUGGUUGCAAACAUCACUAUCUUAACGAACUUUGUGAUUCCUGAUAUUCCUGAGGACAAUAGCAUGUAUAUUAUCCUUGGUAGACCCUUUUUGAAUACUGUAGGGGUUGUUAUUGAUUGCAACAAAGGCAAUGUCACUUUUCAUAUUAAUGGUAAUGAGCAUACGGUACACUUUCCGAGGAAACAACCUCAAGUUCAUAGCAUCAAUUCUAUUAGAAAAAUUCCAACUAUUAUUAUUGGAGGUUUUGAAUUUCCUCUUCCUACUGUCAAGAAGAAAUAUGAUAUUCUUAUUUUUGGGGAUGUGCAUAUCCCCAUUAAGGUAACCUGGUGUCAUUCGAAAUUUCUCCGGUUCCAUGUUAUUCGGAAUGAGUUUGUUAACAAGACUUGAUCAACCUUGUUAGUGGAUUCCUUUUGAUGAGCAUGAGAUGGAUGAAGUUAGAAAGCACAACCUCCUGUACCCUCCUUUUACUUUCUGUUAUUUAGAUUAAAUAAAGUAAAAAUAGUAUUUUCUGUCUGUUUUCUGGAUUAUCCAUGCAAUAAACAAUACCCCGAAAAUAAAAUUUCUCCAAAUGCCCUACAAAUUUAGUAUGAUUUUUCUGGAAAAUUUGAGAAUAUUUGGCACUGAGAACACAACAGGGGGAGCUGGCACCUGGCCACGAGGGUCCAGGGCGCGCCCACCCCUAUAGGGCACACCCCCUGCCUCGUGGGCCCAUGGUGGCCCCCUCCACUUAUUCCCGCACCCACACACUUCUUCUUCCUCCCAAAAAAAUCACCAUCUAGCUCAAGCACGAGUUCUAGCUCAUUUUGCUGCAGUUUUUGAUCUCCUUGCUCAAAGUUCCAUUCACAAAACUGCUUUGGGAGAUUGUUCCUUGGUAUGUGACUCCUCCAAUGGUCCAAUUAGUUUUUGUUCUAGUGCUUUAUUCAUUGUGGCACCCCGGCUCAGAGAAACCGGAACGCCCCGUAUUCCAGCCCAAAGAUCAAGGAGAAGUCUUCUAGAAUACGGCACUGCUUAGCAUAGAACAAACCAGCUUUCUACUAUUACACAAAUAUGAAUACAAGGUCUCCGAUAUUACAAUGAAUAACAUCGAUACGGCGACACUAUGCCAUCCUCGGUUACUCUAUGCAAGCAGCAGAACAACUCGAAGUAGCGGAAGAACUCUAGCAGCGGACCAAUGACGAUGGUGGUGAACUCCACUCCGCAGGGACUCUGGCUAGAACGCUUAUCCUAACUCCGUCGUGGCCCGUCCCACUCUAGGACAAGGAUCCGAAAACUAACUCAACAAUGGGCACACAAGGCUUAUGUCCGCCUACCUAAUCGGGGUAGCGCGCGCCCAUAACCUUCCCUCGUUGGAGGCACCGGCGAGAGGCACAACAAUAGACCCAGUUAGGACCGACCCAUACCGGUAAGCGUGGUUGCACUGGUCAGCAUCGAUUCAGCGGCACCAUGACUCAGCCAACAGUUGUUCAAGUUCAAUUUAAUCCGGUUAACUUGAAUGCAAAUAUGCUGAGUCAUGAUAAAAUGCAUGAACAUGAUAUCAACAUCAUCAUGAGUGUAUCACAUAACUUUCCACCAUAUCAACAAUAAAUCAUAUCCACUGAGCAUGGCAUACUGACUAGCACGACCAUCACCAACAUCAACAUGUACUACUAGCAAUCAUAAAUAUAUGAAAGUUAAUACUAGCAGGUAGAACAUGAUAACAGAGUACAAGACAUCAUAGCACAAAGGUUAACAUGCAACUCUAAACAUCACCGGAACAACGAUAACCAUCUUGUCAACAAGCAAAUAUUUAAUAAAGAUUCAAGUUGAAAACCAUGGCUACUGCACGACUAUCAUGCAAGUGGGUAUUGUGGCUUGCCUGGGGAUGAAGAAGGCACCGGGGAGAAGUGCGGUGAAGCCGCGAAACGAAUUGCUGGAAAAUGUUGUCUCUCGGAGGGGGCUGACUAAGGGCAAGGGCAAAAUGUUCAUUUUCAGUAUGCCAAAACAUAAUGAAAGUUAGACCAACAGAAAGGGCUCGACGAAACAAAGAAGUGAGCAUUGGAUUCACCUCGUUUGGAGUUACGGAUAAAAAGAUAUAAGGGUUUUACUGUGAGGGACCUAUCUGUAAACAUUUAUUUUACAGAUUGGGCCAAAACAAAAAAACGGAAAGCGCAUGCCAAGAUUUACGUUUCCACUUAUCCAGCGUGACAGUGGCGGGGCCGGCUCCUGUGUGGCCGACAGGCGGGUCCCACCUUAUCCACUCCCUCUCUCUCCCCCCUUCUCUUCUUCCUCUCUCCUUCUCCCGACGCCGCACGCAGAGCAGAGGAGAGGCCGCCGGCGCCGACGCUCGCUCCGGCCACUCGGGCCACCUCCGACGGAGCUUGGACCGCCGGAGUGCUCAGGACGGCGAGGCGCACCCGUCCCACCACCACACGAACAUCGGGGAGACUCGGGCAGGGCGGGACCAUGGCCACGGCGAACGGGGCUUCGGCCGAUGAUAGAGGACAAGGCCAUGGCAAUUCCGGCGACUAACGGAGGGCUGCAGAGAGGCUAUGAUGGCUGGCUGACCUACUAGAGGUGGAAGAUACAGGAGAGGGGCUUCGGUUCGGCGGAAUCGGACUGGACAGGGGCGGCGGCCAUGGCGGCAAGGGCGGGCUCAGGAGCUCUUGGAGUUCGAACGAGUGGACGGGGAGGUUGCUGGGAGUGAGGCGAGUCUCGGGGUGAGCUCAGACAAGGCCGGGGAUGGCUUAAAUAGCCGCGGGGCAAGGUGGCCGACCUGGCACCACCGCGGACGCGUGGCCGGCGCCACGGACGCGUGCCCGCGCGCAUGAACUCAGGGGAAAACGACGGAGGAGGAGGAGUGGGGGCUCUCAUGGGGCAGAGGAUGCCAAUGGGGCGCAGGGAGGAAGACUACGGUCACGGGAAGAUCCAAAACCCCACUGUGCUCUCGUGUUCACGCGGCGGCGAGCGUCGAUGAGCAAGCAGACGGAGGGGGAGAGGGGUCCAGGGGAACGACGAUGAGGAGAGGAAGACAAUGGACAGGCUCACGAGCGCGAAAACGGCAAGAGGGGGAGGGGCGCGAGCAAGAAGACGCUCUGGGCGUGGCCAUUGCACGCCAAAACGGUGGUCACCAUGUGAACCGGUGCACACAGUGCCACAAGUGAUGCCAAACCAUGUCUGGGGGUUAGUCCCUCAUGGGUAAGUUGUAACUACGGGGGUAACUAAGUGAAAACGUCUCUGGUUAAAUACUUAGUGAGCUCUGAAGUUUACUGCAGUAAACUUUACCAGCUCAAUAUGAUCAACAGGGAGUUACCUGAAGCCACGGAAUUUGUCUGGGGUGUAUAGCUAUGGAGGGACUAUGAUCCUGGAGGUUUUGAGGGGAAAUGGAACAAGAUAAAUCGUAUUUGCUUUGCAACUGCCAAAAUGGUCCAGAAAUGAAGAUUAGGAUGGUGCACUCACAUGGAGUGUCCACUUGAGCUCAAAUUGGGCAAGGCUUAGUCAUUUGGUCAUAUGAAGAUGCUCACAAAGUAUCAUACCAUUUGGCAAAGCCAAAAUGGUACUUGCUUCACAAACAUCUCUACUGACCAGAAACUUGAAAUAAUUAUGGUGAUCAAAUGGAUCAAUGAAAUGAUGCCAAAUUGGGUGGAGAGAUGUUUUAUGGGUAUAAGAAGGAUCUGGUAAUUUAUCAGGAUUUUUGAAGCAAUAUAAAAUACACUUCCUUCACAACCUGGAAAUAUUGCUAGAAACAAAGAUUUGCUCCUAUGCUCACAUAGAUAAUUGGAUGGGGCUGCAUAUGGGUGGAAGGGGUUAGUAUGAGCACUUUAAGGAGUGUGCAAAAUUUUAACUCAUUUUGAGACUCCUUGCUAGUACUUCCUGCAUAAAGCCUUCCGUUUGACAGAAACUUUGAAAAAUCACUGAGGAAGAUUGGCUAGGCAAAUAAAUUUAAACUUGUGCAUGGGGCAAUUAUUUGGACAUGUAAACAUGCCCAAAAAGGUUGGGAUUCAAUAGGAGAAAUAUAAAUGACACUUCCUUCACAAAGUGCCAUGCAGGGCAAAAUAGAAAAAGGAAUUUUUGGGGAAUUAUUUAAUGGAAAUAAAAAGUUUUGCCAUAUUUGAGCAAGAUAUGACCCAAACAAUUUAUGAGAAUUAUUUGGGAAUUUUUGGAGUAAUGGAAACAGAGGUUGCUUCACAACCUAGGGCAAUUUGAGUUAUUCUUUAAUUGAAAAGGAAUAUUCCCAAUAAAAAGAAUAUUAAGAUUUGGGCUAGGAUGGAAAUGACAGGGUCUAGCGAAAGAUUUGGGGAUGACAAGCCACUCUGCAAGCAAAGAAGAGGUCAUCUCGUUCAGUUUCCAGACCACAAAGCCACGGAAAAAGAAAACUCAGGCAAAAACCUCAGAAAAACAAAAGAAAAAGAAAGGGCCAAAAAUCAGGCUGUCACAAACCUUACCCCCUUAAAGAAAUCUCGUCCUCGAGAUUUGGUUGCUCAGGGAACAAGUAUGAAUAUUCUGACUUGAGGAAACCGUUUCCAACUCGGGUAUCCUUUUUUCCUUUAUUGGUGUUCCCAUUAAAUUUUUAUCUGACUGGCCCUGGGGUGGUUUGAUUUGCUUUAUCCACAUUCUGACAGAUCUUACCUUGCUUGCUCAUGCUUAUAUAGGCUCCAAUUUCUUUUUAGAUCUGCUGACUAGCUGAGUGUGAUUUAAUUAUCACGACUGAAAUAUAUGUCCGUCUCACAAAUCCAAAAGUGAUUUCCGCUGGGUGUGCCACCUGGCACUGACAACCUUUCAUGUAAUGAUGAUUUCUGAUGAAAACUCAAGCUCUGACUCAUUGCAUUGGGUUUCUCCACUAAAUGCAGGUCCUUUGGGUUCCAAACAGUGAGUUAAAACAUAACCAUUUCCUGACAGAUUCUGACGCAUCGCAGGAGUUUCUGAAUCAUCUUACCGGUUCCACUGUCGUGAGUAUCGGAUCCGUACCAAAUAUUUGAUUGUCUCCUGUCGCGGCCAGCAUAAAGGGUUUGGCCUGUAUUAUAAUAUCUGCAGAGUUGACUGAUGGUGGUUCUGACGGAAAACUUUUGUUCAUGACAGGCUGUCCAUGAUGAUUCAUAUUAGUGAGGACUCAGGCUUCCAGACUGUUAUCCUCAUGCUGAUUAUUCAUGCUGUAGGCAUAUCCAUGUGGAUCAAUUACUGACUUAGACUGUCCGGGGAAUCUGCACCAUGGGGGUCAUGUACGAUUUUCAUACCUGCCUCACUGGUCUUGCUCCUUCAUUAUUGUUUUCUUGGUCUGGAUCUUUGGCUAAAAGAGCUGGGCCAUAUUGUUUCUUUGUAUGACCAUAGAUACUGUUGGUGCAAUUUUCUCAGCAAUCGUAGCUUAUUCUCAUUUUUCUAACAGGGUAACCCAUUAAAUGGCAGGUUCAACACCUCUCAAGUUCUGAUUGUUGGGAAAUGAUCAUCCAAAAUCCUUGCAAGAACUCUGCAAAUAAAUCAGUAGCCACCAGAAUGGUCUUUAUAACUCAGAUCUGGGACAUUACUGAAAUAACUCAACCACGGCUCAAGACGGCCGAAAAACAGCUCAGGGCAUGAGACCGGGUCGAUAAGAAGAAGGUGGCAGCUCCCUAAAAUAGCCAAAAGCAGCUAUAGGGCUACUGUCACAAAAAGAAACUCAACAGCUGUACGAGACAGCCGAAAAGUAGCUCAGACUCGUGAUAGUUGUUGAAGAGAGAAACAAAAAUCGGCAUCCACCCCGGAUAGCUAGAAACAUCUUAGGUCACAGGCGUGGUGCCGUCAUUGGAGAAAAGGGGACAAGGGCCCAUCAGGAUCAUUUUCCAGGUUCACGGGUACUUGUAUUGAGCUCAUUGAUGUCGUCAAUCCUCAUAAUCCUUUGUCACACUGUGGUGUAUACUGGCUUUCUUCUAUUAACCAUUCUCACGUGGUUGUUGGAUCCUCAUCCGAGUGACUUGUAAAAUCUUGAUGGUAUUCUCAUUGCAUAUAUAUGAGAAUCUGAUUCCCGAGAUAGAUGUGUAUUCUGACUGAUUCUUGAGAUUCACUGCCAUAUGUUGGCAAUUCACAGUGUACUACCUUGUACCAAUGUCUUACUGAGGGAUAUUAGCUGGCUUGUGCUCGAAGCUUUCAUCGGAUAGCUUGCUGAAGAAGACUGGGUAUCGUGCUUCAGAAACUUACCCCCUUGAAGACUUUGCUGGGGAAAGACUCUGUACCUUAUGCUGGAAGCUUUUGAAGUUGCUUACUGAAGAAGACAGGGUACCUUGCACGGGAAGUCGUCCAUGUAUCGUACUGAGGAAGAUAGAUGAAUCUUGCCUUGGAAGCUUCUCUGGUAUUUUGCGAUUGAAGAUUGGGCUGCUUACACUAGAAGCUUCUUAUUGUGAUAUGCAGACCAAUUUCCACAUAUAUAACAAUCUGAAUAUUUUUUCUAUUGAUUUCUUGCAUGAAAUGGGGUUUUGCAGGACUAUCCUCCUUUCUGAGUAUAUGCCAUAUUUUUGCCUGCUUCCACAUACAUCGAGUUCCAAAAUCAUCCUCAACGAAAAAUUAAACUUGUAUCUGAGCCAUACCCUUGAUAAUAUUCUGUCAAGCUUGCACACAAUUUAUCUUCUUGCUAAUUUAAUCAUUUUGUUGUGAUGAGUGCACGUAAUGCAAACUUGAUACUGAUGGUCCAUCCAGGAUUUCUUUUGCAUCCAGACAAGAUAUUCCCAAUUUCACUGCGGUCAGCUGAUAAUUCCAUUCUGUUUAGCUGAAUUUCCAAAUAUAUGCAUUUCUUGCUGACUCUUCUUGUCUGGUGUCGGCUGACGAGCAACUUUAAUAGGGGGAAAUUUGUAACACCGAAGGCCCAAAGAAAGGAACAACAGAAACGACUAAAACAAAAGCACACAAGCAUACUACUAAUAUAAUUAAUCAAGAAAUCAUCACAUAUUACUGCUACUCACACAAUAAUAUGCAUGCACACCUAAUCACACAAAUCUCACGGAAACUCCGGUAUUAAGGUCUAGCAUGUUGUGAUGAUGUGCAUGAGGACGAAUAAAUGUGUGGAAGAAUUGGUGUAAACACACUACACCACGCACUAGACUUCCCUAUCGGUGUGUGUUGGGAAAACUCAUUUAUACUGACACACAGUCGGUCGGAAAAACUUGUAUCAGUCAGUAGGUCGGGAAUACACACUUGUAGCGUCUAGCAGUCUGUCGGGAAUGCUGGUAUAUUUCACGUCUGAUGGUCGGUCGGGAAUAGAAAGACUUCCAUCGAACUAGCAGUCGGCAAUUUUUCCCGACCAACUGUUGGUGGCUAAUUGGGCCGAUCAGUCGCGCACGCGGGAACGUGAAACAGUUGGCGCCGAAAUGAGCGCUCCCCAUGAAAAACCCUAUCUCCCCUUUUCCCCUUCACCCCCCAAAUCCCUCAGAUCUGGCACACAGUUUCUGCAUCCGCCGCCGCCCCCGCUCGAGUUCUCCCUCCGCCGCACAUGCUGCUCCCCACGCCGGCCAUGUGCUCUCCAGCCGGCAGGGCCGUCGCAUCCUCUCUCCCUCCCGUCCGCCGCUGACCCCACUCCACACUGCCGCUGGUGGUACCCCGUACACCAUACUGCCGCCGCCUCCACCGGUAGGUGCUUUCUCUGUCCUCCCCCCCUCCUCCGUCUACAGGUGCUCUCUCCUCCUGUCCGUGCGCCCUUCCCUUCACCGUCGCUCACUGUGCUGCCCUACACGCACAGGUGGUCUUGCUGUCGCCGUCCAAACCCUGCCGGGAGCUUCCCUUUUCGUCCGCGCCCAAGCUCACCAUCUCCUGGAGGUGCUGCCGGCCAAGAAGGUAUGCUCCAAGAUGCCUCUUCCAGAUCCAACUACGACAGUGGGUUGGUUUUAGUCCUUCUAAUGCAAGGUCUUUAUCCACCUCGUGUGUUAUCUAUUUCCCAGCAAUACAACGAUUUCUCUUCGGAAGAAUUGUUUUUCCCCUCCACAUGUUCCUGCUUAUGUUAUGUGUGGAUUUUGAAAUCUAAUUUACACGUACUAUGUGCUUUGAGAAGAAAACAAUGUAGUUUUUUUGCAUGAGCACACCUUCUGCAUAGUGGUCAAUUUGGUUGACCUUCGUUAUCAAAAGAAAUUUGCUUAGUGUAUUGUCAUCAUAAGUAACUAGCAUACUGCUUAAAUUUGGAACAUAGAACUUAGCUAUAAAUCUUAACUAUGAUGAUACUUUGUGGAGAAUGGCACAUUUAGAUUGAUUUUAAUGAUAUAUUUAUUGCUCUGAACCUUGGGUUAUCACCAUAGUUUAGACUCUUGAGUGUUGUUCUGGCUUUGAAAAGUGGGAUCCGAGAGAAUAUAUGAAAAUGCUAAUGAUGUCCUGUGACAAGUUGAGAUCAUGCACAAGAACAAUAAUUAUCUGUGUAGCAGUAAUACAUUAUAAGGCAAACCAAAACUUGAGAUUCUGGUUCAGUUUCAGCUCUUGCCUCCGCCCAUAAAUUAAGAUACCAAUUUAGCGUGGCACCUUUAGUUCCUAGUUGUCAUGAUAACAAUACUGUACCUGACUUGCAUAAUCUCUUGCUAUUCCUUGAUGAGCAGCAACUUAUUUUGAACUUGUAUAUUUUAGAAUUUGCCUUUUCCUGUUAUUUUGUGUGUGGACAAUGUAUGACACCACAUGUAUAACAUUGUUGGUGAACAUUUAAAGCAGUGCCUGGCAAAAGAAGGGGGCCAAACCUACUAACCUGCGGGAUCCGAACGACAUGUGGAUUUCCAAAAGGUUUUUUCUUAUACUGUUAGACACUAUUUGAUAAUGAUAUAAUGAAUUCUUGCUAGACUUAAUUGUUUCCUAUGAAGUUCAAUUCCUGGAACACCUAUUUUGUUUCCUAUGAUCCACAUGCGAGGCAUAGAAAGGGUUUGAUUUUGAUUUUAGUUUCAGUUUCAGAGUUCUAUUCACAUUUUGAAUUUUCUAGUUUUUUUUGUGUGUGGACAGUGUGUGAGGCAUUUAAAUUCACUAUUAAUCAUGUGUGCAGGUGCAACUAGCAUGGACAAAUAUUGGAUGGAUACACCUAGGUACAACACCCCAUAUGUUAAACAUCUUAGAUUAGAUGUUAGUACUUGCUGAAAUCUGAUGCAACGCGCUGCAUAUGUACACUUGCAUGUAGGCAUACGGAGAAGUACUACAAGGGCUUGCCAGAUUCUUACAAUGCAUUUAGUAAAUGUUCAGUUGAGAAUCAGGGAUUCAAUAUUCUAUAUUAUUCUUCUAAGGGUUUUUAGCAUACAAAAGUAUGCAUGGUUGUGCAGACUUUUAGCUUUAUUUUUAACAAGCUAUAGUUAAGUAAAGCAUCUGCUGUUAACGACCUGAUAUUUUUUAGUUGUACAAGUUGUUGCCAUCAAGUUGAAUGACAAAGUGAAACAUAACCUUUAACUUUGUCGUUUGUUUUGAUGUCCUAGUGCAGUGAUACAGCAAACAAUGUAGAAUGCCCUCACUUACUACUGACUAGCAUAUGGAACUAUGUGCUAGUCCAAUAAACACAUCUCCAGUUUCCUAUUAUUUCUUUGUUACAUAGGAAAUACAUGCAGCACUUCGUAAAUGGUUCCUUGUCCCUGUUUUUUUAUUGUGCACAGAGCUUGUAACUUUUCGGUGGGCCACUAUUAGAGGCCUGACCUAUAGAAAUUCACCGUGGUAAAUACCGCCAACCUCGCAGCCUGCUCCUCAUGUAGAUGUAAUUGUGUUGUCUUCAUACUUCACAGGUUUUAUGCUAGCCGUGGAAUAUUUUUCGCCACGUACGUUAUUCACCUAGGUAACUCCGCUGCUCUGUUACCACGAGCAGCUCCAUGCCUCAGUGAGGCCGGUCCCUAUUUUUUAGGACUAGGUGUGCUACUAUUCCUAUUUCCUACUGAUUUGUCCACUUUCUCUCUGUCCUACUACUCUCUUUUCAUUAAUCCCCCGAAUCUCUAAUCUUUGUUUGUGCAGAUUCUCUCUUACCUAUGAAUACAAGGUCGAUGAAAAUCCAAGCAAGUUGCAAGGAAGAUUGAUCUAUGUAAUAAUGCAAUAUGCAAGUUCUGUUGUCUCUGCUUAAUAACUUCUUUUUGUGAAAUUUAGUUGCAUUGAAUGAUUAAUUCCUCUCAUGCCAAUGUGGCAAUGUCUCUCGUCUGAAUUCUCAAUUGUCUUUGCCAGUUACAUAGUGGCUUACAUGCCACCUGGAUACUGGAGUAGCAUAGUAUCUGGGAAUAUGAUUUUAUUCUUUAGUCAUUUGUAUGCCACAUCUGGUAUCGUUGGUCCUUUCUGAAGGCCAAUAUGAAAGGGCAACUUAUAUAUGUCAAAUCGCAUGGGUAUUUUAGUUGGUACUUUCAGGUUUUGAUAUUACUCUAUCACUAGAAUUUCCUUUCGAACAUUGCAAUUAGCUUUUAUCAAAGCAUGGUAAGUAUUGAGAAAUUUGUUCAUCAUACCUCCCAGGUAAACUGGAAGUAUUGUAGUAGUAGUCAAGCAGGAACCAAUUCCAAUUGUAUCCUGGGGAUUUUCUACCUUAUUCUAGCUCCAGUGAAUAAUGUUUGCUGUGGCAGAUAAAGAAUAAUGUUUGCACUUACCUCACCCUGUCCUAAAUUGGUUUGCUUACAAAUGUUGCACAUGUCUUAUGUUUCCAUAGUUAGUUUAUUAUUGGAAAUUGGUGAUGAUCAGGUAAGGAAAGAAAUCUUCAAGUCUCAGGUUUUUCUAUAACCAUUCCCCCAUGGUGGUAAGCUCUCCCAGCAAAUCAUGAUGUGACUCGGAUCAGGUGUGCAUUUUUUCCUUUUUGUACUGUAAAAAAACUUUCCACUAAGCACACUAAAGUGUAGCACUCAAUAAACAAACUUCAUGAUAUUCUAUUCGAAUAAAGUAAUCUAUGAUGUUCUUGAAGUUUUGUCACGAGUGCCUUAUAUAAGUGCACCAUGGCCAUAAGUACGAGUAGCAUGCAUAUGUGCAUUGAGUAAUCCAACGUGAGGAAUAAGAGAGAUAAAAGCGGGUCCACAAUGAAAAGCGGUGUGGCAAGGCUUGCAUCUACUUCUAGUGGUUACCUAUACUUGAAUGGAGUGCCUUCUUGAGUAGGUGUUUUGGUACUAGCUUGCCUUGUGAAGUAAUAGCUGUUGUCAAUGCUAUGCUUUAUCCCAGUUUUUAUGGUACAUUGUAUUUAUGAAUGUAAGAAUGUAAUGGCAACUUCUUUACAUUUUGCAGGGAAGAAAUGCAAGCGGAGGAGGAACCAUGAAGCCGGCGGUUCAGGAUAUUUUGUGUAGUGGUGAUUGAAUCAUUGGUGAUGAAUUUUAUCUAUCAUUUUGUAAACCCACAUUAUGUUUGAGGCAAUGAACCUUAAUGUUUCCUCUAGUUAAUUAGCUAUAUUAGCUUAUGGGAAAUUUUGGAAGUCAUUAUGUUGAUAACAGAUGAAGUAUUUACAUGUGAAAUUAAUUAAUAUGUGUUUCUAUUGUCUGGUUAUGGUUUAUUAUUGCUGGAGGACAUGCACAUUAUUGUUAUGAAAUGUCUUGAUUGAUAUUUUCUUGGUAGUGCAAAUGUAAGCUAUGGUAGGGCUACUGGAUGUUGGUUGGAAAAAAACCAUGUCUGAAAGUCGUUUGGGGAAGCUAAUGCCAGGGCCAACGAAAAGUUGGACAGGAAAACAAACCCCAUCAGAUAGUCGGUCGGGAAAAGCACAUGGCAUGCCCUAUAGACUGUUGGUCGGGAAUACAACCCCAUCAGAUAGUCGGUCGGAAAGGCCCAUGGUAGGCCCAACAGACCGUCGGUCGGGAAAGGCCCAUGGUAGGCCCAACAGACUGUCGGUCGGGAAAGUUACGCCAUAGGUGACAAACAGUCGGUCGGGAAAGAUAUGUCGGUCGGGAAAGGCUUUUCCCGUCUAGACUUUCCCCAACAGACACAGUCGGUCGGCAAUAGUCUUUCCCGACCGACUAUCUAUUGGUGGAAGCUGUUUUCCCGUCCGACCUAGCUGUCAGGGAUGUAGUGUUGUGGUGUAGUGACAGCGCUACACCAAGUGCUACCUUAGCCAGAUAGCAACCUGGACUAGCUUGGAGGUGAGGACGUACUCGGUAAUCAUGUAGUAGGACAUGAAGGUCGCAGCCACAUUAUUAUCAAGCAGACGGAAAAAGAUCCGUACUCGUCCAAGAAAUAGGAUAGCGGGAAAAACUGAGACUGCUGACAUUGCCCUUUCUUGAUAACUAAGAUCAUUAAGGGUUGCCAACACGACGAAAUAAAAGAACGAUCCGGGAUAGACGCAUGUCCAUCACCGAAACGACAAACGAGACUGAAAGAAAGACAUCGGUGUGAUACCUGAGCACCAUUUUUGCAAACAGUGUCGGGAUCACUUGGCAUCACUCUGCUGGGACAGAAUUGACACCAAACACCGAAAGAAAAGGAACUGGAGAAAUGCAAAGGUUGAGCUGUAGUGGAUCCGAACCGAUGUCAGCUACACUCACUAGAUAAAUCGUUAGUAACAAAUAAUAAUCUAUAUGCAUGCUAUGCGACAAACAAAUGCAGCAAUCAAGUGCAACAAACCAAUUGGGGUCUAUACUACCGCUUUCUAACGUUCGCGCGGUCUAGGGCGUUCUGCAGCCAGACCAGCUCUGAUACCAAGCACUAUGGCACCCCGGCUUAGAGAUACCGGAACGCCCCGUAUUCUAGCCCAAAGAUCGAGGAGAAGUCUUCUGGAAUACGACACUACUUAGCAUAGAACAAACCAGCUUUCUAUUAUUACACGGAUAUGAAUACGAGGUCUCCGAUAUUACAAUGAAUAACGUCGAUACGGCGACACUACGCCAUCCUCAGUUGCUCUAUGCAAGUAGCAGAACAACUCGAAGCAACGGAAGAACUCUAGCAGCUAGCGGAACAACGACGACGGUGGUGAACUCCACGCCAUAGCGACUCUGGCUGGAAUGAUUAUCCUAGCUCGCACGCACGGAAACCACGACAGAAAGCAAUCAAAUUCGGCAUGACCUGCAAGCUGGCAUGACACGCGAGGUCAGUACAUUGAAUGUACUUGCAAGCUCACAAUAAUCUAGAAGCAUUCAAGACAGACAACAACAUGGCAAUUACAGGUUAAAUAGGAAUUAUCAUGAGAUCAUCAGAAUAGCAUGUCAUCAUCAACAUAAACAUGAUACAGCUAUCACAACAUGAACAUAUUAAUCUGACAAUACUAACAUGCAACAUGAUGACACUAUAUGCACCAAUUAUUCUGUUCGGCUACCUCGUAACCAACUCAUGCAUCACUUACCAACCUCGGACAUCACACGAUCAAGUCAAGAUCAAAUCAAGCUUGGUAUAAACAAUACUGUAGUAAUCAGUAAAUGACCACAAGGAGCUUGACCUUUACCCACGAUUCUCGUACAACAUCACGAAUAUACAACAACUCGGUAUCCUCGAUACCAUUUUUAUCCUUACGGCGAUCACAACCCGACCAACACUUGGUCCCAUACCAUGGUCCUUCAGGCGAUCACAACCCGACCUCUAAAUGGCCCGUGAUCCUUACGAUGAUCACAACCAACUUAUCUCACUAUUAUUAAGCACAUUAUUCUUAUUACUGUUGACUCAUGGUGUGACCUAUUUUCAACCUGGGCCCUUAUCCGCGGGCACGGCUAUCGAUAGAUUUAAUAUACACUCUGCAGAGGUUAGUACACUAUACCCACACUACGGAACCCAUGGCCUCGCAAUCCCAUUCGGGUGGACCAACGGCAUUCCCACAAAACCGUCCCCAUCGGGCUAGUCCUGGGUAGCCCCGUGUCUACCUCCAGACACAAUGACCACCGUCGUGGCCCAUCCCACUCUAGGACAAGGAUCCAAAAACUAACUCAACAACGGGCACACAAGGCUUAUGUCCGCCUACCUUAUCGGGGUAGUGUGCACCCAUAACGUUCCCUCGUUGGAGGCACCGGAGAGAGGCACAACAAUAGACCCAGUUAGAACCGUCCCAUACCGGUAAGCGUGGUUGCACUGGUCAGCAUCGAUUCAGCGGCACCAUGACUCAGCCAACAGUUGUUCAAGUUCAAUUUAAUCCGGUUAACUUGAAUGAAAAUAUGCUGAGUCAUGAUAAAAUGCAUGAACAUGAUAUCAACAUCAUCAUGAGUGUAUCACAUAACUUUCCACCAUAUCAACAAUAAAUCAUAUCCACUGAGCAUGGCAUACUGACUAGCAUGACCAUCACCAACAUCAACAUGUACUACUAGCAAUCAUAAACAUAUGAAAGGUAAUACUAGCAGGUAGAAUAUGUUAAUAGAGUACAAGACGGCAUAGCACAAAGGUGAACAUGCAACUCUAAACAUCACUGAAACAACGAUAACCAUCUAGUCAACAAGCAAAUAUUUAACAAAGAUUCAAGUUGAAAACCAUGUCUACUGCAUGACUAUCAUGCAAGUGGAUAUUGUGGCUUGCCUGGGGAUGAAGAAGGCACCGGGGAGAAGUGCGGUGAAGCCGCGGAACAAAUUGCCAGAAAACAUUCUCUCUCGGAGGGGGCUGAUUAAGGACAGGGGGAAAAUGGUCAUUUUUAGUAUGCCAAAACAUAAUGAAAGUGACACCAAUAGAAAGGGCUCGACGAAAUGAAGAAGUGAGCGUUGGAUUCACCUCGUUUGGAGUUACGGAUAAAAAGAUAUAAGGGUUUUACCAUCAGGGACCUAUCUGUAAACAUUUAUUUUACAGACUCGGCCAAAACAGAAAAACGGAAAGCGCAUUCCAGGAUUUACGCUUCCACUUAUCCGCGUCGCAGUGGCGGGGCCGGCUCCUGUGUGGCUGACAGGUGGGUCCCACCUUAUCCACUCCCUCUCUCUCCUCCCUUCUCUUCUUCCUCUCUCCUUCUCCCGACGCCGCAUGCUCCGGCCACUCGGGCCACCUUCGGCGGAGCUUGGAUCGCCGGAGUGCUCAGGACGGUGAGGCGCACCCGUCCCACCACCACACGAACAUCAAGGAGACUCGGGCAGGGCGGGACCGUGGCCACGGCGGACGGGGCUUCAGCCGACGAUAGAGGACGAGGCCAUGGCGAUUCCGGUGACUAACAGAAGGCUGCGGGAGAGGCUAUGGUGGCUGGGUGACCUACUAGAUGUGGAAGACAGAGGAGAGGGGCUUCGGUUCACCGGAAUCAGAGUGGACAGGGGCGGCGGCCAUGGCGGCAAGGGCGGGCUCGGGAGCUCUUGGAGCUCGAACGAGUGGACGGGGAGGUUGCUGGGAGUGAGGCGAGUCUCGGGGUGAGCUCGGACGAGGCCGGGGAUGGCUUAAAUAGCCGUGGGGCAAGGUGGCCGAGCUGGCACCGCCGCGGAUGCGUGGCUGGCGCCACGGACGUAUGCCCGCACGCAUGAACUCGGGGGCAAACGAUGGAGGAGGAGAAGUGGUGGCUCUCACGGGGCAGAGGAGGCCAAGGGGGCGCAGGGAGGAAGACAAUGGUGACGGGAAGAUCCAAAACCCCACUGUGCUCUCGUGUUCACACGGCGGCGAGCAUCGGUGAGCAAGCGGACGGAGGGGGAGUGGGGUCCAGGGGAACGGCGACGAGGAGAGGAAGACAAUGGACAAGCUCACGAGCGCGAAAACAGUGAGAGGGGGAGGGGCCCAAGCAAGAAGACGCUAAGGGCGCGGCCAUUGCACGCCAAAACGGUGGUCACCGCGUGCACUGGUGCACACCGUGCCACAAGUGAUGCCAAACCAUGUCUGGGGGUUAGUCCCUCAUGGGUAAGUUGUAACUACGGUGGUAACUAAGUGAAAACGUCUCUGGUUAAAUAGUUAGUGAGCUCUGAAGUUUACUGCAGUAAAAUUUACCAGCUCAAUGUGAUCAAUAGGGAGUUACUUGAAGCCAAAGAAGUUGUCUGGGGUGUAUAGCUAUGGAGGUACUAUGAUACUGGUGAUUUUGAGGGGAAAUGGAACAAGAUAAAUGAUAGUUGCUUUGCAACUGCCAAAAUGGUCCAGAAAUGAAGAUUAGGAUGGUGCACUCACAUGGAGUGUCCACAUGAGCUCACAUUGGGCAAGGCUUAGUCAUUUGGUCAUAUGAAGAUGCUCACAAAGUAUCAUACCAUUUGGCAAAGCCAAAAUGGUACUUGGUUCACAAACAUCUCUGCUGACCAGAAACUUGAAAUAAUUAUAGUGAUCAAAUGGAUCAAUGAAAUGAUGCCAAAUUGGGUGGAUAGAUGUUUUAUGGGUAUAAGAAUGAUCUGGUAAUUUAUCAGGAUUUUUGAAGCAAUAUAAAAUACACUUGCUUCACAACCUGAAAAUAUUGCCAGAAACAAAGAUUUGCUCCUGUUCUCACAUAGAUAAUUGUAUGGGGCUGCAAAUGGGUGGAAGGGUCUAAUAUGAGCACUCUAAAGAGUCUGCAAAAUUUUAACUCAUUUGGGGACUCCUUGCUAGUACUUCCUUCACAAAGCCUUCUGUUUGACAGAAACUUUGAAAAAUCACUGAGGAAGAUUGUCUAGGCAAAUAAAUUUGAACUUGUGCAUGGGGAAAUUAUUUGUACAUAUAAACAUGCCCAAAAAGGUUGGGAUUCAAUAGGAGAAAUAUAAAUCUCACUUCCUUCACAAACUGCCAUCCAGGACAUAAUAGAAAAAGGAAUAUUGGGGAAAUAUUUUUGAACAUGGCAAUGAAAAGUUUUGCCAUAUUUGAGCAAGAAAUGACCCAAACAAUUUAUGAGAAUUAUUUGGGAGUUUUUGGAGUGAUGGAAAUAUAGGUUGCUUCACAACCUAGGGCAAUUUGAGUUAUUCCUUUAAUUGAAAAGGAAUAUUCCCAAUAAAAAGAAUAUUAGGAUUUGGGCUAGGAUGGAAAUGACAGGUUCUAGGGAAAUAUUUGGGAAUGACAAGCCACUCUGCAAGCAAAGAAGAGGUCAUGUUCUUCAGUUUCCAGACCACAAAGCCACGGAAAAAGAAAACUCACGCAAAAACCUCGAAAAAACAAAAGAAAUUUGGAGUUACUAAAAUUUUAUUUGGAGUUACUAAAAUUUUAGAAAUUUUCAGAAAAAGAUGAAGAGAUUGUUCUUGAGGGGCUCUUCUAGCCAAGGCUCUAAGGAUAAACAAGCUAAGGAGAAAGAAAAGGCCAAGUAUAAUCUUCCUCGUGUGGCAGAAGUACGGCCGUGUGAAUGGCCUUGUGAUGAUUUCUUGAGAGCAGUGGGGAUUUAUGAUGACUUUUAUUCCUUGGCUGAUAAUGCUAGCCUCACCGACUUCCUCCAUGACCAAAUCGAACAGUAACUCUUACUCACUAAUACUUUCGUGCAAAACUUCUACUAUUAUCCUAAGAAAUCACCUCCUUCGGUAGAGUUUCAUUUAUAUGGUGUGGCUAGGGAGAUGACACUAUAUGAAUUUUGCACGGUUUGCAAGAUACCCCUCGGGGGCAGCUUAGAGGAACCACAUCGUAAAGAUGUGGAUGGAUUUAUCGAUACUAUUAUCUUAGUGGAAACGAGGAAGGUUUCCGAUGCCAGAAUUACUAGCAUACAUUGCAAUAUUUGCUAGUCGAUGCUUAAUUGGUCGCGGAAACUGUGGAAACCUUAGUGUUCCUGAUCUUAGUGUUCUCAAGAGUGCUGUAUUAGGUGAUAAACAAUACAACUUGGGGGCAAUUGUUGCACGUAGGUUGGUUUAGUUGGACACUUGUUUGGAGGGAUUUAUGCAACCCGUGUGGCUAAUUAUCUUGGUAUACCUGCACAUGAAAAUGAUAGGGAGUUGGCUCCCUCUUAUUUAGAUUAUAAUGCCAUGGUUAAUCGUCAUUUUCUUGAGAGGAAUGAACAAUUCCUCCAGUAUCGACUAAUCUUUGACAGAUGUCGCGCUGUCCAUAUUAGUCUCCCUGCUCUUGCCCUUUUUGAUUAUCAGGCAAAAGGAAGAUAUGUUAUCACCAAGGAGGAGGCAAACGAGUACGAGAGGAGGACAGAGGUAGCUCGCCGCCAUGCUGCAGCUCAGGAGGCAAUCGCUGCUGCAUCUCAGUACGACCCUAGUUACAACUUCGGAUAUCAGCCAGGCUACCCAUGGCCAUAGACCAACUUAGGCCAAAAGCCUAAGCUUGGGGAGUACGUAUGUCGGUGCUCAUACUUUUUCAUGAUACUAUCCUUGCUAGUUUAAUUUCUCUUCUAGCUUUCUUCUUGUGUGUUUGAUAAACUUUAAGAAAAACCAAAAAAAUAGCUAGUUUAAUUUCCAUGCUAGUAGUAGUAAUUAAAAGAAAACCGAAAAAUAUUUCUCGUUCUUCUUUUGCUUGUUGGGAGCUUUCCCGUGUAAAUAGUUUUAUUUCUUUUUCUUUCCUUUUGGGGUCGAGAGGAGAAGACCAUGAUGAAAAUGCUUAGUGGCUCUAAUAUGCAUGAUUGUUGAUUUAACCAAGAGCCCAUAUUACCUUGUCUUCUCCCUUGAAUUGAAUGCUUGCAGAUUCCAGCUUAGUCCACUACACGUGCACUAUUAUUAUUAUUAUUCACAUCGUUCGGUCGUGCAAGUGAAAGGCAAUAAUGACGAUAUAUGAUGGAUUGAUUGAGAUGAGAGAAGCUGGUAUGACCUCGGCCUAUCUUGUUUUUGUAAAUACGAUUAGUUCAUCAUUCCUGAUUCAGCCUAUUAUGAAUAAACAUGUUUGCAAUGACAAUUAGAGAUUAUAGUUUCUUAUGUCAUGCUUAAUUAGCUAGGAGUUUAUAAUGGUUUAUCUUGCGUGCCAACAUGCUAUUAAAAUGGUUGUGAUGUGGUAUGAUAGGGUGGUAUCCUCCUUUGAAUGAUUCGAGUGACUUGACUUGGCACAUGUUCACGCAUGUGGUUGAAACAGAAUCAACAUAUCCUUCAUGAUAUUUGUGUUCAUGGUGGAUUAUAUCCUACUCAUGCUUGCACUCGGUGUUGAUUAAUUUUAAUGCAUGUUCAUGACUGUUGUCGCUCUCUCAGUUGUUCGCUUCCCAGUCUCUUGCUAGCCUUCACCUGUACUAAGCGGGAAUACUGUUUGUGCAUCCAAACUCCAUAAACCCCAAAGUUAUUCCAUAUGAGUCCACCAUACCUUCCUAUAUGCGGUAUCUACCUGCCGUUCCAAGUAAAUUUGUAUGUGCCAAACUCCAAACCUUCAAAUGAAAUUAUGUUUUGUAUGCUCGAAUAGCUCAUGUAUCAACUAGGGUUGUAUGUAUCUUCCAUGUUAGGCGGCUUAUUCUCAAGAGGAGUGGAAUCCUCUCCUCAUUCACGAGAAAAUGGCUGGUCACCGGGAUACCUAGUCCCAUGCUCAAAUCAAAUCAAAAUAAUUAAACAAAACUCCCCCACGAUUGUUGCUAGUUGGAGGCACACGUUCUUUCGGGCAAGCCAUGGAUUGAUGCUUGUUGGUGGUGGGGGAGUAUAAAAUUUACCAUUCUGUUUGGGAACCGCCUAUAAUGUGUGUAGCACGGAAGAUAUCGAGAUCUCAUAGUUGUUACAUUGACAGUGAAAGUAUACCGCUCAAAAUGCUAUUCAUCUCUAUUUCAAAAUCGAGCUCUGGCACCUCUACAAAUCCCUGCUUCCCUCUACGAAGGGCCUAUCUAUUUACUUUUAUGUUGAGUCAUCACCCUCUUAUUAAAAAGCACCUGCUGGAGAGCACCGCUGUCAUUUGCAUGCAUUACUAUUUGUUUAUAUUGGGUAUGACUAUGACUGGGUCUCUUUUACCAUGAAUUGGAAUGUUUAGUCAGUCCUUAAUCUUUAAAGGUGAUCUGCAUUUAUGUUUUGCGGUCUCAGAAAGGGCUAGCGAGAUACCAUCUUGUUAUAUCAUAUUAUGAUUGUUUUGAGAAAGUGUUGUCAUCCGAGAUUUAUUAUUAUUGCUCGCUAGUUGAUUAUGCCAUUGAUAUGAGUAAACAUGAGACCUAAGUGUUAUAGUGAAUAUGGUUAGCUCAUAAUCUUUGCUGAAAACUUGAAUGCAGACUUUACAUAUUUACAACAACAAGAGCAAACAGAGUUUGUAAAAGUUUUUCUUUAUCACUUUCAAUUUAUCAACUGAAUUUCUUGAGGACAAGCAAAGGUUUAAGCUUGGGGGAGUUGAUAUGUCUCCAUCGUAUCUACUUUUCCAAACACUUUUGCCCUUGUUUUGGACUCUGACUUGCAUGAUUUGAAUGGAACUAACCCGGACUGACGCUGUUUUCAGCAGAACUGCCAUGGUGUUAUUUUUGUGCAGAAAUAAAAGUUCUCGGAAUGACAUGAAAAUCCACGGAGCAACUUUUCAGAAUUAAUAAAAAAUACUGGCGAAAGAAACAGCAUCAGGAGGCCCACACGCUGUCCAUGAGGGUGGGGACGCGCCCCCUCCCCUAGGGUGCGGCCCCUGCCUCAUGGGCCCCCUAGACGUCCACCGACCUCGACUCCAACUCCAUAUAUUUGCUUUCGCGGAGAAAAAAAUCAGAGAGAAAGUUCCAUCGCGUUUUACGAUAUGGAGCCGCCGCCAAGCCCUCAUCUCUCUCGGGAGGGCUGAUCUGGAGUCCGUUCAGGGCUCCGAAGAGGGGGAUUCAUCGCCGUCGUCAUCAUCAACCAUCCUCCAUUACCAAUUUCAUGAUGCUCACCGUCGUGCAUGAGUAAUUCCAUCGUAGGCUUGUUGGACGGUGAUGGGUUGGAUGAGAUUUACCAUGUAAUCAAGUUAGUUUUGUUUGGGUUUGAUCCCUAGUAUCCAUUAUGUUCUGAGAUUGAUGUUGCUAUGACUGUGCUAUGCUUAAUGCUUGUCACUAGGUCCCGAGUGCCAUGGUUUCAGAUCUGAACCUAUUAUGUUUUCAUGAAUAGAUGUGAGUUCUUGAUCCUAUCUUGCAAUUCUAUUGUCACCUAUUAUGUGUUAUGAUCCGACAACCCCGAAGUGACAAUAAUCGGGAUACUUCUUGGUGAUGACCAUAGUUUGAGGAGUUCAUGUAUUCACUAUGUGUUAAUGCUUUGGUCCAGUACUGUAUUAAAAGGAGGCCUUAAUAUCCCUUAGUUUCCAUUAGGACCCCGCUACCACGGGAGGGUAGGACAAAAGAUGCCAGUUCUUUUCCAUAAGCACGUUUGACUAUAUUCGGAAUACAUGCCUACAUUACAUUGAUGAACUGGAGCUAGUUCUGUGUCACCCUAUGUUAUAACUAUUACAUGAGGAAUCGCAUCCGACAUAAUUAUCCAUCACUGAUUCAAUGCCUACGAGCUUUUCACACAUUGUGCUUUCUUACUUACUUUACCGUUGCCACUAUUACAAUUACUACAAAACUGCUACCGUUACUUUUGCUACCGUUACCGUUACUUCCAUACUACUUUACUACUAAAUACUUUGCUCCAGAUACUAAGUUAUCCAGGUGUGGUUGAAUUGAAAACUCAACUGCUAAUACUUCAGAAUAUUCUUUGGCUCCCCUUGUGUCGAAUCAAUAAAUUUGGGUCCAAAUACUCUACCCACGAAAACUGUUGUGAUCCCCUAUACUUCUGGGUUAUCAAGGUCCCAUAGGACCAGCGCACCAGAACAGCAACCGCCGCCGAUGAAGAGUAGCGUAAAUCGAAAGGAUCCAACCUGAAAACACACGAACGUAGACGAAUGACGAACAUAUCCAAGCAAAUCCACCAAGGACAGAUUUACCGGAGACACACAUCCACACGCCCACCGACAAUGCUAAAUGCACCAGCAGAACUAGGGCUAGGCGAGGAGAACCUUAUUCCAUCUUCAGGGAGCAACCACUGUCUCGUCUUCCUGAGUUGGACACAAACCCUAGCACAUCUCGAAGACACAUCUAAAAACCGAGCCUUCCCACAGGCAAAGGCCAGGAUCCGCCGCGCUCCCAUGACCCUAAGGCAACUGGAGAUGAGGCGGACCGGCGACGGCACCGGUAGGAGGCACAAGAAUCCUAGUUGGGGAGGAGGCCGCGGCCUGAGGAGUCAUGUAAUGUCCUUUAUAGGUUCACCGGUUGGCCCCUUCUAUUCUGCCGCUGCAGAUCUGACACGUCAGAACGAAUUGUUGCAAUCACCAGGCAGCAGCGAAUGCUAGCGAUUUCGGGAGCAGCUGAGCUCGAGCACAGAAUUGCAGCGUCCGGCGAGCGUAGUAGCCAGAGGAGAAACCGAGCGUGUGUAAAGCGCUAAACUACACUGCCCUAACAGAGCGUGCGUGUGAGCGCUCAUGCGCCAACCAACGCCAUAAGCAUGGUAGAGGAGCGCUCCUGCAAUUUGUUGCCUCAAAUUGGUGGGAAAACACAUAAGGACAGGCACUAGUCGGCCCAUUCAUUUCAUACUGUACAAACCCGGUAGCCAAGAUUUUUUCGGUGUUGUACACUUUUAAGCGCUUCUUUCAAUUAGGCGUUUUCUUUCUCGUAUUUUGAAAAACAUUAGAAAAACUUAUUUAUUGAAAAACUAAGUAUUGAGUUUUUACAAUAAUUUUACAAAAUGUGUACAUUUUUAAAACAUGAAUGUUUUUCAUAAUGCAGACCAUUUUUUCAAGUUUUGAACGUUUUUUCAAAAACACGAAUAUUUUUUGAAAACACUAAAAAAUUGUGAAAACAUUCAAAUGAAAUUAUCCAUUUUGAAUACUAUUCAUAUAUUUAAUAAACAUGAACAUUUUUGAACAUUUUGUGAAAAAACUGAAAAAGAACGAAGAAAACAAAAAAUAAAACCAGCAAAAGAAGAAAACCUCAAAAACCGGAAUCCUUAUUGCGUCAUAAUAAUGCAUGACUAUUUUUUAUGAAUAUGUCUUCGAAUCAAAAAUGUCUGUUAUAUAUGCAUUUGCCUAUACCUCACUUGUAGUGAGACAAAAGAACACAAAUCCUCAGGCCCCCUGUAUUGUGGCCUAGGGAUCCAUCAUUAUCCAGGAAGCCGGCUUGGUAGGCCGGCCUAGGGCCUUAUAGGCUGGUUUGUCUAGGGCCAUCAAUUUGGCCCAUGGAUCCAAUUAGAGAAAGGCCCGAGGGACUUGGAGCGGGUGACAGGGCGACUAGCGUCCAGGAGAACUCCUCCAACGACCAACUACGAUCGUGUAAUCCUAGACCCCAACACCCAUAUAUGUCGUGGCCAGAUUAGUCAAUAGACACAGAACCUUAGAACUAUUGCUCAAUCCAUCGAUUAUUGUAACCCCUAUACACAAGCAAUAUACACGAGCAGGGGUUAGGAUUUUACCUCAUCCAUGAGGGUCUGAACCUGGAUAAACCCCUUCUUAUUUCCCAUUUUGCUUAAUCGCAUGGCCAGAGUACCUUAUCAAGUGAUCUGCCGGAAAUAACUCCACCACGUCAUAAAUGGGCUAGGGCCAGAUAAUUUUUUUCUCCUUUUCUCUUAUUUUGUUUCUACUUUUGGUUCAAUUUAAAACAUCUUGUAAAUAUAUAUAUUUGGAAAGAUUCUUAAUCAAUUAUUAAUAACAUUCACUGUGCCUGAAAUAAUGGUCAUGAAAUGUAAUUAUUUUUUUGCACAAUUUGAUAAAUUGUUCAUAUCCUUCAAAAGAAUAUUCGUAUCAUUUUUAAAUGUUCGGAUGUUUAAAAAAUGAAUGAUUUUUUAACAAUGUUUAUUAAUAUAUAUAUAUAAAUUAACAGUGUAAUUUGUAAAAAAUAUUCAUACCAUUCAAAAAAUGUUUAACACUUUAAAAAUGUUCAAACAUUUUAAUUUUAAAUAUUUUUUAGUAAAUACUAUUGAAAUAGAAAAAAAUUAAAAGUUUAUAACAUAUAAAAAUGUUUGUAAAAUUUUCAAAUAUGUUCAUAAACACUUACAAAAUGUUUGGCACUUUUACGGAUAUGUUGAUGUCUUAAUUUUUUGAAAACUAUCAAUGAAAUUUACAAAAAUGUUCCUAACAGAAAUGCUAUUACAAAAAUUUAUGAAUAGAAAAUGUGUGUAAAAUUUACAGAAAUGUUCACAAUUUUUUGAAGGAGCUCGGGAUCCAAACAUCCACUCUCUACCAACUAUAUGCAUGUAUGUUGUAGCAAGCCAUGAGCCAAGGGUUGCUACAUGAUCAAUUGCUGAUAGUGCAGUGUGUUUUCUUCAUUUUGGGCAGAUCACAAGUGUUUGACAUCUCUCUCUGCAUUGGGUAUCCUUUUCCACUUGAAUUUUAAGAUACGCGGAAUGUGCUUUCCUUGUUGUUGCCUCGUCAUUCCAGCAUGGAAUCAAAGCAAAACUGAUAUUACUUCCCUUAAAAAUUGUCUCGCUAUCUAUCUCCAUAACAUGCCCAUUGGACUGCAUGGCGGAAGUGAAGGUGUGCGCCUAGCCGGCGGAGAAGACGAACUCAUCUGUGACCUCUGAUGAGCCCAUGGUGCAUGUGGGUUGGAACACUGCUUAGGAAAUCUAGACUUAUUUUGCAGGCAAGCCAAGAUGAGAUCUGUAGGCCCAUGUGAAUUCCAUCAAAAUCACGGUCAGUUCAACUCUGGUUCGAAUCCUAAUAAAAAUAGAUCAACGGUCCUAGAUGGUUAUGUCCAUUGCUAAAAAAUGCAAUUGUUGAAAGAGUCGAUAUGACUAGUAGCUAGAGGACGCUGACACCCCUCACUUCUUCUACACGUACUAAACAAACCCUAGCUUAUCCAACUCAAUUUGCUUUAAGGUUUGUGUGUGAAAGAAGUAGUCUUAAAACCAAACACCACACUCUUCAACUUGAGAAAUCAAUAGUCCAUUUACCUAUGGAUAUCAACUCUAUAUACAUCAUACUUGAUGUGUCAAGUUGAUAAUACUUACUAAACAUAUUUUAAAUUACAAUAUCUGGUGCUUCACAGUCGGUUAUGAAAUUAAUGUUCACCCAUCCAAUGCAAUAAAAAGUAUGUGAAUGAUGUUAACACACGCGCGCGCGUGUGUGUGUGAGAGAGAGAGAGAGAUUAGAGUACAUUUUGUCCUGAGAGAGAUUAGAGUACAUUUUGUCCUGAUGUCCACCAUAGUUCCACGAUCAAUACAUCUAGGAGGAGACAAUCAAAAUACCGACAGAAAAUAAAUAUUUAAUAUGUAAAUGGUAGGUGACAAAUCCAACCACAAAAUUGUGCAAACAACCCACUAGCUAGUUUUAUUGAAUAUUAAAAUGACAUAGUUGAUUUCUAAAACAUACAAAAUUUAUUAUCUCAUCAACACAUAAUUAUUUUGAGAACAAUAAGGUUGAGAUUUAUCCACCCAAAAUAGGGGAGAUAACAAAACUAUUGUGUUGUUGUUGCUGGUGUGCAAUUAAUCUUGCAGGGACAGUUGAUGAAGCAUUCUCCAAGAUCUGGCCAGCACAAGUUAUCUAUUUGACAGCAGAAUUCCCGUCCUGGGAGCUGGUGCCCAUCUUUAUAACAAGGGGGUCUGGUUACAUGGCUUACUUUGCUCAUCAUGUUUCCCCCCUUGUUGUUUAUGAUUUCACCUAAUUAACAUAAAAUAAAGAAUAUACUUGUCAUCUCAUCAUAUAAACAAUAAAAGUCCACAAUAUCAAUCCCCCCAAAAAAUUGAGUUGUUAAUUACCAUAUGUGCCUCCAAGACAAGUCAAACACACCACAAGAAGAAAAGAAAGUAGCACAAGUCCUUCCACAUUGUUCCUCAUGAACUUGGUCAUCGUCACUAAGGAAUAGAGGCUAUUAAUGGGUGGUACUCUUGUAAGCGGAGUUGAUGACUGUAUGACCGUGAAAUGCUUGCUCCAUGAAUGGUUCAUAUNNNNNNNNNNNNNNNNNNNNNNNNNNNNNNNNNNNNNNNNNNNNNNNNNNNNNNNNNNNNNNNNNNNNNNNNNNNNNNNNNNNNNNNNNNNNNNNNNNNNNNNNNNNNNNNNNNNNNNNNNNNNNNNNNNNNNNNNNNNNNNNNNNNNNNNNNNNNNNNNNNNNNNNNNNNNNNNNNNNNNNNNNNNNNNNNNNNNNNNNNNNNNNNNNNNNNNNNNNNNNNNNNNNNNNNNNNNNNNNNNNNNNNNNNNNNNNNNNNNNNNNNNNNNNNNNNNNNNNNNNNNNNNNNNNNNNNNNNNNNNNNNNNNNNNNNNNNNNNNNNNNNNNNNNNNNNNNNNNNNNNNNNNNNNNNNNNNNNNNNNNNNNNNNNNNNNNNNNNNNGAAGUUAUAGAAAAUAUUAAUGCUUGGAGUUAUGACUUGUCUGAAUUUCCAAUUUUAGUUUCACUUCUAAAGAUUCAUGGUUCCUUCUAAAGUUUUUUUUCUCAAAUUUAUGCUUUGUUAUAGCAUGUAAGUUAAUUUAAUGCCCCCUCUAGAAUUGACCACUUUUUGUUUCCAAGGGGUAGAAUUGACCUCUUAGAAUGGGUAGCAAAAAACGGGUGCAUGGUAAUAUUAUGUUUAAGGCAUUGAUAAUAAUUGGUAUAAUAUUAAUAAUUCCUAUAUAUAUGAUGCCUUAUCAAUAAAAUAUUAAUUUCUCUCUUGGUAUAAGAGAAAAAAAUUUAAAAUUCAACAAGACUCGUCACUUAACAUUGGACUUGUUUUUUAAUGUAUAUAAGAAAUUGUUCUUAACUAUAUCAACAAGUUACAGAUACAUUUUUUUUACUUUUAUUCCAUGAACAUAGAUUAAUUAUGGGAUGGCCAUUUUAUAAAUAUAAGAUGAUGAUUUAUUUUCAUAUACAUGAAAAUUUUAUAUCAAGGUACUUGAGCAUUUUUUACAUUUUUCUAUACACAAAAUCUUCUCCAAUAUUAAUUCGAUUUUGAUUUCUUUAAAUAGAUUAGUUUCCCCCAAACGUUCUUUAUUAGAAUAGUGAAAAUGUCGCACUUCACUACUGGAAUCUAGCACUUUGCCAUCUGCCAUGGCAAAUGGCAAAGGCAUGGUCGGUGGAUGGCAAAGGCUUUGCCAUCUGCCAGCAGAUGGCAAACAGUUUGUCUGAAACCCUGCCGGUAAAGGCUUCUUUGCCGUCUACUGGCUGAUGGCAAAGAGUCUGUGCCUUUGCCAUCAUCUGGCAGAUGGCAAAGCCUCUUAACGGGGUUAGCCCCGUUAGAAGGCUAACGACAUACUUUGUUGUCUGCCAGCAGAUGGCAAAGGUUGCAGGCUCUUUGCCGUCUGCCAGCAGAUGGCAAAGAGCUUUGCCAUCUGCUGGCAGAUGGCAAAGAGCCCAAAUUGGCCAGCCCAAAUUUUACAUGUAGAUGACACGUGGCCUCUUUGCCAUCUGACAGCUGAUGGCAAAGCUCUUUGCCAUCUGCCAGCAGAUGGCAAAGUGACUAUAUUGCCCCAUUUUAUUUUGUUUUUUCUUAUAUCAGUUCAUUUUCAUAGAAAAUCAAACACAAAUGUAUUUAUAUGACCAAUAUAGCAUAUUUAACACAUAUUACCAAUAGUCAUGAACACAUAUAUAUCCAACACAUGUUACCAAUAGUAGCAAGUUUCAUCCGUACAUAUACAUAGUUUCAUCAAUAUUACACAGUUUCAUCCACAGGUAGCAAGUUUCACAAGGUCAAAACAAACACUAAAUACAAGCACUCCAUCAACCCAAGCUUCCGUGAACUUAAGCAAAUCUGUAAAAUGGGAAAGAAGAAAGUUAGAAGAAGAAGACUAGAAGAAGAAGAUUAUUAUGAUGCGGAAAUAUGCAUGGAUUGUCAAAACUUGCAUUAUCCUACUAUCACUAGUACAACAAAGCUGCAGGUUUGCAUUAUCCUACUAUCAGAAAUCUGGAACUAAACUAACCUAAUUAAUCAUAACAAGGUGGCAUGCAUAGAAAUUUGGAACUAACUAAGAACUUCGAAUUAAAAGAGGAGAAGCAAAGGUUCAGGAAUUAGUUGCUCCCCUGCCGAUGCAUUGGUUGUCGAGGUUGAGGAGGUUGUGUGCAUGGCCACACCAUCGACCUGAGCUACAACCCAGCAUCCACCGCAGACCCGUCUUUGCGCUCGAAAGAGAUGACCACUUCAGACCCCUCCUAGCUCCCCUCCGAUGGUGGUCUCCUCCUUGUUCAUCCGCCUUGCUAUGGCUUCAGGGUGGUAGGCCAGGCCGUCCCUUGUCACUGGGCGUCGUCCUCCAUGGCCAGAUCUAGCCACUCCAUGGCGUCCGGGCAGGGGAGGAAGUGGCCAUCCUGUCCAUGGCGUCCCGGUGCUCGAGCGACGACGGAUCAGAGAGUUAGAGGGGACGUGGUAAAGAAGAUAAGGAAGGAGGGAUGUGGCAAGGGAAGAGAGGGGAUCUGACUCACCGGAGCAACGCUGGAGCCACACCAGCUACGCGGUAGCCCAAACCCUAGUGAAUCGGUGUUUUUCGAAUGUAACUCAUCCCUUGGCAGAAUAUUGCUGUCAUAUUCACAACGGAAGAGUUCAUGUCCAGCUGACAAUGCAGAUGAUGGAGAUGCUGAUAAGCAGAUCAAUAGUAUUUUGCAUUUUUUUACCUGGCUCGUAUCAAUUCAUGUUAAUUGCAUUCAGCUAGAAAGUAGAGUACAAUCCUGAUAAUUACAUUCAGCUACUGAAAUAAGGUAAGACAAUAUUCUGCCAAUCAUCACCCACUGGUAAACGAUGAUCUCAACAAGGUAAGACUGCAGACAAUGACCUCAAAGAGAUGUAUGUAACUAGCAACUGUGCACUCACCUGCCAUUCCAUGAAUAACCUGCAACUACUCUCACCCACAGAAUAGUUGAAAAUAUCUAAUGUUUACCAUUUAAACAAAAGACUUGGUUGGAGUGUCUUAAGAGAGCUCUUACGUAUAGGUAACAGUAUCUGUUGUGCAACUAGAUGAAUUUAACACGAAGAGUAAGUUAGAAUUUUCCAUAGAUACUAAAACAUGCUGAAAAUAGAAUGCUAGCAUUGCCAAGCUACUGAAUAGUCCAACUCUCCUAUGGCUGACAAAAACGGUAACAGACAUUUCAGAAACCAGAUGGAAUCCAACAAACAGAGGGAAAGCGGAGCAAGCUAUACUUGCGGCAUGGUAGAGAUGAAGAUCAGAGCAAGGGAAAAGAGCAGCUACUAGCAUCAGCCUGAAUUGUACGUGUACAACACAACAUCUUGUUACAAUACAGAGAUAGAUUAAGCGUAAUUUUCUUUCAACAACACACAAUCUGCGUGUCUUUAUAUUUUUUUGAAAGAUAGGGGAAAACAAAUGCAUACAGUAGAAAUUAAAAUCUCAUCUAAUAGCGUGUACUUCUGAACGAAAGAGAAGUUAGCUGGCCUCUUAAUGCUCUUCGUUGGCAGGAGGAUGACCACCUACGAUCAAGUGCGCUAUUGUGGCAUAUAUCUUCCUUCUUGCCAAAGAAGCAUGGUAGAAUUAUAAAGAGAGUAUGUUUCCAUAGACAUUUAAAAAAAGAGAUUUGUGUAUACUCAUUAUAGUGUAAGUACCAUAGAUUAUUCAGAUUAGAAGUUCUUGUCUCUACCAACAAUUUAUAUUUUCUAUACAUACUAAUAUCUAUAUCGCAUUGACAAUCAUGUAUUUAUAUGAGCUCUUUGUGGUGCGUGAUACAGCCAGAUUCCUUUUGUUAUUGCAGCAAUUUGUAAGUAUUUAAAUAUAUUUUAAUAGCUAGUUUCUUCUGUGUUAUAAAGACAAAAUAAGACAUGCAUAGACUUGCAAAUAUGUAUUAGAAAUCUGCUACUCCAAAGUAUCAUAUGAAUCAAUGUAAGUCACGAAUCGUGUGCAUAUCACGCAAAGCAGUUUUUUUGUAAGAACAAUACAUAAUACUAAUCGACGGUACAGAUGAUUCAACACAUAUGCAUCAAGACACCACUACCUUGCACAUGGUGAUAUAGGAUGGAGUUGAAUCUGAUCACCUCCUUUUUACAACUUAUAGUGUAAUGUGUACUGCUCAUAAAUAGGCAUAUAUAUAGUAAUUUUUCUUUUGAUCAAACGCUUGGUAUAUUAAUGAUCACAUUAUACAUUUAUGUAACAUUUCUUACUUGCGAAAUCUUUUACAAAUUGGAAUAUAGGAAUAUUAUUAAUACCCAGAAGAAAUACUACUAUUCGGAAAAUAUACUAACUGGUACUAUACUUAUUUUUUUCUAAUAUUGGUACUAUACUUAAUUGGACCAAAAGGUACACAUAUUUUGAUUAGUUCAAUUUUUUUUCUACAGAUUUAUCGGCGCCAUUAUUUCUCUAUGGUUGAAAUGUAUAUAAACUACUGUCUGUAUAUAUUGAUCUGCAUUUAGACAAAUAUCAUGGACAAACACACAUACUGUUUAGCACGUGUAGUUGUAAAGGUAGAACACUGAUUUCUAGUAUUAAGAAAAUAUAUUUAUAACAUCUCAUUACGAUGUAUAUGGAGUUAGCAUGAGAGAAAUAACCAAGUGUUGUGCAAGGAUCAUUCUGACUAUCCAGUGGCAGAAUAGAAAUAGGAUGCUAAGCCCAGGGAGAAUACUUAUGUCCUAUAAACCUGCAAAUACGAAGCAUGCAUUCACCAUAUAUUAGAAUUCCAAAUUUUAUAGUUUGUUUGCAUGUUGGUAAUAAGCUUUGCCCCUUGUGAUAUGGAUUAUCACAUAGAAUGGAAAGAGGAGAAAAAAUUAUGGCUUAGCAGAAUCAAGGAGGAAAAGCACUACAUGUGAAGUAUCAAAACGUUGUGAUAGCACGAACCCCACCAGAUUUGAACUCGUGCUCUUAGUAUGACAUGGAAAGAGGGGCUACUCUCCAAUUGAAGUGAAAAUAGUAGAACUUUGAGCAUAAAAAUUCUAAAAGCACAUUGCAACACGGUAUUAAGUCAAGAUUUUGCAACCGAGAGGGAAAGUCAAAUAAAUAAAUAAAUAAAUAAAUAAAUAAGGAUUCUAAUCAAACCUGUGAAUCCAAGCUAGUAUCUAACUAUUGUAUUGCCCAUAGUUUUGCAUACGCCAUGGAAAGUAUGAUACAUAGCAUGUUGAAAAAUUGUAACCAAUUAAAUAGAAGACAUUUAAUUUAAAGGCACAAUGCUAGGAGAUCAUCUCUCAGAGCAAUCAUCGCUGACAUAGACCUUCUGUUAAAUCACAUGUCUAAGCAGAACCCAGAGGUCUUUUACUUUUCCUUUAUAUGGAACCUUCAUUUUGACCUUUGGGGACUAUAGCCGCCUCAAUUAUGCAACUUUUUUUUCUAAAAUUUUAGUAUAGUGUAGUAGGAGCCUUUCCUGGUGUUCCAUANNNNNNNNNNNNNNNNNNNNNNNNNNNNNNNNNNNNNNNNNNNNNNNNNNNNNNNNNNNNNNNNNNNNNNNNNNNNNNNNNNNNNNNNNNNNNNNNNNNNNNNNNNNNNNNNNNNNNNNNNNNNNNNNNNNNNNNNNNNNNNNNNNNNNNNNNNNNNNNNNNNNNNNNNNNNNNNNNNNNNNNNNNNNNNNNNNNNNNNNNNNNNNNNNNNNNNNNNNNNNNNNNNNNNNNNNNNNNNNNNNNNNNNNNNNNNNNNNNNNNNNNNNNNNNNNNNNNNNNNNNNNNNNNNNNNNNNNNNNNNNNNNNNNNNNNNNNNNNNNNNNNNNNNNNNNNNNNNNNNNNNNNNNNNNNNNNNNNNNNNNNNNNNNNNNNNNNNNNNNNNNNNNNNNNNNNNNNNNNNNNNNNNNNNNNNNNAAACACAUACUAUAUUUAAAAGCAAAGAUGCACCUUAUGUGAGAAUCACGCAUGUGUUAUUUCUAAUCAAUGAGCCAAUAAAAUAAUAGCAUUGUAUCAUUAAAUAAAUUAUUUUUCAACUGAAUCAGACACGUGGGGUUUGACAAAAUUAAAAGUAUAUGCGAAGAUGUUAAGAAGAAAAUGUCAAUAUACAAAAUUUGUUUCUACAGGCAGAUGUGAUUUCCGUACAAAAAUAGUCUGUUUGCUUUACAAUAGAUCCACCUAAACCAAACUCCUGAGUUACUACAUGUAGAGCUCAAAAAUAUCAGAUAUAGAGUAUAAAAUGAGAAUGGAAUACUAAGUGCGUCUUACAGAAAUUAUAAGAUCUUUUAAUAGCUUUCUACAAUAUUACAUAGCAUACACGACAAUGAGGCAUGAAAUGAAUCAGUAUUGUAAAUAUGUAAAGAAGAAUAAGAAACACAAAGUAGCUGCUGCUCGAGCAACUACUACAUGCAAAUACAAUGCUUGAAAAUUUUCAAGCGUUCUCUAUGCUUUUUACCCAGAUUCAGCAUGGAUUAAAAAACCACAAUACUUAAUUCCAUGUAUCCUAAAUUCAAGCGUCAUGUUCGACUUGCCUGUGGACUUGUAGAACCAACAGCGCACUCGACAACAUCGGACAGAUAGAUCAAUCUGCAUACCGUUCGCUGUAGGUUCUUCAAUGGGAAGCAGCACGAUCCACUUUAGACCACCAUCAGUAGACCUCAUCCUACGCUCCAUCGCAUCGUUAUAUUGCAGUCAGCUCGGAACUUAUGCCAAGGAGAAUAGUUAGACCAUAGAUUUGAUAUUUGACCUCGCAUGAUAUUUGAUUUAAAGUUCAGUGAAAUAUCACGAGAAUGAAUUGCAUAUCCCAACUUUAAACUUAGAAACAUACAUGGAACUGUAAUAUUCAACAAACUUAGAAACAAAUUAAGUCGAGAAUAUAGUUUUUAUUUUGUAUUGCGGGUUACAACUACUAGAAAAGGCAGACUAUUAAUUGUUCUAAUAGUAAUAUCGUAAGCAUAUUCCAUAAUAUCUUUCUAUAUUUCUCAUUCUAUAUAUUAUUCUUUUAGAAAAUGCUAGCCCGUGCAGAUGCACGGGUUGAUGACUAGUCAAAGCUAAUUGAGGCAGAAAUGAUGUGUAAAAUUAUAUGUGUUGAUGUACUGGAUACCAAAGUGCAAAAAAAGCUAACCCUAAAUCAGAAAUCGGGUUGCUCUUGCUCACUUGCCCGCUUGCUGCCGUCGGGGACUGGUACUGGUGACUGAGAGGAAGGGCAGCGACUGCCGCCGGCUUUGCAGGGAGGCAGGGCAGGGGUGCCAGGAGGUCGGGGAAGGUGCGCAGCCAAGCCCGCGCAGAGCAGGGGCGCACGCAGGGAGCGCGUCCGCGCGGCUGGUUCCAGGAGUGCGGGAAGGAGGGGCGGGGCNNNNNNNNNNNNNNNNNNNNNNNNNNNNNNNNNNNNNNNNNNNNNNNNNNNNNNNNNNNNNNNNNNNNNNNNNNNNNNNNNNNNNNNNNNNNNNNNNNNNNNNNNNNNNNNNNNNNNNNNNNNNNNNNNNNNNNNNNNNNNNNNNNNNNNNNNNNNNNNNNNNNNNNNNNNNNNNNNNNNNNNNNNNNNNNNNNNNNNNNNNNNNNNNNNNNNNNNNNNNNNNNNNNNNNNNNNNNNNNNNNNNNNNNNNNNNNNNNNNNNNNNNNNNNNNNNNNNNNNNNNNNNNNNNNNNNNNNNNNNNNNNNNNNNNNNNNNNNNNNNNNNNNNNNNNNNNNNNNNNNNNNNNNNNNNNNNNNNNNNNNNNNNNNNNNNNNNNNNNNNNNNNNNNNGAGAGAGGGAGGGGAUAGAGGCCACAGUUUUUUUUACCUGGAAAAAAUAACCCCAUCUCUUUGCCAUCUGCCAGCAGAUGGCAAAGAAUCUUUGCCAUCUGCUGGCAGAUGGCAAAAAGGUGGGGUUGGUACGCCGUUACAUCCCUGGCAGACAUAGGAUUUGCCAACCUCUUUGCCAUCUGCUGGCCGAUGGCAAAGAAUUGGCUGAUGGCAACCAUGUUCUUUGCCGUCUGUCACUUCUUUGCCAUCUGUUUUUUAUAAGCAGAUGGCAAAGACGUUCUUUGCCAUCCGCUGGCAGAUGGCAAAAAGCUUGCCCGACUAGGGCAAAUUUCGUUAGGCGGAGCUUCCUAAUUCUCGGUACUCCCUAUACGUUCCUCCUUGCGGCUAACAACCUCCCCUUCGGACAGUCCGCGCCUGGCUGGGCUGGUCCAUUGACGACACGAAUGGACACCACUAAGUGGGAGAGUAGGAACAUAAGAAAAAUAGCCCAAGGAAAAAACAAAUAUGUAAAACUAAAAAAUAACCCAAAGAAAACGGUAACAGAAACAGAAGGAAAAAAAAGAACAAACGGAAAUACCAGUAAAAAUCAUAUCAGAACCUUUUGGAAGGCUCCCAAAAUCGGUAAAAGCCCGGUAGGAAUAUUUCGAAAGUUCGUAAAACUAGAGUGGCGCGGCGAACAUGGGUCGGCCGUCCCCAAGCUCUAGCAUCAGUUUUGUCUGCAAUCCCCGGCAAAUUGAUGUUGGCUGCUCAAAUAGGGUUUUCGCCAUUUCUCUUGUUUCUUGUUGCCUCAUAUGAGUUUCUUGUUCUUUGGGACAUACGUUGGCGCCAUUUGUACGGGUUCGAUGACCGCCAUCAAGGGUCUCUUAGUGGAAUCACAACAUCUUGCAUCGUGCGAGGGCGUGAGGAGAUUAUGGUGGCCCUGGUGGUAUUUUGGGGAGCAUUGUACCUCCACAGCGCUCCAAACGGAGAUUAGCAUCUGCAAUGUCGUCUCCGCGUGCCUCGGUUAUUUCUUAUCCGAGCCCUGUACUUUGUGAUAGCCAUAGUGUUUCAUGUUAUAUAUCUUGCUAUCACAUAGUUGUUUGUCGUGCUUAGCAUAAGUUGUUGGUGCACAUAGGUGAGCCUAGUUGUUUUAGGUUUUAUGCUUGACAAUUAGAUGCUAGUUUUAUUCCAUAUUUGUUCAAGCCUAAAUAGUAAUUAUUUUAAAGCGUCUAUUCACUCUCCCUCUAAGCAACAUCCACGAGUUUUCAAUUGGUAUCAGAGUGUUGCCUCUCUUUAUUAGACUUAACCACUUAGAGAGUAAAGAUGUCGACUAGGGGAUUAGGAUUCUUUGACACUCUUUGUUUUGAUGGCACAAUUUUUGAUGUUUGGGUAAUUCGUAUGGUUAAAUCUCUUUAGGGUCACGGACCCAAAUUUAGAGCGAAUUGUAGAUAUUAGUUUUUAUCCUUCAAAGGAGCCUCAAAGAUUAUCUCUAAAGGAUGAGAAAAACUCUUAUCUCACUGCUCAAGCUUCUAAUGUGCUUUUUGAUGCUAUGAACAAUGUAGUUAUAUUUGAACUUAUGCUGUUCUGGGAUGCUCAUGAGUUGUGGAAAAAGCUUCAAGAUAAAUAUGGUGUGUCCAGGAUUUGUGGGAAUGAUUAUUCUCCCUCCACCUCCAGUCUUAUGGUGUUCUCAACUUCUUCUACUUAACUUAUAUGUGGAUUGCCACGAGGUAGUGAUAUGGUGAGUAGUGUUGGUCAUUGCAAUGAUUAUAGUGGGCUUAUUGUUGAUGAUCCUUCAUCACUAUCUUAUUGAAUGCUCCUUCUUUGCACUUCAACACUUCGAGCUCUCUAGAUGGUUCACACGCUCGUGUUGAUAGUCCUUGCAUAUCAUGUAGAAAUUGAUCGACUAAAUCUCAUGAUGAUAUGCUUGCUAUGUCUUGCUGCCAUGAUAAAAGUGCCUCUAUUUCCUCGAGUUGUUGUGCAAACAGUGUAAAGGAAACCCUACACUCCAUGGAACAAGAUGUGGUCCUGAAUGGUGCUUCAAGGGAUCAAACAUCAUCAUCUAUUGUUUCUCACUUUUGCCUUAUGGCUACGGCUUCAAAGGUAUCUCCCAUUUUAAAUCCCAAUAUAUAUUGUGAUGAUGAUGUUCAUGAUAAUCAGGGGAGGGGCCCCACCCAGUUGAAAUCAGGGGAGGGCCGCUACCCAGUUGAAUCAGGGGGUGGAGUGAUCAGUUAGGAAAGUUAAGUAAGAUUAUGUAGGAUUUCUACGUAAUUGUACACCUACGUAGCUAUCAUACAAGAAUUUCUCCUCCCUCUCGUCCCAUACUGCAAAUUUGUCAUCUUAGGACUGACAUUUACAUUUACAAUUUAACAAGAACAGAUCACAUCAUAGUUCAAAUAAGCUAAGUAUGAAUGGACAAAAGUUUCCCAGCUAUAGGAUCAAAUUAUAGGGGUGCUGCAAAAGCAACAACUUUGAACCAAGCUUCAUUGCCUCAGUAUAUGAGAAGAAACCUGGGAGCCCUCCUUUGUUACCUUUCAUGGUGAUAAACUAAAAAUCUCGCACACAAGUUUCUUUCGGAGGUGCUGAGCCUGGGCGAGACAAAAAAAUACAGCUUUCAGUCCACCUCACGGUUUGUUCACUAUGGACACGCCCUGAACUACCAUGCUUUUACCUGACCAUGUGCAGACCGAAGGUAAAGCCCAUUGAACUCGAGGAUGUUGUGCAUGAUGUACACAUCGCUAUCCUCCUUAAGAUAACGGGAUCAGUAAUCGUCUUUGUUAGUGUGAAGCAUGACAAAAAAAUUAUCCUUGCUCAAAGUCAGAUGUACUAACCUCGUGCACAGUUUGUUCUGCGCCACUAAAGGGUACACAAAAGUCCAUCCAGUCGUGUCAACCAACCCGGCACCAAAAAUGUCAUUGAACACUCACCCCUUCGACCAUUCGAACCUCUGCGAGCCAAUGCUGGCCUCGAGCUGCCGAGGUUUCUGCUGUUGCAGUACAUCUCAUUGGUAGGAUCCCAGCAGAUUUUGUGUAUGAAGCACACCCGUGGGUAGGACAAGCAUUAGUAAAGAGCAAACUUUAAAUCUUUUGGAACACCAACUAAAAAUGUGUAACUAUUUGCUUGCGGUGCACCCACAUUCUAGUUCUAACUUUGCCAGUUCCGCAGCAGCAAACAUUUUGUCCAGUCUUAUCUGUUCUUCCUUGUCAACCUCGCCAACAACAUCUUGGUUUGUUUGACUCCAGGCAUUCGCACUAUUCACCCCAACUCCACUUCUGGCAACAUCUCACAGUCUCAGCUUCAGCUGAAGCCUGCCUCAAGCUGCGCAGCCAUGGCCCCCUGCAUGCACAAUUGACCCCGAAUAAACAUUUUUGGACUACCAACCUGACCCGAGGCCACCUCGCAGUUUUGAUGAAAUACGUAGGUUGCUCUGCCCAGCUGGUGCUCCAAUUGGUUACCUUACAUUGCAAAACAAUAUUGGUAUUUAUAUUCUUGUGGUCCAGCAUUGCUGCAUUUCUUGACAAAUAGUGCACUGGUCGAACAACAAUCAAGAUUUUUUUUGAAAAGGAGGAUGUACCCCCGUCCUCUCCAUCUGGAUGAUGCAUUCAACCAUAUUAUUAAUUAUUCACAAAGAUCAUACAAGAUGAUACAUCAAUAAGCCUGAAGCCACCAUCUUGGCAACGUUGUUGCUACUUCUAUCCCCUUGAUGAAGGUGUCCCGAAUGUCUGAGCCUAAUACCGAACAGACAUCGCACCAAAACCUAACAUCUAAAGCCGGGUGUCCCGUCCAAGCCACUACCUGGAAUGGGUCCCACACCGGUCUGGCAGACUCCGAGUGAGCACCACACGCUGCAAGGGUCGUCACCUCCAUCUUCCAUCGGUCCAUCCUUAGAGCAGAACUGAUGCACUGACCUUGCAAGGCCUCUCUGCCAUCAACGCCACCAUGAUGCCGGAUAGCUUCCUCCUCCUGCGCGAGUCCAUCUCUGCGCAUCAGACGCCAAGUAUCCACUGCGCCAUGCCGCAGAGACCCACCGUCAACGAUAUGGUUGAUGCCACACCGCUCCACCUACAUGCCAUCUCGCAUCGACUCCGAACUACCAGCAACUCCACCACCUUGAGCAGUCCCCAUCUGACGGCUUCAGGAAGGAACACGGCACCAAAGUGCCAUCAUCGCCCAAACAGAGGAACAGAGGCUUUUGCAUGCGCUCAUGGCAGAGGUGGGGGCGUAUGAUCCACACCGGAGCCUCCAGGAAGGGAAUCGGCGCCGAGGGCGUCGACUUUGGUGCGGCCGCCACGCCGGCGUGAAGUUUCCCCUGGAUCCAUGCCCACCCACCAGAUCCGUCCAGGUAGUAUUAGUGUCGACCGUAGUCGCUAUCGUAGCCAGCACAAACUGGAGUAGAUCUACUGUAGCCAGGGUAUAACGUUUGGUACAUGUGCAACGGCCAGAUACUUUUUUCGUUCGUCAACUCCCAUUCCUAACCUGAAUUACCAGGCCCCCUCCAGGGAGAGAUACGAGGGAGUUACCCCCGUCAAUUCCUCUUCCCUUCCCUCCACAACUCCUAUAUCCCCCAACCAUACAGGGGAUUUUUAGUGUCAUAGCCUCUUAAUUCCCAUUCCCAGCUUUUCUUCCCCCCAACCAAACAGGCUGUAAGAGUGAUUCUUGCAUUGCACUCCAGCAUCACAACUCCUUGCCGAACUGAAUCUACUAAGUUCCAUACAAAUUUAGGUUGAUUUAUGUACAUAUAUACAACAUGACGACAGUAGUGGUGUUGCUUUUUCGCUAAAUUCAACACACAAUGGACAGGAUAUUGUAUGCCACCUGGUUUAGAGAUAGCUAUUAAAGUUUUAUCGUUUGAGCAUCCUUAUUCAAAUUAAUAUGUCCUAACGAUACUAUUGAGGCUUCUAAGAUUUAAGUGCCCAAACUCGACUUCUGUAGAUAAACAUAGCAGUACAAUUUUUGCAUAGGUAUACACUAUCUUUCAACAUACUAUUUGAUUCCAUUGUGUAAUUUGGCUGAAAAAUUACGACGUGCUUUUGGUGACCAGACUAGAGUAGAAGUGGCAUAAGAGCUAAUGCAAGGAAGAAAAUCAUGUCCCAGACAUUUGCAUAGCCCGACUCAAAUUUGCCAAAUGUAGCAAGUUUUUUAUGCAAAUUCUAAAUGGUAUUUAAUUUAUCAAAAAUAAUGAAAUUUAGUUCAACGUUUCAGUCCUGAAGCAAACCUAAAACACGUACACUUCUUAUCCUCCUAAUCUUUGCAGAACCAGCAAACGUGGGCAAUAAGAACCGAACAAAUGAAGGCCUCUAUUUAGUCUGCAGCACAUAAACCCUUUAUGCCCAAUGUACAAAAAACAAAAUUGCAUCAAGUAAAUGUAACAGAACAGAAAAAUAAGAGAUAUAUGUAGAAACAGAAACCGAACAUAUCCGGGCAAACACAACAUCUCGCCGCGCAGAUAAAUUCUAGACGUACUUCUGAGGUGAAGAGAGAAGGUGGAUUUAGAAGCAGGAGAGCAAAGGCCCGGGGAUGGGGGCGAGAAACAGAGUUCUAAUGCCUUUGGGUCUACAUCCCCUCUAGAUAUGUAUCUUGGGGUGUCUGAUCUUGUGGCCGUGGGGCUCGUGGUGGCCAGAGAUGCCCUGCAGCCUACUAGGGUGCUAUAACAAAAUCAAAUGCCAUUGACAGCAUGGAGCUAUGUGAUACCCCACAAGUGUAGGGGAUAAUUGUAGCCUCUUUCGAUAAGUAAGAGUGUCGAACCCAACGAGAAGGUAAAGGUAGAACAAAUAUUCUCUCAAGCCCUAUCUGCCACUGAUACGACUCUACGCACGCUUGGUGUUCGCUUUACCUAGAAUAAGUAUGAAACUAGAAGUACUUUGUAGGUGUUGUUGGAUAGGUUUGCAAGAUAAUAAAGAACAUGUAAAUAAAAAGUAGAGGCUGUUUAGAUAAAGAAGCAAUAAAGUAAAGAUAGCGAGUGUGAAAAAGUGGUGGUAGGAGUAGUGAAAUUGUCCCUAAGCAAUUGACUACGUUACUUGAUCAGUAAUCAGUAUUGCAAUUUUAUUUGAGGGAGAGGCAUAAGCUAACAUCCUUUCUCUUCUUGAAUCAUAUGCACUUAUGAUUGGAACUCUAGAAAGCAUCCGCAACUACUAAAGAUCAUUAAGGUAAAACCCAACCAUAGCAGUAAAGUAUCAAGUCCCCUUUAUCCCAUACGCAAACAACCUACUUACUCGGGUUUGUGCUUCUGUCACUCACGCCAUCCACCAUAAGCAAAUCAUGAACAUAUUGCAAAUCCUACAGCGGGAAUCCCUCACGCUUGCGCGACACAGAGAGCACCAUAGGACAACACCAAUAAUAAAACAUGCAACUCAAACCAAUCAUAGCAAUUCAUCAAUCACCGAUAGGACAACGGAAAUCUACUCAGACAUCAUAGGAUGGCAACACAUCAUUGGAUAAUAAUAUGAAGCAUAAAGCACCAUGUUCAAGUAGAGGGUACAGCGGGUUGCGGGAGAGGGGACCGCUGAAUAUAGAUGGGGAAGGUGAUGGAGAUGUUGGUGAAGAUGGCGGAGGUGUUGGUGAAGAUCGCGGUGAUGAUGAUGGCCCCUGGCAGCGCUCCGGCGCCACCGUAAGAAAGGGCGAGAGAGGCCCCCUUCUUCUUCUUCUUCUUCUUCUUCUUCUUCUUCUUCUUCUUCUUCUUCUUCUUCUUCUUCUUCCUUGACCUCCUACCUGGAUGGGAGAAGGGUUUCCCCUCUGGUCCUUGGCUCCCAUGGCGUGGGAGGGGCGAGAGCCCCUCCGAGAUUGGAUCUAUCUCUUUGUCUCUCUCUGUUUCUGCGUUCUCAGAUUCUUCCCCUUCACCGUUUCUUUUAUAUACGGAUAUUCGUAACUCCGAUUGGGGUGAAUCUUUCGCCCAGAUUUUUCUCAUAAAAUUAGCUUUCUUGCGGCAAAAGAAGAGCGUCAACCACCUUACAGGGUGCCAGAGAUAGUCCAGGGUGCACCUUCCUCCCUAGGGCACCCCCCUUGUCUCGUGGCCCCCUCGGGUACCGUCUCGUGUUGAUUCUUCCUCCCAAAAAUCACAAAUAUCCCAAAAUAAUUCUCCGUCCAUUUUUAUCCCGUUUGGACUCCGUUUGAUAUUGGUUUCCUAUGAAACAUAAAACAUGCAACAAACAGGAACUGGCACUGGGCACUGGAUCAAUAUGUUAGUCCCAGAAAUAGUAUAAGAAUUUGCCAAAAGUAUAUGAAAGUUGAAUAAUAUUGGCAUGGAACAAUCAAAAAUUAUAGAUACGACGGAGGCAUAUCAGCAUGCCCAAGCUUAAUUCCUGCUCGUCCUCGAGUAGGCACAUGAUAAAAAAGAUAAUUUUUUAUGUGGAAUGCUACCUAGCAUAAUCUUGAUCACGUAUCUAAUCAUGGCAUGAAUAUUAAGACACGAGUGAUUCAAAGCAAUAGUCUAUCAUUUGACAUAAAAAUGAUAAUACUUCGAGCGUACUAAUAAAGCAAUCAUGUCCUUUCAAAACAACAAGGCCAAAGCAAGCUUAUCCCUACAAAAUCAUAUAGUUUGGUCAUGCUUCAUUUUCGUCACACAAAAUGCUCCAUCAUGCACAAUCCCGAUGACAAGCCUAGCAAUUGGUUCAUACUUUUUAACGCGCUUCAGCUUUUUCAACUCUCACGCAAUACAUGAGCGCAAGCCAUGGAUAUAGCACUAUAGGUGGAAUAGAAUAUGAUGGUGGGGGUUUAUGUGGAGAAGACAAAAAGGGAGAAAGUCUCACAUCGAUGCGGCUAAUCAACGGGCUAUGGAGAUGCCCAUUAAUUGAUGUCAAUGCGAUGAGUAGGGAUUGCCAUGCAACGGAUGCACUAACAGCUAUAAGUGUAUGAAAGCUCAAACUGAAACUAGUGGGUGUGCAUCCAACUUGCUUGCUAAUGAAGACCUAGGGCAUUUGAGGAAGCCCAUCGUUGUAAUAUACAAGCCAAGUUCUAUAAUGAAAAUUCCCACUAGGAUAUGAAAGUGACAAUAUAGGAGACUCUCUGUAUGAAGAACAUGGUGCUACUCUGAAGCACAAGUGUGGUAAAAGGAUAGUAACAUUGCCCCCCUUUUUUUCACUCUUUUUUGGUGGGCUUCUUUGGCCCCCCUUUUUUAUUUAGGCUUAUUUGGCCUCUUUUUUUAUGGGGCAAUGCUCUAUAAUGAUGAUCAUCACACUUUAUUUACCUACAACUCAAUAUUACAACACGAUAUUGGAACAAAGAUAUGACUCUAUAUGAAUGCUUUCGGCGGUGUACCGGGAUGUGCAAUGAUCUAGCAUAGCAAUUACAUGAAAAAAAUGGACAAGCCAUGAAAACAUCAUGCUAGCUAUCUUACGAUCAUGAAAAGCAAUAUGACAAUGAAUGCUCAAGUCAUGUAUAAGAUGAUGAUGGAAGUUGCAUGGCAAUAUAUCUCGGAAUGGCUAUGGAAAUGCCAUAAUAGGUAGGUACGGUGGCUGUUUUGAGCAAGAUAUAAGGAGGCUUAUGUGUGACAGAGCGUAUAAUAUCACGGGGUUUGGAUGUACCGGCGAAGUUUGCACCAACUCUCAAGGUAAGAAAGGACAAUGCGCGGUACCGAAGAGGCUAGCAAUGAUGGAAAGGUAAAAGUGCGUAUAAUCCAUGAACUCACAUUAGUCAUAAAGAACUCAUGUAUUUAUUGCAAAAGUUUAUUAGCCCAUGAAGCAAAGUAUUACUACGCAUGCCCCUAGGGGGAUAGAUUGGUAGGAAAAGACCAUCGCUCGUCCCUGACCGCCACUCAUAAGGAAGACAAUCAAAGAAACACCCCAUGCUUCAACUUUGUCACACAAGGUUACCAUAUGCGCAUGCUACGGGACUUGCAAACCUCAACACAAGUGUCUCUACAAUCCACAACCACCCACUAGCAUGACUCUAAUAUCACCACCUUUAUAUUGCAAAACUAUUGCAAGGAAUCAAACAUACCAUAUUCAGCGAUCUACAAGUUUAUGUAGGAUUUUAUGACUAACCAUGUGAAUGACCAAUUCCUGUCAUCUCUCUAAAUAGAUCUAAGUGAAGCAAGAGAGUUUAAUUCUUUCUACAAAAGAUAUGCCCACGCUUUAACAAAUAUAAGUGAAGCAAAAGAGUAUUCUACAAAUGGUGGUUUUCUAUGUGAAGAGAAAUAGGUAAUCCAAACUUCAAAUGAUAUAAGUGAAGCACAUGAAGCAUUCUUUAAAGCCAUACUCAAAAGAUAUAAUUGAAGUGCAAUUAGCAUUCUAUGAAUCAACCAAGAACUAUGUCAUACCAGCAUGGUGCAUAAAAUGAAACUGAAAACUAAAUGCAAAAGACGCUCCAAGACUUGCACAUGUCGCAUGAACGAAACGAAUACGAAAACAUACUGAUACUUGUUGAAGACAGAGGGGGUGCCUUCCGGGGCAUCCCCAAGCUUAGACGCUUGAGUCUCCUUGAAUAUUUACUUGGGGUGCCUUGGUAAUCCCCAAGAUUUAGCUCUUGCCUCUCUUCCUUUUCCUCAUAUCAAGACCUCCUCGAUUACACACUUGAUCCACACAAAACUUCAACAGAAAACUCGGUAAGAUCCGUUAGUAUAAUAAAGCAAAUCACUACUCUACGUACUGUUGCAAACCAAUUCAUAUUUUGUUUUUGCAUUAUGUCUACUGUAAUAUAGCUUUUCCAUGGCUUAAUCCACUGAUAUAAAUUGAUAGAUUCAUCAAAACAAGCAAACUAUGCAUCCAAAACAGAAUCUGUCAAAAACAGAACAGUCUGUAGAAAUCUGAACAUUUACCAUACUUCUCGUACCCCAAAACUUCUACCAAAAUUAGGAAAAAUAAGCAAUUUGUACAGAAAGACAGUGCAAAAAGAAUCAGAACCAUUUGACGUUCCAGCAAAAAAUGUAAAAUCGUGCACUACAGACAAAGUUUCUGUCCUGCACUGUACAAACCAACAAGCAUUGUAAACAUCCUAAAGGCAAACCUUGGCACAUUAUUUUUAUAAUACAUUGGAAUUGUACAAGGGGAUAAUUACUUUUGAUGAAAAGUUUCUGUAAUCAAGAUUCACAAAGUUUCCGUGAGCAUGAACAAAGUUAAAGGAGCUCUCCCACUUCAACAAUGCUUGUCUCUCUCACUUUCACUUUCCUUUUGAAAAGUUUUGGGUUCCCCUAUUUAUUUAUUUAUUUAUUUGUUUUUAAACUAUAUAAAAGCACUCAACAGAAAAAAAUGACUCUCUAAAACUUCAGGGUUGUCUCCCUGGCAGCGAUUUGUUUAAAGCCAUUAAGCUAGGCAUAUAGUGCUCAAGUAAUGGAUCCACCCGGAUCCCAAGGUAUAUCAAAGCCAAUUUUAAUUAACAAUGAUUUGUGAUUUAGUAGUGAGCACAAAGUAACAUAUAUCAAGCAAUGAUGAAGUCUAACUCUCUUCCUAUGCAUCGGCAUGUCAUAAAAGAACAAUUCAUGCACACAUAGUAAAGGCCAAUGCAUAGUAUAAGUAGUUUCUUGCAGUUUUAUCAUAUUGGAAACAUAGAGAGGUGGAGAUAUAGUUCCUCUCUCGUAAUAAUUGCAAGUAUGAGCAGCAAUCACAUGCAUAUUAUAUCCAUCAAAAUUAUCAUGUGCAACGGUAAAAGGCAUCCCAUCAAUAUAAUCCUUAAUAAGCACAAACUUCUCCGAUAUAGUGUAGUUGAGAGAAUUCAAAAAGAUAGUAGGACUAUCAUGCGUGGGUGCAAUAGCAACAAUUUCAUGUGUAACAUAAGGAACUAUAGCAAGUUCAUCUCCAUAAGCAUAACUCAUAUUGGCAUCUUGGCCACAAGCAUAGGAAAAGCAUCAUCAAAAAGGGGUAUUUGAAGAGAAUCAACGGGAUCAUAGCAAUCAUCACAGCAAUCAUCCUUCGGUAAGCACGAAGGGGAAUUAAACAAUGUAUGAGUUGAAGAGUUACUCUCAUUAGAAGGUGGGCACGGGUAGCUAAUCCGCUCUUUCUCCUUCUGUUCUUCGCUCUCCUCAUCAUCUUUUUCAUCCAAUGAGCUCACAGUUUCAUCAAUUUCUUCUUCCAUAGCUUCCUGCAAAAUAUUAGUCUCUUCUUGGACAGCGAAGUAGUCCUCAAUAUAUAGUUUAGCAUCGGCAUUAGAAGCAUAAUUAUCAUAGCAAUAUUCAAGUAUGGCAAAAUUUUCAGAUUUGUAGAGAGUAGCAUCAUACUUUUCAAUCAAAGAAGCAAUUUCAGAAGCACCCUUAAAAGCAACAAAUUCUUCAAUUUGUUGAACAUCAUAGUAAUUAUAAACACCCUUAGCAUAUGAAGAUACGAUUCCAUUAUCACUAAACAAGCAUUGGUAGGGAAGGUCUUUCUUAGGGUUAUCAGAACAACAAGUAACACCAUAUAUUUCAUAUAAAGUCCCAGCAUAGCAUGGAAAACGAUGAAUUUGAUCCAGUAAAAGUUUCCCCUUUUCAGAUAUACGGUGUCGCACAUAACAAGCAUGCUCAUCUAAAGAUUUGCCCUCAACUAAGCAAGUGGGGGUUUAGGCACGAGCACAAAGGGAUCGAAGAUGAUCCAAGUAAAAACCUUCAGGAGUGAUACAUUUUGAGUGGUUCUUCAACCAUUGGUUCAGUAGGUACAACUAAUUUUUUUGGUAUUUUGCAUUUCCUACCCAAAACUAAAGAUAGAAAACAACUAAGAAUAGCAAAUAAAAAUUACUUAGUGAUAAAGCAAACAAGCACACAUGAGAAUAUUCACCCCAUGCUAUGACUCCCAGGCAACGGCGCUAAAAAAAGGUCUUGAUAACCCACAAGUGUAGGGAAUAAUUGUAGCCUCUUUCGAUAAGUAAGAGUGUCGAACCCAACGAGGAGCUAAAGGUAGAACAAAUAUACGACUCUACGCACACUUAGUGUUCGCUUUACCUAGAACAAGUAUGAAACUAGAAGUACUUUGUAGGUGUUGUUGGAUAGGUUUGCAAGAUAAUAAAGAACACGUAAAUAAAAACUAGGGGCUGUUUAGAUAAAGAAGCAAUAAAGUAAAUAUAGCGAGUGUGGAAAAGUGGUGGUAGGAGUUGUGAAAUUGUCCCUAAGCAAUUGACUACGUUACUAGAUCGGUAAUCACUAUUGCAAUUUAUUUGAGGGAGAGGCAUAAGCUAACAUACUUUCUCUUCUUGGAUCAUAUGCACUUAUGAAUGGAACUCUAGCAAGCAUCCGCAACUACUAAAGAUCAUUAAGGUAAAACCCAACCAUAGCACUAAAGUAUCAAGUCCCCUUUAUCCCAUAUGCAAACAACCUACUUACUCGGGUCUGUGCUUCUGUCACUCACGCCACCCACCAUAAGCAAAUCAUGAACAUAUUGCAAACCCUACAGCGGGAAUCCCUCACGCUUGCACGACAUGGAGAGCACCAUAGGACAGCACCAAUAAUAAAACAUGCAACUCAAACCAAUCAUAGCAAUUCAUCAAUCACCGAUAAGACAACAGAAAUCUACUCAGACAUCAUAGGAUGGCAACACAUUAUUGGAUAAUAAUAUGAAGCAUAAAGAACCAUGUUCAAGUAGAGGGUACAGUUGGUUGUGGGAGAGUGGACCCCUGAAUAUAGAUGGGGGAAGGUGAUGGAGAUGUUGGUGAAGAUGGCGGAGGUGUUGGUGAAGAUCGCGGUGAUGAUGAUGGCCCCUGGCAGUGCUCCGGCGCCACCAGAAGCAAGGGGGAGAGAAGCCCCCUUCUUCUUCUUCUUCUUCUUUUUCCUUGACAUCCUCCCUAGAUGGGAGAAGGGUUUCCCCUCUGGUCCUUGGCUCCCAUGGCAUGGGAGGGGCGAGAGCCCCUCCGAGAUUGGAUCUAUCUCUCUGUCUCUCUCUGUUUCUGCGUUCUCAUAUUCUUCCCCUUCACCGUUUCUUUUAUAUCCGGAGAUCCGUAACUCCGAUUGGGGUGAAUCUUUCGCCCAGAUUUUCUAAUAAAAUUAGCUUUCUUGCGGCAAAAGAAGAGCGUCAGCCGCCUUACGGGGUGCCCAGGAGAGUCUAGGGCGUGCCGGCCUCCCUGGGGCGCGCCUCCCUGUCUCGUGGCCGCCUCGGGCACCGUCUCGCGUUGAUUCUUCCUCCCAAAAAUCACAAAUAUUCCAAAAUAAUUCUCCGUGCGUUUUUAUUCCGUUUGGACUCUGUUUGAUAUUGGUUUCCUCCGAAACAUGAAACAUGCAACAAACAGGAACUGGCACUGGGCACGGGAUCAAUAUGUUAGUCCCAAAAAUAGUAUAAAAAGUUGCCAAAAGUAUAUGAAAGUUGAAUAAUAUUGGCAUGGAACAAUAAAAAAUUAUAGAUACGACGGAGACGUAUCACUAUGUCAGGAGUGUGGCGGCCCUCUUGGACAUCAGAGCGCGCGUAGGAUGCUGGUACGUAGUGGUGGGCGCUGCCGUUGAGAUCAAGGUUGGGGGAGAUGGGAGGGGUGCCCCUGGGCGUGCUAAAUAAAGGAGCCUGGGAGCUGGCCGGGCACCUCCAUUGGUGUUAGGUUGCUGCCAAUGCAUGGGUGCUUAGAUGAGGUGCUAAGCACAUUAAAUAGCUUAGCAACUAUACUCCCCAAUGCAUAGGUGCUUAGCUUAUGGUUGCUAAGCUUGCUUCAUUUAAUGAUUUAGCAACUAAAGUUCUUCAUGUAUUGGUGGACUUCUUUCCUUUAAUUGUUUUGCCUAGGUUUACGAGCUUAGCAUUGUCUCUUCCUGGGUCACCACACUCGUCUCUCUCCUCUUAAAUAACUUGCCACAUCAAAUUUUUUGCCUAUGUGGAAGGCUUAGCACCUGUACAAGGUGGAGCAUUGGGAGAGGCCUUAAUGGAUUUUUAGCAACGGUAACAUUACUCCUCGCUUGAAUACCGGUGGACGAUCUCCAAUCACCCACUAUGCUGCAUCGCUGCCCAUUAAUGCGUCGCUAUCUCUACGCAUUUCCCGCACACUGCCCUUCCCAAAGCAGACACUCUUUCUUGCGAUAUUCCUUGUGCUAACCGGGCCGAUGUUAAACAACAGAUGAUGGCAAGCGAAUAUGUUACAGUGAGCUUAAAUGGGAUUCUUGAGGGAGAAGGGUAUGAUUAACCAUAAACCACCGAUUUUGUGACAGGAGUAGCAGCCAAUGAGGCAUCCAGUCCACUUAGUGCUAUUUAAAAGUAUCUUACGGCCAAAAAGCGACCAUCACAAAAUGAUCCAAUGGUUAGGAACGGUGCUGGACUGAGAGGGCAGGAAAGAUGCUCAGGUAUAAUGUAUCCAUAUGUCCUUCCCACGAUAUUGAGCAUGAACAUUUGUUGUGCUUGGACCAGCGUCCCUUAAGGUGCACACUAUCCGGAUAGACUUUGCUGGUUGCCACCCCCAUAUCUUUGGGACAUAGAGUGGAUGUGACUUUCACGGUGAUUGGUGAUGUACCAACUAUUGUCAUACCCAUGCAGCAACCGUACCAAAACAGGGCACUCACACCUACAUGAACUGUUGUUUACUGACUCUGGCUUCCCCUGCACACCAGCUAGCACAUGUCAUGGUCAGCGCAACUAAAUUAGUGAUGGGAGCCCCACAAAUAAAAGGACAGAAGAGAAGAGAGUGGCGUUUUGGCACAUGGAAGCACGUGUUCCUAUUUUUAAAAUUUAUUUUAAACAUACUUUGAAAUAUCAAAAAAAUUCAAACAAAAACUUGGCGCGUACAUCUCGAUAUUAUACAUUCUCACAAAGUUGUUUCGCGAAAAACUGACAACUCACGCGUCGCGUGUGAAAAAGACAAAAUCCGGUCUUAAAAAAUACUUUUCACAAAACAUCCUUUUGUCUUUUUUACACAAGCCACAAAAAAUGGUGGGUUUUCUUCGAAACUUGACAUGCACACAUAUAAUGUCAAAAUGUAUGCGCCAAAUUUUUGUUUGGAAUUUUUUCACACAUUGAAAUAUUUUUUUUGUGUCCAGGAGCGCGCGCUCCAGGGAGCAGCAACAUAUAUCCACAUAAUAGAUAAGCAGAAGGCACUACAUGCCAAGCAGCCACAAAUGAUUUCCUGCAUCUAUUUGGUCCUCUCAGCAUUAAAUCUAGUCUUACAAUACCUGAUCCCAAACCCAAUCUCCCAUGAAUACAAGUUGUAGAUGUCGUGCGCCUCACCUAGCGAGUAGUGAGUUGAAUUCAGUCCCAGUUCUGGCUUGAUUACACUCUCCCUAGCCUCCUCUGCACAUUUCCGAAUCGACUGCUCCAAUGCCCUCAUCCUACAUGGACAAGGCCUUUUGUCCGAUGGAGAACUCUUGAGGCGUAACCUGAUUUUUUAGCAACACAGUCAAUCGGAUAGAUGCAGGCUUACCUCUUAUGUCCAUCCUGGUCCUCCGGAUUGACCCUAUCAGUAGACCCGGACCAUGUCGGAGACGCCUUUUUUCACCGGCUUCCUUCGCCACCUUGCUGCCCGCACCCAGACCCAACAUUGGAGUUCCCCGGCUCAGUCGGGUGGGCAUCACCGCGUAACUGGAUCGGGAUGCUCCAACAUGUUCGCAAACUUCUCCGGCAAAGGAAACCUGCAAGACACACCAUGGCCACUGGCGGUGGAAGUGGGAUGAGGGGACAACGGUUGUACGAAGCACCAACUCUCAAAAAUCGACGUGGAUGAGGGGGCGGGUUGAACUCACCGGUUGAAGGCAUCGAACAGGAACUCAAGCCCCGCAUCCUCCAUCGCCAACACCGCCAGAACUAGCAAAAGCCGCCUCAAUUACGGAUGGAGUGGGCUGAUGUGAGGGCGGGUUUGGCGGACCUCCUACUGGCGGUCUCAAUCCCUGGUUGACCUACCGAGAAAGGUCCACAAAUUCGUCUGUGUGACGGCUCAAGUUUUUCGCGUAACCCUAGGCCACGGCUCAAACAGAAAUUCUCUGUCCUGGUCCACGGAGCAUUAAAUCCCGCCCGAGUCAAGGCGCCCAUCCCUACUUAAUUGGCCGCACACACGGUCGCACUGUUUCAUGCUGUAUACAAGCCGUAUCCUCAUUAUUUGCCGGUGCAGAUUUUUUUCGGAAAAACAUCCAAUAUAUUCAUCUUCAAUCAUGGCGGUACAACAAACACCAGAAAUAAUAAAAUUUAUAUCUAGAUCCGUAGACCGCCUAGCGACGACUACAAGCACUAAAGCGAGCCGAAUGCGCGCCGCUGUCAUUGCCCCUCCCUCACUGGAGCUGGGCAGAACUUGUUGUAGUAGACAGCAGGGAAGUCGUCGUCCUAAGGUCCCAUAGGACCAUCUCACCAGAAUAGCAACCACCGCCGAUGAAGUGUAGCACAAAUCGAAAGGAUCCAACCUGAAAACACACGAACGUAGACGAACGACGAACAUAUCCAAGCAAAUCCACCAAUGACAGAUCUACCGGAGACACACAUCCACACGCCCACCGACAAUGCUAAAUGCACCACCAGAACUGGGGCUAGGCGAGGAGAACCUUAUUCCAUCUUCAGGGAGCAGCCAUUGUCUCAUCUUUCUGAGUUGGACACAAACCCUAACAAAUCUCGAAGACACAUCUAAAAACCGAUCCCUUCCCUGGCAAGGGCCAGGAUCCGCUGCGCUCCCAUGACCCUAAGGCAACCGGAGAUGAGGCGGACCAGCGCCGGCGCCGGUGGGAGGCACAUGAAUCCUAGUUGGGGAGGAGGAGGCGGCCUGAGGAUUCAUGUAACGUCCUUUCUAGGUUCACCGGUUGUCCCCUUCUAUUCUGCCGAUGCAGAUCUGACACGUCAAAACGAAUUGUUGCAAUCCCCAGGCAGCAGCGAAUGCUAGCGAUAUUGGGAGCAGCUGAGCUCGAGCACCGAAUCGCUGCGUCCCGCGAGCAUAGUAGCCAGAAGAGAAACCGAGCGUGUAUAAAGCGCUAAACUACACUGCCCUAACAGAGCGUGCGUGUGAGCGCUGAUGCGCCAACCAACGCCAUAAGCAUGGUAGAGGAGUGCUCCUGCAAUUUGUUGCCUCAAAUAGGUGGGGAAACACAUAAGGACAGGCACUGGUCGGCCCAUUCAUUUCAUACUGUACAAACCCGGUAGCCAAGAUUUUUUCGGUGUUGUACACUUUCAAGCGCUUUUUCAAUUAGGCGUUUUCUUUUUCAUAUUUUGAAAAACAUUAGAAAAACUUAUUUAUUGAAAAACUAAGUAUUGAGUUUUUAAAAUAAUUUUACAAAAUGUGAACAUUUUUAAAAACAUGAAUGUUUUCAUAAUGCAGACCAUUUUUUCAAGUUUUGAACAUUUUUUCAAAAACACGAAUAUUUUUGGAAAACACUAAAAAAUUGUGAAAACAUUCAAAUGAAAUUAUCCAUUUUGAAAAACUAUUCAUAUAUUUAAUAAACAUGAACAUUUUUGAAGAUUUUGUGAAAAAAUCUGAAAAAGAACAAAAGAAAACAAAAUAUAAACCAGCAAAAGAAGAAAACCUAAAAAACCGGAAUCCUUAAUGCGUCAUAAUAAUGCACGUCUAUUUUUUAUGAAUAUGUCUUCGAAUCAAAAAUUUCUUUCAUAUAUGGGUUUGCCUAUACCUCACUUGUAGUGAGGCAAAAGAACACAACGCCUCAGGCCCCCUGUAUUGUGGCCUAGGGAUUCUUCAUUAUGCAGGAAGCCGGCUUGGUAGGCCGGCCCAGGGCCUCAUAGGUCGGCUUGUCCAGGGCCAUCAAUCUGGCCCAUGGAUCCAAUUAGAGAAAGGCUCGGGGAACUUGGAGCGGGUGACAGGGUGACUAGCGUCCAGGAGAACUCCUCCAAUGACCAACUACGAUCGUGUAAUCUUAGACCCCGACACCCAUAUAUGUGGUGGCUAGAUUAGUCAAUAGACACAGAACCUUAGAACUAUUGCUCAAUCCAUCGAUUAUUGUAACCCCUAUACACAAGCAAUAUACACGAGCAGGGGUUAGGAUUUUAGCUCAUCCAUGAGGGUCUGAACCUGGAUAAACCCCUUCUUAUUUCCCAUUUGGUUUAAUCGCAUGGCCAGAGAACCUUAUCAAGUGAUCUGUCGGAAAUAACUCCACCAGUCAUAAAUGGGCUAGGGCCAGAUAAUUUUUUUCUCCUUUUCUCUUAUUUUGUUUCUACUUUUGGUUCAAUUUAAAACAUAUUGUAAAUAUAUAUAUUUGGAAAUAUUCUUCAUCAAUUAUUAAUAACAUUCACCAUGCCUGAAAUAAUGGUCAUGAAAUGAAAUUAUUUUUUUGCACAAUUUGAGAAAUUGUUCAUAUCCUUCAAACGAAUAUUCGUAUCAUUUUUAAAAUGUUCGCGUGUUUAAAAAUGAAUGAAUUUUUAACAAUGUUUAUUAAAAUAUAUAAAAAUUAACAGUGUAAUUUGUAAAAAAUGUUCAUACCAUUCAAAUAAUGUUUAACACUUUAAAAAUGUUCAAACAUUUUAAUUUUAAGUAUUUUUUAGUAAAUACUAUUGAUAUAGAAAAAAAUUGACAAAAAAUUAAAAGUUUGUAACAUAUAAAAAUGUUUGUAAAAUUUUCAAAAUAUGUUCAUAAACACUUACGAAAUGUUUGGCACAUUUACGGAUAUGUUGAUGUCUUAAUUUUUUGAAAACUAUCAAUGAAAUUUACAAAAAUGUUCCUAGCAGAAAUGCUAUUACAAAAAUUUAUGAAUAGAAAAUGUGUAUAAAAUUUACAGAAAAGUUCACAAUUUUUUGAAACUUUAAAGCUGGCUUCUGAUUUUUUUUCAAAAUUUUGAGGUCCAUGGAGCUCGGGAUCCAAACAUCCACUCUCUACCAACUAUAUGCAUGUAUCUUGUAGCAAGCCAUGAGCCAAGGGUUGCUACAUGAUCAAUUGCUGACUGGGCAGUGUGUUUUCUUCAUUUAGGGCAGAUCACAAGUGUUUGACAUCUCUCUCUACAUUGGGUAUCCUUUUCCACUUGAAUUUUAAGAUGCGCAGAAUGUGCUUUCCUUGUUGUUGCCUCGUCAUUCCAGCAUGGAAUCAAAGCAAAAAUGAUAUUACUUCCCUUAAAAAUUGUCUCGCUAUCUAUGUCCAUAACAUGCCCAUUGGACUGCAUGGCAGAAGUGAAGGUGUGUGCCUAGCUGGCGGAGCAGACACACUCAUCUGUGACCUCUGAUCUAAGAAUGACAUGUACUUUGUUGUGAGCCCAUGGUGCAUGUGGGUUGGAACGCUCCUUAGGAAAUCUAGACUUAUUUUGCAGGCAAGCCAAGAUGAGAUCUGUAGGCCCAUGUGAAUUCCAUCAAAAUCACGCUCAGUUCAACUCUGGUUCGAAUCCUAAUAAAAAAUAGCUCAGCGGUCCUAGAUGGAUAUGUCCAUUGCUAAAAAAUGCAGUUUUUGAAAGAGUCAAUUUGACUUGUAGCUAGAGGACGCCGACACCUGUCACUUCUUCUACACGCACUAAACAAACCCUAGCUUAUCCAACUCAAUUUGCUUUAAGGUUUGUGUGUGAAAGAAGUAGUGUUAAAACCAAACACCACACUCUUCGACCUGAGAAAUCAAUAGUAAAUUUACCUAUGGAUAUUAAAUCUAUAUACAUCAUACUUGAUUUGUCAAGUUGAUAAUACUUACUAAACAUAUUUCAAAUUACAAUAUUUGGUGCUUCACAGCCUGUUAUGAAAUUAUUGUUCACCCAUCCAAUACAAUAAAAAGUAUUUGAAUGAUGUUAACGCACGCGUGAGAGAGAGAGAGAGAGAGAAAGACUAGAGUACAUUUUGUCGUGAUGUCCAUCAUAGUUCCACGAUUAGUACACCUAGGAGGAGACAAUCAAAAUAUGGACAGAAAAUAAAUAUUUAAUAUGUAAAUGGUAGGUAACAAAUCCAACCACAAAAUUGUGCAAGCAACCCACUAGCUAGUUUUAUUGAAUAUUAAAAUAACAUAGUUGAUUUCUAAAACAUAUAAGAUUUAUUAUCUCAUCAACACAUAAUUAUUUUGAGAACCAUAAGGUUGAGAUUUAUCCACCCAAAAUAGGGGAGAUAACAAAACUAUUGUGUUGUUGUUGCUGGUGUGCAAUUAAUCUUGCAGGGACAAUUGAUGAAGCAUUCUCCAAGAUCUGGCCAGCACAAGUUAUCUAUUUGACAGCAGAAUUCCCGUCCUGGGAGCUGGUGCCCAUCUUUAUAACAAGGGGGUCUGGUUACAUGGCUUACUUUGCUCAUCAUGUUUCUCCCCUUGUUGUUUAUGAGUUCACCUAAUUAACAUAAAAUAAAGAAUAUACUUAUCAUCUCAUCAUAUAAACAAUAAAAGUCCACAAUAUCAAUCCCCCCAAAAAAUUGAGUUGUUAAUUACCAUAUGUGCCUCCAAGAGAAGGCAAACACACCACGAGAAGAAAAGAAAGUAGCACAAGUCCUUGCACAUCGUUCCUCGUGAACUUUGUCAUCGUCACUAAGGAAUACAGGCUAUUAAUAGGUGGUACUAUUGUAUGUGGAGUUGAUAAGUGUAUGACCGUGAAAUGCUUGCUCCAUGAAUGGUUCAUAUAUAUAUAUAGGAAAAGCUUCUCCGUGUUGAUGUGUGAAGUUAUAGAAAAUAUUAAUGCUUGGAGUUAUGGCUUGUCUGAAUUUCCAAUUUUAGUUUCACUUCUAAAGAUUCAUGGUUCCUUCUAAAGUUUUUUCUUCUCAAAUUGAUGCUUUGUCAUAGCAUGUAAGUUACUUUAAUGCCCCCUCUAGAAUUGACCGCUUAUUGUUUCCAAGGGGUAGAAUUGACCUCUUAGAAUGGGUAGCAAAAAACGGGUGCAUGGCAAUAUUAUGUUUAAGGCAUUGAUAAUAAUUGGUAUAACAUUAAUAAUUCCUAUAUAUAUGAUGCCUUAUCAGUAAAAUUAUUAAUUUCUCUCUUGGUAUAAGAGAACAAAAUUUAAAAUUCAACAAGACUCGUCCAAUUAACAUUGGACUUGUUUUUUAAUGUAUAUAAGCAAUUGUUCUUAAGUAUAUCAACAAGUUAUGGAUACAUUUUUUUUACUUUUAUUCCAUGAACAUAUAUUAAUUAUGGGAUGGCCAUUUUAUAAAUAUAAGAUGAUGAUUUAUUUUCAUAUACAUGAACUUUUUAUAUCAAGGUACUUGAGCAUUUUUUACAUUUUUCUAUACACAAAAUUUUCUCCAAUAUUAAGUCGAUUUUGAUUUCUUUAAAUAGAUUAGUUUACCCAAAACGUUCUUUUAUUAGAAUAGUGAAAAUGUCGCACUUGCCUUGACUAUGGAAAAUUUCGUUGGGCGGAGCUUCCCAAUUCUCGGGACUCCCUAUACGUUCCUCCUUGCGGCUAACAACCUCCCCUUCGGAUAGUGCGCGCCUGGCUGGGCCGGCCCAUUGACGACACGAAUGGACACCACAGAGUGGGAGAGUAGGCGCUGAGCCAAUCCACUUUAGCGACAAUUUUUAAAAUUUUGGAAAAUUUCUUUGCAAAAUGAACAAGCAUUGAUAAAUGCGAAGUUUUUUUUGAACAUAUUCUAAAAUUUGAAAUGUCUUAAAACCCCAAUUAUGUUUGGAAUUUCGUUCAUUUUUUUGAAAAAUGAACACUUUAGGAAAUACUGAACAUUAUUUGAGAACUACAACCUUUUCUUGGAAAACCAAUAAUUUAUGAAAAACGUGUAUAUUUUAUAAUUUGUAGAAUGUUUUUCAAAAUUAUGAUUUUUUAGAACUCAAACAAUUUUUGAAAUUUCGAACAAAAUAUGAGAAUCAGAACAUUUCCUGAAAACUUGAAUAUUUUCAAAAUUUCAAAUUUCCACACAUUUUAAAAUGGAGACUUUUUGAUAAAGAAAAUAAGAAAAAUAAAACAAGGAAAAAACAAAUACGUAAAACUAAAAAAUAACUCAAAGAAAACGGUAACAGAAACAGAAGGAAAAAAAGAACAAACGAAAAUACCAGUAAAAAUCAUAUCAGAACCUUUUGGAAGGCUCCCAGAAUCUGUAAAAGCCUGGAAGAAAUAUUCCGAAAGUUCGUAAAACUAGAGUGGCGUGACUAACAUGGGUCGGCCGUCCGCAAGCUCUAGCACCAGGUCUGUUUGCAAUCCCCGGCAAUUUGAUGUUGACUGCUCAAAUAGGGUUUUCGCCAAUUCUCUUGUUUCUUAUUGCCUCAUAUGAGUUUCUUGUUGUUCGGGGCAUACCUUGGCGCCAUUUUUAUGGGUUCGAUGACCGCCAUCAAGGGUCUCUUAGUGGAAUCACAGCAUCUUGCAUCAUGCGAUGGCGUGAGGAGAUUAUGGUGGCCCUACUGGCAUUUUGGGGAGCAUUAUGCCUCCACAGCGCUCCAAACGGAGAUUAGCAUUUGCAAUGUCGUCUCCGCAUGCCUCGGUUAUUUCUUACCCGAGCCCUUUACUUUGUGAUAGCUAUAGUGUUUCAUGUUAUAUAUCUUGCUAUCACAUAGUUGUUUGUCAUGCUUAGCAUAAAUUGUUGGUGCACAUAGGUGAGCUAGUUGUUUUAGGUUUUAUGCUUGACAAAUUAUACGCUAGUUUUAUUCUGCAUUUGUUCAAGCAUAAAUAGUGAUUUUUAAAGCGUCUAUUCACCCUCCCUCUAGGUAACAUCCACGAUUUUCAAGUGGUAUCAGAGUGUCGCCUCUCUUUAUUAGGCUUAACCACUUAGAGAGUAAAGAUGUCGACUAGGGGAUUAGGAUUCUUUGACACUCUUUGUUUUGAUGGCACAAUUUUUGAUGUUUGGGUAAUUCGUAUGGUUAAUCUCUUUAGGGUCAUGGACCCAAAUUUAGAGUGAAUUGUAGAUAUUAGUUUUAUCCUUCAAAGGAUCCUCAAAGAUUAUCUCUAGAUGAUGAGAAAAACUCUUAUCUCACUGCUCAAGCUUCUAAUGUGCUUUUUGACGCUUUGAACAAUGUAGUUAUAUUUGAACUUAUGUUGUUCUAGGAUGCUCAUUAGUUGUGGACAAAGCUUCAAGAUAAAUAUGGUGUGUCCAGGAUUUGUGGGAAUGAUUAUUCUCCCCCCACCUCCAGUCUUAUGGUGUUCUCAACUUCUUCUACUUCACCUACAUGUGGAUUGUCACAAGGUAGUGAUAUGGUGAGUAGUGUUGGUCAUUGCAAUGAUUAUAUUGGGCUUAUUGUUGAUGGUCCUUCAUCACUAUCUUAUUGAAUACUCCUUCUUUGCACUUUAACACUUCGAGCUCUCUAGAUGGUUCACAUGCUCGUGUUGAUAGUCCUUGCAUAUCAUGUAGAAAUUGCUCGACUAAAUCCCAUGAUGAUAUGAUUGCUAUGUCUUGCUGCCAUGAUAAAAGUGCCUCUAUUUCCUCGAGUUGUUCUGCAAACAGUGUAAAGGAAACCCUACACUCCAUGGAACAAGAUGUGGUCCUGAAUGGUGCUUCAAGGGAUCGAACAUCAUCAUCUAUUGUUUCUCACUUUUACCUUAUGGCUACGACUUCAAAGGUAUCUCCCACUUUGAAUCCCAAUAUAUAUUGUGAUGAUGAUAUUCAUGAUAAUCAUGGGAGGGGCCGCACCCAGUUGAAAUCAGGGGAGGGCCCUACCCAGUUGAAAUCAGGGGGUGGAGUGAUCAGUUAGGAAAGUUAAGUGAGAUUACAUAGGAUUUCUACGUAAUGCUACACCUACGUAGCUAUCAUACAAGAAUUUCUCCUCCCUCUCGUCCCAUUGCCCCUUCCUUGACACUCUGCUUGAUAAGAAUGUUCUGCACUCCAGCAACACAUGUAUCUUCAGUAGUCCUAGUGCAAUUUUGCCUUCCCCUGCUUUUGUACAUCUAAAUCCACAUCCGCACGAGAUGUACCAACAAUCACUUGGGUUACGAAAGCUAUAUUUCCCACACAAGGGAAGGGCGAGAAAUCGAUACUGCAAAUUUGUCAUCUUAGGACUGACAUUUACACUUACGAUUUAACAAGAAUGGAUCAGAUCAUAGUUCAAAUAAGCUAAGUACGAAUGUACAUAAGUUUUCCAGUUAUAGGAUCAACUUAUAGGGGUGCUGCAAAAGCAACAACUUUGAACCAAGCUUCAUUGCCUCAGUAUACACAAGUUUCUUCCGGGGGUGCCCCAGCUGAGCCAGGGCGAGACAAAAAAAUACAGAUUUCAGUCGACCUCACGGUUUGUUCACUAUGGACAUGCCCUUAACUACCAUGCUUUUACCUGACUAUGUGCAGACCGAAGGUAAAGCCCAUUGAACUCGAGGAUGUUGUGCAUGAUGUACACAUCUCUAUCCUCCUUAAGAUCAUGGGAUCACUAAUCAUCUUUGUUAGUGUCAUGUAUGACAAAAAAAUUAUCAUUGUUCAAAAGUCAGAUGUACUAACUUUGUGCACAGUUCGUUCUGCGCCACUAAAGGGUACACAAAAGUCCAUCCAGUCGUGUCAACCAACCCAGCACCGAAAAUGUCAUUGAACACUCACCCCUUCGACCAUUCGAACCUUUGUGAUCCAAUGUUGGGCUCGAGCUACCGAGGUUUCUGCUGUUGCAGUACAUCUCAUUGGUAGGAUCCAAGGAGAUUUUGUGUCUGAAGCACACCCAUGGGUAGGACAAGCAUUAGUCAAGAGCAAACUUUAAAUAUUUUGGAACACCAACUACGAAUGUGUAACUAUUUGCUUGCGGUGCACCCACAUUCUAGUUCUAACUUUGCCAGUUCUGCAGCAGCAAACAUUUCAUCCGAUCUUAUCUGUUCUUCUUUGUCAACCUCGCCAACAACAUCUUGGUUUGUUUGACUCUUGGCAUUCACACUAUUCACCCCAACUCCACUUCUGGCAACAUCUCUCAGUCUCAGCUUCAGCUGAAGCCUGCUCAACCUCCACAGCCAUGGCCCCCUAUGUGCACAAUUGACCCCGAAUAAACAUUUUUAGACUACCAACCUGACCCGAGGCCACCUCGCAGUUCUGAUGAAAUACGUAGGUUGCUCUGCCCAGCUGGUGCUCCAAUGGGUUACCUUACAUUGCAAGACAAUAUUGGUAUUUAUAUUUUUGUGGUUUAGCAUUGCUGCAUUUGUCGACAAAUAGUGCACUGGUCGAACAACAAUCAAGCUUUUUUUUUUGAAAAGGAAGAUGUACCCCCGACCUCUCCAUCUAGAUGAUGCAUUCAACCAUAUUAUUAAUUAUUCACAAAGAUCAUACAAGGUGAUACAUCUAUAAGCCUGAAGCCACCAUCUUGGCAAUGUUGUUGCUAAUUCUAUCCCCUAAGAUAAUCCAAGGACAACCAAAAGCCUAAGCUUGGGGAUGCCCCGGAAGGCAUCCCCUCUUUCGUCUUCGUCUAUCGGUAACUUUACUUGGAGCUAUAUUUUUAUUCGCCACAUGAUAUGUGUUUUGCUUGGAGCGUCUUGUAUGAUAUUAGUCUUUGCUUUUUACUUUACCACAAUCAUCCUUGCUGUACACACCUUUUGGGAGAUACACACUUGAUUUGGAAUUUAUUAGAAUACUCUAUGUGCUUCACUUAUAUCUUUUGAGCUAGAUAAUUUUGCUCUAGUGCUUCACUUAUAUCUUUUAGAGCACGGCGGUGGCUUUAUUUUGUAGAAAUUGUUGAUCUCUCAUGCUUCACUUAUAUUAUUUUGAGAGUCUUUUAGAACAGCAUGGUAUUUUCUAUGGUUAUAAAAUUGGUCCUAGAAUGAUGGGCAUCCAAGUUGGGUAUAAUAAAACUAUCAUAGGAAGUGAAUUGGAUGCUAUGAUCAAUUUGAUGCUUCAUAAUUGGUUUGAGAUAUAGGGGUGGUGAUAUUAGAGUCAUGCUAGUUGGGUAAUUGUGAAUUUAAAGAAUACUUGUGUUGAAGUUGGCAAGUCUCGUAGCAUGCACGUAUGGUAAAAGUUGUGUAACAAAUUUGUUUCAUAGGUUGCUCUUUUAAUUGCCUUCCUUAUGUGUGGAGGUCAGGAUCGCGCGAUGGUUAACUCCUACCAACCCUUCCCCAAGGAGCAUGCAUAGUAGUACUUUGCUUCGAGGGCUAAUAAAACUUUUGCAAUAAGUAUAUGAGUUCUUUAUGACUAAUGUGAGUCCAUCGAUUAUAUGCACUCUUACCUUUCCAUCAUUGCUAGCCUCUUCGGUACCGUGCAUUGCCCUUUCUCACCUUGAGAGUUGGUGCAAUCUUCGCCGGUGCAUCCAAACCCCAUGAUACGAUAUGCUCUAUCACACAUAAACCUCUUUAUAUCUUCCUCAAAAUAGCCACCAUACCUACCUAUUAUGGCAUUUCCAUAGCCAUUCCGAGAUAUAUUGUCAUGCAACUUUCCACCGUUCCGUUUAUCAUGACACGCAUCAUCAUUGUCAUAUUGCCUUGCAUGAUCAUGUAGUUGACAUCGUAUUUGUGGCAAAGACACCAUGCAUAAUUUUUCAUACAUAUGUCACUCUUGAUUCAUUGCCCAUCCCGAUACACCGAAGGAGGCAUUCAUAUAGAGUCAUAUUUUGUUCUAGUUUUGAGUUGUAAUUCAUGAGUUGUAAAUAAAUAGAAGUGUGAUGAUCAUCAUUAUUAGAGCAUUGUCAGUUAUAAAAAAAAGAAAGGCCAAAAAAAAGGAAAGGCCAAAGAAAAAAAAGGAAGAAAAAAAAAGAAAGGCCAAAAAAGGGAAAGGCCCAAAAAAGGGAAAAUAAAAAAAGGGGGACAAUGUUACUAUCUUUGUCCACACUUGUGCUUCAAAGUAGCACCAUGUUCUUCUUGCGGAACGAAGUAAUUUCAAAAAAAUUCCUACACACAUGCAAGAUCGUGGUGAUGCAUAGCAACGAGAGGCGAGAAUGUUGUUGACGUACCCUCAUAGACCGAAAGCGGAAGCGUUAGCACAACGCGGUUGAUGUAGUCGUACGUCUUCACGAUCCGAUCGAUCCAAGUAUUGAACAUACGGCACCUCCGAGUUCAGCACACGUUCAGCUCGAUGACAUCCCACGAACUCCGAUCCAGUAGAGCUUUGCAGGACAGUUCCGUCAGCACGACGGUGUGAUGACGGUGUUGAUGAUGCUACCGACGUAGGCCUUCGCCUAAGCACCGCUACGAUAUUACCGAGGUGGAAUAUGGUGGAGGGGGGGCACCGCACACGGCUGGGAGAGAUCAACAAAUCAACUUGUGUGUCUAGAGGUGCCCCCCUUCCCCGUAUAUAAAGGAGCAAGGGGGGGAGGCGGCCGGCCAGGAGGAGGGCGCGCCAAGGGGGAGUCCUACUCCCACCGGGAGUAGGACUCCUCCUUUCCUUGUAGGAGUAGGAGAAGGGGGAAAGGGAGAGAGAGAGGAAGGAAAGGGCCCCCCCCCCCUUGUCCAAUUCGGACUAGAGGGGGAGGGGGGCGCGGCCUGCCCUAGCCGCCCCUCCUCUUCUCCACUAGGGUCCAUGAGGCAGAAUAAACCCCCCGGGGGGUUCCGGUAACCCCCCGGUACUCUGGUAUAUGUCUGAAACCUUACAAAACCAUUCCGGUGUCCAAACAUAGUCAUCCAAUAUAUCGAUCUUUACGUCUCGACCAUUUCAAGACUCCUCGUCAUGUCCGUGAUCAUAUCCGGGACUCCGAACUACAUUCGGUACAUCAAAACACAAAAACUCAUAAUACUGAUCGUCACCAAACUUUAAGCGUGCGGACCCUACGGGUUCGAGAACUAUGUAGACAUGACUGAGACACGUCUCUAGUCAAUAACCAAUAGCGGAACCUAGAUGCUCAUGUUGGUUCCCACAUAUUCUACGAAGAUCUUAUAGGUAAAACCACAUAACUACAUAUGUUGUUCCCUUUGUCAUCGGUAUGCUACUUGCCCAAGAUUUGAUCGUCGGUAUCUCAAUACCUAGUUCAAUAUCGUUAUUGGCAAGUCUCUUUACUCGUUACAUAAUGCAUCAUCCCACAACUAACUCAUUAGCUACAUUGCUUACAAGGCUUAUAGUGAUGUGCUUACCGAGAGGGCCCAGAGAUACCUCUCCGACAAUCGGAGUGACAAAUCCUAAUCUUGAAAUACGUCAACUCAACAAGUACCUUCGGAGACACCUGUAGAGAACCUUUAUAAUCACCCAGUUACGUUGUGACAUUUGGUAGCACAAAAAGUGUUCCUCCGGUAAGCGGGAGUUACAUAAUCUCAUAGUCAUAGGAACAUGUAUAAAUCAUGAAGAAAGCAAUAGAAACAUACUAAACGAUCAAGGGCUAAGCUAACGGAAUGGGUCAAGUCAAUCACAUCAUUCUCCUAAUGAUGUUAUCCCGUUAAUCAAAUGACAACUCAUGUCUAUGGUUAGCAAACUUAACCAUCUUUGAUUAACGAGCAAGUCAAGUAGAGGCAUACUAGUGACACUAUGUUUGUCUAUGUAUUCACACAUGUAUUAUGUUUCCGGUUAAUACAAUUCUAGCAUGAAUAAUAAACAUUUAUCAUGAAAUAAGGAAAUAAAUAAUAGCUUUAUUAUUGCCUCUAGGGAAUAUUUCCUUCAGUCUCCCACUUGCACUAGAGUCAAUAAUCUAGUUUACAAUACCAUGUGAUUUAACACCAAUAUUCACAUCUGUAUGUGAUUAACACCCAUAGUUCACAUCGUCAUGUGACCAAACACCCGAAGGGUUUACUAGAGUCAAUAAUCUAGUUCACAUCGCUAUGUGAUUAGCACCCAAAGAGUAUUAAGGUGUGAUCAUGUUUUGCUCGUGAGAGAAGUUUAGUCAACGGGUCUGUCUUAUUCAGAGCCGUAUGUAUUUUGCAAAUAUUCUAUGUCUACAAUGCUCUGCAUGGAGCUGCUCUAGAUAAUUGCUCCCACUUUCAAUAUGUAUCCAGAUUGAGACUUAGAGUCAUAUGGAUCGAUGUAAAAGCUUGCACCGAUGUAACUCUUUACGACGAACUCUUUUAUCACCUCCAUAAUCGAGAAACAUUUCCUUAGUCCUCACUAAUGAUAUUUUUGACCGCUGUCUAGUGAUCCACUCCUAGAUCAAAACUGUAAUCCCUUGCCAAAUACAGAGCAAGGUAUACAAUAGGUCCGGUACGCAGCAUAGCAUACUAUAUAGAACCUAUGACUGAGGCAUAGGGAAUGACUUUUCAUUCUCUUUCUAUUUUCUGCCAUGGUCGGGUUUUGUGUCUUACUCAACUUCACACCUUGCAACAUAGGCAGGAACUCCUUCUUUGACUGUUCCAUUUUGAACUACUUCAAAAUCUUAUCAAGGUACGUACUCAUUGAAAAAUCUUAUCAAGUGUCUUGAUCUAUCUCUAUAGAUCUUGAUGCUCAAUGUGUAAGCAGCUUCACUGAGGCCUUUCUUUGAAAAACUCUUAUUCAAGUAUCCUUUCAUGCUAUCCAGAAUUUCUAUAUCAUUUCCAAUCAACAAUAUGUCAUCUACAUAUAGUUUUAGAAAUGUUACAGAGCUCCCACUUACUUUCUUGUAAAUACAGGCUUCCCAAAUGUCUGUAUAAAACCAUAUGCUUUGAUCAACUCAUCAAAGCGUAUAUUCCAACUCCGAGAUGCUUGCACCAGUCCAUAGAUGGAUCGCUAGAGGUUGCACAUUUUGUUAGCACCUUUAGGAUUGACAAAACCUUCUGGUUGCAUCAUAUACAACUCUUCUUUAAUAAAUCCAUUAAGGAAUGCAGUUUUGACAUCCAUUUGCCAGAUUUCAUAAAAUUUGGCAAUUGCUAACAUGAUUCGGACAGACUUAAGCAUCAAUACGAUUGAGAAAAUCUCAUCGUAUUCAACACCUUGAACUUGUUGAAAAACCUUUUGCGACAAGUUGAGCUUUCUAAAUAGUAACACUACUAUCAGCGUCUGUCUUCCUCUUGAAGAUCCAUUUAUUUUCUAUGGCUUGCCGAUCAUCGGGCAAGUCCACCAAAGUCCACACUUUGUUCUCAUACAUGGAUCCCAUCUCAGAUUUCAUGGCCUUCAAGCCAUUUCGCGGAAUCUGGGCUCAUCAUCGCUUCCUCUUAGUUCGUAGGUUCAUCAUGGUCUAGUAACAUGACUUCCAGAAUAGGAUUACCGUACCACUCUGGUGCGGACUGUACUUUGGAAGACCUACGAGGUUAUGUAGUAACUUAAUUUGAAGUUUCAUGAUCAUCAUCAUUAUCUUCCGCACUAAUUGGUGUAGGAAUCACUGGAACUGAUUUCUGUGAUGAACUACUUUCCAAUUCGGGAGAAGGUACAAUUACCUUAUCAAGCUCUACUUUCCUCCCAGUCACUUCUUUCGAGAGAAACCUCUUCUCUAUAAAGGAUCCAUCUUAGCAACAAAUAGCUUGCCUUCGGAUCUGUGAUAGAAGGUGUAUCCAACAAUUUCCUUUGGGUAUUCUAUGAAGACGCACUUCUCCGAUUUGGGUUCGAGCUUAUCAGGUUGAAACUUUUUCACAUAAGCAUCGCAAACCCAAACUUUAAGAAACGACAACUUUGGUUUCUUGCCAAACCAUAGUUCGUAAGGCAUCGUCUCAACGGAUUUUGAUGGUGCCCUAUUUAAAGUGAAUGCAGCUAUUUGUAAUGCAUAACUCCAAAACGAUAGUGAUAAAUCAGUAAGAUACAUCAUAGAUUGCACCAUAUCCAAUAAAGUGCGGUUACGACAUUCAGACACACCAUUACGCUGUGGUGUUCCAUGUGGCGUGAGCUGUGAAACUAUUCCACAUUGUUUUUAAAUGAAGGGCAAACUCGUAACUCAAAUAUUCUCUUUUACGAUCAGAUUGUAGAAACUUUAUUUUCUUGUUACGAUGAUUGUCCACUUCACUCUGAAAUUCUUUGAAAUUUUCGAAAUGUUUCAGACUUGUGCUUCAUUAAGUAGAUAUACUCAUAUCUGCUCAAAUCAUCUGUGAAGGUCAGAAAAUAACGAUACCUGCCACGAGCAUCAACACUCAUUGGACCGGAGAACGGAGUUUUAGUCAUCUUGCCCAAAAGGCAUGGUUCGCAAGCAUCAAAUGAGUCAUAACCAAGUGAUUCCAAAAGUCCAUCUUUAUGGAGUUUCUUCAUGUGCUUUACACCGAUAUGACCCAAACGGCAGUGCCACAAACAAGUUGCACUAUCAUUACCAACUUUGCAUCUUUUGGCAUCAAUAUUAUGAAUAUGUAUGUCACUACGAUCGAGAUCCAACAAACUAUUUUCAUUGGGUGUAUGACCAUCGAAGGUUUUAUUCAUGUAAACAGAACAACAAUUAUUCUCUGACUUUAAAUGAAUAACAGUAUUGCAAGAAACAUGAUCAAAUCAUAUUCAUGCUCAACGCAAACGCCAAAUAACAUUUAUUUAGGUUGAACACUAAUCCUGAAAGUAUAGAGAGUGUGCGAUGAUGAUCAUAUUAAUCUUGGAACCACUUCCAACACACAUCGUCACUUCACCCUCAACUAGUCCCUGUUUAUUAUGUAACUCCUGUUUCGAGUUACUAAUUUUUAGCAACCGAACAAGUAUCAAAUACCCAGGGGCUACUAUAAAUACUAGUAAGGUACACAUCAAUAACCUGUAUAUCAAAUAUACCCUUGUUCACUUUGCCAUCCUUCUUAUCCACCAAAUAUUCAGGGCAUUUCUGCUUCCAGUGACCAUUUCCUUUGCAGUAUAAGGACUCAUUUUCAGGCUUUGGUCCAGCUUUGGGCUUCUUCGCGGGAGUGACAACUUGCUUGUCAUUCUACUUGAAGUUCCCUUUCUUUCCCUUUGCCCUUUUUCUUGAAACUAGUAGUCUUGUCAAUCAUCAACACUUGAUGCUCUUUCUUGAUUUCUACCUUCAUCGAUUUCAACAUCACGAAGAGCUUAGGAAUCGUUUUCGUCAUACCUUACAUACUAUAGUUCAUCAUGAAGUUCUAGUAACUUGGUGAUGGUGACUAGAGAACUCUGUCAAUCACUAUCUUAUCUGGAAGAUUAACUCCCACUUGAUUCAAGCGAUUGUAGUACCCAGACAAUCUGAGCACAUGCUCACUAGUUGAGAAAUUCUCCUCCAUCUUUUAGCUAUAGAACUUGUUGGAGGCUUCAUAUCUCUCAACUCGGGUAUUUGCUUGAAAUAUUAACUUCAACUCCUGGAACAUCUCAUAUGGUCCAUGACGUUCAAAACGUCUUUGAAGUCCUGAUUCUAAGCCGUUAAGCAUGGUGCACUAAACUAUCAAGUAGUCAUCAUAUUGAGCUAGCCAAACGUUCAUAACGUCUGCAUCUGCUCCUGCAAUAGGUCUGUCACCUAGCGGUGCAUCAAGGACAUAAUUCUUCUGUGCGGCGAUGAGGAUAAACCUCAGAUCACGGACCUAGUCCACAUCAUUGCUACUAUCAUCUUUCAACUUAGUUUUCUUUAGGAACACAUUUAAAACAUAGGGAAGCAACAACACGAGCUAUUGAUCUACAACAUUAUUUGCAAAAUACUAUCAAGACUAAGUUCAUGAUAAAGUAAUGUUCGAUUAAUCAUAUUACUUAAGAACUCCCACUUAGAUAUACAUCUCUCUAAUCAUCUAAGUGAUCACAUGAUCCAAAUCAACUAAACCAUAACCGAUCAUCACAUGAAAUGGAGUAGUUUUCAAUGGUGAACAUAACUAUGUUGAUCAUAUCUACUAUAUGAUUCACCCUCGACCUUUCGGUCUCAGUGUUCCGAGGCCAUAUCUGCAUAUGCUAGGCUCGUCAAGUUUAACCUGAGUAUUCUACGUGUGCAAAACUGGCUUGCACCCGUUGUAGAUGAACUUAGAGCUUAUCACACCCGAUCAUCACGUGGUGUCUCGGCAUGACGAACUUUGGCAAUGGUGCAUACUCAAGGAGAACACUUUUAUCUUGAAAUUUAGUGAGAGAUCAUCUUAUAAUGCUACCGUCAAUCAAAGCAAAAUAAGAUGCAUAAAGGAUAAACAUCACAUGCAAUCAAUAUAAGUGAUAUGAUAUGGCCAUCAUCAUCUUGUGCUCACCAUCGUCACCGGCGCGACACCUUGAUCUCCAUCGUAGCAUCGUUAUCGUCUCGCCAACUAUUGCUUCCAUGACUAUCGCUAUCGCUUAGUGAUAAAGUAAAGCAAUUACAGGGCGAUUGCAUUGCACACAAUAAAGUGACAACCAUAUGGCUCCUGUCAGUUGCCGAUAACUCUGUUACAAAACAUGAUCAUCUCAUACAAUAAAAUUUAGCAUCAUGUCUUGACAAUAUCACAUCACAACAUGCCCUGCAAAAACAAGUUACACAUCCUCUACUUUGUUGUUGCAAGUUUUACGUGGCUGCUACGGGCUGAGCAAGAACCGUUCUUACCUACGCAUCAAAGCCACAACGAUAUUUCGUCAAGUUAGUGUUAUUUUAACUUUCUCAAGGACCGGGCGUAGCCACACUCGGUUCAACUAAAGUUGGAGAAACUGACGCCCGCCAGCCACCUAUGUGCAAUGUGAUGACCCACAAGUAUAGGGGAUCUAUCGUAGUCCUUUCGAUAAGUAAGAGUGUCGAACCCAACAAGGAGCAGAAGGAAGUGUUAAGCGGUUUACAGUAAGGUUUUCUCUGCAAGCACUGAAAUAGUAGGUGAUAGAUAGUUUUGUGAUAAGAUAAAUGGUAAUGAGCAAGAAGCAAAUAAAGUAAAUGAAGUGCAGCAAGGUGGCCCAAUCCUUGAUGUAGCAAAGGAUAAGCCUGGACAAAUUCUAAUAAUGAAGAAGGAGCUCCCGAGGACACAUUGGGAAUUAUCAUCAAGCUAGUUUUCAUCACGUUCAUAAGAUUCGCGUUCGGUACCUUGAUAAUUUGAUAUGUGGGUGGACCGGCACUUGGGUACUGCCCUAACAUGGAAAAGCAUCCCACUUAUGAUUAACCCCUAUUGCAAGCAUCCUCAACUACAAAAAGGAGUAUUCACGUAAACCUAACCACAACAUUAAACAUAUGGGUCCAUAUCAACUCCUAACGAAGCAACGCAUAAACUAGGGUUUAAGCUUCUGUCGCUCUAGCAACCCAUCAUCUACUUAUUACUUACCUAUGCCUUCCUCUAGGCCCAAAUAAUGGUGAAGUGUCAUGUAGUCGACGUUCACAUAACACCACUAGAGGAAAGACAACAUACAUCCCAUCAAAAUAUCAAACGAAUACCAAAUUCACAUGACUACUAAUAGCAAGACUUCACCCAUGUCCUCAGGAACAAACGUAACUACUCACAAAGCAUAUUCAUGUUCAUAAUCAGAGGAGUAAUAAUAUGCGUAAAGGAUCUGAACAUAUGAUCUUCCACCAAGUAAACCAAAUAGCAUCAACUACAAGGAGUAAUCAACACUACUAGCAACCCACAUGUACCAAUUUGUGGUUUUAAUACAAGAUUGGAUACAAGAGAUGAACUAGGGUUUUGAGAUGAGAUGGUGCUGGUGAAGAUGUUGAUGGAGAUUGACCCCCUCCCGAUGAGAGGAUCGUUGGUGAUGAUGUUGGUGAUGAUUUCCCCCUCCCGAAGGGAAGUGUCCCCAGCAGAACACCUCCGCCAGAGCCCUAGAUUGAUUCCGCCAAGGUUCCGCCUCGUGGCGGCGGAGUUUCGUCCCGUCAGCUUGCUCACAAUUUUUUCCAAGACAAAACCCUUCAUAUAGCAGAAGAUGGACGCCGAAAGCCCACCAGGGGGCCCAGGAGAUAUGGGGCGCGCCCUAUAGUGGGGGCGCGCCCCCUGUCUCCUGGACAGGGUGUGGUCCCCCUGGCCUAUUUCUUUUUCCCACAAAUUCUUAUGAAUUCCAAAUAGUUGUUUCGUGGAGUCUCAGGUCUUUUGGAGUUGUGCAGAAUAGGUUUCCAACUUUUGCUCCUUUUCCAACCAGAAUUCCACCUGCCGGCAUUCCCACUCUUCAUGGUAAACCUUGUAAAAUAAGAGAGAAUAGCCAUAAGUAUUUAGAUAUAAUGUGUAAUAACAGCCCAUAAUGCAAUAAAUAUUGAUAUAAAAGCAUGAUGCAAAAUGGACGUAUCAACUCCCCCAACCUUAGACCUCGCUUGUCCUCAAGCGGAAGCCGAAAUCGAAAAAUAUGUCCACAUGUUUAGAGAUAGAGGUGUCGAUAAAAAUAAAAUAUGGACAUGAGGGCAUCAUGAUCAUUCUAAUAACAACAAUAUAUAUGGAUUUUGUCAUAUGAUUUCCUAUGUUCAAGUAAUAAGCAAUUAACAAUGUCAAGUAUGGUUCAAAAACUUCAUUGGGAACUAACAAACUAUAAUCUCAAUCAUUGAAGCAAUUGCAAUUUAUCGUAACAUCAGAAAGAGUCAAUAAUAGAGCUUUUCAGCAAGCUCACAUACUCAACUAUCUCGUAGUCCCCUAUAAUUGUUAACACUCACGUAAUACUUGUGGUUAUAGAGUUUCAGCCGGACACUGAGAAAGAUAGGGGCUUAUUGUGUUUCCUCCCAACAUAUUCACCUUUAGGUGAUGUCAACAAUAAUAGCCUAUGCCAACUUACAUCCAAUUGGAUAUAUGUAUCAUGAUCUUCCAAACACGAGGAGCUUGCCAAAGGAUAAAAAUAAAAAGGGAAAGGUGAGAAUCACCUUGACUCAAGCAUAAAGUAAAACAUAAAGUAAAAGAUAGGCCCUUCACAGAGGGAAGCAGAGGUUGUCAUGUGCGUUUAGGGUUGAUGCACAAAAUCAUAAUGCAAAAGAACGCCACUUUAUAUUGCCCCUUGUAUGUGGACCUUUAUUAUGCAAUCCAUCGCUUUUAUUACUUCCACAACAAGUUCGUACAAAGCUUAUUUUCUCUGCACUAAUAAGUCAUACAUAUUUAGAGAGCAAUUUUUAUUGCUUGCAACGAUGACAACUUACUUGAAGGAUAUUACUCAAUCCAUGGGUAGGUAUGGUGGACUCUCAUGGCAAAACUGGGUUUAAGGAUAUUUGGAAGCACAAGUAGUAUCUCUACUUGGUGCAAGGAAUUUGGCUAGCAUGAGGGGGAAAUGCAAGAUAAACAUGUUUGGAAGGUCAAUGACAAUAUACUUUAACUGAGAUGUCGGAAAACAUAAACCAUUACGUUGUCUUCCUUGUCCAACGUCAAUUCUUUUAGCAUGUCAUACUUAAUGAGUGCUUCACAAAUCAUAAAAGAUGUCCAAGAUAAUAUAUUUAUAUGUGAACCUCUCUUUCCUUAUCACUUCCUAUUAAUUGCAAUGAUGACCAAGGCUACGUUCAUCAACUCUCAACAAUUUUUAUGCCUCAUACUUUCUAUGUGUGAAGUUAUCACUAUCCAUAAGAUCAAUAUGAACUCUUUUGUUCUUUCUACUUUCUCAAGAUCAUAGCAACAUAGCAAAGCCCUUGACUCAACACUAAUCUUUAUUAUAGAUAGCACAUGGACUUGAUUACAUAAAGAGAUCACAAAGCAAAACUCAAAACUACUUGAUAUCGAAACUUCAAACUAAUAGAUCAAGAUACUACUAAAGGAUCGAACUAAAUAAAGCGGUAAAAAUAGGAGCGUGAUGGUGAUACGAUACCGGGGAACCUCCCCCAAGCUUGGCAGUUGCCAAGGGGAGUGCCCAUACCCAUGUGAUUAUUUCUUCGGAGGUGGUGAAGUAGGAGUUGUUGCACUAUUCUUCUCUAGCUUGCGUCUGAGGCUAAAAUUUUCCUCCCUCAGAUCCUCAUUCUCGAGCUCAAGUUUCAUUAUCUUUUUGCAUAGUGUUGCCUUGAUGUCCUGCAAAAAAUAUGGUGGGAUAGAUUGUACCUUAGGGAGGCUUGACUUCUUGAACUCCACAUGCAUAUCACCAGGUUGAGGCAGCGGAUCGUCCUCUUCAUCGGAGCUUGUCUCCUCCUUCCACUUUGGAUCAUAGUCUUCUUCUUCCUCUGUGGUCCAGCCAUAAGAUUCCACAUCCCCAUAUACUUUUGGGUUUGCAAUAUAAUCAGCCAUGUAGCUCUCUUCCUCCAAAUCUUGGGACGACAUCUUGUUCCGAAUCUGCAACAGGAACAGCUCGAAACGAAAACAGAGGAUAUUUGCGUGAUACGUUGGUCAAAACCUUCGGGAGUAUAUAUAAUGAAUUUUUACCGACCAAAAUGCUUAACAUACAAGAAAACGGAGUCCAGGAGGCACACGAGGUGCCCACGAGACAGGGGGCGCGCCCUACAGGGGGGGUGCGCUCUCCUCUCUCAUGGGAGCCUCGUGUUCCUUUCGGACUACUUCUUUCUUCCUAAAAUCUUUAAAUAAUCCAAAACUGAUAAAAAUUGCCAUUAGAGUUGUUUUGGAGUUGGUUUACUUACCGUACCACGAACCUAUGCCUUUUUAGAGUCUGGAACAUUCUGGAAAGUGUCUCUUAUGUAUUCCUCACGGGUUAUGGUUUCAAUAAUAUUAGUCUCAACAUUGAUAGGAUUACCUGAAAUAUAAUGUUUAAUUCUUUGACCGUUUACCACCCUCGGAUUUGUGCCUUCGAAGUUGUUGAUUUUUAUAGCACCAGAACGAUAGACAUCCUCGAUAACAUAGGGACCUUCCCAUUUUGAGAGAAGUUUUCCUGCAAAAAAUCUUAAAAGAGAGUUGAACAAUAACACAUAAUCUCCUAUGUUAAAUUCACACGUUUGUAUCCUCUUAUCAUGCCAACGUUUGACUUUUUCUUUGAAAAUCUUGGCAUUCUCAUAUGCUUGGGUUCUCCAUUCAUCAAGUGAGCUAAUAUCAAAUAAUAUUUUCUCACCGGCAAGUUUGAAGUCAUAAUUGAGCUCUUUAACAGCCCAAUAUGCUUUAUGUUCAAGUUCAAGAGGUCAAUGACAUGCUUUUCCAUAAACCAUCUUAUAUGGAGACAUACCCAUAGGAUUUUUGUAUGCAGUUCUAUAGGCCCAUAAUGCAUCAUCAAGUUUUUUGGACCAAUUCUUUCUAGAUCUAUUCACAGUCUUUUGCAAAAUUAACUUGAGCUCUCUAUUGCUCAACUCUACUUGACCACUAGACUGCAGGUGAUAAGGAGAUGCGAUUCUAUGAUUGACAUCAUACUUAGCAAGCAUCUUACGGAAAGCACCAUGAAUAAAGUGUGAACCACCAUCAGUCAUAAGAUAUCUAGGGACUCCAAACCUCGGACAAAUAACUUCUUUAAGCAUUUUAAUAGAAGUGUUAUGAUCAGCACUACUAGUUGGAAUAGCUUCUACCCACUUAGUAACGUAAUCAACAACAACUAAAAUAUGUGUAUAACCAUUGAAGGCAGGAAAAGGUCCCAUAUAAUCAAAGCCCCAAGCAUCAAACGGUUCAAUAACAAGAGAAUAAUUCAUAGGCAUUUCUUGACGUCUACUAAUGUUACCUAUUCUUUGACAUUCAUCACAAGAUACAACAAACUUACGAGCAUCUUUGAAAAGAGUAGGCCAAUAAAAACCAGAUUGUAGUACCUUGUGUGCAGUUUUGUCUCCAGCGUGGUGUCCUCCAUAGGAUUCAGAGUGACACUUGCGUAGGAUUUGUUCCUGUUCAUGAUCAGGCACACAACGUCUAAUAAUACCAUCUACUCCUUCUUUAUAAAGGUGUGGAUCAUCCCAAAAGUAAUGUCUUAAAUCAUAAAAGAACUUUUUCUUUUGCUGGUAUGUGAAACUAGGCAGUAUAUAUUUAGCAACAAUGUAAUUAGCAUAAUCAGCAUACCAAGGAGCAGUACGAGAAGCAUUGAUGACCGCUAAUUGUUCAUCAGAAAAGCUAUCAUUAAUAGGCAGUGGGUCAUCAAGAACAUUCUCUAACCUAGAAAAGUUGUCUGCAAUGGGGUUCUCAGCUCCCUUUCUAUCAAUAAUAUGCAAGUCAAAUUCUUGGAGCAAGAGAACCCAUCUAAUGAGUCUAGGCUUAGCAUCUUUAUUUUCCAUAAGAUAUUUAAUAGCAGCAUGAUCAGUGUGGAUAGUAACUUUGGAAUCAACAAUAUAAGGUCUAAACUUAUCACAUGCAAACACAACUGCUAAGAACUCUUUUUCAGUAGUAGCAUAAUUUCUCUGGGCAGUAUCAAGAGUCUUACUAGCAUAAUGGAUAACAUUCAAUUUCUUAUGGACUCUUUGCCCUAAAACAGCACCUACAGCAUAAUCACUAGCAUCGCACAUAAUUUCAAAAGGUAAAUUCCAAUCAGGUGGCUGAACAAUAGGUGCAGUGAUCAAAGCUUUCUUAAGUGUUUCAAAUGCUUCUACACAAUCAUCAUCAAAAACAAAAGGAAUAUCUUUUUGCAAUAAAUUAGUCAGAGGCCUAGAGAGUUUAGAUAAGUCCUUAAUGAACCUCCUAUAAAAGUCGGCAUGACCAAGGAAACUUCUUAUACCUUUUAUGUCCUUGGGACAUGGCAUCUUUUCAAUAGCAUCAACUUUGGCUUUAUCAACUUCAAUACCUCUCUCGGAGAUCUUGUGCCCCAAGACAAUGCCUUCAUUAACCAUAAAGUGACACUUUUGCCAAUUCAGGACGGGACUAGUGUCUUCGCAUCUCUGCAGAACUCGAUCAAGGUUGCUCAAACAAUCAUCAAAAGAGGAUCCAUAGAUGGAGAAGUCAUCCAUGAAUACCUCACAAAUCUUUUCACAAAAAUCAGAAAAUAUAGCCAUCAUGCAUCUUUGAAAGGUAGCAGGUGCAUUACAUAAACCAAAAGGCAUACGUCUAUAAGCAAAAGUACCAAAAGGGCAAGUAAAAGUAGUUUUAGAUUGAUCCCCCGCUGAUACAGGUAUCUGAGAGAAACCAGAAUAAUCAUCUAGAAAGAAAAAAUGUGUGUGUUUGGAUAGCCUUUCUAGCCUGUAAUAAUUCUUUGCGGGAUCAAUUCAUCUUUAUCAUUAGGAACAACGGUAAUACCUCCCUUUUUAGGGACACAAUGGACAGGGCUUACCCAUUCACUAUCAGCAAUGGGAUAAAUAAUACCUGCCUCAAGGAGUUUUAGUAUCUCCUUUCUUACCACUUCUUUCAUUUUGGGAUUUAAUCGUCUUUGAGGAUAUCUAACUGGUUUGGCAUCUUUCUCCACUAAAAUUUUGUGUUGACAUAAUGUGGGACUAAUGCCCUUAAGAUCGUCCCUAGUAUAUCCAAUAGCAACUCGGUGCUUCUUCAGAGUUUUCAAUAAUCUUUCUUCUUCUUUCUCUGAAAGGUUAGCACUAAUAAUAACAGGAUAUAUUUCUUUUUCAUCAAGAUAAGCAUACUUAAGAUUAUUAGGUUAUGGUUUGAGUUCAAACACGGGAUCACCCUUGGGUGGAGGGGGGUCCCCAAGAAUUUCAAUGGGAAGGUUAUGUUUCAGCAUAGGUUCUUGUUUAAGGAACACUUCAUCUAUUUCUUCCCUUUCCUUCAUAAACAUAUCGUUUUCAUGAUCUAGCAAAUAUUGUUCUAACAGAUCAGUUGGUGGAACAGCAAUGGAAGCAAGACCAAUAAUUUCGUCCUUACUAGAUGGUUCCCUUUCACGAGGUUGUCUACUAAACUUAGCAAAAUUAAACUCAUGAGACAUACCAUAUAUGCCAACAGUGACAAUAUUCUUUUCACAAUUAAUCUUAGCACUAGCAGUAUUCAAGAAGGGUCUACCAAAAAUAAUGGGACAAAAAUCAUCUUGUGGGGAACCAAGAACAAGAAAAUCAGCACGGUAUUUAAUCUUCCCACACAAUACUUCAACAUCUCUAACAAUCCCAAUAGGUUUAAUGGUGUCCCUAUUAGCAAGCUUAAUAGUAACAUCAAUGUCUUCUAAUUCAAUAGGUGCAAUAUCGUGCAUAAUUUCUUUAUAAAGAUCAUAAGGUAUCGCAUUAGCACUAGCACCCAUAUCACAUAAACCAUGAUAACAAUGAUCUCCUAUUUUAACAGAAAUAACAGGCGUGCCUACAAUAGGUCUUCGUGUCUUAGUAUCGGGUCUAGCAAUAUUAGCAGUUUCACCCAAGAAAGAGAUAACAUGCCCAUCUAAGUCCUCAUCCAAGAGAUCUUUAACCAUAGCAAUACUAGGUUCAACAUUAAUUUGCUCAGGAGGUGUAUAAGUCCUAGUAUUACUCUUACAAACAACAGUCGAAGCUUUAACAUGAUCUUUUAUCCUAACAAGAAAAGGAGGUUUUUCAACAUAAGCAGUAGGAAUAAUGGGAUCACUAUAUGUAAUAGUCUUCUCUUCGACUGUAAUAGGUGCAACUACUUUCACUUCAAUAGGAGGAUUAUAUUUAAACCACUUAUCUUUAGGGAGAUCAACGUGAGUAACAAAAUUUUCACAAAAAGUAGCUACUAUCUCAUAGUCAAGUCCAUACUUAGAGCUAAAUCCACGGAAAGCAUCGGUAUCCAUAAAAGAUUUAACACAAUCGAACUUAGGUGUCAUACCUGACUCCUUACCAUGGUCGGAACCCCAAUCUUCAGAGUUGCGUUUAAUUCUUUCCAAUAAGUCCCAUUUGAAAUUAAUAGUCUUCAGCAUAUAGGAACCAACACCGGAAGUAUCGAGCAAGUUGCGAUUAUCAAGAGAAAGCCGAGCAUAAAAAUUCUGAAUAAUCAUUUCCCGAGAGAGCUCAUGAUUGGGGCAUGAAUACAACAUUGACUUAAGCCUCCCCCAAGCUUGAGGGAUGCUUUCUCCUUCGCGAGGCUAGAAAUUAUAUAUGUAAUUACGAUCACGAUGAACAAGAUGCAUAGGAUAGAACUUCUAGUGAAAUUCCAACUUCAAUCGCUUAUAAUUCCAAUAUCUCAUAUCAUCACAUAGCCUAUACCAUGUCGUUGCAUCUCCCUUAAAAGAUAAAGGGAAGAACUUCCUUUUGACAACAUCAUCGAGAAUACCCGCAAGCUUAAAUAGUCCAAAAGCUUCAUCCAUAAAGAUGAGGUGUAAGUCGGGAUGCAAUGUUCUGUCUCCUGCAAAAGGAUUAGCUAACAGUUUUUCUAUCAUACCCGAAGGAAUCUCAAAUUGAAUAUUUUCAUAAGGUUCAGUAGGUUGAGGAGCAUCUCUUUGCUCUUUUGGUUGGGGUGAAGAUACCCCAAACAAGCCCCUCAAAGGAUUAGUUUCCAUAGUGACAAGUAACUGAAAAUUUCAGCACACUAUAUAAAUGUUUCCUUACCAAGUUCCACUCACCAAGAGCGCUACGCCCCCCGGCAACGGCGCCAGAAAAGAGUCUUGAUGACCCACAAGUAUAGGGGAUCUAUCAUAGUCCUUUUGAUAAGUAAGAGUGUCGAACCCAACGAGGAGCAGAAGGAAAUGAUAAGCGGUUUUCAGUAAGGUUUUCUCUGCAAGCACUGAAAUAGUAGGUGAUAGAUAGUUUCGUGAUAAGAUAAAUAUUGACGAGCAAAAAGCAAAUAAAGUAAAUAAAAUGCAGCAAGGUGGCCCAAUCCUUUAUGUAGCAAAGGAUAAGCCUGGACAAAUUCUAAUAAUGAAGAAGGAGCACCCGAGGACACAUUGGGAAUUAUCGUCAAGCUAGUUUUCAUCACGUUCAUAAGAUUCGCGUUCGUUACCUUGAUAAUUUGAUAUGUGGGUGGACCGGCACUUGGGUACUGCCCUAACAUGGACAAGCAUCCCACUUAUGAUUAACUCAUAUUGCAAGCAUCGGCAACUACAAAAGGGAGUAUUAAGGUAAACCUAACCACAACAUUAAACAUAUGGGUCCAUAUCAACCCCUAACGAAGCAACGCAUAAACUAGGGUUUAAGCUUCUGUCACUCUAGCAACCCAUCAUCUACUUAUUACUUCCCUAUGCCCUCCUCUAGGCCCAAAUAAUGGUGAAGUGUCAUGUAGUCGACGUUCACAUAACACCACUAGAGGAAAGACAACAUACAUCCCAUCAAAAUAUCGAACGAAUACCAAAUUCACAUGACUACUAAUAGCAAGACUUCACCCAUGUCCUCAAGAACAAACGUAACUACUCACAAAGCAUAUUCAUGUUCAUAAUAAGAGGUUUAAUAAUAUGCAUAAAGGAUCUGAACAUAUGAUCUUCCACCAAGUAAACCAAAUAGCAUCAACUACAAGGAGUAAUCAACACUACUAGCAACCCACAGGUACCAAUUUGUGGUUUUGAUACAAGAUUGGAUACAAGAGAUGAACUAGGGUUUUGAGAUGAGAUGGUGCUUGUGAAGAUGUUGAUGGAGAUUGACCCCCUCCCGAUGAGAGGAUCGCUGGUGAUGACAUUGGUGAUGAUUUCCCCCUCCCGGAAGGAAGUGUCCCUGGUAGAACAGCUCCGCCAGAGCCCUAGAUUGAUUCCGCCAAGGUUCCACCUCGUGGCGGCGGAGUUUCGUCCCGUAAGAUUGCCCACGAUUUUUUCCAAGACAAAACCCUUCAUAUAGCAGAAGAUGGACGCCGGAAGCCCACCAGGGGGCCCAGGAGAUAGGGGGCGCGCCCUACAGGGGGGUACGCCCCUGUCUCCUGGACAGGGUGUGGCCCCCCGUUGCCUAUUUCUUUUGCUCAUAAAUUCUUAUAAAUUCCAAAAAGUUGUUUCGUGGAGUCUCAGGUCUUUUGGAGUUGCGCAGAAUAGGUUUCCAACGCUUGCUCCUUUUCCAGCCAGAAUUCCAGCUGCCGGCAUUCCCCCUCUUCAUGGUAACCCUUGUAAAAUAAGAGAGAAUAGCCAUAAGUAUUGAGAUAUAAUGUGUAAUAACAGCCCAUAAUGCAAUAAAUAUUGAUAUAAAAGCAUGAUGCAAAAUGGACGUAUCACAAAGCACGUCGGUAGAACCAGUCUCGCGUAAGCGUACGCAUAAUGUCGGUCUAGACCGUUUCAUCCAACAAUACCGCCUAACCAAAGUAUGACAUGCUGGUAAGCAGUAUGACUUGUAUCACCCACAACUCACUUGUGUUCUACUCGUGCUAUAACAUCUACGCAUAAACAUGGCUCGGAUGCCACUGUUGGGGAACGUAGUAAUUUCAAAAAAAUUCCUACGCACACGCAAGAUCAUGGUGAUGCAUAGCAAUGAGAGGGGAGAGUUUUGUCCACGUACCCUCAUAGACCGAAAGAAGAAGCGUUAGCAGAACGCGGUUGAUGUAGUAGUACGUCUUGAUGAUCCGACCGAUCCAAGUACCGAACUUACGGCACCUCUGAGUUCAGCACAUGUUCAGCUUGAUGACGUCCCACGAACUCCGAUCCAGCAGAUCUUUGCAGGAGAGUUCCGUCAGCACGACAGCGUGAUGUCGGUGUUGAUGAUGCUACUGACGUAGAGCUUCGCCUAAGCACCGCUACGAUAUUACCGAGGUGGAAUAUGGUGGAGGGGGGCACCACACACAGCUGGGAGAGAUCAACAGAUCAACUUGUGUGUCUAGAGGUGCCCCCCUGCCCUCGUAUCUAAAGGAGCAAUGGGGAGAGGUGGCCGGCCAGUAGGAGGGCGCGCCAAGGGGGGAGUCCUACUCGCACCGGGAGUAGGACUCCUUGAGGGAGUCCUGGAUUAGGGGGUGUCCGGAUGCCGGACUAUGACCUUUGGCCGGACUCCCGGACUAUGAAGAUACAGGAUUGAAGACUUCGUCCCAUGUCCGGAUAGGGACUUUCCUUGGCGUGGAAGGCAAGCUUGGCGAUACGAUAUGAAGAUCUCCUUCCAUUGUAACCGACUCUGUGUAACCCUAGCCCUCUCCGGUGUCUAUAUAAACCGGAGAGUUUUAGUCCGUAGGACGAACAACAAUCAUACCAUAGGCUAGCUUCUAGGGUUUAGCCUCUCUGAUCUCGUGGUAGAUCAACUCUUGUAAUACCCAUACCAUCAAUAUUAAUCAAGCAGGAGUAGGGUUUUACCUCCACCGAGAGGGCCCGAACCUGGGUACAAACAUCGUGUUCCUUGUCUCCUGUUACCAUCCGCCUAGACGCACAGUUCGGGACCCCCUACCCAAGAUCCGCCGGUUUGGACACCGACAUUGGUGCUUUCAUUGAGAGUUCCUCUAUGUCGUCGCCUUUAGGCCCGAUGGCUUCUUCGAUCAUCAACCACGAUGCGGUCCAUGGCGAGACUUUUCUCCCCGGACAGAUCUUCGUAUUCGGCGGCUUUGCACUGCGGGCCAACUCAUUUGGCCAUCUAGAGCAGAUUGAAAGCUACGCCCCUGGCCAUCAGGUCAGAUUAGGAAGCUUAAACUACACGGUCGAAAUUUGCAGGGACUUGAUCUUUGACGGAUUCGAGCCACGGCCGAGCGCGCCGCACUGUCUCGAUGGGCAUGAUCUAGCUCUGCCGCCGGACAGCGCCCGGAGUGCCGCUCAGGAGUCCGCUCCGACCGUUAAUUCGGAUCCGACCGUGCUAACCAGGGAUGGACGAUUGGAUGCCGCCCCAGGAGCCACGAUCUCUACGGCGAUAGAGCCGAAUACCAGUCUAGUCCUUCGCAAGGCCCGUGACUCCAAGGUGCCGGACUCCGCCCCGGACUCCGAAUCCUCCGCACCCCUUCCGAUCGAACCCGAUUGGGCUCCGAUCAUGGAGUUCACCGCCGCGAACGUCUUUCAGCACUCGCCCUUUGGCGAUAUCCUGAACUUCCUAAAGUCUCUCUCUUUGUUAGGAGAGCCCUGGCCGGACUAUGGUCAGCAGGGUUGGGAUACGGAGGACGAAGAAAUUCGAAACCCACCCACCACCCACUUUGUAGCCACUGUCGACAAUUAAACCGACAUGCUCGACUUUGACUCCGAAGACAUCGACGGUAUGGACGCCGAUGAAGGAGACGACCAAGAACCAGCACCUAUAGGGAACUGGAAAGCCACCUCAUCAUACGAUGUAUACAUGGUGGACACAACCAAAAGGGAUAACAACAAGGAUCGAAAGGGCGCAAACAGGGAUCGUUCCCUCGAAAAACAAUCAAAGCGGCGACGCAAGCGCCACGCAAAGCCCCACCUCGACAAAGACCCAGCCAUAGAGCAGGGCGAAUCAACGGAAGACGAACAUGCCAUUAAGCAACUGUCCAAACAACCAACCCCCAGAAAAGAUAGUAAUCCGGACGACCUCAUGCCGGACAAACUGCUGGAACAUCAGAACCUCCACCAAAGGCUCGUCGCCACUGCACGUAGCCUGAAAAAGCAGAAGCGGAGGAUCAAAACAGCAGAAGAUGCACUCAGGAUCAGAUGGAACAAAGUGCUGGAUACUGCACACAAGUACGGCAACAGUCGUCACACAAAGAGCUAUCCAAAGCGGAAACUACUACCGGAAUUUGAUGAAGAGGCCAUAAAGCCCCCACAGUCGAAAAACAAAGAAGCCACCAGGUCGGAUAGACGACCCAACGAUCGAUCCAAAGUGGCAGAGGGCGCUGCACUCAAUCCGGUGAGUGACCCCCCUAAGGAUUCGCAUCAAACAACCUUCCCAACCAGAUCCAUCUACGGCCCAAGAAAGCAAGCUCCAGCGAGCAACACAAUGCAAAAAAUACCCGAACAUCACGGCACACCUGCAUACAGGGGCGCCGCACAUCCCUUAUGUUUUACCGAUGAGGUGCUGGAUCACGAAUUUCUAGCGGGAUUCAAGCCCGUGAACAUAGAAGCAUAUGACGGAACAACAGACCUUGAAGUCUGGAUAGAGGAUUAUAUCCUCCACAUACACAUGGCCAGAGGAGAUGACCUUCAUGCCAUCAAGUACUUACCCCUCAAGCUCAAAGGGCCAGCUCGGCAUUGGCUUAAAAGCCUUCCCAAAAAUACCAUAGGAAGUUGGGAAGCGCUUGAGGAGGCUUUCCGAACAAAUUUUCAAGGGACCUAUGUCCGACCUCCGGAUGCAGACGAUCUGAGUCAUAUAACUCAGCAACCCGGAGAGUCAGCCCGGAAACUCUAGAACAGAUUCCUUACUAAAAAGAAUCAGAUAGUCGACUGUCCGGACGCUGAAGCCCUAGCAGCUUUCAAACAUAGCGUCUGAGACGAAUUGCUCGCCAGACACCUCGGCCAAGAAAAACCAAGAACGAUGGCCGCAUUAACAAGCCUCAUGACCCGCUUUUGCGCAGGAGAGGAUAGCUGGUUAGCAAGGAGCAGCACCAGCGACCCGAGUACAUCCGAACCUAGAGAUGGAAACGGGAAACCGCGCCGUAACAAAGAACAACAUGGAAUCAAGGACAACAGCCCAACGAGUACCAAAGUCAAUGCCGGAUUCAAAAGCUCUCGGCAAAAUCAGAAAAAGCCGCCGCCCAAAGAUGACAGGGACGAGCCGUCUAACCUCAACAAAAUCAUGGAUAAAAUAUGUCAAGUCCACAGCACCCCCGGGAGGCCUGCAAACCACACCCACAGAGAUUGUUGGGUUUUCAAGCAGUCCGGCAAACUCAAUGUCGAACACAAGGGGCUCGACGCACCAAGCGAGGAUGACGACGCGCCCCACAAGCAGAACACCGAAGAACAAAAGAAGUUCCCACAAGAAGUCAAAUUAGUGAAUUCACUUCAUAUGACAAAAGGGCAAAACAGAACGACGCUUAUGAAGACACGCGCCACACAGCCAGCCCCAGAGGAGCACCACCACUGGUUGUUACAACCAAUCACCUUUGACCAUCGGGAUUACUCCAGAGGGGACCGGAACGCAGGCUGGACUGCCUUGCUCUUGAAUCCGGUUAUUAACGGACUACAAUUUACACGAGUCCUUAUGGACGGCGGCAGUGACUUAAACCUGUUAUAUCAGGACACAAUCCACAAACUAGGGGUAAACCCAGCGCUAAUACACCGCGGCAAAACUUCCUUUCGAGGAGCCACGCCGGGCCCAGAUACCCAGACUAUGGGUUCCCUUUCAUUAGAAGUCAAGUUCGGCUCACCCGACAACUUCCGAAUCGAAAAGCUAACCUUCCACAUCGCCCCAUUCGUAAGUCGCUAUCAAGCGCUACUGGGACAUGAAGCUUUCGCCCGCUUUAACGCAAUAUCACACUAUGCAGCCCUUACACUUAAAAUGCCCGGCCCACAAGGCAUCAUCUCAUCACAAGGGAAUUGACCCCCAAAACACGGGUAAGGGUGCGGCCGCCUGGACAGCUGCACACUAAUCUAGCCUGGACACGGCUAGACGAGUCCGGCGUCAACACACAUGGACAUAAUAGCUGCACAACCCUGUACAAGGGGCUCCGUGUGUUCACGCCAGGAGACAAUGCGGCUCUCUUCUUGCUCCAACUAUAUCCUAUUUAUUUUAAUAUAGAUUUCUCGCACGCCUCUUUACUAAAGUUCCUCUUUUUCACAGACGAACACCGUGUUACGCCCGUCCAGGAUACGGCACAACGGAGAUACAGGCGCAGACGUGCAGUAGGGACCCGUUCUAAGGAUUCUUUUCAGUUUAAGACCCUGCGUAAACCUUUUUUACUGUCUCUUGUUGAAAACAUCCCCGGUUUUUCAUCAUAACCGAGGAGGAGACUGGCGUUUUGGCAUGUGGCCACGCCAGAAUUUUGCGCGUACCUGGACACAAGGGGCUUUCUUACCAAGGGCUCUGUUUCGGCCCGUCUUCAUAAAGACCGAAUACCUUAGGGAUUGUUCGGCGUCGCGAGUUAGGCCUUAUAUGCAUCAGCUCUGAAUCAUGUCUUUGGUCAAAUGUUGGGUUUGCCCGGCUCCUGUGUUUUGCUGCCUUACAUUCCGUUAUAUCGGCUAACGCGGCACCAGGAGAACUACUGCGAUUAUGCCCCGGCUCAGCCAGGCGAGCACCUCAGUAGAGAAAGCCGAAAACUGACUAUCAUGAUAUAGUGAGAGACUGGUCAACCACUCGAUGACUCUCGGAAUCUCUAGAAUUCCUCCGCAUUAAAGAAGGACCGCUUCCCGGUCAGGCACACACGCGCCCCAGAUUCGGGAGAGCGCGGUGCCUCUAGGGGCUAUUAAGUAGCCCCAAUGUCAAACUCCUAUGGCUAAGUGAAAGUGAUAAAGCAUUAUAGUCCGGUUGCCUCAUUCGCCAUGCCAUCACCUCCUUUGUAGGACCAAGACGUUGGAUUAAGUGUGAAAAGGCGCAUUUUUUGCGAACACCACCGCAUUAUAUGCGUGGGGGCUGAAGCCAACGACUGCCAUCUUUCAGGUUAUAUACACAUAUACAUUAACAGCCGCACAUGAGGUGUUAUAAUUCUUACAAGCACAAGUAUAAAAAGCUUUUAUAUUCUAUCAAAAUAUUUCUUUUACAAUAGCACCUGCUAUUCGAACAAAACAUCCUUCGAGCACUGCGCUUCUAUUAAACGAGCCCUCAAGGAAGUGCUCGGCAGAUACCCGACCUUCGUCCGAAUCCUGGGAUGCGACAACACUGGCCUGCAUAUCAGCCCAGUAUGUCUUGACACGGGCAAAAGCCAUUCGUGCACCCUCUAUACACGCCGACCUCUUCAGUACAUCGACAUGCGGCAUAGAACCAAGGAACUGAUGCACCAAUCCAAAGUAACUUUUCGGCUCCGGCUCCCUCGGCCACAAACGACUCGCGACAUACUUCAUGGCGAGUCCGGACAACCUGUUCAGCUCCGCAAAGGCAGCCAAAUGGUCGAGUACCGAAAGCGGGCGCUCUGGCUUGUGGAACUGCGACCAGAACAGUUCUUCCAAAUUAUGGUCGCCUGGUCCUCGGAAGUGUUCGGUUGUGUCAGCCGCACUCGCUGGCACAUCCAGAUAAGUGUUUUCCACACUCCACUGACAGUCUAACGGAGCAUACUUAGGAUCCCCGAACUUCAUCCGCAGCAUAUAGGGCUUUCCAGCCGUGAUAUCCCCGGCCUGACGCAGCUCCUCCUUCAUAGCUCUCAUCGCAGAGCGAGCAUCCUUGACCUUGGUAGUGAUCUUCUCAAGGUCCUUCUGAGCCGCCCCUUUUUCUUGUUCGAGAAAUUCACAGCGGUCGGCAGCAUCCUUCAAUUUUACAACCAUCUCGGCUAUUGCCUUCUUACUCUGGCAGUGAGCAGCCUGUUCGGCUUCAGCUCUUCAGCCGCCUUAACGGCCGCCGCAUCACUUUUUCUUGCUUGCUCCUUGGCUCGGGCAAGUUCCGCCCGAAGAAUCUCCACGGAAGCAGCACUAUCUGCAAUAAGCAUAUAUAUAUAUAUAUAUAUACUGUAAGAAACGAGCAUCGAACUCCUCUUAUCAGAUAUCUGUGGAGUAUACCUUGUGCCUCGUCUAGCCGCUUAUUUACAAGCGCGAUGUCGGCAUCUGCCACGUCCAGUUGCCGCUUUAACUCGGUAGAUUCAUCAGUCCGGCUAGCCACCGAACACCUCGCCACCUUCGUAAAAAGGUCACAUUUUAUACCCGGGGUUUUGAUCCUCUGUGCGCAUUCACUCUUGACGACACACAGAGUCCCAGGGGCUACUAUUUAUACAGGGCGCAUUCUAUGCGACUGUCACGACCGGUUUUUCAAUAAAAAUAUUUAUUGAGAAACCAAUCUUUUGAGUCCAGUAUGAGAGAAAUCCUCCUCACUGGUACACAAAUUCUUGAUACAAUAAGCCAGUAGCAUAAAAUAUAUUACAGGGUCGAACUACGGUUGUUCAACCAAAUUAUUACAAGCACGCCAAUAAAUAUACAUAUUGGCGGACAUGACACAGUGGUGUGGAGGCAUACUACUGACUCGAGGAUAGGGCGGUGGUGGAAAAACACAGCGGGGAGAGAGAUACAAGUCUCUAAAACUGUCAUCUCAUCGAGCGUCGAGGUGAGACUCGAUGAAUUUAUUUGGUAGUGGAAGCGGAUAUAAUACAGUAACCAAAUCCAGGGUCGUACGAGACUGACUGGGACUCCUCUAGGCGUCGGACUCGCUAUCAAAUUCUUCAUCCAUGAGAUCGCCUUUCUCAGCAUCUGGCCAAAUCAACAAGCCAGCGAGUACUUUGAAAGUACUCGCAAGACAGUUCGGAUGUAAGAUAUAACAAAUGCAUGCAUGAAUGCGUCAUGAUUAAUUCACCAAUGUAUAUUCAAAAAUUAGCAUAACGAGGUAAGUAAAAGGGAAACGGCGGUAGUCCGCCUGAAAUCCCACAAAACAUAAAUGAAGACCGAUCGGGUGUCUGAAGCGACGCCUCGAAAGGUGAACAAAUAAAUAUAAGGAAAUGAUGCCACGGUCGGGCGUCUUAGCGACACCACAUAAAGGCUUUAAAAGAAAUGCCGCAGUCGGACGUCGGGGCGACAUCACAGAAAGGGCUUUAAAAGAAAUACCACAGUCGGGCGUCUUAGCGACACCAUAUAAAGGGUUUUAAAAGAAAUGCCACAGNNNNNNNNNNNNNNNNNNNNNNNNNNNNNNNNNNNNNNNNNNNNNNNNNNNNNNNNNNNNNNNNNNNNNNNNNNNNNNNNNNNNNNNNNNNNNNNNNNNNNNNNNNNNNNNNNNNNNNNNNNNNNNNNNNNNNNNNNNNNNNNNNNNNNNNNNNNNNNNNNNNNNNNNNNNNNNNNNNNNNNNNNNNNNNNNNNNNNNNNNNNNNNNNNNNNNNNNNNNNNNNNNNNNNNNNNNNNNNNNNNNNNNNNNNNNNNNNNNNNNNNNNNNNNNNNNNNNNCCACAGUCGGGCGUCUUAGCGACACCACAUAAAGGGCUUUAAAAGAAAUGCCACAGUCGGACGUCGGGGCGACAUCACAGAAAGGGCUUUAAAAGAAAUACCACAGUCGGGCGUCUUAGCGACACCUCAUAAAGGGCUUGAAAAGAAAGUAAAAUACAACAAUGCCACAGUCGGACGUCUGAGCGACAUCGCAGAAAGGGCUCUUAUUCACAAGUGAAUAAUAUUCAUAAUAAACAUUCAAUUUAUGAGAAUAAAUGGGUUAGUCCAUUCACAGGAAUAAUCAUUUAACCGGACUUAGCACUCAUGCGAUUCACCGGAGUCUCUGUCAUCAAAACUGACAUUUGAUCGGGAUAAGAUAAUAUCGAUCUUGGACAUGGAAUAGAUGAUUUGGAGGAAUAUAUGACUCUGUAGAGUUUUUACAAAAUUUUUCCCACAGCCAACGGAUUUCCGUAGUCCCGAAGGACUAGUUCCGUUUACGGUUUUUCGGGAGAAAACACAGCUAACCAGUACACACCCAUUCUACCUUUCGACGCUAGGAAUCACCCUAGACAUCGUCCAAGAAAAACUUUUGAGACGGGGAGAUCACAAUCUCGAAUAGCAUGGGAUCAAAUUUAUAUACGCGCGCUCUAAGGGGUGCCCCCCUCUCGGUCCCAACCGGAAACACCCAUGCCCCCUGACCGGAUGACUGGCUUUAAUCCAGGGCCAUGGAACCAUCAUCACGGCCUCUCCUUUUUGGUGUGUACCAGGAAAGCGGUUUACAACUUACUAAGUUACGGAAAACCUGUGGUAGUACAAGGAAGGAAGAAUGGAAGGAACUGGAAUGAUACGAGUUGACAUUGAAGUCACAUAGUCUGGCAUAAGCCUAGCAUGCUACAACACUGCCAUCUUACCCAUCCUCAUGCCAACACAUGGCCAUGCAUACUCACAUCCAUCCACUCAUGGAACUCACUUGCCUCAUCGUCUCAGGUAACAGGACAUUCAUCGGUAUGUUCAUCAACAUGCCAUAAACUACUUAAUGCAAACAUGCCAAAACAAUCAUCAUAUCAAAAGCUCAAACAUGCUUGCCUGGUUCGGAGUAGUCGGAGCCUAGCUCGGUGAAGUUCGCGGCUCCGUCACCUCCUUCGGUAUCUACGGUAUAAAGAACAUAUAUGCGCUAUCGUAAAUACCAAGAGGUGCACAAAAAGUAUUCCAAAUAUUUUUCAAAUAAAUCUGAUAAAAAACUAGACAAAAUUUUAAAGAGGACAGAAAAAGAAUCAAUCAAAAAUACUUUUCUGUUUAAAAGUUAUAAAGGUUUUUGUCCAGGGACUCAUCUGUAAUGAAACAGAAAGUUCCCAGGGGCUAGCUUAUAAAAAUAGAAAACGUUCCAGUCUUGAAUACGCCAGCCCAGAGGGGAAAGCGUAUUUUGCCCGAAGGCGCUUCCAGAAACCGAUUCACUUAGAAAUGACAGAGAGGCUGACGGUGGGGUCCCACUCGUCAGGUUUAAACUUUCAAAUGGGAGGGACGAGGCUCGUCGGCGCCCGAGGGCUGCGGUGGUUGCCGGCGGCGAUCCACGGCGAGGUAAGGGGAUCGGAGGUUACCAACAUGCUCACCGUGUCCUUCCGCAACGGUGGGUGGUGGUGUUGGUUGCCGGGGAGCACCACGUCGACGGCGGUCUCAACUCCGGCGGACGGUGGUUCGGGCGUGGAUGGAGCUCGUCGGAGAGAGCUGCGAAGGACAAAUUGAUGCUGGCGUUAGCUUACUGGGUGCUAGAGUGAGUAACUGACGGGGUUUGGGCGCCUGAGACGGUCUCACCGGAGCGAAUCGUGGUGGAGGCCGAGGCGGAUCGGGGCGGCCGGAGUUGGGGGAGGAGACCUCCUCGAGGUCCUCCGGGUGGCUUGGCAGAGCUUUGGUGAGGUGUAGAGGUGGUGCGUGCUCGAGGGUGAGCUCGGGGGCCCUUUUUAUAGGCGGCCCGAGGCGGUGGCCGUGAACGGGGGUCUCCGGUGAAGGUUACGGCGGCGCAGGGCUUGGUCGGGGGUAAUUAGGACGUUGGGCGUCAUUGUGGAGGUCCACGGUUCCGUUUAGGUGCUAAUCGAGCUGGGAUUUGGUGCUAUGGGCGAAUUCGACAGAACGGGGCGGCGCGGGCCCGUCGGCGACAGUGAGCACGUCCCGUGCUUGCCGGGCCACGGUGACGGUGCCACGGGCGUGCACUGGCAUGCAUGAGGCCACGCGGAGGGCAGAGGGGCGUUGGGCAGCGCCGAACGGCGUUGAGCCGCCGUUCCGUCCCCUGUUGGCUGCUACGGGGGUUCGGCCACCGCAAGACACGCCGGCGCGGGCGGCCAAGGGCGCCACCGACGCCGGGAAGACGCCAAGCGCGCGUGCGGGGGUGCUGGCCAGGGAGAAGAAGCCGCGUGCAACGCGCCAAGCGCACUGUCCACGCGUGAUUGAAACUGACGGACGAAAAUAAACUGAAUCUUUCUGAAUAUGAACAGCAACAGUGCACGCCAAGUGUUCGACAGAAUGAUCUAGGCAUGUAGGGAUUUUUCCUUGAGCUGAUUUUUGGUGGAGUGGCUUCUCAUUGCUCCAGUAGGCUGCCUGAUUUUUGGUGAAUUUUUUGGAGAAGUGUAGGUAUGAAUUUCACCAAAUUUGGCAAAUCUGGUCCAAACUUGCAGAGACUGAAUUUUGAAAAAUUUGAAAAGAGAAGGAGUGGAUCAAGAUAGUUCUGGGUUGUGGGUACAAAGGACUUUCCAGGAGAGUUGGUUUGAGGUCAAAACUCAAAUGCAAAAGGGUACUUGCUUUGAAAAACUCUCAGGCUCCAAAUAAUUUUCAGAAAUGAUUUGAGUGAAAAGAAAAUUAGGAAAAAAUCCAAAACUUGCUUGGAUUAGUUGGGACAGAGAACUUAGGUUGAUUACAAGGAGGAGGGGAGGUUUUGGAGGGGUUUUACCACAUGGACAAAAUACAAAGUCAUGGGUAGUUUUCAAGAUAUGAAAAUCCCAAGUUUUCAUAGAGUUUCUUUUUAAAAGAAAAAGAUUAAACUCCCAAAAUAAAUUUGAGAGGGAACCAACAGAGAAGAAGUUUCAAAAGAUCAAACACCAUAGCUUGAAUAAAAAUAAAAACCUUGCCAAAGAAAAGGAAGUUUUUAAGAGGAAGGUUUUCUGGAAAAAAAUUUAAAUGGCCUCUUUUCAAAAACCACAAAGUUUUUGCUGAAAACCAAAUAAAAAUUUUUGGAGUGUCACAACACCUACCCCCUUAGGAAAAAUCUCGUCCCCAAGAUUUCAACUGUUCCUCAAAUAAGUGUGGAUGCUCUGUCCGAAGAAAAUCCUCUCUUUCCCAAGUUGCUUCGCUUUCGGUGUGGUUGCUCCACUGAACUCUGAAAAACUUGAUGGUCUUCUGUCGGGUCCUCCUUUCAGACUCCUCUAAUAUUUUUACUGGGCGUUCCCAAUAAGUGAGGUCUGGCUGUACGUCAAUGUUCUCAUGGGAUACUUGCUUCUCUGGUUUGCUUACGCACUUCCUUAAUUGAGAGACGUAUAACACGUCGUGAAUGUCGGACAAGUCUUCGGGUAAGUCUAGCUGGUAGGCUACAGUGCCUCUUCGUGCCACUAUGCAGAAUGGUCCAAUGAAUCUUGGUGCUAACUUUCCUUUAAUCUUAAACCGUUGAAGUCCCCUCAUAGGUGAUACUCGUAGGUACACGAAUUCACCGGGUUCAAAAUUUACCCCACGAUGUUUCUGAUCGUAAUAACUCUUCUGUCGGCUUUGAGCGGUCUUGAGUCGGUCCCUGAUUAGCUUGACUUUUUCCUCGGCUUCUUUGAGCACGUCUGGGCCGAAGAUACGGCUGUCUCCAGUCUCUGACCAAUGUAGCGGGGUACGACAUCUCCGUCCGUAUAGGGCUUCAAAAGGAGCCAUUUGCAGGCUGGUCUGGUAACUGUUGUUGUAUGCGAACUCGGCAUAUGGCAGGCUUUCUUCCCAACUGGUUCCAUAGGUGAGGACACAUGCUCUCAGCAUGUCUUCUAAAACCUGGUUUACGCGUUCUGUUUGUCCAUCAGUCUGUGGGUGGUAUGCGAUACUGAAGGCUAGUUGGGUUCCCAGAGCCUGUUGUAAAUGCUCCCAAAAUCUUGAGACGAACUGAGUGCCUCUGUCGGAUAUUAUAGUCUUCGGGACACCGUGCAGACAAACUAUGCGGGAAAGAUAAAUCCUGGCAAGCCUCUGAGUGGUGUGGGUCAUCUUUAUUGGAAUAAAGUGUGCCACUUUGGUUAACCUGUCCGUGAUGACCCAUAUGGCAUCAUUCCCGUGUCGUGACCGAGGUAGUCCGACAAUGAAAUCCAUCUCUAUUUCAUCCCAUUUCCACUCAAGUAUUUUGUUCGGUUGCAGUAGUCCGGCUGGUCUCUGAUGCUCAGCUUUUAUGCGUUGACAUGAGUCGCAACAUGCAAUGAAGGUGGCUAUGUCCCUCUUCAUACUGUGCCACCAAAAUCUUUCCUGAAUAUCUUUAUACAUUUUGGUUCCUCCAGGGUGGAUCAAGUACGGGGCGGUGUGGUAUUCAGCUAAAAUUUGCUGUUUAAGGUCUUCUAUGUUUGGCACGCAGAGCCUUUCUCCGUACCAUAAUAUUCCUUCAUUGUCUAUGACGAAUUCCGAGGCCUUGCCCACACUCAACUUUCUUUUGAUGCCUUCGAUGUUGGUGUGACCGGGCUGAGCUCCUUUAAUUUUCGCCACAAGGUCGGGUUGUAUUUCCAAGUUUGAUAUGGUGCCUUCUGCUACCAUUAUCAAGUUGAGCUUGGCAAAUUCUUGUUGGAAUUCGGGCCUCAAGCUGUGCAGAUUGUUUUCGUCGGAGCUGGGGUUCCGACUAAGGGCAUCGGCCACUACAUUUGCUUUCCCUGGAUGGUAAUGGAUACCAACAUCAUAAUCCUUUACCAACUCCAACCAACGUCGUUGCCGUAAGUUUAGUUCUGGUUGUGUGAAAAUAUAUUUGAGACUUUUGUGAUCCGUAUAUAUUUCACAUCGAUUCCCAAGUAAGAAAUGCCUCCAUUCCUUGAGUGCAUGAAUAACUGCUGCCAUUUCUAAGUCAUGAGUGGGAUAAUUUUCCUCAUGCUUGCGAAGUUGCCUUGAAGCGUAGGCGACAAUCUUGCCUUCCUACAUCAACACGCAUCCGAGACCCUUUCUGGACGCGUCACAAUAUACUUCAAAAUUCUUGUGUAUGUCGGGUACAAUUAAUACCGGUGCUGUCGUUAACUUCCGCUUUAGUUCUUGGAAACUUUUCUUGCAGGCUUCUGUCCAUUCAAACUUCUUAUCUUUCUUGAGUAACUGCGUCAUAGGCUUGGCUAUGGUGGAGAAUCCUUCAAUAAAUCUGCGGUAAUAUCCUGCCAUUCCCAAGAAACUCCGUAUGUCCGUAACGCUGGCUGGUGACUUCCAGCCAAGUACGGCCUUGACUUUCUUUGGGUCGACUGCGAUACUGUCUUGGGUCAGUACGUGGCCUAGAAAGCCUACUUGUCUUAGCCAAAAUUCGCACUUGCUGAACUUGGCAUACAAUUGGUGUUUUCUGAGCUCUCCUAGCACAAUCCUGAGAUGUUCUGCGUGCUCUUCUGGUGUCUUGGAGUAUACCAGAAUAUCAUUCAUGAAUACCACGACGAACUUGUCCAUAAACUUCAUAAAUACUUUGUUCAUGAGGUGAACAAAAUAUGCUGGGGCGUUAGUUAAUCCAAAUGGCAUCACUGUGAACUCGUACAGUCCAUAUCUGGAGGUGAAGGCUGUUUUGGGGAUAUCUUCCGUUCGUACCUUCAAUUGAUGGUAUCCUGACUUUAAGUCAAUUUUUGAGAAUACCUUGGCCUGAGCGAGUUGAUCAAACAAAUCGUUUAUCCUUGGCAUCAGGUAUUUGUUUUUGACUGUGACCAUGUUAAGUGCUCGAUAGUCAAUACACAAUCUCAGCGUUCCAUCCUUCUUUUUGGCAAAUAAAAUUGGUGAUCCCCAAGGUGAGGAGCUGGCUCGAAUGUAUCCUUUGUCUAGCAAUUCCCUUAUUUGUUUCUUCAACUCAACUAAUUCGGAUGGUGCCAUUCGGUACGGUUUCUUGUAUAUGGGGGUGGUUCCUGGUGCGAGCUCAAUGCUGAAUUCUAUCUCUCGGUCUGGUGGCAUGCCUGGUAGCUCUUCAGGGAAUACAUCUGGAAAUUCACACACUACUGGAACCUUGUUUAGCUCAGAAACGUCCACCUUAUUUAAUCUCGGUUGCCGGGGUAUUUUUCCUUCCUUGGCUGAUACUCUUAUUGUCUUCCCUUGGUGGUGUGUGAGAAUUACGGUCCUGUUGAAACAGUCGAUAAACCCCUUGUUGGUGGUUAGCCAAUCCAUCCCUAGGAUGACAUCCAGUCCUUUAUUUUCCAACACAAUAAGAUUUGCGUGAAACUCCAAUCCUUCGAACUCAAUGACCACAUUCUGACAGUAAUUCUGGGUAACUUGCUGAAUCCCAGGGGACUUGAUGAUCAUGGAUUUCUCCAAAGGAAGCAUCGAAAAAUUAUUUUGCAAAGCAAAACUUUUCGAAAUGAAAGAGUGAGAAGAUCCAGAAUCAAACAAAACCAUUGCAGGUAUUGUGUUGACAGGAAACGUACCGAGUACGAUAUCCAGAGCAUUUUGUGCCUCCUCUUUGGUUACGUGGUUCAGAUGACCCUUCCUGUGGUUAUUGUUGGGAUUGAAAUUGUUUCGCUUGGGCGCUGAAUUGUUGCCGCCGUUGUUCGGCUUUGGGGUUGAGUUCCUUGGCUUGGGGCACUGUUUGGCAUAGUGCCCUUCUUCUCCACAAGCGUAACAAGUAACGCCGGGGCGAUAGGUGAAUUCCUUGUCCCUUGCAUGAAAAUUCUUGAUUGGGCGUGAGACAUUGGAUGAGGAUUUGUGUGUCCCACCCUUUUGAAAAUCCGUCCUGCUUCGGUGAUUGCGAGCAUGGUUAGUCUGAUCCCUUUUUCGCUUGCGGAUAUCUUCCAGACUGCGUCUCUCAUUUUCCAGAGUAAUGGCUUUGUCCACCAGUGUUUUAAAAUCAGGAAAAGUGUGCACGACCAGUUGGCAUCUAAGCGCGGGCGCCAGACCGUCAAGGAAUUUCUCCAUCUUCUUGCUUUCAGUCAUACGUUCUUCAUUGGCAUAGCGGGAGAAUAGAGUAAAUUGACCGUUGUAUUCCGACACUGUCAUGUUCCUUUGUUUGAGGUCAUCGAACUCUCUCUUCUUAAUUUUCAUAAUACUCUUGGGAAUGUGUGCACCACGGAAACCUUCCUUGAAAUCAUCCCAGGUUAUAUCAUUUUCGUUGGGGUGCAUGUGCAGAAAAUUCUCCCACCAUGAUGCAGCUGCUCCUGUGAGAUAGUGCGGAGCAUAUAGUACUUUCUCAAGAUCUGAACAUUUUGCAAUAAUUAAUUUUCUCUCCAUAUCUCGAAGCCAAUCCUCGGCUUCAAGAGGCUUGUCAGUAUGAGAAAAUGUUUGAGGACGUGUCUUCUGUAGCUCAGAUAACUUGGAAUGCUGCUGAUACUAUCCAUGGUGAUUUCCCAUGUUGAUGACUUGGUUCAUCAUUUCACGAUGUUGUUGCUGACUCUGUUCAUAAAGGCGGCACAUUUGGGAAAGUGCCGUUUCACUGUUCUGUUGACUCGACUGCCCUUGUGUGAAAUUGUUGCCUGGUUGAGUGUCAUAAUCUUCCUCUGGCGGAGUAGGCAUGGAGCGAGUCCAAGGACGAGACAUUUUUCACUCUGGGGAUAUAUUUUGUUAAAACUCAUAAGAAAAGCGAAGAUGGUCGCAAAAACAAAUCCAAAAUUGCACAAGGAUGGCAAAUAAUUUAAAUGACCAAGAUCACUUAAGAAAACAAAUCGAAUUGCGCACGGAGAAGGACUGCUCAUUACAUAUCUUACACGCGGGCGAUAAUUAUACAAUACAUCACUCAGGAUAUGCGUACAUAAUCCUGACAUGUUAUUUAGGCUAGUGCACUUCUCCAGAUCCUACAUGAUGCGCAAACAGGCUACUUCUCACAACCUAUGCACAUAUAAACAUAUCAUACAAGGCGGUACAUUACAUGGUGGCUAAGCGUACUCAGGCGGAGAUGUUGACGACCUCCUUUGCCCUGCCGAGGAUGAGGCGUAGCGAGGUUGGGGACUCGACUUCUUCCUCGCUAAUAGGCUCCAUACGUGUAGUGUUGCGCAGAGUGGACGGAGCGGUUGCCAGGGGCGGAACAACACGAACAGGAGUGGGCGCGAAGGGUGGUGCAGUGCGCGCUGGAGUGGGUGCAAUGACUUGGUUGAAUUCUUCGGUAGAAGGUAGGCGACGAGUAGGCGUAUAAGAUGCUGAGGACGAGACCAAAGUCAGUGGCGGUGCGGUGGGUAGGAGCUCCCUCCUGUUGGCAGCACAGCCAUGAACUGAGUCCAUGCGGGCAGCCACGAAGUCGUCCGCCAGGUUGUCGAAGGCUGCCUCCAGGGCCCGGAGAUACUCAAUGAGCAUCUCAAAAGCCUCGUCUCGUUCUCCUCUGGGGCAGGAGUAUGCGUAGUGACAGGUGUAAGGCACAUGGCACGGAAGAUAACGGUAACGACGAGUCUUCAUCACGGGGAGGACAUCCCUGAGACGAGCUAUCGCCUCGCGGGCUGCCAUCUGCAUAGCAUGCCUCUCCGUAGGCAUGGCUCUUCCCAAGAACCGGAAGCGGCGUAACUCACCAUGCCCUCCCUUGAACUGCACCACGGCCUGGUGCAUGGUCAGACUGUCGUUGACUCGGUGCUGGCAGAGUGUGAAGACUGGGCGCACAAAUGGCCCCAUCGCGACCUGAACGAUGAAGGAAAGAAGCUUGACGAACCCAUCGGGCACGUUGGCAAAGGUCUGAGACUCGCAGCUGUUGUCGGCCAUCUACAAAAGUAGGCAAAAAUUCUGCAUGGUCAGAUCAUAAAUUUAUGCUGACUGACAGAAAAUGACUACAAUCAAGAAAAUAUGGAAAGGCUCAAUCAUGCUAAUAACCAAUUAGCAAUCGCACCUAGUGGCUUCCUACAGUCUGCCUGGCUCUGGUACCAAGCUUGUCACGACCGGUUUUCCAAUAAAGAUAUUUAUUGAGAAACCAAUCUUUUGAAUCCAGUAUGAGAGAAAUCCUCCUCACUGGUAGACAAAUUCUUGAUACAAUAAGCCAGUAGCAUAAAAUAUAUUACAGGGUCGAACUACGGUUGUUCAACCAAAUUAUUACAAGCACGCUAAUAAAUAUACAUAAUGGCGGACAUGACACAGUGGUGUGGAGGCAUACUACUGACUCAAGGAUAGGGCGGUGGUGGAAAAACACAGCGGGGAGAGAGAUACACGUCUCUAAAACUGUCAUCUCAUCGAGCGUCGAGGUGAGGCUCGAUGAAUUUAUUUGGUAGCGGAAGCGGAUAUAAUACAGUGACCAAAUCCAGGGUCGUACGAGACUGACUGGGACUCCUCUAGGCGUCGGACUCGCUAUCAAAUUCUUCAUCCAUGAGAUCGCCUUCGUCAGCAUCUGGCCAAAUCAACAAGCCAGUGAGUACUUUGAAAGUACUCGCAAGACAGUUCGGACGUAAGAUAUAACAAAUGCAUGCAUGAAUGCGUCAUGAUUAAUUCACCAAUGUAUAUUCAAAAAUUAGCAUAACGAGGUAAGUAAAAGGGAAACGGCGGUAGUCCGCCUGAAAUCCCACAAAACAUAAAUGAAGACCGAUCGGGUGUCUGAAGCGACGCCUCGAAAGGUGAACAAAUAAAUAUAAGGAAAUGAUGCCACAGUCGGGCGUCUUAGUGACACCACAUAAAGGGCUUUAAAAGAAAUGCCACAGUCGGACGUCGGGGCGACAUCACAGAAAGGGCUUUAAAAGAAAUACCACAGUCGGGUGUCUUAGCGACACCACAUAAAGGGUUUUAAAAGAAAUGCCACAGUCGGACGUCGGGGCGACAUCACANNNNNNNNNNNNNNNNNNNNNNNNNNNNNNNNNNNNNNNNNNNNNNNNNNNNNNNNNNNNNNNNNNNNNNNNNNNNNNNNNNNNNNNNNNNNNNNNNNNNNNNNNNNNCAGAAAGGGCUUUAAAAGAAAUACCACAGUCGGGCGUCUUAGCGACACCACAUAAAGGGCUUUAAAAGAAAUGCCACAGUCGGACGUCGGGGCGACAUCACAGAAAGGGCUUUAAAAGAAAUAUCACAGUCGGGCGUCUUAGCGACACCACAUAAAGGGCUUGAAAAGAAAGUAAAAUACAACAAUGCCACAGUCGGACGUCUGAGCGACAUCGCAGAAAGGGCUUUUAUUCACCAGUGAAUAAUAUUCAUAAUAAACAUUCAAUUUAUGAGAAUAAAUGGGUUAGUCCAUUCACAGGAAUAAUCAUUUAACCGGACUUAGCACUCAUGCGAUUCACCGGAGUCUCUGUCAUCAAAACUGACAUUUGAUCAGGAUAAGAUAAUAUCGAUCUUGGACAUGGAAUAGAUGAUUUGGAGGAAUAUAUGACUCUGCAGAGUUUGUACAAAAAUUUUCCCACAGCCAACGGAUUUCCGUAGUCCCGAAGGACUAGUUCCGUUUACGGUUUUUCGGGAGAAAACACAGCUAACCAGUACACACCCAUUCUACCUCUCGACGCUAGGAAUCACCCUAGACAUCGUCCAAGAAAAACUUUUGAGACGGGGAGAUCACAAUCUCGAAUAGCAUGGGAUCAAAUUUAUAUACGCGCGCUCUAAGGGGUGCCCCCCUCUCGGUCCCAACCGGAAACACCCAUGCCCCCUGACCGGAUGACUGGCUUUAAUCCAGGGCCAUGGAACCAUCAUCAUGGCCUCUCCUUUUUGGUGUGUACCAGGAAAGCGGUUUACAACUUACUAAGCCAUAUUCCUUACGGAAAACCUGUGGUAGUACAAGGAAGGAAGAAUGGAAGGAACUGGAAUGAUACGAGUUGACAUUGAAGUCACAUAGUCUGGCAUAAGCCUGGCAUGCUACAACACUGCCAUCUUACCCAUCCUCAUGCCAACACAUGGCCAUGCAUACUCACAUCCAUCCACUCAUGGAACUCACUUGCAUCAUCGUCUCAGGUAACAGGACAUUCAUCGGUAUGUUCAUCAACAUGCCAUAAACUACUUAAUGCAAACAUGCCAAAACAAUCAUCAUAUCAAAAGUUCAAACAUGCUUGCCUGGAUCGGAGUAGUCGGAGCCUAGCUCGGUGAAGUUCGCGGCUCCGUCACCUCCUUCGGUAUCUACGGUAUAAAGAAAAUAUAUGUGCUAUCGUAAAUACCAAGAGGUGCACAAAAAGUAUUCCAAAUAUUUUUCAAAUAAAUCUGAUAAAAAACUAGACAAAAUUUUAAAGAGGACAGAAAAGGAAUCAAUCAAAAAUACUUUUCUGUUUAAAAGUUAUAAAGGUUUUUGUCCAGGGACUCAUCUGUAAUGAAACAGAAAGUUCCCAGGGGCUAGCUUAUAAAAACAGAAAACGUUCCAGUCUUGAAUACGCCAGCCUGAAGGGGAAAGCGUAUUUUGCCCGAAGGCGCUUCCAGAAAAUGAUUCACUUAGAAAUGACAGAGAGGCUGACGGUGGGGUCCCACUCGUCAGGUUUAAACUUUCAAAUGGGAGGGACGAGGCUCGUCGGCGCCCGAGGGCUGCGGUGGUCGCCGGCGGCGAUCCACGGCGAGGUAAGGGGAUCGGAGGUUACCAACGUGCUCACCGUGUCCUUCCGCAACGGUGGGUGGUGGUGUUGGUCGCCGGGGAGCACCACGACGAUGGCGGUCUCAACUCCGGCGGACGAUGGUUCGGGCGUGGAUGGAGCUCGUCGGAGAGAGCUGUGAAGGACAAAUUGAUGCUGGCGUUAGCUUACUGCGUGCUAGAGGGAGUAACUGGCGGGGUUUGGGCGCCGGAGACGGCCUCACCGGAGCGAAUCGUGGUGGAGGCCGAGGCGGAUCGGGGCGGCCGGAGUUGGGGGAGGAGACCUCCUCGAGGUCCUCCGGGUGGCUUGGCAGAGCUUUGGUGAGGUGUAGAGGUGGUGCGUGCUCGAGGGUGAGCUCGGGGGCCCUUUUUAUAGGCAGCCCGAGGCGGUGGCCAUGAACGGGGGUCUCCGGUGAAGGUUACGGCGGCGCAGGGCUUGGUCGGGGGUAAUUAGGACAUUGGGCGUCAUCGUGGAGGUCCACGGUUCCGUUUAGGUGCUAAUCGAGCUGGGAUUUGAUGCUAUGGGUGAAUUCGACAGAACGGGGCGGCGCGGGCCCGUCGGCAGCAGUGAGCACGUCCCGUGCUUGCCGGGCCACGGUGACGGUGCCACAGGCGUGCGCUGGCAUGCAUGAGGCCACGCGGAGGGCAGAGGGGCGUUGGGCGGCGCCGAACGGCAUUGAGCCGCCGUUCCGUCCCCUGUCGGCUGCUACGGGGGUUCGGCCGCCGCAAGACACGCCGGCGCGGGCGGCCAAGGGCGCCACCGACGCCGGGAAGACGCCAAGCGCGCGUGCGGGGGUGCUGGCCAGGGAGAAGAAGCCGCGUGCAACGCGCCAAGCGCAUUGUCUACGCGUGAUUGAAACUGACGGACGAAAACGACACCGAAAACUGAAUCUUUCUGAAUAUGAACAGCAACAGUGCACGCCAAGUGUUCGACAGAAUGAUCUAGGCAUGUAGGGAUUUUUCCUUGAGCUGAUUUUUGGUGGAGUGGCUUCUCAUUGCUUCAGUAGGCUGCCUGAUUUUUGGUGAAUUUUUUGGAGAAGUGUAGGUAUGAAUUUCACCAAAUUUGGCAAAUCUGGUCCAAACUUGCAGAGACUGAAUUUUGAAAAAUUUGAAAAGAGAAGGAGUGGAUCAAGAUGGUUCUGGGUUGUGGGUACAAAGUACUUUCCAGGAGAGUUGGUUUGAGGUCAAAACUCAAAUGCAAAAGGGUACUUGCUUUGGAAAACUCUCAGGCUCCAAAUAAUUUUCAGAAAUGAUUUGAGUGAAAAGAAAAUUAGGAAAAAAUCCAAAACUUGCUUGGAUUAGUUGGGACAGAGAACUUAGGUUGAAAACAAGGAGGAGGGGAGGUUUUGGAGGGGUUUUACCACAUGGACAAAAUACAAAGUCAUGGGUAGUUUUCAAGAUAUGAAAAUCCCAAGUUUUCAUAGAGUUUCUUUUUAAAAGAAAAAGAUUAAACUCCCAAAAUAAAUUUGAGAGGGAACCAACAGAGAAGAAGUUUCAAAAGAUCAAACACCAUCGCUUGAAUAAAAAUAAAAACCUUGCCAAAGAAAAGGAAGUUUUUAAGAGGAAGGUUUUCUGGAAAAAAAUUUAAAUGGCCUCUUUUCAAAAACCACAAAGUUUUUGCUGAAAACCAAAUAAAAAAUUUUGGAGUGUCACAACGACUCUACCAAUAGGUAUACCUUUUCACAUACCUCAAAGCCUGUCAGUAAACUCCUGGCGUCCUCGUACAAUCCGCUUUCCGCGGAUGCAACCCUUCCUAUCACCAUGUUCAUCAACACACGGUGUUCUUCUGAGACGGAUGCACGCCCGAGCAGAUCCCUCAGCCUCUCCGACCGCGCACCAGAGGGCACCGGACGAGCCCGCGACCUUUUUCAGGAUUCGGACUUGGAGAAACCCGCCGGGACGACACCUCGGGGUCGCCUGCCUCGUAAGUCGGUGCAGCUAGGGGAGGCAUUUCACUCUCUAUCAUCUCCGGACGGAGAUCCCCUGAAGACGAGCUCUGCUGAGAAGGGUCAAGAUCUAAACUGCAAGGUAAUAUUUCGGUUAUCUUCCUCAGAAAUAAAACAGGGAUGCCACUAAUUUUUGAAGCCCCUCUCUUUACUUACGGCUCGGAGGAAAGCUGAUCCCUGUGAGGGCACAAUGCGGCCGGGGCAGUCUCCGGCGCCGGAUCCUCUGACAAAGAUUUCUUCCCCCGUUUCGAGGUCAUCUCCUCCGGGUCUUCAGAGGCACUCCUUUUCUUUCCCAGGUUGGGGGAGUCCGAUUCCUCCCUUCUUGACAGUCUCCUUCGUGGAGGCGGCAGCUCCUUGGUUCCCCUCUUCGCCCUCUGCUGAAAACAUAACCUGCAACAUCCUAGUUAACACGGGAUCUGGCGCGGUCUCGGGCAGGGGGGCUGAACACCUGAUAAGCUUUCCCUUCUCUAUCCACUCCUGUUCAAAGGAUAGCUCUGUCAAAAGGCCGCUUUACAAUGAAAAUACAGAUGGUGUGUCCAAAUAUGGGGCUGCUUACCUUAACAUCUUGGCGAUUGCAGCUCAGACCUGCGUCCUCGGAUAAAUUCGGACAACUAGUUUGUGGUCCGAAGAACAAUUUGUACAUCUCCAUGGGCAUUGCGCCCAUAAAAUGUUGGAGGACUCGCGGUCCUUCCAGAUUAAAUUCCCACAGGCGAAGGGGCCGACGUUUGCAGGGCAGCGUGUGGCGAAUCAGCAUAACUUGCGCCACUAUGGUCAGGUUAAUAUCUCUUUCUAGGAGAUCUCGAAUGCGGCCCUGCAGUAGGGGCACGUCUUUGGACGGACCCCAAAUAAGCCCUUCAUUGACCCAUGAUGCUCGCCGUAGCGGGGGACCCGAGCGAAAAGCAGGAGGCGCCACCCAUGUGGUGCCCCUGGGGGCUGUGAUAUAAAACCAGUCCCGUUGCCAUAAGCCGAACUCUUCUUGGAAAGUGCCCUCAGGCCAUGGAGCGCCGGCUAUCUUGCUUAUGAUAGCUCCUCUGCACUCAGCAUGCUGCCCCUCGAUCAUCUUCGGCUCUACUUUGAAGGUUUUGAGCCACAUUCCGAAGUGGGGGGUGACAUGGAGGAAGGCUUCGCACACUACGACAAACGACGAAAUUUGAAGGAUGGACUCCAGAGCUAGGUCAUGAAAUUCCGGCCUGUAAUAGAACAUCAGCCCCCUCACAAAGGGAUCAAUCAGGAAACCUAACCCUGAAGGAAGUGGGAUGUGAACACCAUGCUCUCACCGGGCUGAGGAGAAGGAAUGGCCUGCCCUUGAGUAGGCAGCCUAUGCGAGAUUUCGCCGGUUAGAUACCUGGCAUCUCUCAGAUUUCGCACGUCUUCUUCCAUAACGGGGGAAGGCACCCACCGGCCUUGAAGGUUGGAGCCGGACAUCGUCGGAGGUCCGAAGCGCCUAAAACUAGAAACCUUGAGUGUUGGAACUCGAGGAAAGGGGCGGAUUUGAUUGGAUUGAAGGAAGAGGGAGUCGAGCCUUGGUCUCUUUAUAAAGGAAUUCAAUACCAAGAGCCCUCCCCGUAACCGUUUGGGACUCACUUUCAAUUAGAGAGUCAUACCAAAAGGCGCAGUUGGGUUACCCACGCCCGUAUUGAUGAGAAUCCCGGGAUAAGGGGACAUGAUCUCUGCUUCAACAAGACGUGCCAAGGAAACCGCCUCGCUAAGCACGCUGAGGUGGAACGGUAAAAUAAAUAAAGGCUAGGCCGUGGCAUGAUGUCACGCUGCGGAAUACGUCGGCAGAUUAGAUUUGUGUAAAUAUUAUUCUCUCUAUGGUGGCAUGUGGAAAUUAUUUUGCAGAGCCGGACACUAUCCUUGUGUUCAAACAUCUUCUAUGAAGUAUUCGGAGGAGGAACCCGCCUUGCAAUGCUGAAGACAAUUUGCGCGCCGGACUCGUCGUCAUUGAAGCCUGGUUCAGGGGCUACUGAGGGAGUCCUGGAUUAGGGGGUGUCCGGAUGCCGGACUAUGACCUUUGGCCGGACUCCUGGACUAUGAAGAUACAAGAUUGAAGACUUCGUCCCGUGUCCGGAUAGGGACUUUCCUUGGCGUGGAAGGCAAGCUUGGCGAUACGAUAUGAAGAUCUCCUCUCAUUGUAACCGACUCUGUGUAACCCUAGCCCUCUCCGGUGUCUAUAUAAACCGGAGAGUUUUAGUCCGUAGGACGAACAACAAUCAUACCAUAGGCUAGCUUCUAGGGUUUAGCCUCUCUGAUCUCUUGGUAGAUCAACUCUUGUAAUACCCAUACCAUCAAUAUUAAUCAAGCAGGAGUAGGGUUUUACCUCCACCGAGAGGGCCCGAACCUGGGUAAAAACAUCGUGUUCCUUGUCUCCUGUUACCAUCCGCCUAGAUGCACAGUUUGGGACCGCCUACCCGAGAUCCGCCGGUUUGGACACCGACACUCCUCCUUUCCUUGUAGGAGUAGGAGAAGGGGGGAAAGGGAGAAAGAGAGAGAGGGGAAGGAAAGGGGGGCGCCCCCCCUCCUUGUCCAAUUAGGACUAGAGGGGGAGGGGGCGCGCGGCCUGCCCUAGCCGCCCCUCCUCUUCUCCACUAGGGCCCAUGAGGCCCAAUAAACCCCCCGAGGGGUUCCGGUAACCCCCCCCCCCCAAGUACUUCCGGUGUCCAAACAUAGUCAUCCAAUAUAUCGAUCUUUACGUCUCGACCAUUUCGAGACUCCUCCUCAUGGCCGUGAUCAUAUCCGGGACUCGGAACUACCUUUGGUACAUCAAAACACAAAAACUCAUAAUACCGAUCAUCACCAAACUUUAAGCGUGCGGACCCUACGGCUUCGAGAACUAUGUAGACAUGACUGAGACACGUGUCCGGUCAGUAACCAAUAGCGGAACCUGGAUGCUCAUAUUGGUUCCCACAUAUUCUACGAAGAUCUUGAUCGGUCAAACGGCAUAAAUACAUACGUUGUUCCCUUUGCCAUCGGUAUGUUACUUGCCCGAGAUUUGAUCGUCGGUAUCUCAAUACCUAGUUCAAUCUCGUUACCGGCAAGUCUCUUUACUCAUUACGUAAUGCAUCAUCCUGCAUUUAACUCAUUAGCUACAUUGCUUGCAAGGCUUAUAGUGAUGUGCAUUACCGAGAGGGCCCAGAGAUACCUCUCCGAUAAUCGGAGUGACAAAUCCUAAUCUCGAAAUACGUCAACUCAACAAGUACCUUUGGAGACACCUGUAGAGGACCUUUAUAAUCACCCAGUUACGUUAUGAUGUUUGGUAGCACACAAAGUGUUCCUCCGGUAAGCGGGAGUUACAUAAUCUCAUAGUCAUAGGAACAUGUAUAAGUCAUGAAUAAAGCAAUUGCAACAUACUAAAUGAUCAAGUGCUAUGAUGUACACUAUAUAUUCAAGGAUAGCCAAAAUCCUAAGCUUGGGGAUGCCCCGGGAAGGCAUCCCCUCUUUCGUCUUUGUUCAUUGGUAACUUUACUUGGAGCUAUAUUUUUAUUCUCCACAUGAUAUGUGUUUUGCUUGGAGCGUUGUGUAUUAUAUUAGUCUUUGCUUUUUAGUUUACCACAAUCAUCCUUGCUGUACACACUUUUUGGCAGAAGCCUACUUGAUUAGGAUUUGCUAGAAUACUCUAUGUGCUUCACUUGUAUCUUUUGAGCUUGAUAGUUUUUGCUCUAGUGCUUCACUUAUAUCUUUUAGAGCACAGUGGUGACUUAAUUUCGAAGAAAUUGCUAGUCUCUCAUGCUUCACUUAUAUUAUUUUGAGAGUCAUUUAGAACAGCAUGGUAUUUGCUAUGGUUACAAAGUUGGUCCUAGAAUGAUGAGCAUCCAAGUUGGGUAUAAUAAAAACUAUCAUAGAAAAGAAUUGGAUGCUAUGAUCAAUUUCAUGCUUGAUAAUUGUUUUGAGAUAUGGAGGUAGUGAUAUUAGAGUCAUGCUAGUUGAUGUGAUUAUGAAAAAUACUUGUGUUGAGGGUUGUGAUUCCCGUAGCAUGCACAUAUGGUGAACCGCUUUGUGAUGAAGUUGGAGCACAAUUUUAUUUAUUGAUUGUCUUCCUUAUGAGUGGCAGUCGGGGACGAGCGAUGGUCUUUUCCUACCAAUCUACCCCCCUAGGAGCAUGCGCCUAGUGCUUUGGUUUUUGAUGACUUCUAGAUUUUUGCAACAAGUACAUGAGUUCUUUUGACUAAUGUUGAGUCCAUGGAUUAUACGCACCUCACCCUUCCACCAUUGCUAGCCUCUCUUGUGCCGCGCAACUUUCGCCGGUAAUAUACACCCACCAUAUACAUUCCUCAAAACAGCCACCAUACCUACCUAUUAUGGCAUUUCCAUAGCCAUUCCGAGAUAUAUUGCCAUGCAACUUUCCAUUGUUCCGUUCAUAUGACACGCAUUACUUUUGUCAUAUUGCUCUUUGCAUGAUCAUGUAGUUGACAUCGUAUUUGUGGCAAGGCCACCUUCAUAAUUUCCAUACAUGUCGCUCUUGAUUCAUUGCAUAUCCCGGUGCACCGCCGGAAGCAUUCAUAUAGAGUCAUAUCUUGUUCUAGCUUUGAGUUGUAAUUCUUGUGUUAUAAAUCCAUAAAAGUGUGAUGAUCUUCAUUAUUAGAGCAUUGUACCAGUGAGGAAAGGAUGAUGAAGACUAUGAUUUCCCCACAAGUCGGGAUGAGACUUCGGACUUUACAAAACGAAAAAAAGGGGGAGAAAGAAAAAAAGGAGAAAGGCCAAAAAUAAAAAAAAGAAAGAAAUGCCCAAGAAAAGAAAAAAAAGAAAAAAAAAGAAAAAAGAGAGAAAAAGAGAGAAGGGACAAUGCUACUAUCUCUUUUUCCACACUUGUGCUUCAAAGUAGCACCAUGAUCUUCGUGAUAGAGAGUCUCCUAUGUAGUCACUUUCAUAUACUAGUGAGAAUUUUUCAUUAUAGAACUUGGCUUGUAUAUUCCAAUGAUGGGCUUCCUCAAAAGGCCCUAGGUCUUCGUGAGCAAGCGAGUUGGAUGCACACCCACUUAGUUUCUUUUGUUGAGCUUUCAUAUAUUUAUAGCUCUAGUGCAUCCGUUUCAUGGCAAUCCCUACUCACUCACAUUGAUAUCAAUUAAUGGGCAUCUACAUAGCCCGUUGAUAUGCCUAGUUGAUGUGAGACUAUCUUCUCCUUUUUGUCUUCUCCACAACCACCAUUCUAUACCACAUAUAGUGCUAUGUCCAUGGCUCACGCUCAUGCAUUGCGUGAAAGUUGAAAGAGUUUGAGAUUACUAAAGUAUGAAACAAUAGAUCGGCUUGUCAUCGGGGUUGUGCAUGAUUAAAUACUUUGUGGGAUGAAGAUAGAGCAACAGCCAGACUAUAUGAUUUUGUAGGGAUAACUUUCUUUGGCCAUGUUAUUUUGAGAAGACAUGAUUACUUUGAUUAGUAUGCUUGAAGUAUCACCAUUUUCAUGUUAAUAUGAACUUUUAUUUUGUAUCAUUUGGAUCUGAACAUUCAAGCCACAAUAAAGAAAAUUGCAUUGAGAAUUAUGCUAGGUAGCAUUCCACAUCAAAUAUUUUGUUUUUACCAUUUACCUACUCGAGGACGAGCAGGAAUUAAGCUUGGGGAUGCUUGAUACGUCUCCAACGUAUCUAUAUUUUUUGAUUGUUUCAUGCUAUUAUAUUACCCCUUUUUGGAUGUUUAUGGGCGUUAAUUUACACAUUUAUAUCAUUUUUGGGACUAACCUACUAACUGGAUGCCUAGCCCAUAUUGCUGUUUUUUUGCCUAUUUCAGUAUUUCGAAGAAAAGGAAUAUCAAACGGAGUCCAAACGGAAUGAAUUCUUCGGGAGCGUGAUUUUUGAACGAACGUGAUCCAGAGGACUUGGAGUGCAAGUCAAGAAGCAGCCAAGGCGGCCAUGAGAGGGUAGCCCCCCCUAUAGGGCGUGCCCCCCUGUCUCGUGGGCCCCUCGGGCGGCCACCGACGUACUUCUUCCUCCUAUGUAAUCCUACGUACCCCGAAAACAUCCAGGGAGCCAACAAAACACAAUUUCCACCGUCGUAACCUUCUGUAUCCGCGAGAUCCCAUCUUGGAGCCUUCGUCGGCGCUCCGCCAGAGGGGCAAUCGGCCACGGAGGGCUUCUACAUCAACACCAUAACCCCUCCGAUGAGUUGUGAGUAGUUUACCAUAGACCUUCGGGUCCAUAGUUAUUAUCUAGAUGGCUUAUUCUCUCUUUUUGGAUCUCAAUACAAUGUUCUCCCCCUCUCUUGUGGAGAUCUAUUCGAUGUAAACUCUUUUUGUGGUGUGAUUGUCGAGAUCCGAUGAAUUGUGGGUUUAUGAUCAAGUUUAUCUAUGAGAAAUAUUUGAAUCUCCUUUGAAUUCUUUUAUGUAUGAUUGAGUUAUCUUUGCAAGUCUCUUCGAAUUAUCAAUUUGGUUUGGCCUACUAGAUAUAUCUUUCUUGCCAUGGGAGAAGUGCUUAGCUUUGGGUUCAAUCUUGCGGUGUCCUUACCCAGUGACAGAAAGGGUUGCAAGGCACUUAUUGUAUUGUUGCCAUCGAGGAUAAAAAGAUGGGGUUUAUAUCAUAUUGCAUGAGUUUAUCCCUCUACAUCAUGUCAUCUUGCUUAAGGCGUUACUCUGUUCUUAUGAACUUAAUAAUCUAGAUGCAGGCAGGAGUCGGUCGAUGUGUGGAGUAAUAGUAGUAGAUGCAGGCAGGAGUCGGUCUACUUGUUGCAGGCGAGAUGCCUAUAUACAUGAUCAUGCCUAGAUAAUCUCAUAAUUAUUUGCUUUUCUAUCAAUUACUCGACAGUAAUUUGUUCACCCACCGUAAUACUUAUGCUAUCUUGAGAGAAGCCACUAGUGAAACCUAUGGCCCCCGGGUCUAUCUCUUAUCAUAUUUGUUUCCAAUCUACUUUUACUUGCAUCUUUACUUUUUGCAUCUAUAUUACAAAAUACCAAAAAUAUAUUUAUCUUAUCAUACUAUCUCUAUUAGAUCUCACUUUUGCAAGUGGCUGUCAAGAGAUUGACAACCCCUUUAUUGCGUUGGUUGUGAGUUGUUUGUUUGUUUGUGUAGGUGCAUGGGACUUUUGAGGAGCCUCCUACUGGAUUGAUACCUUGGUUCUCAAAAACUGAGGGAAAUACUUACGCUACUAUUGCUGCAUCACCCUUUCCUCUUCAAGGAAAACCAAAGUAAGCUCAAGACGUAGCAAGAAGGAUUUCUGGCACCGUUGCCGGGGAGAUUUUCGCUCAAGUCAAGACAUACCAAGUACCCAUCACAAACUCAUCUCCCUCGCAUUUACAUUAUUUGCCAUUUGCCUCUCGUUUUCCUCUCGCACACUUCACCCUUGCCGUUUUAUUCGCCCUCUCUUUCCCAAUCUCCUUCUCUCUCUCUCUCUCUCUCUCUCUCUCUCUCUCUCUCUCUCUCUCUCUCUCUCUCUCUUUCGCUUGCCCUUUUCUGUUUGCUUGUGUGUUGGAUUACUUGUUGCCAUGGCGCAAGAUAAUAACAAGUUGUGUGAUUUCUCGAAUACCAAUAAUAAUGAUUUCCUUAGUACUCCGAUUGCUCCUCUUAAUGAUGUUGAGUCUUUUGAAAUCAAUACUGCUUUGCUGAAUCUUGUUAUGAAAGAUCAAUUCGCCGGCGUUCCUACUGAAGAUGCCGCUACUCAUCUAAACAACUUUGUUGAUUUGUGUGAUAUGCAAAAGAAGAAUGAUAUGGAUAACAAUAUUGUUAAAUUGAAGUUAUUUCCGUUUUCACUUAGAGAUCGUGCUAAAGUUUGGUUCUCGUCUUUGCCUCAAAAUAGUAUUGAUUCUUGGAACAAGUGCAAAGAUGCUUUUUAUCUCUAAGUAUUUUCCUCCCGCUAAAAUUAUCACUAUUAGGAACGAUAUUAUGAAUUUUAAACAACUUGAUCAUGAGCAUGUUGCCCAAUGUUGGGAAAGAAUGAAAUUGAUGAUUCGCAAUUGCCCUACUCAUGGUUUGAAUUUAUGGAUGAUCGUACAAAAUUUUAUGCCGGUUUGAACUUUGCUUCUAGAAAUCUCUUAGAUUCGGCCGUGGGAGGCACGUUUAUGGAAAUCACGCUAGGAGAUGCUACAAAACUUCUUGAUAAUAUUAUGGCUAAUUAUUCUCAAUGGCACACCGAAAGAUCUUCUAGUAAAAAAGUGCAUGCUAUAGAAGAAAUCCAUGUUUUGAGUGGAAAGAUGGAUGAACUUAUGAAAUUGUUUGCUACUAAAAAUACUCCUCUUGAUCCCAAUGAUAUGCCUUUGUCUACUUUGAUUGAGAAUAAUAAUGAAUCUAUGGAUGUGAAUUUUGUUGGUAGGAAUACUUUUGGAAACAAUGCUUAUAGAGGAAACUUUAAUCCUAGACCGUUCCCUAGUAAUUCCUCUAAUUAAUUAUGGAAAUUCCUACAAUAAUUAUUAUGGUAAUUUUAAUAAGAUGCCCUCUGAUUUUGAUAAUAGUGUGAAAGAAUUUAUGAUUUCUCAAAAGAAUUUUAAUGCCUUCCUUGAAAAAAAAUUGCUCAAAGUUGAUGAUUUGGCUAGGAACGUUGAUAGACUUUCGCUUGAUGUUGAUUCUCUUAAACUUAGAUCUUCUCCUCCUAAGCAUGGUAUCAAUGAGUCUCUCAAAGCAAUGAGAAUUUCCAUUGAUGAGUGCAAGUAAAGAACCGCUAGCUUGUGUGCUAAGAAAGAUAGCUUUAUAAAGGCGUGUUCUUCUAGUUUCCAUGAAAAUAAUGAUGAAGAUCUUAAAGUUAUUGAUGUGUCUCCUAUUAGAUAUUUGUUUUGCAAUGUGAAUCUUGAUAAUUAUGGGACUUAUGAUGAGUCAACUUUACCUAGAAGGCGUCCCAAGAAUUCGGAGUUUUUAGAUCUUGAUGCUAAAUUUGGUAAAAGUGGGAUUGGAGAGGUCAUGACUUGAAAUAGCAUUGAACCCACUAUCUUGGAUUUCAAGGAAUUUUAUUAUGAUAAUUGUUCUUUAGAAGGUUGUAUUUCCUUGUUGCAAUCCGUUGUUAAUUCUCCUCAUGCUUAUAGUCAAAAUAAAGCUUUUACCAAACAUAUCGUUGAUGCCUUGAUGCAAUCGUAUGAUGAAAAACUUAAUUUGGAAGUUUCUAUACCUAGAAAACUUAAUGAUGAGUGGGAACCUACUAUAAAGAUUAGAAUUAAAGAUCAUGAGUGUUUUGCUUUGUGUGAUUUGGGUGCUAGUGUUUCCACGAUUCCGAAAACUUUAUGUGAUAUUCUAGGUUUCCAUGAUCUUGAUGAUUGCUCUUUAAAUUUGUACCUUGCGGAUUCCACCAUUAAAAAGCCAGUGGGAAGGAUCAAUGAUGUUCUCAUUGUUGCAAAAAUAAAUUUGGUGCUCGUAGAUUUUAUCGUUCUUGAUAUAGAUUUUAAUCUUUCUUGCCCUAUUAUUCUUGGUAGACCUUCCCUUAGAACGAUUGGCGCGAUUAUUGAUAUGAAGGAAGGGAAUAUUAGAUUCCAAUUUCCAUUAAAGAAAGGCAUGGAGCACUUUCCAAGAAAGAAAGUCAAAUUACCUUAUGAAUCUAUCGUGCAAGCUACUUAUGAAUUUAGUGCCAAAGAUGGCACUACUUAGAUCUAUCUUCGCUUUUAUGCCUAGCUAGGGGCGUUAAACGAUAAUGCUAGUUGGGAGGCAACCCAAUUUUCUUUGUGUUUUUUGUUUUUUCCUGUUUAGCAAUAAAUAUUGCAUCUACCUUUUGUUUAGAUGUGUUUUUAUCAUUUAAUUAGUGUUUGUGCCAAGUAGAACCUAUAGGAUAACCUAUGAUGAUAGUUGAUUUGAUUCUGCUGAAAAACAGAAACUUUGCACGCACGAAUUUAGUUUUGUUAAAUCACAGAAACGUGCUUUUGUGUUGAUUCUUUUUGAUGCUGAUCUAUAGAUAAAUUGUCCAGGAGUUACUAUUUUGGUAGGAUUUUUAAGUUCUAGAAGUUUGCGUUAGUUACAGAUUGCUACAGAUUGUUCUGUUUUUGACAGAUUCUGUUUUUUCGUGUGUUGUUUGCUUAUUUUGAUGCAUCUAUGGCUAGUAAAAUAGUUGAUAUACCAUAGAGAAGUUGGAAUACAGUAGGUUUAACACCAAAAUAAAUAAAGAAUGAGUUAAUUACAAUACCUUAUGUGGUGGUUUUGUUUUCUUUCACUAACGGAGCUUAUAAGAUUUCCUGCUGAGUUUUGUGUUGUGAAGUUUUCAAGUUUUGCGUAAAGCUUUUAUGGACUAUGGAAUAAAGAGUGGCAAGAGCCUAAGCUUUGGGAUGCCCAUGGCACCUCAAGAUAUUCACGUAUAGCCAAAAAGCUAAGCUUGGGGAUGCCCCGGGAAAUCAUCCCCUCUUUCGUCUUCGUUCAUUGGUAACUUUACUUGGAGCUAUAUUUUUAUUCGCCACAUGAUAUGUGUUUUGCUUGGAGCGUAGUGUAUUAUAUUAGUAUUUGCUUUUUAGUUUACCACAAUCAUCCUUGUUGUACACACCUUUUGGGAGAAGCCUACUUGAUUAGGAUUUGCUAGAAUACUCUAUGUGCUUUGCUUGUAUCUUUUGAGCUUGAUAGUUUUUGCUCUAGUGCUUCACUUAUAUCUUUUAGAGCACGGUGGUGACUUAAUUUUGAAGAAAUUUCUAGUCUCUCGUGCUUCACUUAUAUUAUUUUUGGAGUCUUUUAGAACAGCAUGGUAUUUGCUAUGGUUACAAAGUUGGUCCUAGAAUGAUGAGCAUCCAAGUUGGGUAUAAUAAAAACUAUCACAGAAAAGAAUUGGAUGCUAUGAUCAAUUUGAUGCUUGAUAAUUGUUUUGAGAUAUGGAGGUAGUGAUAUUAGAGUCAUGCUAGUUGAGGUGAUUAUGAAAAAUAUUUGUAUUGAGGGUUGUGAUUCCCUUAGCAUGCACGUAUGUUGAACCGCUUUGUGAUGAAGUUGGAGCACAAUUUUAUUUAUUUAUUGUCUUCCUUAUGAGUGGCAGUCGGGGAGGAGCAAUGGUCUUUUCCUACCAAUCUAUCCCCCUAGGAGCAUGCCCGUAGUGCUUUGGUUUUUGAUGACUUGAUUUUUGCAACAAGUACAUGAGUUCUUUUGACUAAUGUUGAGUCCAUGGAUUAUACGCACCUCACUCUUCCACCAUUGCUAGCCUCUCUUGUGCCGCGCAACUUUCGCCGGUGCCAUACACCCACCAUAUACCUUCCUCAAAACAGCCACCAUACCUACCUAUUAUGGCAUUUACAUAGCCAUUCCAAGAUAUAUUGCCAUGCAACUUUCCACCGUUCCGUUCAUAUGACACGCAUUACUUUUGUCAUAUUGGUCUUUGCAUGAUCAUGUAGUUGACAUCGUAUUUGUGGCAAGGCCACCUUCAUCAUUUUCAUACAUGUCGCUCUUGAUUCAUUGCAUAUCCCGGUACACCGCUGGAAGCCUUCAUAUAGAGUCAUAUCUUAUUCUAGCUUUGAGUUGUAAUUCUUGAGUUAUAAAUCCAUAAAAGUGUGAUGAUCUUCAUUAUUAGAGCAUUGUCCUAGUGAGGAAAGGAUGAUGAAGACUAUGAUUCCCCCACAAGUCGGGAUGAGACUUCGGACUUUACAAAAAGAAAAAAAGGGGAAGAAAAAAAGGAGAAAGGCCAAAAAGAAAAAACAAAGAAACGCCAAAGAAAAGAAAAAAAGAAAAAAGAAAAAAAGAAAAGAAAUAAAAAUGAGAGAAAAAGAGAGAAAGGGCAAUGCUACUAUCUCUUUUUCCACACUUGUGCUUCAAAGUAGCACCAUGAUCUUCGUGAUAGAGAGUCUCCUAUGUUGUAACUUUCAUAUACUAGUGGGAAUUUUUCAUUAUAGAACUUGGCUUGUAUAUUCCAAUGAUGGGCUUCCUCAAAACGCCCUAGGUCUUCGUGAGCAAGCGAGUUGGAUGCACACCCACUUAGUUUCUUUUGUUGAGCUUUCAUAUAUUUAUAGCUCUAGUGCAUCCGUUGCAUGGCAAUCCCUACUCACUCACAUUGAUAUCAAUUAAUGGGCAUCUCCAUAGCCCAUUGAUACGCCUAGUUGAUGUGAGACUAUCUUCUCCUUUUUGUCUUCUCCACAACCACCAUUCUAUUCCACAUAUAGUGCUAUGUCCAUGGCUCACGCUCAUGUAUUGCAUGAAAGUUGAAAGAGUUUGAGAUUAUUAAAGUAUGAAACAAUUGCUUGGCUUGUCAUCGGGGUUGUGCAUGAUUAAAUACUUUGUGUGAUGAAGAUAGAGCAACAUCCAGACUAUAUGAUUUUGUAGGGAUAACUUUCUUUGGCCAUGUUAUUUUGAGAAGACAUGAUUACUUUGAUUAGUAUGCUUGAAGUAUCACCAUUUUCAUGUUAAUAUGAACUUUUAUUUUGUAUCAUUUGGAUCUGAACAUUCAUGCCACAAUAAAGAAAAUUACAUUGAGAAUUAUGCUAGGUAGCAUUCCACGUCAAAAAUUAUGUUUUUAUCAUUUACGUACUCGAGAAUGAGCAGGAAUUAAGCUUGGGGAUGCUUGAUACGUCUCCAACAUAUCUAUAAUUUUUGAUUGUUUCAUGCUAUUAUAUUACCCCUUUUUUGAUGUUUAUGAGCUUUAUUUUACACAUUUAUAUCAUUUUUGGGACUAACCUACUAACCGGAGGCCCAGCCAGUAUUGCUGUUUUUUUGCCUAUUUUAGUAUUUCAAAGAAAAGGAAUAUCAAACGGAGUCCAAAUGGAAUGAAACCUCCGGGAGCGUGAUUUUUGGAACGAACGUGAUCCAGAGGACUUGGAGUGCAAGUCAAGCAGCAGCCAAGGCGGCCACGAGAGGGUAGGGCAUCCCCCCCCCUAUAGGGCGUGCCCCCUGUCUCGUGGGCCCCUUGGUCGGCCACCGACGUACUUCUUCCUCCUAUAUAAGCCUACAUACCCCAAAAACAUCCAGGGAGCCAACAAAACACAAUUUUUACCAUCGUAACCUUCUGUAUCCGCGAGAUCCCAUCUUGGAGCCUUCACCAGCGCUCCGCCGGAGGGGAAUUGACCACGGAGGGCUUCUAUAUAAACACCAUAGCCCCUCCGAUGAGUUGUGAGUAGUUUACCACAGACCUUCGGGUCCAUAGUUAUUAGCUAGAUGGCUUCUUCUCUCUUUUUGGAUCUCAAUACAAUGUUCUCCCCCUCUCUUGUGGAGAUCUAUUCGAUGUAAACUCUUUUUGCGGUGUGUUUGUCGAGAUCCGAUGAAUUGUGGGUUUAUGAUCAAGUUUAUCUAUGAGAAAUAUUUGAAUCUCCUCUGAAUUCUUUUAUGUAUGAUUGAGUUAUCUUUGCAAGUCUCUUCGAAUGAUAAUUAUGGUUUGGCCUAGUAGAUUGAUCUUUCUUGCCAUGGGAGAAGUGCUUAGCUUUGGGUUCAAUCUUGCGGUGUCCUUACCCAGUGAUAGAAAGGGUUGCAAGGCACGUAUUGUAUUGUUGCCAUCGAGGAUAAAAAGAUGGGGUUUAUAUCAUAUAGCAUGAGUUUAUCCCUCUACAUCAUGUCAUCUUGCUUAAUUAAGGCGUUACUCUGUUCUUAUGAAUUUAAUAAUCUAGAUGCAGGCAGGAGUCAGUCGAUCUGUGGAGUACUAGUAGUAGAUGCAGGCAGGAGUCGGUCUACUUUUUGCGGACGUGAUGCCUAUAUACAUGAUCAUGCCUAGAUAAUCUUAGAAUUAUUCACUUUUCUAUCAAUUGCUCGACAGUAAUUUUUGCACCCACCGUAAUACUUAUGCUAUCUUGAGAGAAGCCACUAGUGAAACCUAUGGCCCCCGGGUCUAUCUCUUAUGAUAUUUGCUUCCAAUCUACUUUUACUGGCAUCUUUACUUUUUGCAUCUAUAUUAUAAAAUACCAAAAAUAUAUUUAUCUUAUCAUACUAUCUCUAUUAGAUCUCACUUUCGCAAGUGGCCGUGAAGAGAUUGACAACCCAUUUAUUGUGUUGGUUGUGAGUUCUUUGUUUGUUUGUGUAGGUGCGUGGGACUUUUGAGGAGCCUCCUACUGGAUUGAUACCUUGGUUCUCAAAAACUGAGGGAAAUACUUACGCUACUAUUGCUGCAUCACCCUUUCCUCUUCAAGGAAAACCAAAGCAAGCUCAAGACGUAGCAAGAAGGAUUUCUGGCGCCGUUGCCGGGGAGGUCUUCGCUCAAGUCAAGACAUACCAAGUACCCAUCACAAACUCAUCUCCCUCGCAUUUACAUUAUUUGCCAUUUGCCUCUCGUUUUCCUCUCCCCCACUUCACCCUUGCCGUUUUAUUCGCCCUCUCUUUCCCAAUCUCCUUCUCUCUCUCUCUCUCUCUCUCUCCCUCUCUCUCUCUUGGCUUUUUCUAUUUGCUUGUGUUUUGGAUUACUUGCUGCCAUGGCGCAAGAUAAUACCAAAUUGUGUGAUUUAUCGAAUACCAAUAAUAACAAUUUCCUUAGUACUCCGAUUGCUCCUCUUAAUGAUGUUGAGUCUUGUGAAAUCAAUACUGCUUUGCUGAAUCUUGUUAUGAAAGGUCAAUUCGCCGGCCUUCCUACUGAAUAUGCCGCUACUCAUCUAAACAACUUUGUUGAUUUGUGUGAUAUGCAAAAGAAGAAUGAUACGGAUAACAAUAUUCUUAAAUUGAAGUUACUUCCAUUUUCACUUAGAGAUCGUGCUAAAGUUUGGUUCUUGUCUUUGCCUCAAAAUAGUAUUGAUUCUUGGAACAAGUGCAAAGAUGCUUUUUAUCUCUAAGUAUUUUCCUCCCGCUAAAAUUAUCACUAUUAGGAACGAUAUUAUGAAUUUUAAACAACUUUAUCAUGAGCAUGUUUCCCAAUGUUGAGAAAGAAUGAAAUUGAUGAUUCGGAAUUGCCCUACUCAUGGUUUGAAUUUAUGGAUGAUCAUACAAAAAAUUUAUGCCGGUUUGAACUUUGCUUCUAGAAAUCUCUUAGAUUCGACCGUGAGAGGCACGUUUAUGGAAAUCACGCUAGGAGAUGCUACAAAACUUCUUGAUAAUAUUAUGGCUAAUUAUUGUCAAUGGCACACCGAAAGAUCUUCUAGUAAAAAAGUGCAUGCUAUAGAAGAAAUCAAUGUUUUGAGUGGAAAGAUGGAUGAACUUAUGAAAUUGUUUGCUACUAAAAGUACUCCUCUUGAUCCCAAUGAUAUGCCUUUGUCUACUUUGAUUGAGAAUAAUAAUGAAUCUAUGGAUGUGAAUUUUAUUGGUAGGAAUACUUUUGGAAACAAUGCUUAUAGAGGAAACUUUAAUGCUAGACCGUUCCCUAGUAAUUCCUCUAAUAAUUAUGGAAAUUCCUACAAUAAUUCUUAUGGUAAUUUUAAUAAGAUGCCCUCUGAUUUUGAGAAUAGUGUGAAAGAAUUUAUGAUUUCUCAAAAGAAUUUUAAUGCCUUGCUUGAAGAAAAAUUGCUCAAAGUUGAUGAUUUGGCUAGGAACGUUGAUAGACUUUUGCUUGAGGUUGAUUCUCUUAAACUUAGAUCUUCUCCUCCUAAGCAUGAUAUCAAUGAGUCUCUCAAAGCAAUGAGAAUUUCCAUUGAUGAGUGCAAGGAAAGAACCGCUAGAUUGCGUGCUAAGAAAGAUAGCUUUAUAAAGGCGUGUUCUUCUAGUUCCCAUGAAAAUAAUGAUGAAGAUCUUAAAGUUAUUGAUGCGUCUCCUAUUAGAUCUUUGUUUUGCAAUAUGAAUCUUGAUAAUUAUGGGACUGAUGAUGAGUCAACUUUACCUAGAAGGCGUCCCAAGAAUUCGGAGUUUUUAGAUCUUGAUGCUAAAUUUGGUAAAAGUGGGAUUGGAGAGGUCAUGACUUGAAAUAGCAUUGAACCCACUAUCUUGGAUUUCAAGGAAUUUGAUUAUGAUAAUUGUUCUUUAGAAGGUUGUAUUUCCUUGUUGCAAUCCGUUGUUAAUUCUCCUCAUGCUUAUAGUCAAAAUAAAGCUUUUACCAAACAUAUCAUUGAUGCCUUGAUGCAAUCUUAUGAUGAAAAACUUAAUUUGGAAGUUUCUAUACCUAGAAAACUUAAUGAUGAGUGGGAACCUACUAUAAAGAUUAGAAUUAAAGAUCAUGAGUGUUUUGCUUUGUGUGAUUUGGGUGCUAGUGUUUCCACGAUUCCGAAAACUUUAUGUGAUAUUCUAGGUUUCCAUGAUUUUGAUGAUUGCUCUUUAAAUUUGCACCUUGCGGAUUUUCCACCAUUAAAAAGCCAAUUGGAAGGAUCAAUGAUGUUCUCAUUGUUGCAAAUAGAAAUUUGGUGCCCGUAGAUUUUAUCGUUCUUGAUAUAGAUUUUAAUCUUUCUUGCCCUAUUAUUCUUGGUAGGCCUUUCCUUAGAACGAUUGGCGCGAUUAUUGAUAUGAAGGAAGGGAAUAUUAGAUUCCAAUUUCCAUUAAAGAAAGGCAUGGAGCACUUUCCAAGAAAGAAAGUCAAAUUACCUUAUGAAUCUAUCAUGCGAGCUACUUACGAAUUUAGUGCCAAAGAUGGCACUACUUAGAUCUAUCUUCGCUUUUAUGCCUAGCUAGGGGCGUUAAACGAUAGCGCUAGUUGGGAGGCAACCCAAUUUUCUUUGUGUUUUUUGUUUUUUUCCUGUUUAGCAAUAAAUCUUGCAUCUACCUUCUGUUUAGAUGUGUUUUUAUCUUGUAAUUAGUGUUUGUGCCAAGUAGAACCUAUAGGAUAACCUAUGAUGAUAGUUGAUUUGAUUCUGCUGAAAAACAGAAACUUUGCACGCACGAAUUUAGUUUUGUUAAAUCACAAAAAUGUUCUUUUGCGUUGAUUCUCUUUGAUGCUGAUCAAUAGAUAAAUUGUCCAGGACUUACAAUUUUGGUAGGAUUUUUAGAGUUCUAUAAGUUUGCGUUAGUUACAGAUUGCGACAGACUGUUCUGUUUUUGACAGAUUCUAUUUUUUCGUGUGUUGUUUGCUUAUUUUGAUGCAUCUAUGGCUAGUAAAAUAGUUUAUAAACCAUAGAGAAGUUGCAAUAUAGUAGGUUUAACACCAAAAUAAAUAAAGAAUGAGAUCAUUACAAUACCGUAUGUGGUGGUUUUGUUUUCUUUCACUAAUGGAGCUUAUAAGAUUUCCUGUUGGGUUUUGUGUUGUGAAGUUUUCAAGUUUUGGGUAAAGCUUUUAUGGACUAUGGAAUAAGGAGUGGCAAUAGCCUAAGCUUUGGUAUGCCCAUGGCACCUGAAGAUAUUAAAGGAUAGCCAAAAGCCUAAGCUUGGGGAUGCCCUGGGAAGGCAUCCCCUCUUUCGUCUUCGUUCAUUGGUAACUUUACUUGGAGCUAUAUUUUUAUUCGCCACAUGAUAUGUGUUUUUCUUGGAGUGUCGUGUAUUAUAUUAGUAUUUGCUUUUUAGUUUACCACAAUCAUCCUUGUUGUACACACCUUUUGGGAGAAGCCUACUUGAUUAGGAUUUGCUAGAAUACUCUAUGUGCUUCACUUAUAUCUUUUAGAGCACGAUGGUGACUUAAUUUUGAAGAAAUUGCUAGUCUCUCAUGCUCCACUUAUAUUAUUUUGAGAGUCUUUUAGAACAUCAUGGUAUUUGCUAUGGUUACAAAGUUGGUCCUAGAAUGAUGAGCAUCCAAGUUGGGUAUAAUAAAAACUAUCAUAGAAAAGAAUUGGAUGCUAUGAUCAAUUUGAUGCUUGAUAAUUGUUUUGAGAUAUGGAUGUAGUGAUAUUAGAGUCAUGCUAGUUGAGGUGAUUAUGAAAAAUACUUGUGUUGAGGGUUGUGAUUCCCUUAGCAUGCACGUAUGUUGAACCGCUUUGUGAUGAAGUUGGAGCACAAUUUUAUUUAUUGAUUGUCUUCCUUAUGAGUGGCAGUCGGGGAGGAGCGAUGGUCUUUUCCUACCAAUCUAUCCCCCUAGGAGCAUGCGCGUAGUGCUUUGGUUUUUGAUGACUUCUAGAUUUUUGCAACAAGUACAUGAGUUCUUUUGACUAAUGUUGAGUCCAUGGAUUAUACGCACCUCACCCUUCCACCAUUGCUAGCCUCUCUUGUGCCGCACAACUUUCGCCGGUACCAUACACCCACUAUAUACCUUCCUCAAAACAGCCACCAUACCUACCUAUUAUGGCAUUUCCAUAGCCAUUCCGAGAUAUAUUGCCAUGCAACUUUCCACCGUUCCGUUAUAUGACACGCAUUACUUUUGUCAUAUUGCUCUUUGCAUGAUAAUGUAGUUGACAUCGUAUUUGUGGCAAGGCCACCUUCAUAAUUUUCAUACAUGUUGCUCUUGAUUCAUUGUAUAUCCCGGUACACCGCCGGAAGCAUUCAUGUAGAGUCAUAUAUAAUUCUAGCUUUGAGUUGUAAUUCUUGAGUUAUAAAUCCAUAAAAGUGUGAUGAUCUUCAUUAUUAGAGCAUUGUCCAAGUGAGGAAAGGAUGAUGAAGACUAUGAUUCCCCCACAAGUCGGGAUUAGACUUCGGACUUUACAAAAAGAAAAAAGGGGAAGAAAUAAAAAAAAGGAGAAACGCCAAAAAGAAAAAACAAAGGAAGGCCAAAGAAAAGAAAAAAAGAAAAAAGAAAAAAAGAAAAAAAGAAAAAAAAGAAAAAUGAGAGAAAAAGAGAGAAGGGACAAUGCUACUAUCUCUUUUUCCACACUUGUGCUUCAAAAUAGCACCAUGAUCUUCGUGAUAGAGAGUCUCCUAUGUUGUCACUUUCAUAUACUAGUGGGAAUUUUUCAUUAUAGAACUUGGCUUGUGUAUUCCAAUGAUGCGCUUCCUCAAAAUGCCCUAGGUCUUCGUGAGCAAGCGAGUUGGAUGCACACCCACUUAGUUUCUUUUGUUGAGCUUUCAUAUAUUUAUAGCUCUAGUGCAUCCAUUACAUGGCAAUCCCUACUCACUCACAUUGAUAUCUAUUAAUGGGCAUCUCCAUAGCCCAUUGAUAUGCCUAGUUGAUGUGAGACUAUCUUCUCCUUUUUGUCUUCUCCACAACAACCAUUCUAUUCCACAUAUAGUGCUAUGUCCAUGGCUCAUGCUCAUGUAUUUCAUGAAAGUUGAAAGAGUUUGAGAUUAUUAAAGUAUGAAACAAUUGCUUGGCUUGUCAUCGGGGUUGUGCAUGAUUAAAUACUUUGUGUGAUGAAGAUAGAGCAACAGCCAGACUAUAUGAUUUUGUAGGGAUAACUUUCUUUAGCCAUGUUAUUUUGAGAAGACAUGAUUACUUUGAUUAGUAUGCUUGAAGUAUCACCAUUUUCAUUUUAAUAUGAACUUUUAUUUUGUAUCAUUUGGUUCUGAACAUUCAGGCCACAAUAAAGAAAAUUACAUUGAGAAUUAUGCUAGGUAGCAUUCCACAUCAAAAAUUCUGUUUUUAUCAUUUAUGUACUCGAGGACGAGCAGAAAUUAAGCUUGGGGACGCUUGAUACGUCUCCAAUGUAUCUAUAAUUUUUGAUUGUUUCAUGCUAUUAUAUUACCCCUUUUUUGAUGUUUAUGGGCUUUAUUUUACACAUUUAGAUCAUUUUUGGGACUAACCUACUAACCGGAGGCCCAACCCGUAUUGCUGUAUUUUUUGCCUAUUUUAGUAUUUCGAAGAAAAGGAAUAUCAAAUGGAGUCCAAACGGAAUGAAACCUUCAGGAGCGUGAUUUUUGGAAUGAACAUGAUCCAGAGGACUUGGAGUGCAAGUCAAGAAGCAGCCGAGGCGGCCACGAGAGGGUAGGGCGCCCCCCCCCCCCUAUAGGGCGCGCCCCCUAUCUCGUGGGCCCCUCGGGCGGCCACCGACGUACUUCUUCCUCCUAUAUAAGCCUACGUACCCCGAAAACAUCCAAGGAGCCAACAAAACACAAUUUCCACCGCCGUAACCUUCUGUAUCCGCGAGAUCCCAUCUUGAAACCUUCGCCGGCGCUCCGCCGGAGGGGGAAUCGACCACGAAGAUCUUGUACAUCAACACCAUAGCCCCUCCGAUGAUGUUGUCUCACUUGGUCGUAAACGGAAACAAAGCUUACUCCUAUUUAUACACGCAUGAUUCGUCUAGAAAGUAAACACAUGUAGUGAUCGAGAAACUACGGAUUAAGCGGCAACUUGGUAAAGCACACACGUAAUACCAUGAUGUGUCGAUGCCAACAAUUACCAACCCAUUCACGCAUUAAAAAAGAAAAGAAAAUGAAAUCGCCUAGCUUAAGCGGCCGGAGAGAAUCCUAGAAGAUACAUGCAUGUGGUCAUGACAUCCCUCGAAAACUGCGCCUUGCAUGCACACAUCAACGGCAAAAGCAAAAUAGCCAAUCCCUGCUGCCCGACAGACAGUUGGUUGAUAAAAAACAAACCAAAUGUAGAAGCAGCAAAGCAAACAGCGGCAGAAGCAGCACUGUUGUGCCUGAAAAUAGGACGACAGCGCCGAGACAAACAAUGCCGAUUAGCCCAAUGGAAACUCAAGAAACACCGUUCGGCAGAUAAACUCAUGUACUAUGAAUUCACACAUCGUUGCUGGCCCACACACCGCAUAAAACGUUAGAGGAACCAAACAAGCACGCACACACGUUCAAAAAAAUUUGAAUACAAACUUAGAGUCACCACGGGUUUGCACACGGCCACAUCCCAAGUUAUUACAUGUGCCAUGAACCGGUUAAUACCUCAUAUAUGAAUUUUGCAUGUGCCAAUGCAGCCGACAUGUAGUUGCACCAAUAGUUUCCCUUUUUUCUGUACUAUAUGAAUAUUAACAAGGCAGUGCUCCAUGACAUAUGGGCCCCUAUGAAAAUUAUAUGUGUUAAUAAUGAACUCGCUUUGGUGAGAUCAUGAUGUUUGAGUGAGAAAACCAAAUACAAGAAAUAGUCCAGACCCGGUUCCCGUUAGGAGACCCCUUCACAUGACGUGCGGGUCCCACGUAUUGCAAAAUAUUCAUAAGAGAAAAUAUAUUCAAUAUUGGACUCUAUUUGUAGAGUUCACCGUGUAGAAUACAGUGGUGCAAAUAGAUUAAAGUUGGACACAUUGAUCUAAGAGAAAUAAUUACCAGAAGAGAGAAAUACGUGCAUGCAAAGCUAGCAAGAUCUGUAAUUAGCGUGCACCAUGUUACAUGGCUGCGUGCAGCACUUCAAUACUUGUGCUAAUUCGCAUUGUAAUGUCAUUUUCAACCAAGUGGCAAAACAUAGAAGCAAACAAGAAAAAUAAGCACACCACCCUGCCCCACAUUGAAUGAAAAACGCUAAACGAACCAAACCGAACGACACACCAGUUCAAAAAAUUUGAAACGAAACCUUAAAUCUACAAGGCAUUUGUACACCACCAGGUACCAAAUUAAUAGCACGUGUCACAUGCAUAAUUCACUAGAAGUCUUUUUCAAACAAGUGGAACAACCUUGAGGCAAAAACUUGGCCUGGAAUAGAUGCUUGGGUAUAAUAUCAAUAAUUCCUAUAUAUAUGAUGCCUUAUCAAUAAUAAUUGGUAUAAGAGAGCAGAAUUUAAAAUUCAACAAGACUCGUCCACAUAACAUUGGACUUGUUUUUUAAUGUAUAUAAGCAAUUGUUCUUAAGUAUAUCAACAAGUUACGGAUACAUUAUUUUUACUUUUAUUCCAUGAACAUAGAUUAAUUAUGGGAUGACCAUUUUAUAAAUAUAAGAUGAUGAUUUAUUUUCAUAUACAUGAACAUUUUAAAUCAAGGUACUUGAGCAUUUUUUACAUUUUUAUAUGCAUAAAAUUUUCUCCAAUAUUAAGUCAAUUUUGAUUUCUUUAAAUAGAUUAGUUUCCCCAAAACUUUCUUUAUUAGAAUAAUGAAAAUGUCGCACUUGCCUGACUAGGGCAAAUUUCGUUAGGCGGAGCUUCCCAAUUCUCGGGAUUCCUAUACGUUCCUCCUUGAGGCUAACAACCUCCCCUUCAGACAGUGUGCGCCUGGCUAGGCCGGCCCAUUGACGACACGAAUGGACACCACUGAGUGGGAGAGUAGGCGUUGAGCCAAUCCACUUUAGCGACGAUUUCUAAAAUUUUGGAAAAUUUCUUUGCAAAAUGAACAAGCAUUAAUAAAAUGUGAAGUUUUUUUGAACAUAUUCUAAUAUUUGAAAUUUCUUAAAACCCCAAUUAUGUGUGGAAUUUCAUACGUUUUUCUGAAAAAAUGAACACUUUUGGAAAUAUUGAACAUUAUUUGAAAACUAUGACCUUUUCUUGGAAAACCAACAAUUUAUGAAAAACAUGUUAGUUUUAUAAUAUUUAGAAUGUUUUUCAAAAUUAUGAUUUUUUAGAACACAAACAAUUUUUGAAAUUUCGAACAAAAUAUGAGAAUCGGACAUUUCCUGAAAACUUGAAUAUUUUUUAAAUUUCAAAUUUCCGCACAUUUUAAAAAAGGAGACUUUUUGAUAAAGAAAAUAAGAAAAUAAAACAAGGAAAAAACAAAUAUGUAAAACUUAAAAUUAACCCAAAGAAAAUGGUAACAGAAACAGAAGGAAAAAAGGAACAAACGAAAAUACCAUUAAAAAUCAUAUCAGAACCUUUUGGAAGGCUCCCAAAAUCGGUAAAAGCCCGGAAGGAAUAUUCUGAAAGUUCGUAAAACUAGAGCGGGCGGCUAAAAUGGGUCAGGCGUCCCCAAGCUCUAGCAUCAGUUCUAUGUGCAAUCCCCGGCAAUUUGACGUUGACUGGUCAAAUAGGGGUUUCACCAAUUCUCUUUUUUCUUGUUGCCUCAUAUGAGUUUGUUGUUGUUUAGGACAUACCUUGGCGCCAUUUAUACGGGUUCGAUGACCGCCAUCAAGGGUCUCUUAGUGGAAUCACAGCAUCUUGCAUCAUGUGAUGGCGUGAGGAGUUUACGGUGGCCCUAGUGGCAUUUUGGGGAGCAUUGUGCCUCCACAGCGCUCCAAAUGGAGAUUAGCAUCUGCAAUGUCGUCUCCGCAUGCCUCGGUUAUCUCUUACCCAAGCCCUUUACUAUGUGAUAGCCAUAGUGUUUCAUGUUAUAUAUCUUGCUAUCACAUAUCUGUUUAUCGUGCUUAGCAUAAGUUGUUGGUGCACAUAGGUGAGCCUAGUUGUUUUAGGUUUUAUGCUUGACAAAUUAGAUGCUAGUUUUAUUCUGCAUUUGUUCAAGCAUAAAUAGUAAUUAUUUUAAAGCAUCUAUUCACCCUCCCUCUAGGAAACAUCCACGAUUUUUCAAGUGGUAUCAGAGUGUCAUCUCUCUUUAUUAGGCUUAACCACUUAGAGAGUAAAGAUGUCAACUAGGGGAUUAGGAUUCUUUGACACUCUUUGUUUCGAUGGCACAAUUUUUGAUGUUUGGGUAAUUCGCAUGGUUAAUCUCUUUAGGGUCAUGGACCCAAAUUUAGUGUGAAUUGUAGAUAUUAGUUUUUCUCCUUCAAAGGAUCCUCAAAUAUUAUCUCUAGAGGAUGAGAAAAACUCUUAUCUCACUGCUCAAGCUUCUAAUGUGCUUUUUGGUGCUUUGAACAAUGUAGUUAUUGAUGUCGCUUGAAGCUACGUCAGUUUUUUCCCCAAAGAGGAAGGGAUGAUGUAGCACAGCAGUGGUAGGUAUUUCCCUCAGAUAUGAAACCAAGGUUAUCGAACCAGUAGGAGAACCAAGCAACACAACGUCAACAGCCCCUGCACACAGAUAACAACACCUCGCAACCCGACGUGUUAAAGGGGUUGUCAAUCCCUUUCGGGGUACGGCGCCUCAAGAUAGGAAUAUGACGUGAGAUAAAUUUGUAGAUAGGAUUAAUAGAUCACGCAACAAAAAAAUUACAGCAAAGUAUUUUUGUCUUUUUAGUUUAAUAGAACUGAAAAUAAACGCAAGGAAAAAGUAUAUCACAAGGCAAAUAUAUGAGAGAGAAGACCCGGGGGCCGUAGGUUACUAGUGGAUUCUCUCAAGAAAAAUAGCAAACUGUGGGUGAACAAAUUACUCUUGGGCAAUUGAUAGAACUUCAAAUAAUCAUGACGAUAUCCAGGCAAUGAUCAUUACAUAGGCAUCACGCCCAAGAUUAGUAGACUGACUCCUGCCUGCAUCUACUACUAUUACUCCAUACAUCGACCGCUAUCUAGCAUGUAUCUAGUAUUAAGUUCAUGGAAAAACAAAGUAAUGCAAUAAGAACAAUGACAUGCUGUAGACAAGAUCCGUUUAUCUAUUGCGACAGAGAUGGAUCCCGUCUUUUUAUCCUUAGUAGCAACGAUACAUACGUGCCGGUUCCCUUUCUGUCACUGGGAUCAAGCACCGUAAGAUCGAACCCACUACCGGUCACCUCUUCCCAUUGCAAUAUAAAAAGAUCAAGUUUGCCAAACAAAACCCAAAUAUCGGAGAGGAAAUACGAGGCUAUAAGUGAUCAUGCAUAUAAGAGAUCACAGAAGUCAAAUAACUUUCAUGGAUAUAAAAAGAUAUAACUUAUGAUAAAUUCGAAGUUCAUCAGAUCCUAACAAACACACCGCCAAAAGGACUUACAUCAUAUGGAUAUCCAAGAGAUCAUUGUAUUGAUAAUCAAGAGAGAGAGAGAGGAAGCCAUCUAGCUACUAACUACAGACCCGAAGGUCUACAAAGAACUACUCAUGCAUCGUCGGAGAGGCACCAAUGGAAGUGGUGCCCUCCGUGAUGGUGUCUAGAUUGGAUCUCAGUGUUCUGGACUCCGCAACGGCUGGAUGAAAAUUUGUCGACUCCCUUAGGGUUUCUGGAAUAUUGGGGUAUUUAUAUAGCAAAGAGUCGGUCCAGGGGGCACUCAAGGUGGGCACUACCCACCUGGGCGUGCCUGGGCCUCCUGACGUGCCCAGGUGGGUUGUCCCCUCCUCGGGACUCCCCCCAGGUUCAACCAGGGCCCAUUGUGUUCCUUCUGGUCCAUAAAAAAUCAUCGUAAAUUGGCAUUGUAUUUGGACCCCUUAUGAUAUUGAUUUCCUGCGAUGUAAUAAACAUGCAAAAAACCAACAACUGGCACUUGGAACUAUGUCAAUAGGUUAUUACCAAAAAAUGAUAUAAAAUGACUAUAUAAUGAUUAUAAAACAUCCAAGAUUGAUAAUAAAACAACACGGAAUGAUAGAAAAUUGUAGAAACGUUGGAGACGUAUCAGCAUCCCCAAGCUUAACUCCUGCUCGUCCUCGAGUAGGUAAGUGAUGAAACAGAAUUUUUGAUGUGGAGUGUUGUUUAUCAUGUCAUAUCAUAUUCUAUUCUUCAUAGCAUGGACAUUUGGACUUUUAACUGAUUCAAAGCAAUAGUCUAGUUUUGACAUAAUAAUUUAGAUACUCAAGCAUAUCAACAAGCAACCAUGUCUUUCAAAAUAUCAAUGCUAAGUUAUCCCUAGCCCAUCAUGCUCAAACAUUGAUCCAUUCAUGAAACACAAUCAAAUAUUAGCUACACCCAAUACUUAAUUACGAUCGUAUUGUCCCUUGUUGGUGCUUUUAUAAGAGAGGAUCGAGACUCAAUUUCAAAAAUAAAAAUUUCAUAAAGUAAAAGAAAGGCCCUUCGCAGAGGAAAGUAGGGAUUUGUAGAGGUCCCAGAGCCCAAAGCGAAAAAAUUAGAGAUAAAAACAUUUUUGGGAGGUGUAUCCAUCCCACCAACGAAAACGACUGGAGCAUCCCAACACUUUCCAUGCUAGAUAUAUCAUAGGCGGUUCCCAAACAGAAAAUAAAGUUUAUUCCUUUUUCCACCAUAACUUUCACUUUUCAUGGCUAGCCGUAUCCACGGGUGCCCUCCAUACCAACACUUUCCAAGGAAUUUAUUAUUCGACAACAUAAAGUAAAUUCAUUUUUGCAUUUCGGGACUAGGCAUCCCUAAUACCUUUGCCUUACUCUUGUGCAAUGACAAGUGAAUAAACACUCAUCGUGAGAAUAACACAUCUAGCAUGGAAGAUAUUAGCUACCUGUUACUGUUCUACGAGCGAAACAAACACACAAAAGAGAAGUUCAUUUUGAAAAUUAGAGAUGACACAUGCAAAUUUUUUUAGAACGGCAAAGAAUGCCGCAUAUAGAUAGAUAUAGUGGACUCAUGAGGCAAAACUGGUUUAAGGAUUUUGGAUGCACGAGUAGAGGUCAUACUUGGUGCAAAAUGAAGGCUAGCAAAAAGAUUGAGAAGCGACCAACCAAGAAACGAAUAAUCUCAUAAGCAAGCAUUAAGCACAAUUAACACCGAAUAAUGCACCACAAGUAGGAUAUAAUUUUCAUUGCAUGAUUAUUGACUUUCAUGCAUGCAUAGGGAAUCACAAACCUUAACAUCAAUAUUCUUACUAGAGCACAAUUACUCACCAACAGAACUUACAUAUCACAUCAUCAUAUCCCAAAACUAUUACUAAGAGUCAAGUUUAUUUUGUCCAAUGAUCUUCAUGACAUAAAUAUUUCUUCUUCUUUAUUUAUCCUUCUUGGCUAUCUAUCACUUUUGGACUAUUUUUCAUCUCUUGCUUUUCAUAAGCUCAAACAAAUAUAACUGAAGAUCAUGAGCAUAUCAUUUUUUUUCUUUCUCUCAAAAUAAUUUAAGUGAAGCAAGAGAGAAUUUCUUCAAAAUUUUACCAACUCUCAAAUAAAUCUAAGUGAAGCAAGAGAGCAUUUCUUCAAAAAUACUAAGCACACCGUGCUCAAAAAGAUAUAAGUGAAGCACUAGAGCAAGUCCAUUGCUCAUAAAAUUUUUAGUGAAGCAUAGAGAGCAAUUCUAACAAGUCAUGGCAUAAUUUUGGCUCACUCAAAUAGAUGUGUACAGCAAGGAUUGAUGACUUAAAACACAAAAUUAAACAAGAAAAGACACAUAUCAUACAAGACGCUCCAAGCAAAACAAAUAUCAUGUGACGAAUAAAAAUAUAGUCUCGAGUAAAAUACUGAUGGUCGUUAGAAGAAAGAGGGGAUGCCACUCGGGGGCAUCCCCAAGCUUAGUUGGUUGGUAAUUCAUGGAUAAUAGCUUGGGAUGCUAGGGCAUCCCAAAGCUUAGGCUCUUCUAUUCUUCUUUCAUCCAUCGUAAGAUAACCCAAAACUUGAAAACUUCAAUCACAGAAAACUCAACAAACCCCUUGUGAGAUCCGUUAGUAAAAGAAAGCAAACCACUACUAUAAGUGCUGUGCGAAACCAAAUCUUAUUUUGUUUCUGUAUUAUAUCUAAUUUAUUCCAACUUUUCUAUGGCAAAAACUCAUCAAAGAAAACCAUAGAGGCAUCAAAAUAAGCACACAACACAAAGAAAACAGAACCUGUCAAAACAGAAUAGUCUGUAGUAACCUGUAACUUUCGAAUACUUCUGUACCUCCAACAAUUCUACAAAAUUAGGAAGACCAGCAUAAUUUGUAUAUUAAUCUUAUUCAAAAAGAAUAAGGGCAAAAUCUCUUUUCUGUGGUUUAUGAGAAUUUUUUUUCGUGAGCACAAAUUUCUGUCUUUUUCAGCAAGAUCAAACAACUAUCACCCGGAAGAUCCUAAAGGCUUUACUUGGCACAAACACUAAAUAAAACACAAAAAACACAAUCAUAACAGUAGCAUAAUUGUUCUAACACUCAAGAUCAGAAAGCAAAAGGCAAAAAUAAAUUUUAUUCAUUGGGUUGCCUCCCAAUAAGCGCUAUAGUUUUACGCCCUUAGCUAGGCAUAAAGCAAGGAUCUAAGUUUUGUCAUCUUUGGUGCUAGAUCCAUAAGAUGACCUCAUGAUUUAUUCAUAUGGUGGCUUAAUUCUUGUUAUAGGGAAGUGUUCCAUACCCUUCCUCAAAGGAAAUUGGAAGUUAAUAUUGCCUUCUUUCAUAUCAAUCACUCAACCGAUAGUGCGUAAAAAUGGUCUACGAAGAAUAAUUGGACAAGAGGGAUUGCAAUCAAUAUCAAGAACAAUAAAAUCUAUGGGAACAUAAUUUCUAUUUGCAAGAAUAAGAACAUCAUUAAUUAUACCCAUAGGUUUUUUAAUAGUGGAAUCCUCUAAGUGCAAAUUUGAAGAGCAUUCUUCAAUAUCGGUAAGACCAACCACAUCACAUAAAGAUUUCGGAAUUGUAGAAACACUGGCACCCAAGUCACAUAAAGCAAAACACUCAUAAUUUUUAAUCAUGACUUUGAUAGUAGGUUCCCAUUCAUCAUGCAAUUUUCUAGGAAUUGAAACUUCUAAUUCCAAUUUUUCUUCAAAAGCUUUCAUCAUGGCAUCGAUAUGUUUAGUAAAAGCUUUAUUUUGUUCUUAAGCAUGGGCUGACUUUAUCAUGGAUUGCAACAAAGAAAUACAAUCAAUCAAAGAUAAACUAUCAUAAUUAAAGUUUUUGUAAUCCAAAAGAGCGGGCACAUCACUAGUUAAAGUUUUGACCUCUUCAAACCCACUUUCAUCAAUUUUUUCAACAAGAUUUUCACCCUCCGAAAUAUUGGGAUGCCUUCUACCUAAAGUUGACUCUUCUCCAGUCCCUUUUUCAUCCAUCUUAUUUUUUACUAAACAAGGAAUCACUAGAAGAAACACCAAUCAUUUUAAGAUCUUCAUCACUUUUGUGAAAGAAAUCACUAGAAAAUGCUUUUUCUAAAAAUUCUCCUUUAGCUCUAAGCAUAGCGGUUCUUUUCUUACUUUCAUCCAUAGAAACAUAAAGAGCUUUAACUGAUUCAUCUAAUUUAGGAACAAAAAAUUUCAUCUUGAGAUUUUCCACAUCAUGAGCAAUUCUAUCAACACUUCUAGACAAAUCAUCAAUCUUAUUCAACUUUUCUUCUACGGAAGUGUUGAAAACUUUUUGCACGUUGAUAAAUUCUUUAAUAUUAUUCUCAAAAUCAGAGGUGUUUAUAUUAUUAUUGUAAGAUUGAUUUCCAUAGGAAUUACCAUAAUUAUUAGAGGAAUUACUAGGAAAAGCACUAGUAGAAAAGGGGGCAAUGGUCUAGGCCGGUCCAGCCCAUUAGUCCCAGUUCAAUCCAGAACCGGGACCAAUGGGGGCAUUGGACCCGGUUCUUGAGCCCCGGGGGCCGACCGGGCCACGUGGGCCAUUGGUCCCGGUUCGGCUGGACCUAUUGGUCCCGGUUGGUGGGACGAACCGGGACCAAUGGGCCUCGCUCGUGGCCCAACAUCAUUGGUCCCAGUUGGUGGGACGAACCGGGACCAAAGGGUUGGUCCUCGUUGCGGCCAGAGUUUAGUCCCACCUCGCCAACCGAAGGGGAAUCAGACCGGUUUAUAAGCCCCUCCCUCUCUGUCAUAUUGAGCUCCUCUGAAAAUGAAAAUAGAUGCCCUUAUAUAGGAAAAUUAGCCUAAAUUCACAUGGAUUUCAAUUGAAAUUCGUUAUGAAUUUAAGUUGAUUUUCCUCUAUAAGCGCAUCUAUGCUCAUUUCUGAGUAGUUUUUUAUAUAUUUUUUCUUUUCUGCUAUAUUUAUUUUUUUCUUUUUAUUUCUGAGUUGUAAUAAGCCAUUAAAAAUAAGGAUAUAUGCUCCUUUUUUAGUACAGUUAAUCACAACUAUUUUUUGCUUCUAUUCAUUUCUGAGUAGUUUUCUAUAUAGUUUCUUUUUUCUUUUCUGUUAUAUUUAUUCUUUUGUUUCUAUUUCUGAGUUGUAAUAAGUCAUUAGAAAUAAGCAUCUAUGCUAUUUUUUUAGUAAAGUUAAUCAAAAUUAUUUUUUCUUCUAUUUAUUUCUGAGUGGUUUUUUAUAUAGUUUUUUUCUUUUCUGCUACAUUUAUUUUUUUCUUUUUAUUUCUGAGUUGUAAUAAGUCAUUAAAAAUAAAAAAGAGGCGCAAUGCUCGUUAAGACGAAGCCGCUCCCCCGGAGCAAUACGAGUGGGUCAACGGUAGUCACACGACGAUGCCUUCAUCAUGGUAACGACAUGGAACGCCGCCAUCGCCCGCCGUCAGCUCGGUUUUCACCGGCAAUUAUUUUUUAGUAAAGUUAAUCAAAAUUAUUUUUUCUUCUAUUUAUUUCUGAAUUGUAAUAAGUCAUUAAAAAUAAAAAAGAGGCGCAAUGCUCGUUAAUUUGCUUCAAGCCUUUCGGAAUAGUGUCAACUGCACUGCACAUAGCUCUGUGCAGUCUACUGUAUUCCUUAAGGCUUGAAGCUAACCAACGUGCAGGAGCAUUGAGCCUCUUCGUCAUCCUCUCUGCACUCAGGGCUUAUAAACAACUGCGACUACCUCUCGCUUGGCGAGGUGGGACUAAAAAACAGCUGCAGGAAGAAUCAACAAAAAAAUAGCUGCAGAAAAUAAAAAAGCAGUUACAGGGGUCCAUUGGUACCGGUUCAUGGAACCAACCGGUACCAAUGCCGCUCUUUGGUCCCGGUUCGUUGGACCAAUUUGAAAACUAAUGGCACUAACAGAAAGUUUAUAAUUUUCCUAAAACUAAAAGCAAAAACAAUUAAAAAAUAAAGCAAAAAACAAAAGAAAAUAACUAAUGCAGAAAACAAAAGGAAAAAACUGGAAAAUAAAUAAAUAUAGCAACAAUAAGUAAAGAAAACAAAAAACAAAAAAAUGCCUCCUACUGGGCCCCCAUGGCCUGAAUACGACUAGAAACCCUACUAUGGGCCAGGAUUCAGGCCCGCAGUAGGCCCAGAAGGCCCAUCAGGCAAAGCAAUAGCAAGUAGGCCCGAAAGCCUGCGGUGGAGAGGAGAUCGAGAGGGGUGCGGCAGUGGGGCUUAUAAACCACUGCGCGCCCCUCUCGACUAGCGAGGUGGGACUAAACUUUGGCUCCGAGGCGGACAGCACAGAUGCCUUUGGUCCCGGUUGGUGGCACCAACCGGGACUAAAGGGUGGGCAUUAGUCCCGGUUGGAGCCACCAACUGGGACCAAAGGUCUUCGUUUCCCACCCUUUGGGCUGCUGAAAAGAGGCCUUUGGUCCCGGUUGAUGGCUCCAACCAGGACUAAUGCCCCCUUUAGUCCCGGUUGGAGCCUCCAACCGGGACCAAUGCUCUUGCUAUAUAUACUGGACUUAGCAGUUUUCACCAAAUCCCAUCUCUUUCUCGCCCCUGCCCCGAGCCUCUCCUCCUCGUCGCUGUCGCCGCCGAGCCCGCCCCACGCCGCCCCGAGCCCGCCGUCCCCGUCGCCGCCCCGAGCCCGCCGUCGUCGCNNNNNNNNNNNNNNNNNNNNNNNNNNNNNNNNNNNNNNNNNNNNNNNNNNNNNNNNNNNNNNNNNNNNNNNNNNNNNNNNNNNNNNNNNNNNNNNNNNNNNNNNNNNNNNNNNNNNNNNNNNNNNNNNNNNNNNNNNNNNNNNNNNNNNNNNNNNNNNNNNNNNNNNNNNNNNNNNNNNNNNNNNNNNNNNNNNNNNNNNNNNNNNNNNNNNNNNNNNNNNNNNNNNNNNNNNNNNNNNNNNNNNNNNNNNNNNNNNNNNNNNNNNNNNNNNNNNNNNNNNNNNNNNNNNNNNNNNNNNNNNNNNNNNNNNNNNNNNNNNNNNNNNNNNNNNNNNNNNNNNNNNNNNNNNNNNNNNNNNNNNNNNNNNNNNNNNNNNNNNNNNNNNNNNNNNNNNNNNNNNNNNNNNNNNNNNNNNNNNNNNNNNNNNNNNNNNNNNNNNNNNNNNNNNNNNNNNNNNNNNNNNNNNNNNNNNNNNNNNNNNNNNNNNNNNNNNNNNNNNNNNNNNNNNNNNNNNNNNNNNNNNNNNNNNNNNNNNNNNNNNNNNNNNNNNNNNNNNNNNNNNNNNNNNNNNNNNNNNNNNNNNNNNNNNNNNNNNNNNNNNNNNNNNNNNNNNNNNNNNNNNNNNNNNNNNNNNNNNNNNNNNNNNNNNNNNNNNNNNNNNNNNNNNNNNNNNNNNNNNNNNNNNNNNNNNNNNNNNNNNNNNNNNNNNNNNNNNNNNNNNNNNNNNNNNNNNNNNNNNNNNNNNNNNNNNNNNNNNNNNNNNNNNNNNNNNNNNNNNNNNNNNNNNNNNNNNNNNNNNNNNNNNNNNNNNNNNNNNNNNNNNNNNNNNNNNNNNNNNNNNNNNNNNNNNNNNNNNNNNNNNNNNNNNNNNNNNNNNNNNNNNNNNNNNNNNNNNNNNNNNNNNNNNNNNNNNNNNNNNNNNNNNNNNNNNNNNNNNNNNNNNNNNNNNNNNNNNNNNNNNNNNNNNNNNNNNNNNNNNNNNNNNNNNNNNNNNNNNNNNNNNNNNNNNNNNNNNNNNNNNNNNNNNNNNNNNNNNNNNNNNNNNNNNNNNNNNNNNNNNNNNNNNNNNNNNNNNNNNNNNNNNNNNNNNNNNNNNNNNNNNNNNNNNNNNNNNNNNNNNNNNNNNNNNNNNNNNNNNNNNNNNNNNNNNNNNNNNNNNNNNNNNNNNNNNNNNNNNNNNNNNNNNNNNNNNNNNNNNNNNNNNNNUCGGUGAUGCCUAUCCCGCAUCCUCGUUGUCGUCGACUCGGCGGUGCAGGCCUGCUUGAUCAGGGCCAUGUUUGGGACUGGGCUCCGCCGGGUUGGUAUUGGGAGGUGCUACCUUCCGGGGGACGUAGAUUGGUGAGGAGGCAUCCCGUUGUUGACCCGAUCCUUGUUUGGUGGCGGUCGCGUGGGCCAGUGACGGUGGUGAGGCAUCGGACACCGCGGAGGUGGUACGUCACCGUGUCAGCGAGGAGGACGAGCACGUCCAUCGCUACAUGGUUGUAUUGGAGGGGAGGUUCGACAAUACCUGGCAGGUUCUUCAGGGAUCUCAUUGGAGCUAUGAUCCUAUGAUGGUUCCUUAUCUUUGGGUGUCCACCGCCCGCGUCGAUACCCGUCCGGAGCUAUGGUUCUAGUUGUAUUAGUGAUAAUAUUCGACGAUGUACGGACACCAAGAGAUGAUGUACUUUUGCUUAUAAUUAUUGAAUGCAUGCUAAUUUGAAUACUAUACUUUAUUUUAUGAUUUGGUUUUGCUUAUUUUAUGAUUUGGUUUUGCUUAUUGAAUGCUCAUAUUGGAUAAUUUCUCCUUCAUUCCCGUGUGCUAGACAAUUUGAUGUAAUUAAUAAUGCAUUCGGGAAUGAAAGGAGGAGCUAUGUACAUCGAUCAUCGAUACUCAACCCGUGAUUAAUAAUAAUGAUCUAGUUUAAUAUUUGAAUUAUGAACGUAUAGGCCGGAAAUGUCGUACUCAUCGGACGACGAAAACCGCCCGGGGGAGUGCGACUGGUGCCACGACGGCCGAGGUAUCUGUGACAGGUUCAUUGUGCUGGACGAAGAUCGUCGCUUCAACAUUAAGCUCGAGGAGACCUUCGAUGUUCAUACGGUACGCAACCGACGAUAAUAGUUUUUUUCGUAAUUACUCAUGACUUCAACUAUUUUAAUCAUGACAAUAUUUUUCAUCUUUUCCAAUUCGACUAGCUUAUCCCAUGCUUUGCAAGACGCUAUGUCUUGGAGAGGAUGGGUUUUGAAGACCAUGAAAGUUUCGAAACCAAAAAAAUUAUCCUAAGUACCCAUCAUGGUGUGGAUUUUCAAGUAAAGUUGUACAAUGCUCAGAGUGUAACCCAUUUUGGUUGCAAAAAUUGGGAAGCACUUUCCAAGAUGUAUGGUUUUGCUGAGGGUAUGCUUGUUACCAUGGAUCUUGGUGAUCCUACAAUCGAGCAAGAGAGACCUACGAUUUUUGUCCUUGUGGAUACACCUCCAAUUCUUCCCCCAUGUGAGCUUAACAUAGUUAUUAAGUAAUUUAUAUUGUUUAUUUGAAAAUAGUUGACAACUUAUUCUCCAUUGACAGCUUAUUUUCAUUCUUCAAAGAAUGUGCGAAAGAUGGUAGACGGAACCUACUACACCGAAGGCUCCGAACUAACUUAUCAGGAGAAAAAUCAUCUGGUCGAAUUUUGUAUUGAUCUUGAGAAUUACAAUGUCUACAAUCGAACUCCUCAACAUUAUGGUCAAUAUGUGCCACUAGUGCACGUGUUGAACUACAGUAACUACCAUGGAGAUACCCUGGUAUGAUUUUUUACUAUUACAACAUUCGUGCAUCUUUUUGCACACUUCUAAAACUAGUACAUCAUAUCAUUGCUAACUACGAAGUUAUUACUAUGUUUUUCAACAGAUAAUCCCAAAUGAUUGUGUGCCUUAUCUGAUGUAUACACGGGGUAGCCUUCAUGUUUUGAACAUACAACCAGGUUGUCCUACGAAUCUCAACUGUCCAUACCGGGUUUCUAAAAGAAGUGGAGACAUGAUAAUCAAAGAAUGGAAAAAAUGUAUGGACAGUCGUAAGGAGCUUCUUGGAAGCAACAUUCAGCGAAGGGAAAAAAUUGGAGACUAAUGGGUCGUUACUAAUACCUCCACCCAUUAGCGACCAAAGGCCCCCUGACUGGGGUGGGCGCACAGGUCCACGUGGAGGCACAUUGGUCCCGGUUCUGGUUUGAACCGGGACUAAUGGGUGGAGGUAUCACUAAAGGCCCUUACGAACCGGGACUAAUAGGUGGUUUUCUACUAGUGAAGGCCCAGGAUUAAAAUUACCCCUAUAAGCAUUGUUGUUGAAAUUAUUGCGAGAAAUAAAAUUCACAUCUAUGGCAUCACUAUUUUUCUCAAUCAAAGUAUACAANNNNNNNNNNNNNNNNNNNNNNNNNNNNNNNNNNNNNNNNNNNNNNNNNNNNNNNNNNNNNNNNNNNNNNNNNNNNNNNNNNNNNNNNNNNNNNNNNNNNNNNNNNNNNNNNNNNNNNNNNNNNNNNNNNNNNNNNNNNNNNNNNNNNNNNNNNNNNNNNNNNNNNNNNNNNNNNNNNNNNNNNNNNNNNNNNNNNNNNNNNNNNNNNNNNNNNNNNNNNNNNNNNNNNNNNNNNNNNNNNNNNNNNNNNNNNNNNNNNNNNNNNNNNNNNNNNNNNNNNNNNNNNNNNNNNNNNNNNNNNNNNNNNNNNNNNNNNNNNNNNNNNNNNNNNNNNNNNNNNNNNNNNNNNNNNNNNNNNNNNNNNNNNNNNNNNNNNNNNNNNNNNNNNNNNNNNNNNNNNNNNNNNNNNNNNNNNNNNNNNNNNNNNNNNNNNNNNNNNNNNNNNNNNNNNNNNNNNNNNNNNNNNNNNNNNNNNNNNNNNNNNNNNNNNNNNNNNNNNNNNNNNNNNNNNNNNNNNNNNNNNNNNNNNNNNNNNNNNNNNNNNNNNNNNNNNNNNNNNNNNNNNNNNNNNNNNNNNNNNNUAUGUUCAGUCAAAUCGUUCACAGGGUGGCUGCUGCUUCGGUGGUCACCGGAGUUGCCAACUCCGGUAACUUCUGCCACUGCCGGAGGAGCUCUGGCGCUUGGGGCAGAGAGGAGGAGGCUGGGGAGUCUCCAACGCGGCGAGGUCUAGCGAGGGGCGGCCACGGCGGGGUCCGGUCUCCGGUGAGGUCUGGUGAGGGACGGCCGCGGCGGGGUCCGGUGAGUGACGACUGCGGUGUGGUCCGGCGAGGGACGGUCGUGGCGGGGUCCGGUGAGGGAUGGCCGCGGCUGGGUCCGGCGAGGGGCGGCUGUGGCGGGGUCCGGUGAGGGAUGGCCAUGGCUGGGUCGGCCACGGCGGGGNNNNNNNNNNNNNNNNNNNNNNNNNNNNNNNNNNNNNNNNNNNNNNNNNNNNNNNNNNNNNNNNNNNNNNNNNNNNNNNNNNNNNNNNNNNNNNNNNNNNNNNNNNNNNNNNNNNNCAAGGGGCGGCCACGACGGGUUUCGGUCUCCGGUGAGGUCUGGUGAGGGACGGCCGCGGCGGGGUCCGGUGAGUGACGACUGCGGUGUGGUCCGGCGAGGGGCGGCCGUGGCGGGGUCCGGUGAGGGAUGGCCGCGGCUGGGUCCGGCGAGGGGCGGCCGUGGUGGCGUCUGGUGAGGGAUGGCCGUGGUUGGGUCCGGUGAGGGGCGGAAAGAAAGAGGGUGGGGAGUCUCGAGCUCAGCGGGCACCCGCGAGGGGCAGCCGCAGAGUAAUUCGGCGAGAAGCUGCCCGUCUCUGGCGGCGGCGGUUGACCUGCCGCACUGGUUGCUUGGUCGGCGCGUGGUGCCCGCCGGCACUGGUGCCCGCCUGGACGAGGAGAAUCGGGGGAGGAGGUGAGAGCUCGGGUGGCGCAGAGGCCUGCGUGCAGGAGGGGUGCGCGAGAGGCAGCAGACCGCGCCAGAGCUGCGCUACAGUGAUGCGCCGGCCGGAGGGAGCAUGGGCGGGGGCCUCUCGUGGGGAGCACGGGCACGAGCCACUCGGUGGCAUUUGUGGCUGUCGUGGGUGAGAGGACGGGCGAGGUGGGUGGGGCCGUCCGGUUGCGUCGGUGGGUGGACAGAGAAAGAGAACGUGGGGAGAGAGAGAGGACGUGGGGGCGUGCGAGAGAUGUGGGACACAGCGAGUGGUAAGGAUCAUGCCACCUCAUCGAUCCAGGAGAUCGAUCCGCGAGGUGUGUUUCUUCUUUGCCGUCUGUGUUUUCUAUUACAGACGGCAAAGAUCAUAUUUUGUUGUCUGUAAUAUGUUUGCCGUCUAUGUUUUAUAUUAUAGAUGGCAAAACAUGUUCUUUGUCGUCUGUAACAAAAAAAUGCAGAUGGCAAAGAUCUUUGCCGUUUGUGUUUUGCUUUGCAAACGGCAAAGUGACCGAUUUGCCGUCUGUGUUUUUUUUGCAGACGACAAAGUUUAUUUUACUGUUAGUUUUUCUUUGCCGUCUGCUGAUGAUGGCAAACCCUUUCUUUGCUGUCUGCUCGACGAAAAGCUGACGGCAAAGACGCCUCCUGACGGCAAAUUAACUGUUUCCCGUAGUGUAAAAUUAAUAGGAGCACUUUUACUGGCAACCAAUUUCAUAAGAGCAUCAACUUUUUCACUCAAAGAAGAAAUUUCUUCAACCGAAUUAACAUUUUCUUGUAGGAGCCAUUUUGGUAUGCCAUUAUGAAUAAUUUGCCAUGAUAUUAUCAAGAAAUUUGGUGGCUUCACCCAAGGUAAUUUCCAUAAAAGUACCACCUACGGCGGAAUCUAAAAGAUUACGAGAAACAAAAUUCAACCCCGCAUAAAAAUUUUGUAUGAUCAUCCAAAGAUUUUACCCAUGAGUUUGGGCAAUUCCUUAGCAUCAUUUUCAUCCUUUCCCAAGAUUGUGCAACAUGCGCAUGUUCAAGUUGCUUGAAAUUCAUGAUCUGGGUUUUAAGGGAAAUAAUUUUUGCGAGAGGAAAAUACUUAGUGAUAAAAGCAUCUUUGCACUUAUUCCAAGAAUCGAAACUAUUGCAAGGCAAAGAAGAGAACCAAAUUUUUGCGGAAUCACGCAAGGAAAACGGAAAUAAUUUCAUCUUGACCAUAUCAUUGUCCACAUCUUUUUUCUUUUGCACAUCGCAUAAUUCCAGGAAGGUAUUAAGAUGGGACGCGACAUCCUCAUUAGGAGUACCGAAAAAUUGGUCUUUCAUAACAAGAUUCAGCAAAGCAGUAUUAAUAUCACAAGUCUCCGCACUAGUGGCGGGAGGAGCAAGCGGAGUGCCAAUAAAAUAAUUGUUGUUGGUAUUUGAGAAGUCACAUAGUUUGGUGUUCUCUUGAGUCAUGAUGACCGCACAACAAGAUUGCACUCAAAAACAGAUCCGGCAAGAAAAUGACGAAUGGAAAAAGAGAGGCGAAUAAAGCGACAAAUUUUAGUGAAGUGGGGGAGAGGAAAACGAGAGGCAAAUAAUGUAAAUUGCAAGGAGAUGAGAUUUUUCAUUAGGAACCUGGUUAUGUUGAAGAUCUUCCCCGGCAACGGCGCGAGAGAGCACAUUGACGGGAGGCUAUCUUGAUGUGAUUCUCCCCGGCAACGGCGCAAGAAAUUCCUUUUGAUAUCGCUUGAAGCUACGUCGGUUUUUACCCAAAGAGGAAGGUAUGAUGCAGCACAGCGUUGAUAGGUAUUUCCAUCAGAUAGGAAACCAAGGUUAUCGAAGUAGUAUGAAAACCAAGCAACACAACGUAAACAGCCCCUGCACACAAAUAACAACACCUCGCAGCCCGACGUGUUAAAGGGGUUGUCAAUCCUUUUUGGGGUACGGCGCCUCAAGAUAGGCAAAGGACGUGAGGUAAAUUUGUAGAUAGGAUUAAUAGAUCACGCAACAAAAAAAUUACAGCAAAGUAUUUUUGUCUUUUUAGUUUAAUAGAACUGAAAAUAAACGCAAGGAAAAAGUAUAUCACAAGGCAAAUAUAUGAGAGAGAAGACCCGGGGGCCGUAGGUUACUAGUGGAUUCUCUCAAGAAAAAUAGCAAACUGUGGGUGAACAAAUUACUCUUGGGCAAUUGAUAGAACUUCAAAUAAUCAUGACGAUAUCCAGGCAAUGAUCAUUACAUAGGCAUCACGCCCAAGAUUAGUAGACUGACUCCUGCCUGCAUCUACUACUAUUACUCCAUACAUCGACCGCUAUCCAGCAUGUAUCUAGUAUUAAGUUCAUGGAAAAACAAAGUAAUGCAAUAAGAACAAUGACAUGCUGUAGACAAGAUCCGUUUAUCUAUUGCGACAGAGAUGGAUCUCGUCUUUUUAUCCUUAGUAGCAACGAUACAUACGUGCCGGUUCCCUUUCUGUCACUGGGAUCAAGCACCGUAAGAUCGAACCCACUACCGGUCACCUCUUCCCAUUGCAAUAUAAAAAGAUCAAGUUUUCCAAACAAAACCCAAAUAUCGGAGAGGAAAUACGAGGCUAUAAGUGAUCAUGCAUAUAAGAGAUCACAGAAGUCAAAUAACUUUCAUGGAUAUAAAAAGAUAUAACUUAUGAUAAAUUCGAAGUUCAUCAGAUCCUAACAAACACACCGCCAAAAGGACUUACAUCAUAUGGAUAUCCAAGAGAUCAUUGUAUUGAUAAUCAAGAGAGAGAGAGAGGAAGCCAUCUAGCUACUAACUACAGACCCGAAGGUCUACAAAGAACUACUCAUGCAUCGUCGGAGAGGCACCAAUGGAAGUGGUGCCCUCCGUGAUGGUGUCUAGAUUGGAUCUCAGUGUUCUGGACUCCGCAACGGCUGGAUGAAAAUUUGUCGACUCCCUUAGGGUUUCUGGAAUAUUGGGGUAUUUAUAUAGCAAAGAGUCGGUCCAGGGGGCACUCAAGGUGGGCACUACCCACCUGGGCGUGCCUGGGCCUCCUGACGUGCCCAGGUGGGUUGUCCCCUCCUCGGGACUCCCCCCAGGUUCAACCAGGGCCCAUUGUGUUCCUUCUGGUCCAUAAAAAAUCAUCGUAAAUUGGCAUUGUAUUUGGACCCCUUAUGAUAUUGAUUUCCCGCGAUGUAAUAAACAUGCAAAAAACCAACAACUGGCACUUGGAACUAUGUCAAUAGGUUAUUACCAAAAAAUGAUAUAAAAUGACUAUAUAAUGAUUAUAAAACAUCCAAGAUUGAUAAUAAAACAACACGGAAUGAUAGAAAAUUGUAGAAACGUUGGAGACGUAUCAGCAUCCCCAAGCUUAACUCCUGCUCGUCCUCGAGUAGGUAAGUGAUGAAACAAAUUUUUUGAUGUGGAGUGUUGUUUAU